CUCCUCAAUCCUUCCUCUCGAUCUCACUCUCCCAGAGUCCUCCCUCUCGAUCACUCUCUCCCAGAGUCCAGACUGACUUUUAUCCCUCUCGAUUUUCAGUCUAUCUCUGUUGAACUCGAAGGUACGGAUGACUAAGUUAGUCUCUUUUUGUCGAACUUGAGGGGACAAACAACUCGAAAAGAUGAAUCAGUCAUCUCUUAUGUCUGACUCAUAUUUGCAUGGAAGCCGAGCUCUGCUGACGGUCUUUUUCAGUUUCAAGGUAUUAUGUUUUAGGGAUUUAUGAUUGAAAAUUAAAUUAGGAUUUAGGGAUUUUGUUGAGUCCUCGAAUCUUGACUUUUAGUCUGUUCCAAUUUCAAAUCUUUUGUUUAAGGAAAAUUUUAUUUGAACCAAUAUAACUUAUUUAUACACCAAACUUACUCUUUACACCCAUAUUAGUUUUAAUUAAACUAUUAGUAUCUCUUUAAAUCCAAAUUCACUACCUAAACUACCCUCACAAACCAGUUCAAUAUGUAGAUUAUAUUUGCACCCAUUUGAAAAUUAACAUAUCAAAAUCAACUCCUUGUACGUUCUCUCCUUUCCAACAGUUGCUUUUGAUUCCCUUAUAAUGUUACUCUCGGUAAAUUUCAGGUUGCUUUGCACCAACCAUAUAGAUUCACACUAUUUCCAUUAAGAAAUAACUAUAGACAAUCAAAUAAUUCAUUUCUAGGAAAACGUAUCAUAACUUCUGGAGGAAAAAAGUUGCAAAGAUUGUUCUUCUUCCAUUAUAUUGUGAGAGGUUCUGAAGUCAUAACAACUAAAUGCAAUACUGACUUUUUUUUUUUUUUUUUUUUUUUAACGAAAAUGCAAUUCUGACUAAAACUAUGAAAUUACAAGAUAUUAUGUACGCCCAACAUUUUAGGAGACCAAGAAGUCUAUACCCUAGAAAAAUUUAAUGAUAUAUACCUCGGCGAUGGAAUUGAUCCUCUAAAGUUAAGCAAAUUGUAUCUGUUUGAAAUUAGAAAAAUUAGAACUCAACUAAAUACAUGAGAAGCAAUUCGAAGGAAGAUAGAAAAUCUAGUUGAGAGCAACUCUAUUUGGUGAGAAAACUUCUUGUUCAUUUGCAUUGGAUAGUCAUUUUUUGUGUAAGAGAAAGAACCAUGAACAUAAACAUAAAAACUGGUUGGUAAUGUAUGGGAAAAUCGGUCAUGUUAUACUAUGGUCUCUAGCUAUGCCUUUAAUUAUGACUGCGAUGGUGUACUGAGAUGUUUAGCAGGAUGAAUUUAGAAGGGUUUGUGCCUAACCCUGCGACUUGGACAUCAUUAUUGUCAAGUCAUGCUCGUUGUGGCUGCCAUGAAGAAACCUUGGAGUUGUUUGGUAGAAUGAGGGCGGUGGGAAUUGAAACUACAGCUGAAUCGCUUUCUAUGGUGUUAUCUGUAUGUGCUAAUGUAGAAAAUCAGUUAUGCUGCUGUGCAACUGCUAUGUGAUGUAAUUAUUCUGACUAAGCUGUGAAUCUGUGCAACUGCAACUUCAAUCUGUGAAUCUAUGUUAAAAAAAAAAGGGGCCGGGUUAGGUCCGGUUUUUGUAUUGAAAUUUGUUGUACUUGGCCCGGCCCGUGCCCAGCUCUAAUUCCAUUCCUAAUAGCCCCCAAACUAUUCGGAACUCAAUCUCCUUAAUGAACAGUAAUUGUCUAUAGUGAACAAUAAAUAUUUAAGUGUAUUUCCACCCCUAAAUUGAAUAGCAAGGCAAUUUGUAUUAAAAUAUUAGUAUUUUUUUAUUUUAUAAAAUAAUAAUAAAUAACUUUAUCUUCAAUUUCGAACAUGAUUUUUAACCAAUUUUGUCAUAUCACGUGUCAUUAUCACAAGUACAAUUUUUGUGGAAAGAUUUUUGAGUAGAUUUUUAACUAAUUAUGUCGCGCUAUGUGUCACUAUUUGUUUAGAAUCAUUGAUGAUAGAUUAUCGAUAAUAUUUUUAACCAAUCAUGUCGCGUCACAUGUCACUUCUGUUUAGAAUCCUUGAUGAUAGAUUUUGAUAAGAUUUUCAACUAAUCGCAUGGUGUUACAUGGCAUUAUUUACAAUCUCAUACUUUCUUUUUUCUUCAUAUAACCCACCAUCCAUCCUAAGAAAUCACACAUAAAAAAUUGCUCUGGCUUUCUUUCUUUUUUGUAGGAUAAAAAUUGCUCUCGGAAUUUAUUUAACUCCCUGCUUAAGGCAAACUUAAAUAGGUUUUGGUGACAAUUGGUUUCCCCUUCCUAGAAGAAUUUACCUCCAAGUCAAAAUAGAAGAUCUACAUCUAAUUGGGAAACAACUUUUUACUUACCUAAGCAGCUUGUGAUUUCUACACCUACUGCCUUUUUCUGCUAACAACCCAGCAGGUGUGGGGGCAUUUGUGGAGCCAAAAAUAAUCCCAAAAAUCCACAAGGCAACACGUAGACUUUUACUCAAGAAAGACAAGAUAUUAUCUCUUAAUUAAUGCCUUGGAAAUAUUUUUUCCUUGUGCAUCCUACGGAUGACAAAACUUGACCAAUGGGAAGCCGCCAUGUGUGUAGCAUAAAACCUUACACACAUGGCCGACCACAUCCCACUAUUUAAACCCUCAUCUCAUCAAAAUUUGGUAAGCUUUUCGCUAUACAUAAAACCCUAAACGCUCACUCUUUUCAGAGUUACUAACUUAGGCAUCAAAGAUCGUUUGGCACCCCCUUCUCCCCACUCGUCGUGGGCGCUUUGGUCUUUGAUCGAAAGUGUUGACUGUUUUGUAGAUAUUUUUUUGGGAGACUUUGGAUGCGGUCCUUAGUUAUGAACAAUCUUUGACUGAAACCUUAUUGGUUUUCAAUUUUUGAUCCAAGUCCCUGAAAUUAAUUGAUAAUUUAUUUCUAUGUACGUUACUAUAUUUUUUAAAUUAAAAAUUAAAAUUUAUAGUUGUUUAUAGUAAUGAGAUUUUAAAUAAAAAACCAUAAUUUGUGGGAUUAAAAAUAUUAAAAUAUAAAUAUACUAUUGUGUGUGUGUGUGUGUAAACAUGGGUACAUUCAUAAAAAUAACCAAAAAAUUAUUGUAUCAAAACAUGGGUACAUUCUUCAAAAUGGGUACAUUUAGCAAAAAUAAAAAUGGGUACAAAUAAAUAAAAAAAUAUGGGUACAAUACAAAUAAAACUUUAAAAAAUAUGGGCACAAAAAGAAUUUAAUAAAUGGGUACAAAUUAAAACUGAAAGGAAAAUUGGUACAAAUUAAAAAAGGGUUGCAAAUUAAAAAUGGGUACAAACUAAAAAUAAAAAUAUAUGAUAAAAAAUUUAGCCAUAAGUAUAAAUAUACUAAUUGUAACAUUUUUAAUAUUAAAUGAAUAUAUUUAGAAAUAAAAAAUAUUUUAUUAUUGAAAUAAUUAAUGAUAUUAUUAAUACAAAGGACCUUGAUCAAAAAUUGAAAAGUAAUAAGGUUUUAAUCAAUAGAGUAGUAAAAAUAAGGAUGAAAACCUAAUUAUUCCUAUUUUUUUUGUCAAGACUGAAGAUGGCGGAAAGUGUACCACAGUGAUGAUUUUAACUAUGUUUCUAAAAUUAGAUUUUUAUUCUUUUCAUUUCAUGAUAGUUGGAGAAGAUUGGCUUUUUUUCCCCUCAUAUUCUUAAGAAGAAAGGAAAGAAAAUGUGAGGAAAAAGACCGCAACGGCAAAGAGAAAAGGAAAAGGAGAAGGAAGAAGAGGAAAAAAUAUAAACUGUUACAUCAAUCUCAUGGUGUAUAUUAAUUAAUAGAAAAUUUUAAAUAAAAGAAUGAUAAAAUAUUAUAUUUAAAAUUUACCAUGUGACGAGUUUUGACUAGAUUGUAGUGUCAUCCAGAAAUUCAGUUGUAUGCCGAGCCCCACACAAACUUUUCUCCUAACAUUGAGAGACAUAAGAUGAUAGGACAAGAAUCUUGAAAUUUAAAUUAAUCUAACGGCAAUCAUCAGGAGGAUCAUGACCCUCGCUAUAAGAGGUGAGCAAAAAUACACUCCAAUUUUAAUGGUUGAUACUUAUCUACCUAUAAAUAUGACAUUAGAAGAUGGAACAAGCCAUGGAGCAGCAUGGAGAGAAGAAAACUCAACAAGGAAUUCCAGCAGAAAAAUCUUCGGCGACAAGAAUUGUACAGUCAAAUUGCUGUGCAAUCUCCAAAUUCAGUUUCGUCAACUUCCUCCGGCCACACCACAAAUUCAGCAAACCUUUUCCAAAUUCAUCAUCAUGCCUGUGAAGAAUAAUCAAACACCACUCAUAUGAGCCAGUUUCCUAACCACCAAAGUCAAACACCACAUACCAUUACAAAAGUUCUUGCGGCAUCCGUUUGAUCAAGAUCAGGCUUCUACGGCCUUGAAUCAAACACACAUUAUGGUAUUUCGGACACUUUUGGAGAUGGCAUCAAGGGAUUCAUUCUUAUAAAGAAUUUACCCAGAGACUUAUCCAUUGCUUUUCAGGAAUUUUAGUGUUUAUAGGUAUGUUGAAGAUAAAAGAUGGUUACUCAUAGUCGUGAAAGAAACUUAUCCAUUCCAAUCCCCAAUUUAGUAGGAUGAUAAAGGAAUGAGCUUCCUUUAUGUCUAAACCCCUCCAAAUUCCAUCCAAAUAAAAGAUCAUUCUUUUCUAUAGAUCAAUCCCAUCUUAAAGACCGAGUAAUACAUAUUCUGAUUCAAAAUAUCACAGUCGCAAACCAUUAAUACUGAAUACUGAGACUGAAUGUGUGGCAACACAAAUAACACAAAUGUAUAUGCAGUUAAUCCUUACAUGUAGCCAAAUAGUUUUAGGAAAAACAUUAAUCUGCAUCAUUCUACGGUUUGCAAUGCAUACAACCGGUUUUCAAUACAUACAGCCACUUCUUGUAGAGACUAAACGCCAAUCCCACCACCAGCACAUUGUAAUAAGGCCGGAACACCUGAAAACACACAGAAAUUUCUAUGUUAUCAUUCUGAAGCUGCCUUGUUGGUAUGACAGAAAUUAUCUACCAAUUAGCAUAUGCACUUAGCGACAAACUACGAGUAAUGUAAUCAAAUUUCUUGAGGAUCAGCUGAUUUCCAAUCAGAAAAGCCCUAGCCAAUCAAAUGAACAUCUAAUUGAUCACUUAACCAAGUCCAUCAAUCAAGCCUACUGUAUUUUUUUCUGUUUAACUAACAAGUGAUCACAACAAGAACCCCAAUAAACCACGAAACAUCCCUCUUUGGUCCUGUUAAAGUCUGCGUUUGUUUCAUAUAGGUAAAGGACUGGAUGUGAAGGGCAAGUAAUGUAUAGAGGGUCAAACAUCUAGUUGCCUUUGUUCUAUUAGCUAAGAGUCGACCAUAAACAUGCACUGCAUUCAACGCCUUCACUACGUAACAGUUGAAAUUCGACAAGGAAAUUAACUAAUACAAGAAACCCUAGAAGUCAAAAAUUCAAUUCAUCCAACAAAUCAAAUACCCUAAAAAACAAUCGAAUUGGCCCAAAUGGAGUAAAAAUAAUAACCAUAUCAUGGUUACAGAUGAAAUUGCAGAGAUAAUAUCCAAACAUUCGGUCGAAAUAAUUAAAUUCAACCAGGAAAUUAACCCAUACAAUAAACCCUAAAACUUAACAGCCCCAAUUCACCAAACCAAUAAAAAACCCUAGAAAACAACAUAAUUGCCCCAAAUAUCUGAAAUUGCAGAGAGAUUUCAAUCCGAACCUUCAGUUGUAAUAGAGCUCGAGGCCCAUGCCGUCGUGAAUCUCAUAGUCCUUGAGGGUGAUGUGGUCCUUGUAGACGUUGUACCACUUCUGGAUCCGAAUCUUGUCGGAGCGGGUGCCCGUCUGAGCCGCCACCAGCUUCUUCAGGUCGCCGAUGGUGUCAUCCUCGUUGCACUUCACCUUCACCUUCUUCCCCAGACGGUCGUUCAGCACCACCUCGAUCAUCUUCGAUUCUUGGAAUUUCAAUCGAUCGCGCAGAGAGAUGUUUGGGAGACUUAAAACACCGCGAAUAACGAAAGGAUUUUGAUAUAUAGAGCGCUUACAGGGGCUUUAUGGUCUUUUUGAUUGGCUGGCCGACUAGAAAGUCUACGAGUUUUACCUUUCUUUUCAAAGCCAUUUCUUUCUUUGGUUUCUUAAUACUAAAAUAACGUUGAACCUAUUUCUUUGUUCGUUUAAUUAUGAUCGUGAGUCGUGACAUGAACUUUCUUAUAAAAUAUCCAUAAUAUCUUGAUAUUUUCAUUAAAAUUUUCGUAUUUUUAGACUACCGAUAUUUCCGAUAUCAUCGAUAUUUUAGACCUUGCUAAGUCACUCAUGUAUCUUACCAUGCAAUGUAUAAAAUGUAAAAUAUUGUACUAAUUCAUUAUAUAUAAAUGAUUAUGGUGUGUUUAAACUUCUUUCAUUAAUUACUACAUAUUUUCUACACUCAUAAUGUUUGCCAGCUCGCUAUAUAAUCAACUUAAAUCAGUUAUAUCUAUCAUGCAAUGCAUUUUCUUCUAUUUUUUUGUGAUAAACUAAUAAAUAAUUGACUAAAUAAACAUCCUGAAAGUUUCAAUAAAAAUUUCCAAGUUUUUCUUACAAUUUCUGUGGUUUUUAUUCAAUUUUUAUCGAUAUCGAUAAUAUCUCGAUAUUUUCAUCGAAAUUUUCGUGUUUUUGGACUACUGAUAUUUUCGAUAUCAUCCAUAUUUAAUACCUUGAUCGUGAGUCGUGACAUGAACUUUCUUAUAAAAAUUUGGCUUUUCUGAUAUUACUUUGUAAUUUUUUGUUCUAUUUUAUCGACUUUUCUUUUUAUUCUACUAAAAGAAGCAUAGUGCCCGACCAAAAUGCUCAACAAGGAAACAUAUUCCAAAUUUCCAAAAGCAAAGGGUGCAGCAAGAACACAUAAACAAGUGUUAAGCCACUAGGCAGCAGCACGCCGCUGAUGACUGAUGACUAAUGACUGAUGUGAAAGAAAGCAGACAAACAAAACUCCCAUCCAUUCCAACCAUUUCUUUAAUUCCCAUCUUCUUCCUCCUCCGACUCUAACUUCAUGGUUUCAUCGCGAUCGCUUUUGUCUCUGUAGAGUGGGUGUGCAGAGAGAUUUUAUAGAGUUAUGUACGUCAGCCGCCCGUUGGUCCAUCCGGUGGAGGCCCCGCCCACGACUGACGUGGCGGCCCAGAACGCCCUCAGAGUGAGGAUGAAGGACGUCCAAGGCAUGCCUGGCACCCCCGGUGGGCUCGCCCUGCGUCUCUGCCAGCUCUGCUUCUCCGCAAUCUCUCUCUCCGUCAUGGCCUCCACCUCCGAUUUUCCCACCGUCACCGCCUUCUGGUAAUGCUGGCUUUUGCUGGGUUCGUGAUUUUUGCAGUUUUUACAUGUUUAUUGAGAUGGGUUUUGGUUAAAGUUUGAGUCUUUGAUGAUUUUUGUGUUUGGAAUUGGGUUUGGUUUUGCUGGGUGAAAUGUAGCUACCUUGUUGCUGCUGUUAGCUUGCAAUGUGUGUGGAGUUUGUCAAUGGCGAUUGUUGAUUUGUAUGCUCUUUUGGUGGGGCGGAGUUUGCGCAAUUGCAAGGCUGUGUGUUUCUUCACCAUUGGAGAUGGGGUAAGAUAUGAAUUUAACCCUUCAAGUCUUGUUGCAUUACUUCUGUUGAUUAGCCACUAACUAGUAGAAUUUGAGUGUUUAAAUCAUUGGCAAAAUCUGUAGCUAGCACUUAACCGAAUGUGACACCGAUAGAUUCCCCAAACUCGAUAGGGGUGCAUAUUAUCACAGGAGCUCCCUGUGGAUACUGACCUGCAAAAGUUGAUUUGUGGUUAAUGCUUUAUCUAAUUUCACAUAGGAUUUGAAAUUUUGGCACAAUAUCAGUUGUUUUCGUGCGUUUUCAAACUUACAAACCUAAUAAGAUUUUGAAGAAAAUACACGGAUACGGGUGAAUUUUAUUAAUAAACAAAAACAAAUAACCUAGUCAGGGGGACGUAGUUAGCCAUACCCCUCAGAAUGCAUACAUAUACAUAAACAAACCAAAAUGAUAAAAGGAUAACCAACUGACAAACAAAACAACAAGAUAACAAUACAACAAACAAAAGUGCAGUAUUUAAUACAAUGUAAAACUAUUUAAAUGUUGACGUCCUCGUCUUCAAAGCAUCAAAAUCAUCAGUCACUGAUUCGGAAUCAAUACCUUGUUCAGUAAAAGCGGGUAGAAAGUUGUCCAACUCACAAGUUUAAUAACCAAACUAGAGCAACAACACACCACCAGACUAAGCUAGUGAUAAAUACAGAGUCAGUAGGAAUGUCUCUGUGCCUGAAUGCUUUUGACUUUUCUGUUUCCUCUCUAAAAAUGGGCAGGAUCAAAGCCAUACUAACCUAUACUGACCAAUGUAACAACAUCACGCCACAAUAACUUCUACUUUUUUUAUUUUUUGCCUAGAAUAAGGGGCUGGGCCAGUCUCAUGGCUGGUUCUGUCCCUGGUGAAAUAGAAAGGCAGUGAUCUGUCCAUUCAAAUGUUAACUAGCUGCUUUGUUCGUAUGUGAUUACCCAAUUAUUUAUAUACCAUUGCUUCGAUAGUAGAAUUUGUUAUUCCAGGGAUGCAUGAAACACACCAUGGGACAACAGAUUGAAUAUAACUUGGAUACUGCUAAUGUACGACAUUACACACAUAAACUAAAGACUCCAAUGCUGUCACCAUAACUUCUAUACUACAUGAAGAAUGACAGCUGAGCUAUUUAUAUAUAGAGAAAAUCUUAGUCUGUUUUUAUAGUUCUACAUUUUCUGUCAUUGGUUGAGAGGAGAGGCUGCCACUCAAAUGAAGCUAAACAGAUCACUAACUGAAUUUAACAGUAGACCGGCACUGCAUAGUCAAUCAUUUGCAUCAACCAUGCGCUUUGUUCAGGUGCCAUAGUUGCCGCUCUAGAUUAUUCUUUGGUAGUUGAUAGUGUUACCAUCCAUUGUCUAGUACUACAGCAAAACACCACUUCAUCCAAGACCACCAACUAAAUAAAUUUCUAUUAGUUGACUGUCCAAUGUUGUGAUCUCUUGAAUAAUCAGGCAUCAUAGUAGCCAUACCUGGUACUUUUCACCUUUCUUGACCACAUGUUAUAAUUCUAGCUGUGGAACUUCUUGAUCCCAGCCGAGCUUAAUCUCAGACAAGUUUCACAGUCUCAGCUUGUGGCAUGAACAGUAGAAACUUUGUGGUUUGUCGAUCCCUAACUGCCUCGCUCUGAUACCAGAAUUUUUAACAAAAACAUGGUGAGUCAACAAAUUUAGAGACAUAACACGCUUCAAAUGCACCACUACAAUACACACAAGAAACGAAACUUAUCCAGGGGCACUCACAUUAAUCCACAUACCUCACUUUCACUCACCAUUGUGGUGGUUGUGGUAAUGUACCACUGGUCAGACCUAACUGGUAAACCACUCUAUCCUCAAUAUACAUAUUUCGUGUGUUGUUUUAGGCAAAUUUUAAACUAAGUCUUAUUAAAUGGCCAUCUCACCUUUGCCACAUUUGACAUUGAUAGAUGACUAGAUGUCCCUUCCGGGUUUUGCCAUUUGAGAUGUUACCUUCAUUUCUAUGGCAGAUAACUUAGGGCUCAUUUGGAUGUGCUUUUAAAAUAAUUGAAAGCACUUUUGGUGAAAAUGAUUUUGGAACCAAUCCUUAGUGAAAAUGCAAGUAAAUCCUGGAAAAUCAUUUAGAGUUCUUCCUGGAAGAAGCACAUAACUGGUGCUUCUUGUAGAAAGCACUUAAAGUGCUUUUGGAACCCAAAAACAUUUUCUCUAAAAGCGCUUUCAGCCAUUUUAAAAGCACAUCCAAACGAGCCCUUAGUAUUUCUGUUUUUCAUCCAUUUGUUAACAAGAUGCUUUGUUAAUAUGUACUUGUGCGUGCAAAUAUCCAUUUUUUGAAAGUUGAAAAGUGAAUUUGCUGCAUCAGAGGGGCAUUAAGUCCCGCUGUUCGAGACCUAAAUCUGUCCAUCACAAGCUUACAGAUAUACAAGUGUUUCUUUUUGUGCAGAUCACAUCCACUCUUACAUUUGCUGCCGCAUGUGCUUCUGCUGGAAUCACUGUCCUCAUUGCCAAUGAUCUUAACAAAUGUGGUUUUAACCAUUGUAAAAGGUUUGAGACUGCCACAGCUAUGGCUUUUAUCAGUUGGUUUGCUGUGUCACCAACUUUUCUUUUAAACUUCUGGUCACUGGCUUCACGGUAAAAUACGGCUGGGGAGGAAUAUUCAUAAGUGAUCAGAGCCUUCUCCUUCCCAACUGUUGGCUUCUUUGGUGCGAAGAGAUCUCUGCCACAGCUAUGGCAGUGCUUCUACAGGUUAUUAUGGUUUCCCUUAUUUUGUAUAUAGAAACAUUUUGGCAGAGUUUUAUUGAAAUGACAAUAACUUUAAAAUGGAGAUGUGUAUCAGAUUUUGUUUUUGUUAUGAAAUCUUUUUCUGCAUUGUCGAUCGGUUUCUUGCAAUGCGUUAUACUGUCGUAUGAUUUCUAAAACCUAGCAAGUGCCUGAGAGAUACAAAAUGCUGUUUGUUUGAUCUAUUCAUGUUAAACUUGCUUUAAAACUUCCUAGGGCUCUAUGUAUGCACUGAAAGCAACUUUAGAAAAACUGCAGGCAACUGUUGGUACCGGAUCGAGAUGCCCUAGUACAUUCCACGAUAAACGAAACUAAUAUACUCUUUUCUUCGUUCCCGCUUCUUUUCCUCAUCAUUUGAUGCCUGGGAAAGGAAGAGAAGGGUUCUAGGUUGCAUAAAAGUUUCCUGAGAACUAUUUGGUGAAAGUUUUGUGGAUAAUCAUGUAAUUAGUUAAAGCUUCUACGACUGGUGUUGAAAACUGGAUUAACAGUUGGUGUUUUCUCAGUUUUUCUCAUGGAAUUAAGGGUUGAAAUGCAACAGGUGCGAUGGAAGACAAGUUGGCAAAAUACAACCAUUAGCUUUCGCUUCAAUUGAUAAAGUAAUCAUAAUUUGUGAAUUGCAUGUUGAAGCCGAAUUUUUAUGGUUUAUGGAAGCUUUUUUAGGUUAAGAACCAAACUAUUCUGCUUCCCUCUCAAAUUGGUCAUUGUGGCAGAUUGUUGAGAAUUCACCCCACAUUGCAUGGUUUUAUAAGUAGUUGGGUUAUAGUCUCGCUUUCAUACCUAGAGACAUUGUUUUCUUCUCGUCUCGAAGAGGAUUUGAGAUCCCUAGUGUAAAAUGUCAAGAUCUUUCUCGUGCUUUUAGAGUAUUUUGAGGGACUCUCGGUUUGCUCUUUCGUCGGUUUAUAAGUUAGUCAUGAUUUCUUAAAUCUUCUAUUGCCGUUACCAAUUGUCUGUGACUAUUGUUCUACGCCACCCUUCGCAAAAAGAGAGAAGAUACCGUUAUAUGGCUAGGCGUUUCUUCUUUUUUAACACUUUCGAAUGCUAAUCUCGUGUUAAUCACACACAAAAAUGGAGAGAUAGGCUAAUGUAAGAGUUAAAACACUUACCAAAAAGAAAAAAAUAUAUAUACUUAGAAAAAUGCAUCUUCGUCACCAAUUACAACUAUAUUUCUUGAACUUCUUUUUUUUUUUGGACAAAAUUUUUUGAACAGCAUAGCCCACGUCUUUCUUAUUCAUCAACCAUCACCGGUAAGAUUUUCUCGUUGCACAACUUAACUCAUAGGGCAUAGGGUAUCAAAAUAUGAUAUAUAUAUAUAUAUAUAUAUAUAUGUAUGUAUGUAUGUAUGGGCUUAAUGUACUUUUAAGAAUAAUUUAGGACAUGGAGUUAGUUAUUGACCUAAAGAACGCUUCCAUAAAGCAAGGGAAAUUGGUUUCAGCAUGGAAUUCAUCAACUAUGAUUACUUUAUCCUUUUGAAACCAUCGAUUGUGUAUUGCCAACCGACUUGUCUUCUUUCACACCUAUUGGAUUACCCUCAAAUCCAUGAAAAAAAACCAUUUCCUUUGUCAUUUUUCAACAUUAAUCAUAGAUUCUUUAACUGAUUACAUGAUUAUCCACAUCAAAACUCUCAAUAAAGUAGUUCUAAAAACGCUCUAACAAAAUGUGAAUAUACGUUAUCUAUGAGAAAGAGCAGAGGAAAGGACAAAAAGAGGUAUAUAUGCAUCUAGGGGAUUUACCCCUUCAUGUUAUUUUCUUCAAGUGCCAUAGUUACUGCUUUCGUAGUUGAUAUUGUUAUCAUCCUAAACCCUAAACCUAUAACAAAACUAACUUACCCUCAACACGGAUAUUGGGCCUGGAAAAUGAGUUGUGUUUGUCGUGUUUCGUGUAACAUCUGUUAUUUGAACGGGUUGUAUCGUGUCACACCCAUUAUUUUAAUAGGUCGAGUCACUUUACCCAACAGAUAAAAUGACCCGUUAAGAAAAAUAUUUUUUUUUUCUUAAAUUUGCACAUACGACAUUGUCACAUAAAUAUUACUUUAAAACAUAAAAACACAUUUGUCGUUAAAUGCUACAUCUACACUCCAAAAUAAGAGUCUAAUAAAAAAGCACCAAUACACUAAUAGCCUACUACAAAAUAUCAAAUGUGCAAGGAUAUGCAAAAUGAAGGAGUUUUUCUUUUUAAGAUUGUGAAGCCUUUAUCAAAAGUUAAAACCUUGCCAAUGAAACUCAAAGCUUGCAUUUUAUUCCUUUUACAAAAUCCUUCAAUUUUCAUCGAUCAUCAUGGGAAAAUUGUUUUAAAACUUUGGCUUGAUCUAUUGCCUUCAAGAGUUAUGUUGAUAAUGUUUUCAGUAAGGUUUUCCACAUCAGAACUCUCUUUCGCAUAAACUAAGUGUAGAAAAACCAAACAUUAUAAAUCAUUCAAAUUAUGAGAAGUUUACCAAAAUAAUUAUGAAAAAAAAUAAAAUAAAACAAUAGUACUAUACCAUAUAAAAAUAUAUUACCUCAUUUUCUAAAUUUAAUUUAAUAUAUAUAUAUAUAAUUAUUAUAAUUUUUUAGAGUUAUAAAAUUAUUAAAUUAAUAUUUUGCUUAUCGUGUAUCGGGUUACCUACAUGUGCACCAUGACCAACCCGUUAUCUUAACAAGUGCUUAUUGGGUUACCUGAUAACGACCCAAUUCGUUAUCGUGUCGACUUUAUAACUUGUUAAUUUCGUGUCAGGUUAACAGACCGUGUCAGAAAUUGCCAAGCCUAGUUGAUAUACCCCUCUCUUUCAUUUCCUCCGCUCUUUCUCACAAAUAAUGUAUAUCUCUAUUGUAGGAAGAUUUCUUUAGAACUACUUUAGUGAGAAUUUUGAUGCAAAUAAUCAUGUAAUCAGUUCUAGCGUCUAUGAUUAGUGUGAAAAAUGACAAAUGGUGGUUGGUCUUUGUUCAGGGAAUUGAGGGUUGAAAAGCAUAUUGUGUGAAAAAAGACAAGUGGAUUGGCAAAAAACAGUUAGUAGCUUUUCUUUCAAAAGGAUAAAGUAAUAACAAUACUAGGAAUUCCACGUUGAAACCGAUUUUCCAUGGUUUAUGGAAGCAUUUUUUAGGUUAAGGACCAAAUAAUUAUGCUUUCAUCUCCUAAAUUAUUCUUUAAAAAAAAGUACAUUAUGGCCAUACAUACAUUGUUCUAAAAAUUUCCACCUAAGGCCACUUAGGUCCCGCCUAGGUGCUAGGCAGCUGGCCACCGCCCCGAUUAAUGCUUAAGUCUUUGAAAAUUAAGAAAGGGUGCCUAGAUCUGUUGAGGCACCUACCUAAACCGCCUAGGAACCUGCCUAACCCGCCCAAACCCACCUAAAUACCUGCCUAGGUCGCGACCCACUUAGACAGAAAAUAGAUAACUUUAAUUUUACAUUUUAUUUUUUUCAAUAAAUUAUAAGAGACUUGUCGCUUACUUAAAUUAACACACAUUAUAUCUUUGUUCCCCAUGUUUUCAUUAUGUUCCAAUACUUCAUAAUAUAUACGUCAUUUUAUUUUAUAGUUUAUGAUGAAAUUAUAUAUAUUUUAAGUAUAAGCAGACACUUAUUUACACGAAAUAUAAUAGAUUUACUUAAAUUCGCCUAAUCCACCUGGGCACUAGGCCCCAGCCAGCCGUCCGACUAGCGCCAAACGUCUUUUAGAACCUUGCAUACAUAUAUAUUAGAUUUCGACACCAUACAUUAAGUUGUGCAAUGAGAAAAUCUCGUGGGCGACGGUUGAUGAAUAAGAACAACGUACGUUAACUUGUUCAAGAAAUAUAAUUAUAACCGGUAACGGACUGCAUUUUUCUAAGAAGAUGUAUAUCUUUUCUUUUUGGUAAGUGUUUAACUCUUACGUUAGCCUAUAUAUCAACUUCCGUGUGUGAUAAGCACGAGAUUAACAUUCGAAAGUGUAAGAGAGAAGAAACGGCAGGCCAGAUAACGGUAUCUCCUCCUUUUUACGAGUGGCGGCGUUGAGCUACAAGGUUUAAGAAACCCAUGACUAACUUGCUCUUUGAGCACCUUGACCAUAGCUAUAUAUAGGUUUCAACCCUUGCUGUUUUCUUGAACAAUUUGUCCCAAAGAGAGAAGGGUUGGAGAGACCAUGUCUAAUAAGGAAGUUGAGGAGGAAAGAAGGCUAUAUCAGUGUGCAAGGACAUAUGAAAAAAUAGUAAAACAGGUAGUGUAUGCAAUGUAAUCAAAAUUUAACCUUGUUAGUAAAUCAGUAUUAGUCAGAUAAUUACCACUUCGGGCAUCCUUCUUUUUUUUCCUUGGAAAGAUGGGUUUGUUCCAUUUUUAUACAUACUAGACCGAAGUUUUGAUUACGAUUAAUCUUCUGUUUAAUCUCUGUUCUUCAGUGUGAUGAGCUGAUUGGGAUGAUGGACACCGGGAGCAAACUGCCUAAGCGACGAAAGGUAUCUUCCAUAAGAUCUCUUGGCUAAUUUCUAUUAGUUUAUCUUCUAAAUCUUAAUUAUGUGCAUGCUAAUAUGCAAUGCGAUUAAGUUCUUGUUCUUCUUUGGUUUCAUGCAUGACAGAAUUCUACGACCGCUCCUGCCCCAGCAAGUCAACAGGAGGACAAUGAAGUGUUAGUGCAGACAAUAACAAGAUUUCUCCAUGACCUGAGAACUAACCCUGCAGAACCCGAGAGCUCCACAACCCCGGGAGAUCGAAACUAAUUCUCUUCAUGUAGGGAAUGAUUGCAGCAGACUAGCAGAGAAGCAAUUAUCUUUAGUAAUAAUAAGUGGCUAAUUACUAAGUGUGAAUGCUUGAAUAUCUAGUACAGCAUGGUAAACAUGUAACGGCUACACAUUUCUUGGAAGUGCAUCAGAUUUUAUAGUUGAUCCCGACAAAACUCUUUAUCCAGUUUUUAUUUUUUCAGAUAUGUCUUAAAAAAGACAAAAAACCAAAACAAAUGGGAAAACUACCAUUAGUAUAUAACAAUAAUAUAACUUUGAAAUAAAGUCGUAUGAAGUUACGAACAGACACCCAAACCUCCAGGAUUUCACAUCUUUCAAUUAAAGCAGUCGUUACCCACAUAUACCUCAGUUUCCCAGAAACCAGCAUGAAUUAAGAACUGUAAGGGGGCACAUGCAUCUCGUCCAAAAAUGUCUUUGACGGCUUAAAUAGCCAAUGAAGGUAAAAACUUUCAAACUGGAGUGCAUAUGGGAUGUGUUUCGUGGUUGAGAACAUAUGGAUUGGAUUGGAUUGUACAAAAUGAAAAAUGCGGUGAAUUUGGUUAUGCUGUGAAUCUUUUGACCGUUGAUGAUAUACUAACCUAUUGGACGCUGCACUUCAGCUUCUCAGCCUCAAGUUCCUGUUUCAAGGCUUCUAUCAUGUUUUUAAACUUGUGGUUACGAGUGAUUGUGUAUUCUUUUUAAAAUUUGCACUUCUACACUAAUUAUUAUGAACUUUUAUUAAUUCUGCACUCAAAUAAUAAAUACUAUUCAUCAGGGUUUGGAGGGUUUUAAAAAAACUAUACGACGAUGUAACCAUCGUCUAAGUGUAGAUGAUGCAAUCAUGAGCAUUUGUACAUUCUUUUCACAUUUUUCACACUUUUACAUUAUUAUUAUGAAUUUUUAUUUAUUUUGAACUCCCCCUAUGAACACGUUGUUCAAGAGGGUUUGUAGGAUUUAAAAAUUCAAACGACAACGUACCCACCAUCAUCAUCGUCAUCAAAGCGUAGAAGAUGUGACCACAAGUGUUUGCAUAUUUUUUUAUACAAUGUCCACACUUGUAAAUUUAUUAUUAUGAAUUUUUUUUAGUAUGCUUUAGUAUUAAAUUUUUGGUAUUUUUAAUGUGCUUUGAAUUAUGUGAGAUUAAACACUAUGGCUAUUGUAGUAAGGUUUUCUAUUUUUAUUUUUUUGGGGAAAACCUUUGUGGGACAAAGUGAAUUUAUUAAUAGGAAAAAAGAAGUUACACCUAAUUAGGGGGGACAUAAACCUUACCCCUCAUAGAACAAGAAAAACGAAAUACAAGGAGGGGAGGACAUACACCUUACCCCUUUUGAAAAAGAAAAUACAGGAAAAAGAAGGGGGGACAUAGACCAUACCCUUCUUGAAAAAGAAAAUACAAGAAAAAGAUUGGGUGGACAUGUCACGCCCUGAUCCCAACAUACGCCCAGGAUCGACACGUGAAGUCACCAAAACUUGUAUCUCAAACUUAUUCCGCCUCCGGAAUAUGGCAAAUUACAACUCCAUAAUCAAAUUUCGUAGUGAUUUUUUGUAUAUCUUAUGUUUGCAUCUAACCUCCUCAUUAGACUGCCUACAUACCCUCAAUAGGGAUCAAGCCAUUCAAAGUUCGUCAUACAUUACACUCGAACAAUUAUCACAUCAUUCACUUUAUCUUCAGCGCGAUACAUCCAUAACAUGUAACAUCAAAUAACAAAACAAAGCAUAGUAUUAAUCUCAAGCUACCUUGAUCAACUAAACUAAUCAUAAUAAUAACAAUCAUAUUCAACGUCAUUCCACAAUCCUAUCAAUUAAACAAUUCAUGAAUUAAAGAUGCAUGAUCUUAGCAUUUAAUUACGUUAAUCAAUAUCAUUUUAGGAAUCAAAUUAAAGAACUCUAUAUAAUUCCCUAAUUGGAUUAUAAGUAAUAAACAUGGUAAAUCUAAUUUAUAUUCACAAGGUUUAGUGCGGGUAAUUCCCAUUCGCUCAAAUCUAGGAUUCUAGACUAACCUUAUGGAAAUGAGCAAGAGCAUGGUAAAUCUAAUUUAUAGAAGAGAGUUUCUAGUUUUGUUUUGACAUUGACACGUGUCGUGUUGUGAUUGGCUUCUGAUGUUGACACGUGUCGCGUUAUGAUUGGCUUCUAAUGUCAACACGCGUCGCACUAUGAUUGGUCUCCUGGUUGGAGGGAACUUCUGGGUCCUUGACGGUAUAACGUUGACCAGUGCUCAGUAGUUUCGGGAUUGGUCAAGUAUGGUACAAACAGUGCUCCCCUAAGUUCCCAAGUGAGGGAAGCUCCUCGGUUAGGGACUUGUAAGAUCCAAGCCAUUGAGUAAUCACGAAACUUCUAAGUACCGAAGUGUGGUAUCAUUUUCACUUGCCUUAUCUAUCUCAUAGGUAGAUGUGGCAUCUUCUCUGGAAGUGCUUUUCCUCCAUCCAGGGGUGGUAUCUUUAACCGAUGAAGAUGCACACGGUAAUGUAUCAAUUUCACUUGAAGCUUACUUAUAGUUUCGGGCUUGGUUAAGUGCGAUACAACCCUUAUAGUAGGAGUCCCCUAAGUCGCCGAGCUAGGAGAUUUGCCGAAGGAGGUAACAGACAAGGUAAGCAAUCAGACUUCUAAGCAAGCAACCUGGAUCGGAGGUUCGACUUCGGCUUCCGGUUGAUUGUUCUCUUUCUCCUUGUGUCGUAAACAGCAACAAGGAUAAGGAGAAGCAAAUGGAGAUGAGAUGAUAUGAGAUACUUUUGCUUUUGAAGAAGUAACUUUCCACAGAUUUAUUCUUGAACUGGGCUGGAGGGUUUUCUGGUUUCCUCCAGCGUAUAAGGCUGACUCAAGAAUUUGAGGGUCAAAACAAGUUCAUCAAAUCUAGAGUACGUUCGACCCUGAUGAUAUGGGAUACUUUUGCUAUUGACAAAGUAGUGGAUGUAUCGACACGUGUUCUGUUACGCUUGUCUCUACAUUUCCUUCCAUCCUUCUCACUUGCCCUAUCUGUUCCUCAAGCAGAUGUGGUAUCUUCUCUGGAAGCAUAAGAUGUUGAAGAUGAGUACUCGAGAGCAAUGCCAGGUAAGUAAUCAGGCAAGGGGUUCCAGGCAGUCAGUUCCUGACUGGAAGCUUGAUUCCAAGUGUUGACUGAUUGCUCUCUUUCUCCUUGUCUUGCAGGUAAGAACAAGGCCAAAGGAAAAGACAGGGAAAAAGCAUGAUAUGGGAUACUCUUGCUUUUAACCCUGAUGAUAUAAGAUACUCUUGCUCUGGUGUGGCUUGUUUGCAGAGGUAUUAUCGGGAGGAAAAGAAGCUGAGUAUUUCGAGAGACUCUGCUGAGAGUGCCCUCUCGGAUGUGAAGAAAAGUUGAGCAUUUUUUUUAUUUGCAGGUCUGCCUGGCUGUGGAGGAUGAAGGUCGACAUAUAUAGGAAUUGUCCCAACAAGUGAGUAGUAACGCUAUUCCUUUACCCUUCUCGGUCAUAGCAAUGUAGUGGGAGCUGCAAGCUUCACGUGUUUUAACUUUGUCAGAGCACUUUGAAAAAGUGGUCUGUGGUAUCUGGAAAGCUGAUGUUGCGUGUGAAGAUUGCAGACAAGCUUUAUCCAAGGAAAUAGCUCUCGAAGUUCAGAAAGCGAUGCCUCUUUGGUUCUCGAACAAGCAAUCCUGUCGGGGAUCUGGCUCUCGAGAUUCGGAGAACGGUGCCUAUUUGAUUUUUGAGAAAGCAAUCCUAUUGUGAGUCUGGCUCUUGAGAUUCGGAGAGCGGUGCCUCUUCGAUUUUUAAGCAAGUAAUCUUGUUGGGAGUCUGGCUCUCGAGAUUCGGAGAGAUGUGCCUCUUCGAUUUUUUAGCAAGUAAUCCUGUUGGGAGUCUAGCUCUUGAGAUUUAGAGGGCGGGGCUUCUUCGAUUUUUGAGCAAGUAAUCCUGUUGGGAGUUUGGCUUUCGAGAUUCAGAGAGCUGUGCCUCUUCAAUUUUUGAGCAAGCAAUCUUGUUGGGAGUGUUUUCUCGAAUGUGAGUAAAGGUUGGGUAUUUUUGCCAGUCUGCCUUGCCACAGAGUAUGGAGGUUGACACACAUAAGGACUUUCCAGUUAUCAAGCAGUGGUGCUGUUCCUUUACCCUUGUGGGUAAUAGUAGGGUAACUGGACCUUUAAAAUUUAUGUGUCUAAACUUUGUCAGAGAUCUUUGGUAAAGUUAUCUGUGGUACCCAAGGAACUGAUGUUGCGUGUGGGGAUUGUCGACAUAUUUUACUCAGGAAAAUCUGCUUCUCGAAAUCCGAAGAGUGGUGCCUUUUCGAUUUUUGAACCAACGGCCAUGUUGCCCUUUCUUUUAUAGGGGCACCAAUUGUGUGCAAGAAGUACGUUCAGAGAGUUAUUACUUGUAGGAAUUUUUCCCUUUUUUUUUUACUUCAGAGAUUUAUUGCACCUCAUUUCUCCUUCAUCAUUUCUGAGAAUGUCUGGCCCAUCCGACCGUCGUUUUGACUUGAACUUUGGUGAAGAGGCAGCCAUGCCUUCUCAAGACAACAUAUGGCGCCCAUCCUUCUUAUCCCCUACUGGUUCUCUUACCGUUGGGGACUCUGUGAUGAAGAAUGAUAUGACCGCUGCGGUGGUGGCCAGGAACCUUCUCACUCCCAAAGAUAACAGACUACUUUCCAAACGGUCUGAUGAGUUGGCUGUUAAGGAUUCUCUGGCUCUUAGUGUUCAGUGUCUAAUAUGGCCCAACGCCUAUUUGCUCGAACCCGCCAAGUUGAAUCAUUGGCGGCUGAAGUGAUAAGUCUCAAACAGGAGAUCAGAGGGCUCAAGCAUGAGAAUAAACACUUGCACAUAAUCGCACAUGACUAUGCUACAAACAUGAAGAGGAAGCUCGACCAGCUGCAGGAAUCUGAUGGUCAGAUUUUACUUGAUCAUCAGAGGUUUGUGGGUUUGUUCCAAAGGCAUUUAUUGCCUUCGUCUUCUGGGGCUGUACCGCGUAAUGAAGCUCCAAAUGAUCAACCUUCGGUGCCUCCUCCUUCUGGGGUUCUGCCUAGUACUGAGGCUCCGAAUAAUCACCCUCUGGUGCCUCCUCUUUCUGGGGCUCUGCCGACUGCUGAGACUUCUCCUGAGCAACCUUUGUGAAGGCUCCCUCUUGUUUGUUUAUUUUGAUUCAUGUAUAUGUACAUAUUUGUAACUUAUCGGAGAUAUCAAUAAACAAGCUUUGCUUCAUUUCAACGUAUUGUGUUAAAUACACCAAGGCCUUCUUCACUAAGUUCUUUGAAUUUUUCCUUUUGUUGAAGCUUGUAUGUUGAAGCUUUGUGAGUGAAGCAUGUAGGUUGAGGUAGUGCUCCCUUAAUUUCCCGAGUGAGGAAAACUUCUCGGUUGGAGACUUGAAAAAAAUCCAAGUCACUGAGUGGUCGUGAGACUUCCGAGUAUCAAGGUGCAGUAGUAUAUGGUAGGAGUCCCUCAAGUCUCCGAUCGAGGGUUGAUGAAGGAGGUGUCUUGCUAGUAGCCAAGUUUCCAAAGUAACAAAACUUCACCAUUUUCCUUUCUAAGUGGUAGCCCAAAACUCCUCCUUCAUAUAUAUUUGUUAUGAAAGUUGUUAGGCCCAAAGAAGAGGAGGCCUAGCCAAUUUUUGUUUUUUUUUUUUUGAAUUUUCGAAUUUCUAAAUUUUCGAAUUUUCGAAUUUUUGAAUUUUUGAAUUUCCGAAAAAAUAUAUAUUUUUUAAGCUUUAUUGGUGAACUUUUGUAGGUGAAGCUUUGAGGUUGAAGCUUUGUUGGGUACCAUGAAUUGAUUUUGCUUCACGCUAUCUUGAUUAAGAUAGUGUGAAGCUUUUGUAGGUGAAGCUUUGUAGGUGAUGCUUUUGUAGGUGAAGCUUUUGUGGGUGAAACUUUUGUGGUGGUUGAAGCUUUUGUUGGUGAAUCUUUUAUGGGUGAAGCUUUUGUAGGUGAAGCGUUUUUGGAAGGUGAAGCUUCAGUGGGUGAAGCUUUUAUGGGUGAAGCUUUUGUAGGUGAAGCUUUUGUGGUAUGUGAAGCUUUUAUGGGUGAAGCUUUUAUAGGUGAAGCUUUGGUGGUGGGUGAAGCUUUUGUGGGUGAAGCUUUUGUAGUUGUGGGUGAAGCUUUUGUAGGUGAAGCUUUUGUUGGUGAAGCUUUUAUGGGUGAAGAUUUUGUAGGUGAAGUUUUUGUGGUGGGUGAAGCUUUUGUAUGUGAAGCUGUUGUGGUAGGUGAAGCUUUUGCGGGUGAAGCUUUUAUAGGUGAAGCUUUUAUGAGUGAAGCUUUUGUGGUGGGUAAAGCUUUUAUGGGGGAAGCUUUUGUGCUGAAGCUUUGGAGUUGAAGCUUUGUGGAUGAAGCUUUUGUGUUGAAACUUUUAUAGGUGAAGCUUUGGAGUUGAAGUUUUGUAGGUGAAGCUUUGGAGUUGAAGUUUUUGUUGGGUACCCUGAAUUGAUUUUGCUUCACACUAUCUUGAUCAAGAUAGUGUGAAGCUUUUGAGAAUUUGUAGUUGUCUUCCAUUGAUGAAAUUUUUGUUGGUGAAGCUUUUGUGGUGAAGCUUUGUUAGGUACCAUGAAUUGAUUUUGCUUCACACUAUCUUGAUCAAGAUAGUGUGAAGCUUUUAAGAAUUUGUAGUUGUCCUCCAUUGAUGAAGCUUUGUUGAAUUUCCCUUUUUUUUUUUUUUUUUUUUUUUGGGGAAACUAGAAAUUUGAAAAUGUGGGAGAGACAACAUAUACAAAUUUUGCUUCCACACUGUUGAGCAAGAGAUUGUGAUGCAAGCCACACCUUGUAGUAGUCGAAGGUUUGGAUGAACCAUAUAAAUUGAAUUUGCUUCGCAGGUUUGAGAAUUGUAGUUGCCCUCCAUUGAUGAAGCUUUUGUUGGCAUUAUAAAUUGGUUUUGCUUCACAUUGUCUUGAUCAAGAGUGUGUGAAGCUUUUGAGAAUUGUGGUUGCCCUCAUUUGAUGAAGCUCUUGUUGGCACCAUAAAUUGGUUUUUUGCUUCACACUGUCUUGAUCAAGAGUGUGUGAAGCUUUUGAGAAUUGUGGUUAAACUCCUUUGAUGAAGCUCUUGUUGGCACCAUAAAUUGGUUUUGCUUCACACUGUCUUGAUCAAGAGUGUGUGAAGCUUUCUACGAGUUGUAGUGUUUGCAUUGUUACAGAGGAGAAAUGUCUGAAGCAGAUGCAAGAGGGCUGAAUAGCUUGAUCUUCGUAUGCCAUGCACUGAAGUUGUUGUUGGCUUGCAAUAAGACUUUGUUGGUGACUAUAACUCUUGUUGGGCAUAAGUGCUCCCUUAGUUGAGUUGUCAAGCUUGAGGGUUUUUUAUUAUUUGUGAAUGCUAGGAGUUCACAUGUACAAGUUGUACCACUCGUCUUCUGGUAGGUGGAAUGAAUGGUGAGUUGCUUUCAUCACUUGGUUGGUGGUACGAAGGUGAGUUCCUUCAUCACCUUUCAUCACGUGGUUGGUGGCACGAGGAUGAGUUCCUUCUUCACCUGGUUGGUGGCAUGCAUGGCAAGUUGCCAAAUGAUAUUAGAGUAUGGGUUGUACAUUUCAUCACCUGGUUGGUGGCAUGAAGAUGAGUUCCUUCUUCACCUGGUUGGUGGCAUGAGUGGCAAGUUGCCAAAUGAUAUUAGAGUACAGGUUGUACAUUUCACCAUCUGGUUGGUAGUAUGAAGGAGAGUACGGAUUGUACAUUUCAUCACCUGGUUGGUGGCAUAAAUGCCAAGUUGCCAAAUGAUAUUAGAGUACAGGUUGUACAUUUUAUCACCUGGUUGAUGGCAUGAAGGAGAGUACGAGUUGUACAUUUCAUCACCUGGUUGAUGGCAUGAAGAUGAGUUCCUUCUUCACCUAGUUGGUGGCAUAAGUGGCAAGUUGCCAAAUGAUAUUAGAGUACGGGUUGUACAUUUCAUCACCUAGUUGGUGGCAUGAAGGAGAGUACAGGUUGUACAUUUCAUCACCUGGUUGGUGGCAUGAAGGAGAAUACAAGUUGUACAUUUCAUCACCUGGUUGGUGGCAUGAAGAUGAGUUCCUUCUUCAUAUUUCAUCAUCUGGUUGGUGAGAAUAAGGGCAAGGUGUCGAGGCACAUUGUAACAAGUGUCGAAUGACACAAAGUAUGUUGAACCCUUUCGAAGAACAGUUGGCUUAUGUAUGAAUGUGUUGGAAUGUACGAUUGAACGAAUAUACUGUGAAGCUAUUCGUUUAUUUGUAUAGUCUUGUUGACAUAGACUUUGUUUCAUGUUGGAAGCAUUCAUGUUAAAGCUUUGAACCCGAGUGUUUCAUUGCUAGGAAUGCAAAAGGAUUAGGACCAAGUUGUCUAAAUCACCUCUUUAUUGAUUUCAUGCCAAAUAGUCUUCGUUACAUAGGAUGCCGAACGGCUGAAGCUUAACACUUGUACAAUGUGAGUUUACUUGUAAUAGUACUUUAAGUGAUCAGCGUUCCAUGGAUGGCCAAAGGUCUUGCCAUAUGAGCUUCUAAGCUUGUAGGAGCCAGGGCGACUGAUGUUAACAACUUCAAAUGGUCCAUCCCAGUUUGGACUAAGUGUUCCUUCACUCGGGACUAUGUCGCAGAGUAAUCUUUUCUUCAAUACCUUGUCCUCCAUUUUGAAAGACCGAGGUUUUACCCUUGAGUCAUAAUAGUUAGAGAUGCGCUGCUUGUAGGCGACAUUCCUUAAGUGAGCCUGGUUUCUGUGUUCCUCGACUAGAUCUAAGUUGAGGGUAAGUUGUUUGUCAUUUUCACUUUGCACGUAAUUCUGGACUCGGAACGUUGCUUGCUCAAGCUCAACUGGGACAACUGCCUCUGUACCAAAGGCAUGUGAGAAUAGGGUCUCUCAUGUUGAUGUCCGAUACGAACGCAUGUUGCCUCUUCUUUUUAUAGAGGCAUUAAUCGUGUUCAAAAACACACUUAGAGAGUUGCUACCUGUUAGGAAUUUCCCUCAUUUUGUAUUUCUAAGAAUUCGACUUACACGACUUCUUAUUCUUUCAUCAUUUUUUUUUUUUUUUUUGCAAAUGGCUUGCCCAUCUGAUCGUCGUCUUGAUUUGAAUGUUGGGGAAUAUGUUGAUAUGUCUUCUCCAGACAACAUAUGGUGCCCGUCCUUCUUAUCUGCCAUUGGUCCUUUUACAGUUGGGGACUCUGUGAUCGAGAAUGACAUAACCGCUACGGUGGUAGCUAGAAAUAUUCUCACCCCCAAGGACAAUAGGAUCUUUUCCAAGCGAUCUGAUGAGCUGGCUGUUCAGAUGUCUCUGGCUUUCAGUGUUCAGUGUGCGGGCUCUGUAUCAAAUAUGGGCCAACGCCUUCUUGCUCGAACUCAUCAAGUCGAGUCACUGAUGGCUAAGGUGGCGAGUCUUAAGCAAGAGAUUAAAAGGCUUAAGCAUGAAAACAGAGAGUUGCACAUGCUUGCCAAUAGUUACUUGACGAGCAUGAAGAGAAAGCUUGACCAGCUGCAGGAAUCCAAAUGUCGGAUUCAGAGUGACCAUCAGAUGUUUGUGGCUUUACUCCAGAGGAACCUAUUGCCUUCGUCCUCUAGAGUUUUACCGAGUGUUGAGGCUCCAAACGAUCAACCUCCGGCUCCUCUUCUUCCUGGAGUUCCGCCGAGUAAUGAGGCGCCACCUGAUCAUCCUUGAAGAUCUUCUCCUGUAAAUUUGAUUUGACUUUUUUUUUUCUUUUCUUUUUUUUUUUGGUUUUUAGGUAUGUAUAAUGCAAAUUUAUGUAAAAUUUCUAGAAAAAUAAAUAAAAUGGACUUUAUUUCUCUUAAUGCAUUUCUUUUUUUUUUUUUUUUUUUGCUGUAUACAUACAUAUAUUAUGUACACACACACACACACACACACACACACACAUAUAUAUAUAUAUAUAUAUUUUUUUUUUUUUUAAUUAUUACUUUUUUUUCACGUGGACUGAUCCACCAUUCCAAAACCCUUUCCCCUUUUUUGCAUGGUGCUAGCCAACAAGAAUCCACUUUCUCCUUUUUUAUAUUUUUUUUUCUUUGCCGUCUGCUUUCGGUGCCAAAUGCAGCCCCCCUUUUUUCACGUGGUGCCAGCACCACUUUGCUCCACUAUCCCUUUUUUUUUAUUAUUAUUAUUUUGUAUAAAUUUUGAUGAUGGGUGAGGAAUUUGCAGGAAAGGACGAAGACGGACGGAGAGCUGCAAUCGAGGCUUCAUGACCGGCUAGUCGUUUGACGGCGGUUAUUGAAGUUCUUCACCAUUGUUGUUUGCCACAGACAAAGAGCUACAAUCGAGGCUUCAUAACCGGCUAGUCGUUUGACGGCAGUUAUUGAAGUUCUUCGCCGUUGUUGUUUGCCAUUGCCACUACACAACCAUUGCACCGUUAUUGCUGCCCCUUCGUCGUCAUCAACGCCUUGCAUCUUGUGAUGUCCGUUGGAGAUUCCUUCCAAGACAUGACGAUGACCCUAGCAUCAUUCUACCGCUGCACAAACUUCUCUGAACCGUUGCAACAUGUCCAAGCUGCUCAAUUCUGUAAGGAAAACAUGGCUCCGGAGCCGACGACGGCAAUGGCACCAUUGUGAUGAGGCACCUGGAGUUGCGGAGCCUGGAAGGCAACCACAGAAUCUUAUUUGUCAAGAGCCUGGAGACGAAAGAUUGCUACUUCACGGUUGUGCUAAUUCGAGCUAAAUGGCGAUGCGGUAGUGAGGGAGUGGUGCAGUUCGGUAGAUCUCCACCGGUGAACGAACCCCUCCAUGCCCAACAAUUGACAAACUCUGAAGCGGAAUCGUAGCCUUCUCUUUGCCUACAGCGCUGCCAAACUCAACAAGCCUUAUCAGAGGUGGUAAAACACCUUCAGAAACGAGCCAAUCCAGAUUCUGCAAGUGAGCAAAUUACAAUCACAGUCUUCUCUCGCUCCUCCGCCUCUUGGUGCUCUUUCCGCUCCAUGACUUUAUUAGCAUCGAGUCAGGUUUUCAUCGACGGAAGACUCGGUAUCGAAGGGACGGAUGGCACAGAUGACAUCGAGGAGAACGACGAGGAGGUGACCGGGGUAAGUGAACCCAUAUCUGAAACGACACGUUGUCAUUCAAUAUGGGUCAAGUCGUCUGGUUUGAAAUCUCUGUCGCGAGAAUGAGUGUCAUCGGAGUUGUCUAAACCCAAAUAAGUAGUCAGGCACUUUGGAGACAAUAUAUGCGACGAGAUCCAGACGAAGACAACGCGGACAAAUCUGAGAAGUACUCAGCCAAUGAUGAGGACGAGUCUGAUAAGAUAGCAGAAACCAUGGAGUAGGAGUGUGUUGUGUUUGGAGCAGGCACUGUUGGGGGAGUGGACAGAGUCGGCGUCUAGUGCCAUGACGUGCACGCUCAUUGUCGAUGAUGAUGACCUUACUCUCCGAUCGUCUUGGGUGUAUCACUAUUUUGGGUAGCCGUCAGACUCAUCCAAGACGUUGAGAUUGUGCUGCCCCAUGCAUUCGCAAGCUUUGAGGUAUAGCAAGUUAGAGUAGCCACCAUGGCAUUCCCAAGUACGUCCUCACAUCGAACCUCGCGGGGACCAGCUUCUGCUUGGGAACAAUCCUGCAGUGAUGAAGGCUUGGCUCUACAGUGCUGAUGGCUAGAGGCUCUUAAGAUGUUGGGAAGGCGGGAUUGGAUUCGUAGAGCUUGUACCUGUGUAGCUUUUGUGGCGUACAUAACCCGAUCAUCGAGUUUCAGAAGGAGAGAGAAUAAGUGUCAUAGAGGAAGGUCUAUCAUUACUGGAUCCGCAGGUCGAAGCCCAAGUCGAGUUGUGGUGCACAUAAGAGGUCUCGAGGCAUUUUCCGAUGGUUUGGGGAUGGGCAGCAGCGAUUUCGAUGAUUCAUGCCGCUGUUCAUGGCUUCAUCCGACGACGGGCGUGAUAGCGAGCAAGACAAGAAAGCCUACCUUUACUUGCUGCAGCUGGUUGAGAUGGCAGAGAGGAGAAGGAAGAAAAUGGGCUGUGGAGAUAGAAGUUGGUAGCGCCAUGAGUACCAGAGCUCCGGGAAUUCAUGGAGCAAUAGCACCAGUGAGCCUGCUCCGAUUGAAUAUAAACCCAGAUCUUGUGGUGACGAUUUCUAUGCAAAUCACAGCUUGGCAAACCUCACCGACACCGAUUAUGAAGGAGUCGAACUGGAUGUCACAGAGACGGCAAAGCUCGGCAGCUCGUCAGAUGACGUGCCUAGAGUCGUCGAGGUCGAGUUUCCUCACUAUGUCAAUGAGAGUGUAAAUCUCUCUGCACACCUACUAUCAGAAGCUUUCUCUAGCAUGGUUGCGAUGGGCCUGAACGAGAUGAGAGCUUGCAGGAAGUGGGGGGAGUUUGAGCCUGGAUGCCCAAGAUAUGGCAUGUGCUGUGAAAUGAAGGGGGCAUGGGUUGUGACUCCUUUUAUGUUGAUGAAGACGAGGCUAGGGCGGCCCAAUUCCUUUUUUUAAUGGAGACGAAGCACUUUUCCAUUGGAUGACUGAUGAAACGGUGGAAUUUACAGUACCUUGGACUAUCAGUACGAUUCAUUUCUUCCGGCCGUCUGCACUCAGGUAGGUCGAUCACCUUUUUGUCAAGCAAGUCUUUUAACAUGGCAACUACAUCAGAUUGGAGAAUGGAUAAGUCUUCUCCUCGAGCUUCUUCAAAGUGCGUCUACACAUUUCUUGAUCAUGUAAAGUUUCGGCUUGAAUCGCCUUGCCUCGUGUAGAGAUUUUGACAGGGGCUGUGUUGACCGUCAUUGCUUCCUUGGUGGGUUUCCAUGCAGCCUUCUCCACUUUUGUCCCAAGAACUUUGUCGUUCUUGUAGUCAGCGAUCGGUUCUUUCUUCUCAUGAUGGGUGAUGCUCAACUCCAUAUUAUGGGCGCAGGUGGUUAACUUCUCAAAAGUUUGUGGUUUGAUGCCUUGAAUGAUGUAGUGUAAUCCCCACUGCAUGCCUUGAACACAUAUCUCGAUCGAUGAGGUCUCCGAAAGUCUGUCUUUGUAGUCGAUACUUAGAGUGCGUCAUCGGUUGAUGUAGUCCACGACUGGCUCAUCUUUCCAUUACUUUGUACUUGUCAGCUCCAACAUGCUUACAGUGCGGCGGGUGUUGUAGAAGCGAUUAAAGAAUUCUCUUUCCAAUUGCUCCCAAUUGUUGAUGGACUCAGGCUCUAAUUCCGUAUACCACUCAAAGGCGUUUCCUUUCAGGGAGCGCACAAACUGCUUGGUGAAGUAGUCUCCCUCCGUCCCUGAUGUGAUGAAAGUUAAGCACUCAAAUUAAACCCUCUUGUUGUCAAAUUGUAGUAAUAAUGCAAGUAGGGAUCGUUCUAAACCGGGGAUUAGAAGGGCUUGCUAAAACCUCUAAACUAACUUAAAAACAUAAAAACAAAGUUAAAAACGUUUGAAUAGACUUAAAGGACUCAAAACAGAUUCACAAGACUCAAAACAAUUUAAAAACACUCAAAACUGCCUAAAACACAAACUAGGCAGUUUCUGACUCUAACACAACUUUGGACGAAAUUUGGGUUUUGACUUGACUCAAAACACUCUAAAACACAAACAAAACAGAUUUUAAACACUUUGAAACAAGAAAGUAAAAGGGGGAUUUUAGUUUUGAUGAAUUUGAAACAAACAAACAAGUUAUAAAACUAGGCAGAUUGUAAAACGAAUUUUAAGAAAUAAGAUGAUGGAUGGAUUAGUUAGAGGUCCGUUCUUCACACAUGACACACUUGUAUAUGAAUUGAUUUCCAAUUGCUUUUCAAUAAACUAUGAUGCUCAACACCCCAGAUUAACCGUGAUGCAAAUUAACCCUUAGAUUUUCCUUUACUCAUUGAAUUGGAUGAAUGCAUGCGACAACCCAAAUCAUUCUCUAAAAGUCCCUUAUAUGAAUGCAUAAUAGAGAUACAAUCAGAGAUCAUUACGUUCAAUGAAAAUCAUAAGUGUUGACGAGGCAAUUAUAACUAUGAAUGCAUGAUACAAUUGCCAAGAAUUCAAUUAACGUGAUUGUGAUAAACAACCUUCACUACUCAUGAAUAUAAACUUGUAACGAUUAGGUGAAACUCAUUUAUAUUCUAGCAUCUAAUUCAUGCAUGAAAACUAAGUAUGCAUCCUUAAUAAACAUACAAGAAUCAGUUAUGAAUAUAAAAUAGAUAAUUGAAUUGCAAUCACAACUUAUCAAAUCACAAUUGGAAGAAAUCAAUUCAAAUCUCAAGCAUGUUCAUGGCUUCAAAACUUCCCCCUAACUAAAUAGGGGUUUAGCCACUCAUAAUUGCAACAAAAUUAGAAAAUAACAAAGUAGACAUUGAAAGCAAGAACGAAGUACACCUAAAACGCUCCAAAGUUCCAAGCUUGAAACGCCAAGGACCUUUGUUUUCACCACCUUGUUGUAGCACAAGUGUCUAGGAUGUGUAUGGAUAUAUGGAUGGAAUGGAUUUGCACGGCUAAGAGAUGAAAGUGUAUGGAUUGGUGAGAUGUAGUAUGGCUAGAUGAAUGGAUGGAGGUCACUACAAGGAAAUUGUGUUUGUGAAUGAAGCUCUUUUGAUGGAUCAAGAUUGUUUUUAGGAAGGGGAAUGGUGGAUGUAUUUAUAGGCUAAGGAGAGGACCACUUCAAUUCCUUGCAUGUGCAGUUUGUAUGGGUGUGUGAUGUCCAUGUUUCCCUUUACAUUUGCACACACAUGACCUCCAUCAUUUCAGCCACAAAUCAACCCAUUUUCUGCCCAUGUGUGUGUGUUUCCUUUGCCCAUGUGUGUGUGUUUUUCCUUUGCAUUUGCACACACACAUUCUUCAUUAUUUCAGCCAACAAUCCAUCCAUUUUCUGCCCAUGUCAAACUGUCCAUGCCAUGCCUUUCUCUUUGUGUGUGUGUUGUCCAUGUUUCUUCCAUGUGCCUUGUUCAUCUUCUAGCUGUGCAUUUCCACUUGCUCCAAAGCCAAAUGAGUGCAAUCAUAACCCCAUUUUCUGCUGAGUGUUGAUGACAAAGCAAAACACAAAAACAAGUGCCUUUACUUUCUCACUUUAUUAGCCAAAUCUGCUUAGCCCUUUUCUGAACCUUUCAGUGUUACAAUGCCCAUAACUUCUUCUAGAAAAAUGAUAUUAACAAUCCGUAAAUUGUUCCAGAAAAUAGACAUCCGUAGCUUUCCAAGCAUAUAAGGCUCAUUCUCUCAUUCAUUCUGAGCUGUUCGUAACAUGGCUCCAAAGUCAGCUAAUCUGCACAGGCAGUUUUGACGAAUUUGUUACUUAAUAACUCACUUGUGCUACUUUUCUUUUCUUUGCUUGCUAAAUCACACAAAACACAAAAACAUAGUAAAUAGAUCAAAAAUAUAAGGAACUAACUAAGAAAAGACAAGUGAAUUUUAUGUAAAAUAUAUAUAAAUAUGAGCUUAUCAGUCCCCGCGUUGUUGCAAGUUUCGACGAAAUGUGCAACGUGCUGCUUGCGUUUCCUUUUCCAUCAAACUGCAUGAACUUUGGUGGUUGAUAACCCCUUGGCAUCUUCAAGGCAUCAAUCUUCUUCGAGUAGGGCUUCGAGUAGAACAAGGAGGUAUGUGAGCUCCCUUCGUACUGCACCUUAAUGGUGUUGGUGAUCAUCUCCUGCAGCUGCUGGAUAGAAAGAGAUCCCAUGAGUGUCGCUGCUUGGUCUGGCUCCAGCUUUUCUUCAGCUUUCUCCACCAGAGGCACCUCUUCUUCAUCGGCAUCUUUAUUCACACCAGAGUCAGCUCCUUCAUCAUGUUUUACCCCCAGUUUACCCAAGAGCAUAGCAAUCUUCAAUCCUUUUCUUCGAUGGUUCUUGUCAUCGUUGCCAGCAUUUCCUUCAUCUGAACCAGCUGUUCUUCAAUGGAGGUGACGCCAAUGGUCAUGACUUGUGCAACCAAUGGACGUAGCUUUCCUUCAAACAUCCAGGGUGCUGACGAAGAAUGUCGUUGGCUGCUUUGGGAUAUCAUCUUGUGUGCCUCAGCAGCAUGCUUCGGUGCCCUAGCAAGGUCAGGUUGAUGACGGACUCAUGUCUUUGAUGCUCCAUUUGCUCCUUUAGCAAUACCAACUUUGAAGUGGCAUGUUGAGGAGUGGUUGUGGCGCCAAUGGAUUGUCCAUUCGCGGCAGAAGUGCUCAGAACCCUUCCCUUGGUGGUUGCGAGAACGGCUUAUCCCUUGCUUGAUGCCAUUAACUUUGAGGUGUGUUUGGAUUCCUUGAACGAAGAAAGAGAUGAUAGGUAGAGAUUGUCCCACUGGGCAUGCCAAAUUUGUGAACACGAAAAUUCCUAUGAUGAACGAGACAAGAACACGUGUACAAAAUAAUAUUUUGUAUUAAUGAUUUAGGGGUUACAAUCUCUCUCAAAUUUGAUCCUCUGAUUCGAUCUCCAUAAGGUGUUGAUUUGUGGAUGUGCGAUUGAUCCAAGGGCCGUCGAGGCUUGAUCAAUUUUUCUUCAAGGGUCGUUGGGGCUUAAUCUUGAAAGUUGAGGGAAGUUUCUUCAAGGGCCUUUGGGCUUGAUCUUGAAGGUUGAUGGAUGAACAGAUCUUCAAGAUUUUUGGGCUUAAUCUUGAAGAAUUGUUGAUGAACGGAUCUUCAAGGGCCUUUGGGGCUUGAUCUUGAUGAACAAUUGAUGGAUGGAUCUUCAAGGGCUUUUGGGCUUUAUCUUGAAGAACAGUUAGAUGUGUGGAUUUGUUGAUGUUGUUGAUCCAAAGGGCCGUCAAGGCUUGAUCUAGGGAUGAAUGGAUGAUGAAUGAUGAACACUUUCUUCAAGGGCCGUCGGGGCUUGAUCUUGGAUUGGUGGAAGUUCUUCAAGGGCCGUUGGGGCUUGAUCUUGAAGGUUGAGUUGACGAAGAAUGAAGAGGGCUUUCUUGAUCCUUCGGGAUUUCUUGGGAAUUUAGGAGGUUUGAUGCUUGAAAGCUUUAGAACUUCAAAGCUUCAACGAUUUAGGGAAUUCUCUUCCAAUUUGGGAGUAGAGAAAUGUAUAUGUGAAUUCCUUCUUCAAUUCCUUUCCAUCCCCUUUCUCUUGUAUGAAAUGGCUUUUAUUUAUAGAAUUUUCCAAGGCCUAAUUUUGAAUAUAAUAUUCAGAUGAAAUAAAUCGUUUCUGCCAGGUGUUGACACGUGUCCUGUUUGAUGACUUUUCCUAUUUAUUUUGAUUUUUUGUUUAGUCACACGCUACGUGUAAAAUUUAUGUGACACGUAAGCGUUGAAAUUUUAAUUAUCGGUAAACAUUUAUUUUACCGAAAUUUCGAUGUCUACAGAAAGUUGUUAGGCCCAAAGAAGAGAAGGCCUAGGCAAUUUUUUUUUUUUUUUGAUUUUUUUUUCGAAAAUUUUUUUUUUUUUGAAUUUUUGAAUUUUCGAAUUUUCAAAUUUUUUAAUUUUCGAAUUUUUUAUUUUUUUAAUUUUCAAAUUUUUGGUGUUGAAGCUUUGUAGGUGAAGUUUUGAGGUUGAAGCUUUGUUGGGUACCAUCAGUGGCGAAGCCAGAAAUCGUCAGGGGGAGGGGCGAAACUUAAAAGGGUAAAAUAUCUCAAAAAUGUAGACAACCAAAUCGGAGUAGACAAUAUUAACGCCGUUCAUAAUUUAUCAAUACAAACCAAGGUUUUAAAUGACACUAGACACUAGCAGGGCGGCGGGCUGGAACCUAGUCUAGGCUUAAGCGGAUUUACAUAAAUUUAUUAUGUAUCAUAUAAAUAAGUACAUAUUGCACUUAAUAAACUUACUAUAAUCUAUAAAUAAACAUUGAACCAUACUUAUGUUAUUUUUUUUAAAAAAAAGGAUAACAAAAUGUUUACACGUUAUUUGGGAGUUUUUUAUUUAUUAACAAACAAUAUCAUUUAUCUUAAGGGGGAAUUAGCUAAACUUCACAUUGGGCUAGCCAUAAUAAAAUGGUUUAGAUUUGUUUUUUACAAUAAUCGAACCUAAGACCUGCUAUUUGGGAGUUUUAGGUAAAUAUUUUUAUAUGGAAUACAAUUGAGAAAGAGGAAGAUGGUGGAAUAGAGAAAAUGAUGAGGAAAUUAAAACGUUAAAAAAAAAGAUAAUACAAACAAAAAGUCAGCAAAAUAGAAUAUGGUGGAGUUAAAAGCGAAAUGUGGCGGGCCCAAAUUAAAAAGGAAAAGAUGGGAUACGAGUGAUGACUGGUCCCCGUUUAAAUAAUUUAUUUUUUCUUUAACUCAAUAACAGAACGACGUCGUCCCACUAAAAGAAGGAUUUUUUAAUUUUUUUCAAGCAGGACCAAAACGCCUUCGCUUUCUGGCCUGGUUUUUUUAAAAAGAAUUAGAACCAUGCGCGCAGCAGCAGUGAAAACCCAGAAACAUACAGCAUUUCAUAAUUUCCGGCGGGACCUGAGGGGCGAAACCAUCCCUCCAAGGCUAGAUUUCCGGCGAGGGGAGGGGCGGACGCCCCUCCUUGCGCCUCUGUAGCUUCGCCCUUGGGUACCAUGAAUUAAUUUUGCUUCACACUAUCUUGAUCAAGAUAGUGUGAAGCUUUUGUAGGUGAAGCUUUUGUGUUGAAGCUUUGUAGGUGAAGCUUUUGUGGGUGAAGCUUUUGUUGGUGAAGCUUUUGUGGUGGGUGUAGCUUUUGUUGGUGAAGCUUUUGUGGGUGAAGCUUAAGCUUUUGUAGGUGAAGCUUUUGUGUUGAAGCUUUGUGGGUGAAGCUUUUGUGGUGGGUGUAGCUUUUGUUGGUAAAGCUUUUGUGGGUGAAGCUUUUAUGAUGGGGGAAUUUUGUGGGUGAAGCUUUUAUGGUGGGUGUAGCUUUUGUGGUGGGGAAAGCUUUUGUGGGUGAAGCUUUUGUUGGUGAAGCUUUUGUAGGGGAAGCUUUUGUGGUGGGUGAAGCUUUUGUGGUGGGGAAAACUUUUGUGGGUGAAGCUUUUGUUGGUGAAGCUUUUGUGGUGGGGGAAGCUUUUGUGGGUGAAGAUUGUGGGGUGAAGCUUUUGUUGGUGAAACUUUUAUAGGUGAAGCUUUUGUAGGUGAAGCUUUGGUGUUGAAGCUUUGUAGGUGAAGCUUUGAGGUUGAAGCUUUGUUGGGGUACCAUGAAUUGAUUUUGCUUCCACACUAUCUUGAUCAAGAUAGUGUGAAGCUUUUGUAGGGUGAAGCUUUUGUGUUUGUGUGAAGCUUUGUGUGAAGCUUUUUGGGUGAAGCUUUUGUGUAAGCUUUUUUGUGGGUGAAGCUUUUUGUGGUGGGUGAAUGUAAAGCUUUUUUGUGUAAAAGCUUUUGUGGGUGAAGCUUUUGUGGUGGGGGAAGCUUUUGUGGGUGAAGCUUUUGUUGGUGAAGCUUUUAUGGGUGAAGCUUUUGUAGGUAAAGCUUUUGUGGUGGGGGAAGCUUUUGUGGGUGAAGCUUUUGUGGGUGAAGCUUUUGUUGGUGAAGCUUUUAUGGGUGAAGCUUUUGUAGGUGAAGUUUUUGUGGUGGGGAAAGCUUUUGUGGGGAAAGCUUUUGUGGGUGAAGCUUUUGUUGGUGAAGCUUUUAUGGGUGAAGCUUUUGUGGUGGGGAAAGCUUUUGUGGGUGAAGCUUUUGUUGGUGAAGCUUUUAUGGGUGAAGCUUUAGUAGAUGAAGCUUUUGUGGUGGGUGAAGCUUUUAUGGUGGGUGAAGCUUUUUUGGGUGAUGUUUUUAUGGAUGAAGCUUUUAUGGUGGGUGAAGCUUUUAUGGGUGAAGCUUUUGUAGGUGAAGCUAUUAUGGGUGAAGCUUUUGUAGGUGAAGCUUUGGAGUUGAAGCUUUGUAGGUGAAGCCUUGGAGUUGAAGCUUUUGUUGGGUACCAUGAAUUGAUUUUGUUUCACACUAUCUUGAUCAAGAUACUGUGAAGCUUUUGAGAAUUUGUAGUUGUCCUCCAUUGAUGAAGCUUUUGUUGGUGAAGCUUUGGAGUUGAAGCUUUUGUUGGGUACCAUGACUUGAUUUUGCUUCACACUAUCUUGAUCAAGAUAGUGUGAAGCUUUUGAGAAUUUGUAGUUGUCCUCCAUUGAUGAAGCUUUUGUUGGUGAAGCUUUUGUGGUGAAGCUUUGUUGAGUACCACGAAUUGAUUUUGCUUCAUAAUAUCUUGAUCAAGAGUGUGUGAAGCUUUUGAGAAUUGUAGUUGCCUCCAUUUGUUGAAGCUUUGUUGAAUUUCCCAAUUUUUUUUCUUUUUCGGAAACUAGAAAUUUGAAAAUGUGGGAGAGACAACAUACACAAAUUUUGCUUCCACACGGUUGAGUAAGAGAUUGUGAUGCAAGUCGCACCUUGUAGUAGUCGAAAGUUUGGAUGAACCAUAUAAAUUGAAUUAUGUAGUAGUCGAAGGUUUGGAUGAACCAUAUAAAUUGAAUUUGCUUCGAACAGCCUUGAAUUUGCUUCGAAGGUUUGAGAAUUGUAGUUGCCCUUCAUUGAUGAAGCUUUUGUUGGCACCAUAAAUUGGUUUUGCUUCACACUGUCUUGAUCAAGAGUGUGUGAAGCUUUUGAGAAUUGUGGUUGAACUCCUUUGAUGAAGCUUUUGUUGGCACCAUAAAUUGGUUUUGCUUUACACUGUCUUGAUCAAAAAUGUGUGAAGCUUUUGAGAAUUGUGGUUGAACUCAUUUGAUGAAGCUUUUGUUGGCACCAUAAAUUGGUUUUGUUUCACACUGUCUUGAUCAAGAAUAUGUGAAGCUUUUGAGAAUUGUGGUUGCCCUCCAUUGAUGAAGCUCUUGUUGGCACCAUAAAUUGGUUUUGCUUCACACUGUCUUGAUCAAGAGUGUGUGAAACUUUUGAGAAUUGUGGUUGAACUUCUUUGAUGAAGCUCUUGUUGGCACCAUAAAUUGAUUUUGCUUCACACUGUCUUGGUCAAGAGUGUGUGAAGCUUCUGAAAAUUAUGGUUGCCCUCCAUUGAUGAAGCUCUUUGUAUGCCAUGCACUGAAGUUGUUGUUGGCUUGCAAUAAGACUUUGUUGGUGACUAUAACUCUUGUUGGGCAUAAGUGCUCCCCUAGUUGAGUUGUCAAGCUUGAGGGUUUUUGAUUAUUUGUGAAUGCUAGAAGUUCACAUGUACAAGUUGUACCACUCGUCUUCUGGUAGGUGGAAUGAAUGGUGAGUUACUUUCAUCACUUGGUUGGUGGUACGAAGAUGAGUUCCUUCUUCACAUUUUAUCACCUGGUUGGUGGCAUGAAAAUGAGUUUCUUAUUCACCUGGUUGGUGGCAUGAGUGGCAAGUUUCCAAAUGAUAUUAGAGUACGGGUUGUACAUUUCAUUACCUGGUUGGUGGCAUGAAGGAGAGUACGGGUUGUACAUUUCAUCACCUGGUUGGUGGCAUGAAGAUGAGUUCCUUCUUCACCUGGUUGGUGGCAUGAGUGGCAAGUUGCCAAAUGAUAUUAGAGUAGAGGUUGUACAUUUCAUCACCUGGUUGGUGGCAUGAAUGAGAGUACAUGUUGUACAUUUCAUCACCUGGUUGGUGAGAAUAAGGGCAAAGUGUCGAGGCACAUUGUCGCAAGUGUUGAAGACACAAAGCAUGUUGAACCCUUUCGAAGCACAUUUGGCUUAUGUAUGGAUGAGUUGGAAUGUAUGAUGUUUAUGUAUGAAUGUGUUGGAAUGUAUGAUGUUUAUGUAUGCAUGUGUUGGAAUGUAUAAUGUUUAUAUUGAUUGAUAUGAGUGAUGCUUAUGAAUGUUUUGCUAUGCAUGAAGGGACCCAUGCUUUUGAUAUGUGAACCAUGUUGGUUGUAACACUUAGUAUCACAUACUUUGUGUCAAAGUACGCAUGUUGAAGCUCUGAGUUGGAGUAUAAGGGUAAGUCAGCGUAGACUAAGUGUUCCAGUGCUAGGAACACAAAAAACUCAGAAGAAGUUGUCUGAAUUCCCUAUUCUUUAAAUAUUUGCCGAAUAGCUUAUGUGACAAAAGAUCUCAAGCGGUUGACAGUCAAAAUAUUUGUAAUGUGUAUGCUUUCUUAUAAUAGCAUUUCCUUUAGUACCUAGUCCUCCACUUUAAAAGAGUGAGGCUUGGCCCCAUAGUCAUAAUAGUUGACGGUACGUUCAGCCCUGGUUGUCUUGAUACGAACUUUUAUCCCUCUUGUUGUAAUGGGCUUGCUGAGAGUAAAAAUCCUUCCUCUUACCAAGAGACAGAUACGUUUAGUGACUUAUCGAGUAGCUAAAUGAGGCAGGAGAUGAUGCAAUGGGUGUCUGAAUGGCCAAUAUAUUCUUACUUGGUAGAACUUGACUUCCACUUCCCAUUUGUUGAUAGGGGUUAACCAUAUGGAGGUUCCCUUGGUAUGUCCUUGCUUAGGCGGAGGCGUGGUUGUAAGCAUGUGCCAUCACCUCAGAGUAAGUCUUCCAAAUGUUGGCAUUGAUCAUGUACUUGAAGAAACAAUCACGUAGGCCUGUCGUGAAGGCCUUGAGGGCGGUCUUGUCAUCUGCCUCAACGCAGCGAGAAUACUCAUGGCUAAAGCGACCAGUAUACUCUCGUAGUGACUCGUCCUGCUUCUGGCGAAUAAUGUACAAGUCAUCUGCCGAAUGCAAGUGAUCAGUCUGGAAUAUGUGUUGAGAGACAAACAGUUUCCUUAAUUCCUUAAAUGAGGCUACUGUCUCAGGUGGAAGGCAGCAAUACCAGUUUAGAGCUCCGCCAGAGAGGGUAGAAGGGAAGAAAAGACAUCGGUCUUCGUCGGUGUGCAUCUGAUAUGCCAUGGUGGACUCAAAAAGGUUAAGGUGUUCAAUUGGGUCAUCCCUUCUAGUAUAGAGUUGUAAACCAAGCUUUUGUUUUGUCUUCGCUUGAAGGGGGGUGUCGAGGAUCCUUCUUGUGAGAGGGCCAGGCCUGGGUUGGUUCCAGUCAAGUAUCUCGGCCUGAUGUUCGGCCUUCAACUUGUUUACUUCCUUAAGGAACUGUAGGACAAGGGGGUCCUGAGUGAAGUCAUGUACCAUUGGAAUUUUCUUUCGUAAGUCUCCAUCGCCUCUUGGAAGUAGGAAAGUUUGAGCAAGGGCGUGUGGUUUUUUCUUGGACUCGCCGUACUGACUUCUAGGGCUAGUCUGUCGGAAUACCUCAGAGUCCCCCGUACCUUCAUGUUCCUCUGGGACCUGUCUUUCCUUCCCUAGAUUGGCAGCUGGCCUGGGUCGUAGGAGGGGACCGGGUCUUUCAGAAACCCUUGGGUCAUUGAUCUUCGAGCAUAUGUGGAGGGGAUUCUCUCGACGUUGCUUUAGGAAGUCUCGGCAGUCACGAUAAACGGCUUUCGAUCUUUCCAACCCUUCUGCAAUGAGGUGUCUUCCUCCACUUCUUAUACUUCAGGUCGAAGCAUCUGGGUUGAGAGAAGUCUCAUGUUGAUCAAUGUUUUGAUGAUUAGCUCGCUCCUCAUCAGGGAUACCCAUGUCGAAGGGAGGUGACCCUCCGUGUUGGGGGGCACCCAGAUGAUGGUUAAUGUCCACAGGGGCAACGAGCUCGCGUGUUUGAGUACGCCUAGUUUCGUGGAGCGUCUCAAAGAGCUUCUCAUAUUGAUCUUCGAGGGCCUCAUUCUUCAUUGCUAUCUUAUUGUUCUGAGCUUCUAGCUUAUCAACUUUAGCUUGAAGAGCAACCCUUUUUCCUUCCUUCUUUCGUUGCUUAGCACUAGGUGCAAGAGGGGUGUCAUUCUGUGUGUUGUGGCUUCCUUCGCUCCCCAUGUUGGAGAGGGAUGCCUGGUCAAAAGAUAGUGCACGAAUGGUGGAAACCAGCUUGGCAAAGCUAGAAAGAGUGGGAAUAAGUGUCAUUCCCACAGACGGCGCCAAAUGUUAAUGCACAAAAUCAAUGAGAACUUUGGUACAACAGAAAGUGUUAAGUUUGUGACCUUUGCUAGACUGCUCUGGUCACUAGUGUGGAUAAGUAUGUAAAUGGAUAGAGACAAGGAAGCAAACACAAGAUGUACGUUGUUCACCCAGAUUGGCUACGUCCACAAAGUAGAGGAGUUCUCAUUAAUUGUGAAGGGUUUACACAAGUACAUAGGUUCAAGCUCUCCUUUAGUGAGUACAAGUGAAUGAUUUAGUACAAAUGACAUUAGGAAAUAUUGUGAGAGAAUGAUCUAUAUUUAUAUAAGAGAGUUUCUAGUUUCAUUCUGACAUUGACAUGUGUCGUAUUGUGAUUGGCUUCUGAUGUUGACACGUGUUGUGCUAUGAUUGGCUUCUGAUGUCGACAUGUGUCGCGCUAUGAUUGGCUUCUGAUGUUGACACGUGUCGCGCUAUGAUUGACUUCUGAUGUCGACAUGUGUCGCACUGUGAUUGGCGUCCUGGUUAGAGGGAAAUUCUUCUGGGUCCUUAACGGUAUAAUGUUGACCGAUGCUCAGUAGUUUCAGGAUUGAUCAAAUAUGGUACAAACAGAAUGCAUGUUUCUAAGAAGAUUUAUAUCUUUCCUUUUUGGUAAGUGUUUAACUUUUAUGUUAGCCUAUAUCUCAAUUUUUGUGUGUGAUUAGCAUGAGAUUAGGGUUGAAAAGUGUAAGCAAGAAAAACGGCAGGCCUGAUAACAUUAUCUCCUCCUUUUUAACGAGUGGCAGCGUAGAACAACAGCCAAGACAGUUGGUAGCGGUGGUGUAAGGUUUAAGAAACCAUGACUAACUUACUCUUUAAGCACCUUGACCAUUACUAUAAAUAGGUUUCAACCCUGGCUGUUUUCUUGAACAAUUUGUUACAAAGAGAAAAGGUUUUGAGAGGCCAUGUCUAAUGAGGAAGUUGAGGAGGAAAGAAGGCUAUAUCAGUGUGCAAGGACUUAUGAAAAAAUAGUAAAACAGGUAGAGUGUGGAAUGUAUCUUAAAUCCUUAAUCUAAAUUUAACCUUGUUUGUAAAUCAGUAUUAGUCAGAUAAUUACCGCUUCGAGCGUCCCUUCAUCCUUCCUUCUUUUUUGGAACGACGGGUUUGCUCCAUUUUUAUACAUACUAGACCGAAGUUUUGAUUACGAUUAAUCCUCGGUUUAAUCUCUGUUCUUCAGUUUGAUGAGGUGGUUGAGAUGAUGAACACCGGGAGCAAACUGCCUAAGCGACGAAAGGUAUCUUCCGUAAGAUCUCUUGGCUAAUGUCUAUUAGUUUAUCUUCUAAAUCUUAAUUAUGUGCAUGCUAAUAUGCAAUGCAAUUAAGUUCUUGUUCUUCUUUGGUUUCAUGCAUGACAGAAUUCAAAAACUGCUCCUGCAGCAGAAAGUCAACAACAAUGGAGUGUUAGUGCAGACAAUAACAAGAUUUCUCCAUGACCUGAGAACUAACCCUGCAACCUCCACAAUCCCCAGAGAUCGAGAUUAGUUCUCUUCAUGUAGGGAAAGAUUGCAGCAGACUAGCUUUAGUAAGGCCUGGUUUGGUACUAAGGUGAUUCUAAAAAAAGUUGGUAACAAAAAAAGCUGGGAGCUUUUUUGUGUUUGGUUCAACUUUUUUUCACAGUUUUGGGUGAAAAAAAAGCCAAAAACAAGAAGCUACAAAACCCAGCUUUGAAAAACCGGUUUUUUUUCACAUAUGUUUUACAUAAAAGUUUACCAAACACUAUAAUACUGCUUUUUUUUUCAAAAGCAUUUUUACAAAAAAAUUUACCAAAAAGUUUACCAAACACUAUAAUACUAUUUUUUUUUUUCAAAAGCAUUUUUACAAAAAAGUUUACCAAACACUCUACAGCUUUAUUUCACAACCGCUUAUUCUCACAACACAUCAGAAGUAGCUUCUUUUCAAAGCACAGCAAUACAAAACCAGUCCUAAUUGUAUUUAGUGGUAAUAAGUGGCUAAUUACUAUGUGUGAAUGAUUGACUAUCUAGUAACAUGUAAUAGCUACACAUAUCUUGGAAGUGCAUCAGAUAGACAAAACUCUUUAUCCAGUUUUGAUUUUUUUAUAAAAUCUUUAACAACAAAACAAAUAGGAAAAUUACCAUUAUUAUAUAAUAAUAAUAUAACUUUGAAAUAAACCAAAACAAGUUACAAACAGACACCCGGAUAUCCAGAAUUUCACAUCUUUCAAUUAAAUGAAUUACACGCUUUGAAAAGUCGAGGAGAUCUAGUACAAGAAGGAAUUUUACAAGGAGUAGAAAAUGGUUCAUUCAAGGUUGAACAAUUUACAUUGGCUCCUGAUCAUGAAGAUGUUAGGAUGCCAAGUGGCUCACUGAGUUAGUCCAGGUGUCUCAAUUGUUAAGUUGGAGAUCUUUAGCCUGCAACUAGCAAUAUAGGCUGAGAUAUGUGCAGAUGCAAAGUGUGAAUGAAUAUUUGAUUGUAUUAGUGUUCUUGUUAGCAUAUCUUGCAUUUGAGUAAAGGUUGAAGUGAAAAGCAGUCAUUACCCGAAUACCUCAGCUUCCCGGAAAGCAGCAUGAAUUAAGAACUGUAAGGGGGCAUAUGCAUCUCGUCCAAAAAUGUCUUUGAUGGUUUAAAUAGCAAGGUAAAAACUUUCAAACUGGAGUGCUUAUAUGGGAUGUAUGUUUCGUGGUUGAGAGCAUAUGGAUUGGAUUGGACAAAAUGAAAACUGCGGUGAAUUUGGUUAUGGUGUGAAUCUUUUGACCCUUGAUGAUAUGCUAACCUAUUGAACGCUGCACUUCAGCUUCUCAGCCUCAAGUUCCUGUUUCAAGGUCUCCAUCCGUUUUAAAACUUGUAAUUACGAGUCAUUGUGUAUUCUUUUUACAUUUUUUACACCUCUACACUAAUUAUUUUGAGUUUUUAUUAAUUUUGUACUCAAACAAUAAACACUAUUCAUGAGGGUUUGGACGGUUUUAAAAACCUAAACGAUGAUGUAACCAUCGUCUAAGUGUGGAGGAUGCAAUCAUGAGCAUUUGUCUUUUCACAUUUUUCACUCUUUUACAUUAAAUAUUAUGAUUUUUUAUUUAUUUUGAGCUUCCCUAAAAACGUUGUUCAAGAGGGUUUGUAGGGUUUUAAAAAUUCAAACGACGAUGCACCAAUCAUCAAAGCGUAGAGGAUGCGAUCAUGAAUGUUUGCAUUUUUUAUUUUUAACAUUUUCCACCCUUGUAAAUUAAUUAGUAUGAAUUUUUCAGUGGGGCUUUAAUAUUUUUAAAUUUUGGUAUUUUUAAUGUGCUUUGAAAUUUUUUUAAUCUCACUUAUGUGAGAUUAAAUACUGUGGCUAUUGUAGUAAGGUUUUUUAGUAGUUUAAAAUUAUCAAACUAAUUUUUCUUCUUAUAGAGUUGAAAUGGGUUACCCACAGGUAAACUUGUUAAGAACCUAUUAUUAACGAGUUCUUAACCUGUGACCUCAUAACGACCCGAUUAGAUAACGUGUUGACCCAAAACAGUUAUUUUCGUGUCGUUUCAUAUCGAGUUAACAUAUCCUGAAAGAAAUUGUCAAGUCUUUUAAUCUCACACAAAAAUACAAAUACAUGAGAGUUAAAACACUUACAAUAUAUAUAUAUAUAUAUAUCUUCUUAGAAAAAUGGAAAUUUUAUUUGAACUCAUAUAACCUCUUUUUACACUUAUAUUACUUUUAAUUAAACUAUUAAUAUCUCUUUAAAGUCAAACCCGCUACCUAAAUUACCCUCACAAACCCAAUUCAAUUUAUAAAAUUUAUUUUUACACCCAUUCAGAAAAUAGAAACCCAAAAUCAAUGUUAUACAACUCAUUCAAGGCUUAAAGAGAGUAAUAUCUCUCACAAUAAUUUGUCUCAUGCUUAAUCCUUUUUUGGCUUUAUAUUUGUCACUCUGAUAUACAAAGGCAAGGACCUGGUGAAUACUGUAUAUGGUGCAAUACUGAUCACUCUGAUAUACAAUUGAGUCAAGUUUAAAAAAUUGUAUCAUCUCAAUACUAUUGUUCGAUCCUUGAUCUACAUUUUCCAAGUUCAAGCUUAAUUAGUUAGAGCUUAUAAAUUAUAUUCAAUGAAUCAAUGUUUAAGUUAUACAAAAUAGGCAACUUGCAGUUUAUAAAGCAUAAAGAUAGUUUGUUGUGUGCUCUCCACACAAGACUAUAUUUUUAUUAGAAAGUCACUGUUUUCCCACAAACAAGUACAUACUAAUCUAUGGGGAUGCUAUAGUUGUCAGCCAAAAAGCCAAGAAAAUUACAUCUCUAGUCUAGGCUAUAAAUUGAACAUUUAUUUUAUUACCGACUUUAACUUAGAUUUUUUUUUUUUUUUUUUUGUCGAACUUUAACUUAGAUUUAUCUUCCAGGCAUGCGUCACAGUGAAUGCGCUAAUUUUGUUCUUAAAUACCAAAAAAAAUGAAUUCAAAAGAAAAAUAAAUUGCAUAAAUCGAUUCAUACCUUAAUUGGAGGAUUCAAAACUUCAAAAUCAUUAUCCUUAGGUCAGGAAGAUUAUGUUUUUCUCUAUGAAAGCGUCUCAGAAUUUUAGCUAGAAUGAAUGUAAGAUAAAGAUGUGUGAUAGUAGGGUUUGAUGUGAUAAUACGGUUUCAUUAUUAAGUAGGUUUAGUGAUAAAUUUUAAUUUUAUAGUUAGAGCAGUUCCACAUUGGGCUAUUGCGCAGUGGACUGGCGUUGUAACAGGGCCAAAUAGCCCGAGCGACUUGGUCCAGGGUGUGCUGACGAUGGAACCCGAGCAGGCCCGAGGGACAGGCCCGGCACGAGUUGUCAGCCCGAAGGCAACGUGACGCAAGGCUGACAUUGCCCAGACGUUAGCCACUUUUUUUAUAUUUUUUCUGUCAGGCGCGUGGGCUUCAAGCGCUCGUUGGCGCGCGUCGUCCGACAGGAUUUCAGAAGCUGGGGCCCGCGGCACACUCUGAAAAUGUUAUCGUUGGGAGGCCACGUGGCUUCCCCUCGUUUGUUGGAUUCCAACGGCAACAAUUUGUGGAUCGUUGGAUUUCCAAUGGUAACAAAAAUUUAAAAACCUUAUUUAAUUUCAGCCGUUGGAUCUAAGAUCAAUAGUCCACAUUAUUCGUCUUUAUAAAUUAAAAAGAAAAAGAAAAAACGGUUUAUAAUUCUGAAAUAUUACCGUUGUGCCACAUGGCACAAUCUGGAGUGUUGGAAUUCAAAUUUUUUUUAAUCCAACGGCAGAGAUUAAUUAGGUGAAAAAAAUUUUAAAUAAAAUGUAAAAAAUUAAUAAAAAAAGAAAAUUUGAUUUUACUUUUCUAUAAUUACCUUCUCAUUAUCUUCUACCUUACACCACAAUUUCAUAUUUUCUCAACUACUUUCAACUAGGGGUGGGCAUGGGCCAAGCCGGGCCCAAUUUUGAAGGGACCGGACCGGGCCCGGGUUUAAAGGAGACAGGCCGGGCCGGGCCGGGGAUAACAUUUUUUAAGAUAGGAAUCGGACCUUACCCGGCCUGGUUGAAACAGACCGGUUCGGGCCAGGUCCACGGGUCUUUUUUUUUUGUUUGUGGAUACAAUUCAAUCAGUUUAAUCCAAAUACAAUGUCCACAUGGACCUCAUGAGUAACCUAAAAGCCCAAACAAAGUUUUGAGCCUAAACAGACACCUAACCUUAAAGCUAAAGGUUUUCUUCCAUCACCUUCUUCGAUAUCACCGCUGCUCCUUCGACGAUCUCGAAACACCACCACCGUUUUUUUUUUUUUUUUUGUGGCGAAACCGCCACCUUGCUCGACAUCCCUGCCUCCCUCCGCCAAGGCCAUGCCGUCGCCGUCCUCUCCUUCGACCCUGAAUCCCUCAAGCCCCUGGAGUCCCAAUCCCAGGAAUCCCGACCCUUCAACUCCUCCAGCCUGUGCCCAGUCCUAUUUGAAACGUAGACUAGUGAAUAACAUAAAUCCAAAAUAAACAAAGCAGAAACUACUAAAACAGAAAACUUAUGCACCUAAAUUCAAGAACAAAACAUGAGCGCUAAUACCACCAGAAAACUCAUGACCUUACCCACCAAUUAAAGCCAAAGAGAAGAGUAUAUAAACUUAACCUUCAGUCAAUCAUAACACUAGGUAAUCAAUAAAAUCAGAGACGAAGAUUAAGAAACUUACGGCAUCCAAAGGGGAAAGAUUUUAACGAAGCUACUCCAAAAGGGUUGCAAGACAUAUUUGGCAGUGUAAGAGUGAUCCACGCCACUAUACUUGUAUUUAUGCAAAAUCCAAAUCAAGCUUCAAUUUUGCGCUUCGAAACAAAAUGCAAAUAAGCCUCAGUACAACCAACCUGCUACCAAAACGAACUGAAAUAACUCAAUCCACGCAUCUGAACAAACCCAUCACUGAAUACAAUCAUACAUGCUUGUACACUUGCCCCCCAAGAUAAUUGGAUCAACACAAAAAUCCAAAUUCAAAUUUUUGUGAUUCAACACAUUAAUCAUCUCAUCUGGGUAAUGCCCAGAAUGCAGAAACAAUGAAAGAAUACAACCCAGUAGAUAUUUUCUCCAAAACAGAAAGAAAACAUCCAAAGAUCUAAACUUUGUGAAUAAAAUUAAGUACCCAAAUAAAAUGGGUGGAUGGGAUGGUAGAUAUAUAUGAUGCAUGGAUCUAAAUUCACAAAAUAAACUGCAAAUCAGACAGAUGAAGCAGAUCAGAGAAACGCGAGAAGAACAAACAAAAUCUAAAUUUAAAUUUAAAAAAAAAAACAUUUACCUGUUUGAGACUUGAGAUCGUUGGUUCAACAGAGAAAGGGGGUUCUUCUGCAAAUGAGCAGCUGGCCGAAAACAAUAGAGAAAACAUCAACCCACUCACACUCUACUUCUACCUAGUCUUCUCUCUCUGACUGCCUCCCUCCCACGUAUAGACGCUAAGUUGAAAAUUCAGUUGUCGAAAAUCAAGGACCAACCGCGGAGCAACGAAACCCGAUCUCUCCGCUCACCCGGACCCGAUUGCAGGUAGGUGAGAAACGGAAACCCGACCCAGAUCCUCCGCUCGUUCCACCGCAUCCAAAACCUCUUGAUCGAGCUCCCGUCGGAGCUGCAUAGAUCAGAGACAAAGGCAUUUGGAGAGAGUGAGAGUUAAUCAAUAAACCCUGAAAAUUUAAAUAGUUACCUGAAAUUAUUGACAGCUCAAGCGCGGGAUUGUAGGAAAGAGAGAAGGGCAUGGACGGAGGCUUUUGGCGUAGCUGGUGAUGCUUUGUGGACGGCGGCUUGUGGCGCAAAUGGUUUACGGCGGGUGAGCUGGGUAUAUGCAUGGUUUUGCUUUGUGAAGGUUUAGGGUAGGUAAGAUGGGAGAAAGAGAGAGAAUGAGAGACUGUGGGAGAGAGAGAUCGAGAAGAAGGAGAUCGAUAGGGAAGAGAUCGAGAGAGAGGAGAUCGAGAGGGAUGAGAUCGAGAGAGAUCGAGAAAGCGGAGAGAUCGAAGGAGGAGACAAUAAAGAGUGAGGGUCGAAUUAGGUCUGAGAAUAAAAGAGACGGUAAUAGACAAUAGAGGGUAAUCACAGUAGGCCAUGAACGGUCCAGGCCAGGGGCCCGUUUUCUCCAAUCUUUAAAAUCGGCCUGCCCCGUUAUUUAUCUAGAACCGGCCCGCCCUGCCCCGUUUUAUAUUUGUAAUUCUUGAACUCACCCCGUACCCAUCCCGAACCGCAAAGACCCGUCCCUACCCGCGGGUCCAGGACCCGUUUGCCCACCCCUAGUUCGGGCAUCCUUUCUUCUUUUUUUCUUUUUUGGAAAGACGAGUUUUUUCCAUUUUUAUACACACUCGACCUAAGUUUUGAUUAUGAUUUAAUGUUCGGUUUAAUCUCUGUUCUACAGUUUGAUAAGCUGAUUGGGAUGAUGGACACUGGGAGCAAACUGCCUAAACGACGAAAGGUAUCUUCAAUAAGAUCUCUUGGCUAAUUUCGAUUAGUUUAUCUUCUAAAUCUUAAUUAUGUGCAUGCUAAUAUGCAAUGCAAUUAAGUUCUUGUUCUUCUUUGGUUUCAUGCAUGACAGAAUUCUACAACUGCUCCUGCACCAGCAAGUCAACAGGAGGACAAUGAAGUGUUAGUGCAGACAAUAACAAGAUUUCUCCAUGACCUAAGAACUAACCCUGCAGAACCCGAGAGCUCCACAAUCCCCAGAAAACAAGAAUAGCUCUCUUCAUCUAAGGAAAGAUUGCAGCAGAAUAGCAGAGAAGCAAUUGUCUUAAGUAGUAAUUGUAUUUAGCGAUAAUAAGUGGCUAAUCACUCCUGUGUGAAUGCUUGACUGUCUAGUACAGCAUAGUAAACAAGUAAAAGCCACACAUUUCUUGGAAGUGCAUCAGAUAGACAAAACUCUUUAUCCAGUUUUUAUUUUAGGCUAAAUAGCCAAAAUGGUCCAUGGGUUUGCAUAAUCAAUAGAAAUGGUCCCUAAGAGCUGAGAUUGAAAAUCAAUAGAAAUGGUUCAUGGGAUUAUCUAUCAUCCAUGAUUUUGGUCAUUCAGUUAAAAACUCUUCGGGCAAUUUUCAAAGCUUCGUAACUUAAUCGAUUCUUAACCAAAUUCGACCCAUAAUAUAUCAAAAUGAAAAUAGGAAAGUGUAGAACAAGAUUAUAUCAUUUGGAAGCCCAAUGGUUGACGGAAAUGGCCGGAAAAUAACCUGAAAGGUGACUAGUCCACAGGAAAACUGAAAAACUCGCUAGAAACUGGGUAAACUUUAAACGUUCAUAACUUCUUCAAUACUCAACAAAAUCGAGUGAUUCAAAAACAAAAAUCAUACUUCUCAAUGUGAAAAAUAGAAUGGUAUCUUUAUUGAAUGCUAAAGAGUCACGGUUUGCCUGGAAAACGGCUCGAAAGUGGCUAACUCGAAAAUAGUUAGCCAAUUUUGAGCCUUUUUCCGGCCAAACCACGAUGAUUUAGCCAUCGAUAAAGGUACCAUUCUCUUCAUCUCAUCUAGAAGUAUGAUUUUCAUUUUUGAAUCACUUGGUUUCGUUGCGUAUUGAAGAAGUUAUGAAUGUUUAAAGUUUACCCAGUUUCCGGCGAGUUUUCCAGUUUUCCCGCAGACCAGUCACCUUUCAGGCUAUUUUCCGGCCAUCUCUGGCAACCAUUGGGCUUCCAAAUAGUUAUAAUCUUUUUCUACACUUUUUUAUCUUCAUUUUGAUAUAUUAUGGGUCGAAUUUGGUUAAGAAACGAUUGAGUUACGAAACUUUGAAAAUUGCCCAAGGAGUUUUUAAUGGAAUGACCAAAAUCAUGGAUGGUGGACAAUCUCAGAUACCAUUUCUAUUGAUUUUCAAUCUCAGUGACCAUUUCUAUUGAUUACGCAAAUCUCAUGGACCAUUUUGGCUAUUUAGCCUUUAGUUUAUAAAAAAUCUUUAACAAAAAAACAAAUAGACAAGAUUACCAUUAGUAUUUAACAAUAAUAGAUCUUUGAAAUAAAGCCAUAAUGAAGUUAUGAACAGACACCCGAACAUCCAGAAUUUCACAUCUUUCAAAUAAAUGAAUUACACGCUUUGAAAAAUCGUGGAGAUCUAUUACAACAAGGAGUUUUACAAGGCAAAGAAAAUGGUACAUUCAAGGUUGAACAAUUUACAUUGGCUCCCGAUCAUGAAGAUAAGUAAGGUGCAAAACAGAAAAAAUCAUUGUAUAUUUAGUAGAAGAAAAGCAGUCAUUACCUGAAUACCUCAGUUUCCCGGAAAGCAGCAUGAAUUAAGAACUGUAAGGGGGCACAUGCAUCACGUUAAGUCUUUGAUGGUUUAAGUAAUCAAUGAAGCUAAAAACUUUCAAACUGGAGUGCUUAUGGGGUGUGUUUCGCGGUUGAGAGCAUAUGGAUUGGAAAAAAUGAAAAAUGCAGUGAAUUUGGUUAUGCUGAAUCUUUUGACCCUUGAUGAUAUAAUAACCUAUUGAACGCUGCACUUCAGCUUCUCAGCCUCAAGCUCCUGUUUCAAGGAAAAUAUUUUCAACACUGGUAAGAAAAGGAAGGAUUGAAAUCUAAACCCGCUUCAACAGGAAUAUAGGGAAAUAGAGUGAUAUUAGCACCCAUACUUACUUAGUCAUUAACCUAAAAAAUGCUUCCAUAAAGCUUGGGAAAUUGGUUUCAGCAUGGAAUUCAUGAACUAGGACUAUCUUAUCCUUUUGAAACAAAAGCUGCUGACUGUAUUUUGCCAAUUGACUUGUCUUCUUUCACACCUACUGCAUUUCAACCCUCAAAUUCAUGAAAAUAAAUAAAUAAAUAAAACCCCUUUUCCUUUGUCAUUUUUCAACACUAUGGAUAGAUGCUUUAAGUGAUUACAUAAUUAUCCGCAUCAAAAUUCUCAUAAACUAGUUCUAAAAAAAAACUUUAACAGAAUGGGAAUAUACGUUAUUUGUGAGAAGGAGCAGAGGAAAUGACAAAAGGAGGUAUAUAUGCAUCUAGGUGAUAUAACCCUUCAUGUUACUUUUUUUAAGUGCCUAACUAAAAUAACUUACCCUUAGCGCGGAUAUACACCUCUUUCAUUUCCUCGGCUCUUUCUCACAAAUAAUGUAUAUCUCCAUUGAAUGAAAGUUUCUUCAGAACUAAUUUAGUGAGAGUUUUGAUGCAAAUAAUCAUGUAAUCAAUUGAAACAUCUAUGAUUGGUGCUGAAAAAUGACAAAUUGGUGGUUGGUCUUUGUUCAUGGAACCGAGGGUUGAAAAGCAACAUGUGUGAAAGAAGACAAGUUGAUUGGCAAAAUACGGUUAACUUUUCUUUCAAAAGGAUAAAAUAAUAACAAUUCAGGAAUUUCACGUUGAAACCAAUUUUCCAUCGUUUAUGAAAGCAUUUUUUAGGUUAAGGACCAAAUAAUUAUGCUUCCAUCUCCUAGAUUAUUCUUAAAAAUAGUACAUUAUGGCCAUACAAAUAUAUUAGAUUUUGACAUCAUAUGUUCAGGUGUGCAAAUGAGAAAAUCUCGUGGGCGACGGUUGAUGAAUAAGAACAACAUACGUCAAGUUGUCCAAGAAAUAUAAUUAUAAUAGGUAACAGAGUGCAUUUUUCUAAGAAGAUGUAUAUCUUUUCUUUUUGGUAAGUGUUUAACUCUUGCAUUAGCCUAUAUCUCAAUUUCCAUGUCGAUUAGCACGAGAUAUGUGUUCGAAGGUGUAAGAGAGAAGAAACAGCGAGCCAGUUAACAAUAUCUCCUCCCUUUUUACGAGUGGCGAUGUAGAACAACAGUCAUGACGGUUGGUAACGGCGGUGUAAGGCUUAAGAAACCAUGACUAACUUGCUCUUUGAGCACCUUGACCAUUACUAUAUAAAGGUUUCAACCCUUGCUGUUUUCUUGAACAAUUUGUCCCACAGAGAGAAGGGUAUAUCAGUGUGCAAGGACUUAAAAAAAUAGUAAAACAGGUAAUAUGCAAUGUAUCUUAAAUCCUUAAUCUAAAUUCAACCUUGUUUGUAAAUCAGAUAAUUACCGCUUCAAGCAUCCUUCUUUUUUUCUUCUUUGGAAAGAUGGGUUUGUUCCAUUUUCAUACAUACUAGACCGAAGUUUUGAUUACGAUUAACCUUCUGUUUAAUCUCUGUUCUUCAGUUUGAUGAGCUGAUUGAGAUGAUGGACACCAAGAGCAAACUGGCUAAGCGACGAAAGGUAUCUUCCAUAAGAUCUCUUGGCUAAUUUCGAUUAGUUUAUCUUCUAAAUCUUACUUAUGAGCAUGCUAAUAUGCAAUGUGAACAAGUUAUUGUUCUUCUUUGGUUUCAUGCAUGACAAAAUUCUACAACUGCUCCUGCCCCAGCAAGUCAACAGGAGGACAAUGAAGUGUUAGUGCAGACAAUAACAAGAUUUCUCCAUGACCUGAGAACCAACCCUGCACAACCCCCGGAGAUCGAGAAUAGCUCUCUUCAUGUAGGGAAAGAUUGCAGCAGACUAGCAGAGAAGCAAUUAUCUUAAGUAGUAAUUGUAUUUAGUGGUAAUAAGUGACUAAUUACUCCUGUGUGAAUGUCUACUACAGCAAGGUAAAACUCUUUAUCCAGUUUUUCAUUUACUUAUAAAUGUCUUUAACAAAAACAAAAAACAAAAAACAAAUGGGAAAAUUACCAUUAGUAUAUAACAAUAAUAGACCUUUGAAAUAAAGCCAUACGAAGUUACGAACAGACACCCGGACAUCCAAAAUUUCACAUAUUUCAAUUACAACAGGGAAUUUUACAAGGAAUAGAAAAUGGUACUUUCAAGGUUGAACAAUUUACAUUGGCUCCCGAUCAUGAAGAUAAGUAAGAUGCAAAACAGAAAAAAUUGUUGUAUAUUCAGUAGAAGAAAAGCAGUCAUUACCCGAAUACCUCAGUUUCCCGGAAAGCAGCAUGAAUUAAGAACUGUAAGGGGGCACAUGCAUCUCGUCCAAAACUUUCUUUGAUGGUUUAAGUAACCAAUGAAGCUAAAAACUUUCAAACUGGAGUGCUUAUGGGGUGUGUUUCGUGGUUGAGAGCAUAUGGAUUGGACAAAAUGAAAAAUGCGGUGAAUUUGGUUAUGCUGUAUCUUUUGACCCCUGAUGAUAUACUAACCUAUUGAACGCUGCACUUCAGCUUCUCAGCCUCAAGCUCUUGUUUCAAGGCUUCCAUCCGUUUUACUAAGGCCAUACUUUCCUGGAAAAUAUUUUCAAGACUUGUAAGAAAAGGAAGGAUUCAAACCUAAGGGAAUUUUCAAACACACUACACUAGCACAUCAUUGUCUAUCAGAACCAAUAAGGGAGAGGAGAGAGAAUUUUGACGUAACAUCAAAAUCUGCAGUUUGUACACAUUAUUUGGGUGCAUAACAUAAGUUGGUUUCUAACAAAAGGUAAUUAAUAAUACGAGCAAGCCAUCCUCAGCAUGAUCUCUAAUGACCUCUUUAAUCAGAUUUACUAAAGGGUGCAUAAAAGCGAAUAAUAUUGAAAGAAGAUAAACGUUUAUGAGGAAAAAGAACGAAGUUAUGAGACAUUACAAGAACUUGUGUAUUAAGUCUUUUACUGAAAAGAAAGGGGUCACCUUUUGUAGAUUCAACAAUUUCUGGUUGACGGUAGCAGCAUUUCCAUCACCCUCCCCAAACAACGCCUUUAUCUGUAAGGAAGACAAACGAUUAAUCGAUCUGCAGUGCAGUGCAGAGAGAUGAUCAUGUGGUUAGACUGAUCCAUUCUUUAACAAGUCAUUUAACUCAAGGAUGCCCUUCCAAAGAUUGAACCCAAACCCACGUUGACAGGACUUUAGGGAAAUAGAGUGAUAGCACCCAUACUUUAGUUUUUCCAAAGUGGUUUUAAUAAUUUUCGAUGCAGAGAUCACUUUCAAAGACUAAUCUUGCUUUGACAAUCCUUACUAUUUUAAGCAUGCAAUGACACUCUCCAAAAUUCAUACGAAAACUCUAGUUGUUGAACAAGUUGUGCAAAUAAAUUUAAAAGAAAGGAAGAAUACGGUGUGAACCUGUUUGAGUUGAUUCAUACACUUGGUAGCCUUCUCGGCUUCUUCAUCGUAUUUCAGCCUCCACUCAGCAGAUUCAUCCAUUGCUUCCCUAUUCGCAAGGUCGAACUGCCGCCUACAAGAUUUCGAUAGAACAAACAUUUCAUUCCAUGAAAAAUUUAUUAACAUUUCUGUCAUAUGAAGCUCUAAAAAUUAAAGGGUACAUUUGAGAUCAUAUAAUAAUAGUAAUACAGAGUAUGAACCAACAAGAUGAGCCAAACCACAAAGUUAGAAUUUCUCAUCAAUCACUAAUGGAAAGUAAAAUCCAAGAAAUUGGGCUUGAUUUAAUUUAGAUUAUAUCUAAAGGGUAUUCAUUCAUUCAUUCAUUCAUUCAUUCAUUCAUUCAUGGAAUCCACAAAACUAUGAACCCUCAAAAAAAAUAAAAAUUGAGAUUUGAAGUAGAAAAAGAUGAGAUGGGAAGCAAAAAGCAAACCUGAGGAGGUCGGCUUCGUCGGAAGAAAUGGAAUAGUCGAUGGUCCAAAGCCGCAAGUAGACGGCAAUUCCUAGAAACAUGACCAGAACCAAACCCACCAGUAUUUUCUUGCUCCCUCCACCUCCGCCCCCCAUUUUUUGUGCUCCCAACUCUCGGUCCUUCCUUACUCAAGCUUCUGUUACCUGUUCUACGGCAGGAAUAAAAUACCAAAAAUCUCGAACCGAAAAUCCUGAAAAUUUCGGUACCCAAUACCGAAUUAAUCCCGAAAUUUUGGUACGGGAAUCGGUCUCAAGUUUUCAGGAUUUCGUAAUUCCGAACCAAACCGAAAAUUAUAUAUAUAUUAUUUAAUUUUUAAAUAUAUAAUUAGAAUUUUAAUAGUCUUCGGAUUCUGUUGAGAUUUAAUCUCAACCGUUGAAUAUAAAUCAAACCUAGAUUUUCUAUUGAUUCCUUCAAAUUCUUGGAAGUUUGUUCCAUUGAGAAGCGAUGAAUGCAUGCCAAUUUAUGCUGAACAUGAAAACAUUAGAUAAUGCGAGAGUAUGUUGAGCAGACUUUCGUCUUCUCUAUUUCUAAACGUUUUCCACUUAACAUCAUUUUAGUAGCUUAAGCACAUUUGAUUGGGUUGAACAAAUGAAUUUAACACUUUAAUGAUAUCGCAUAAUGAAAUUGAAGGGGUCUUCUUCCCCUUAAUUAUCAAAAUUGAAUGUUCUUAAUGAUGCUUGAAACAUAGAUUAACAAGGUUGUUGUCUUUCCUGAUGUGCAGUGCAGAUUUGCACUACAUAUACAUGAUUUUCCAUUGCACAGCCAAGUUAUGCAGUGCAAAUUUGCAAUAUAUACAUGAUUUUCCACUACACAGCCACCGCCAAAUUUUGAUCACUGCACAGCCCAAUAUAUAUACAUGAUUUGCAAAAUCUGCACACUACACAGUCACAGCCAAGUUAUUAUAGCCGAAAAGUUGAAAAGUCCAAAAAUAUUUUGAGAUUCCAGAAAAUUUGGUUUGGGAUCGGUCUUGAAAUUAGGAAUCCUAAAAAUUUCGGUUUGAAAAUUGAGACUAAGGUUUCGGUUCGGUAUCUCAUACCGAACCACCCUAGUUCUACCAACCAUCGAAGAUAAUCAUGCGGGUCGGGUAAGAUUCUGGCCCAUUAUCCCAUACAUUAUUUUUCUCUUUUGGGCCAACUUUUAUCAAUUUGACCGUAGGGUUUUUUUAUUUAUUUUUAAUUUUAAGCUAAUGUUAGACAAAUUAAAUUGGGUAAAUUACAUAGUAGCCCAUCAUGUUUGAGCUCUAUUGCAAUCUCAUACAACAUCUUUAAAACAUUUCACUUUCAUACCUCAAGUACUAUUUUAUUUCAAUUUCAUACAACCGUUAGAUUUUCCAUCCAUGGAUCUGUUAAAUGCUGACGUGACUGCUACAUAUAUGACACGUGGCUGCCAAAUGUCUGUCAUGUGACAAAUAAAAUAAUUUUAAUUUUUUUUAAAAAACCUGAAAUUGGAAGAAAAAAAAAAGGUCUGAACCCAGAAGAAGAAGAAAGAGAAAGAGAAGAAGAAGAAGAAAGAGGAGGGAGGAGAAAGAAGAAGAAGAAGAAGAAAAAAAAAGAAAAAAGAAAGGGGUCCGAACCCAGAAGAAGGAGGAAGAAGAAGAAAGAGGAGGAGGAGGAGGAGGAGGAAGAAGAAGAAGAAAAAGAAGAAAAAAAAACAAAAAAAAAUAAAAAGGACCGAACCCAGAAAAAGGAGGAAGAAGAAAGAGGAGGAGGAGGGAGAAGAAGAAGAAAAAAAAAAGUCCGAACCCAGAAGAAGAAGAAAAAGAAAGAGAAGAAGAAGAAGAAAGAGAAAGAGAAGAAGAAGAAAGAGAAGAAAAAAAAAAAAAAGGACCAACCCAGAAGAAGAAGGAGGAAGAAGAAGAAGAGAAGAAGAAAGAGGAGGAGGAGGAGGAGGAGGAGGAAGAAGAAGAAUAAGAAGAAAGAGAAAAAAUAAAAAUAAAAAGAAGAAAGGGACCGAACCCAGAAGAAGGAGGAAGAAGAAGAAGAGAAGAAGAAAGAGGAGGAGGAGGGAGAAGAAGAAGAAGAAGAAGAGAAAAAAAAAAAAAAAAAAGGUCCGAACCCAGAAGAAGAAGAAAGAGAGAAGAAGAAGAAAGAGAGAGAGAAAAAAAAAAGUGGCAGAUAUGUUUUUUUUUUUUUAAAUUAAAAAAUUAUUUUAUUUGCCACGUGGCAGAUAUUUGGCAGCCACGUGUCAUAUAUGUGGCAGCCACGUCAGCAUUUAACAGAUCCAUGGAUGGAAAAUCUAACGGUUGUAUGAAAUUGAAAUAAAAUAGUACUUGAGGUAUGAAAGUGAAAUGUUAUAAAGAUAUUGUAUGAGAUUGCAAUAGAGCUCAAACAUGAGGAGCUACUAUGUAAUUUACCCAAUUAAAUUUGUGCUAGACAGACUAAAUUUGAAAAAUUAAAUGAUCCGUCAUGAAUAAAAAAUAAGUACUUUAAUUAAUACUUAAUUACUAAUCCACUCAUCAAUUUUUUUUCUUUUAGUCUAUAAAUUUUAUCUUUCUAGCAUUACGAUUAAUUUUUUUUAUUCGCAAUGGUAGUGAGGUACAAAACUGAAAGGCCGUCUUUUUUCUCUCUCUCACUCACUCGUUGUUUCCAUUUUUUCUUUUAGAUGUGUUUGGCCCAUAAAAUUAUUUAGAGAGGGCCCAAAAUUAAUUGAUGGAUUUAAUACCCUUAGAAAAUUAUGGAUGGAUUUACACCAAAAUGAGUUUCAAACAAAUUGAAAGCAGGUAUGAUGGUGGGAGGAUGGCGGGCCUGCCUUUGUCUUAUAUGUUUUUCUUUCUUAGGUCUCGUUUAGAAAUGUGUUUAAAAUAAUUGGAAAUGUUUUUUGUGAAAAUAUUUUUGAAACUAAUUAUUAGUAAAAAUCCAAAUAGAUCCUUGAAAAACACUUUAUAUGAAAUGCAAGAAGCACAUAUCUUGUUUUUUUUUUUUCAAAAGUACUUAAGGUAUUUUGGAACCCAAAAUCAAUUUCAUCAAAAGUGUUUUAUUUUAAAAACACUUUCAAACGACCCCUUUGUUUGCGACCGGUGUCGAAUUUGAAUAGGGACAAAAUUGAAAAUUAAGAUGUCAAAAAAUAUUUUUGGGUGAUCUCAUAAAGGUGUGGAGUUUAAAGGGUUAAUUACACUAACUCCCCUGAGGUUUAUCUUAUUUUCACAAAAACCCCUCACAUUUGAAUCAUUAUACUAAUACCCCUGAAGUUCUAAUUCACUUUCACAUAACUCCUCUAGGGUUAACAUCACCUUAAAAUAAUUUCUUAAAGACAAAUUUGCCCUCAAAAUUAAUAAUGAAGGCAAAUUUGUCUUUAAAAAAAAUAUUUUAAGGUGAUGUUAGCCCUAGAGGGGUUAUGUGAAAGUGAAUUAGAACCUCAUGAGGCGUUAGUGUAAUGUUCCAAACGUGAGGGAGUUUUUGUGAAAACAAAAUAAAUCUCAGAGAGAAUUAGUGUAAUUAACUCAGAGUUUAAAUAUGAAAAAACUCUAAUAACAAGGUUUUAUUUUUGUGUAGGCUACUCGGUACUAAAACUUUUCUAUAAUAUGUAUACUAUUAAACUCAUGUAUAUAUCGCUAUGCUAACUAUGGAUGCAAAUUUUCGCCUUCUUCUUCUUGGAUGAAAAUGCACUUACAAAACAAUUAGCACCUAAGGUCAAGGCCAAAAGCUUUACGGGCCCACGAUGAAUGGGGGGGCUUUGGCCGAAGAACCUCCUAUGCCAAAAUUAAGAUUUGAGAGAGAAAAUGUUUAGAGAAUUUUAGGAGAAGAAUGGACUUAGGUUUUUUGAGAAAUGAGGAGGUAUAUAUAGGGGUGUGGUAGGCCAUAUUUGGAGAAAUAGGGAUCAGCCACUUAUGGUGGUGAUUUGGAUGUAAUUGUAAUCAAUUAGGCAAUUAAUCAAUUAAUUGGGUAAUUAAUCAAUUAAUUGGGUAAUUAAUCAAUUAAUUGGGUAAUUAAUCAAUUAAUUGGGUAAUCAAUCCUAAUUUAAAAAGAAUAAUGUGGGGGUUACCUUUUAAGCAGGAUUUGAUGAGGAUUGAUGAAAAAUGUUUUGAAUAAAUACCAUAUAGGUCACCUUUGACCUUGAUUGAGCCGUUAUGUUCGCUGAUGGCGCGUGAGAAUCCUGGUGUGCCUCGAGGAUAAUUUUGUCAUUUUCACCUAAAAGUUCACGUGUCACCUUCAUAAUUUUCUUGAUUAUUUUUUGCUCCACACUAACUUCUCAUGUGUCGAACUCCACAUGUUUGUCUUUCUUCACCACGUUGUACGUAAAUCUCUUUCUUUUCAACCAAAGUUACUUUGCUCGUGACGAGAAAAAAAGACACAUGAAAGUAUACAUCACAUUACAUCAUACAAUGGGAGAGAGAAACACGUAAGUGUAUACACUCAGUUGGUCGUCCUCGUAUGUAUACACUCAUAAGGUUUGAUUUUGUCAUCCUCAUAUGUAUUUCUUUAUUUGUUUUAAUAAGAAUAGUGGAUCAGUAGGCUCCAGCCGAGGAAUUAAUAUUGCCUCAUCUUCUUCUAUUAAAAUGUAUAUAAACACAACGUUUCAUGUAAUUACCCUCCUAAACCCAACCCAAGUUGUUUCUCUCUUGUUCGUAUAAAUUACAAAAAAGUUGCUUUUUUUUGUUCACCAUGGUAUUUGCCAUGCUAAUUACCCAUCAGGAAAAGUAGAAGAGUGAAAGCAACAAUCUAACGUGAGGCAUUUUGCUCUGGCCAUGUUUUGGAUCCGUCGUUUUUACGCAAGCAAAAUGAUGAGAGGGGAAAAUAACAAGUGGAAAUCGGAAAAAACAAAGGGCGGUGAAAAAGAAACCAAGCAGCGCCCUUGGUUUUGCUGAUUUAUUGUUAAGCUUUAGUACUAAAUUCAUUAAUUGUUGUUCUUUGGAUAAUAUAUCAAUUAUAAACCCGUUCCCGUUAAAGUUUAAUUAACUUAUUCUUGUGGCAUUUUAUUUUUUGGGUCCAAUGUUGCUUAUAGUUUUGGGUUUAAGAUAGAUAAUUAUUUGGUCAAUGAUGAUUUGGACAUGCUGCUGGUUAUUUGAUCAAGGAUGAAUUUGGACAUGCUGCUGCUUAUCGUUUUCUAAUAUAUAUUUUUGAAGAAGUGUGCUCUGAUAGCCACUCGUUUGAUGUAAUAGUUUUAAAAAUACUUUUUUUUUUGUUAAACAAAUGAUAUUAUUUAUAUUAAGAGGAGGGGAUGGCUUAGCCUCACAAUAAGCUAGCAAUAAUGUAGUUCAAAUUCGCCUUUGGCGAGAAUCGGAUCUACGACCUCUCCCUUAUAAAUGAAAAGGAAUACCAAUAAAUCAUAGUAUUAAGUGGCAGAAAUACUUAUGUUAUUAAAAUAUUAUUUAGUUUAAUGAAGGAGUAAUGUUUAUUGUUAAUCACUAUUUAUUCUUUCGAAUAAUAUGUAUAAUCAAUAAUAGAAUUCAAGGAAUUAUGUUAAUGUAAGAGACAAAUGAUCUAAGUUGUUAGAUCAUUGAGACCUUUCUCUUGUGAUCAUAGCUGAAACGCUCCUAACAAUAGAAUUGUUAAUUGGGCAUUGACAAUUCGCUAAUGUUAAAUGUGUUAUGUCAACUCAAUCAGGAAUAUGACUUGUCUCAAGUCAUCGGUGCGAGAUGCUAAGACAAACACAUAUGUGCUUAAAAGGUAUUUGAGUAUAUCAAACAACAAUCAACAAAGAGUUCUUAUAUACGGCCUCAUUUGGCAGCUCGGACUGUACUGACUAUUUUUGUCGAAUAGGAUAAAUAGUCAUCGGAUAGUACUGACUAAAUUAGUCGGGCGUUUGGUGCAGUAUCGGACUAAUGACCGUAUUAUUUAUACUGUGUAUGGUAAUUACUGGAAAAGAAAAGGAAUAGAAAAAAAACCCAGUUUGAUGAUUACUGGAAAAGAAAAAGAAUAGAAAAAAACGAAGUUGUCAAAUGCAGAAAGAACCCAGUAGCCAUUACACCAGCGUGGGUGGAUGGUCAAGCAGCAGCGCAGAAAGAACCCAGCAUAGACAGGCGGGUUCAAUUUACAGAAGCAAACCUCCAGAUUCAUUCGUUAAAAAAUGAAACGCACUUAAAAAAUCAUCAAUUCCAUCCUUCCAGGGGAAUCAUGGCAACCAAAAACCCAAUUUUGAGCUUCUAAUCCAUUAAAUUAAAAGAACCAUAUAAAAUCUCGCCCAGAUAUGAGUUUCUAAUCCAUUGAAAUAAAAACCCAGAUGAAAUCUUGCCUAGUUCUGAGUUUGAUCACCACAUAUCAACAAACAAUGAACAGUUCAGCCAAAAACUCAGAUAAUGUCUCCCGACGUGAUUUGAGUUCGAUCUGCAACCUUUCCGUUUGAAAUUUGCUUGAUGCUGAUCAGAGGUGGGGAUGGAGAAAGAGCAAGAGAAAGAAUACCUUGAGAAGCUAGUGAUGUGCAUAGCAGAUGGUGAGAUGGCGUGGAGAAAAGCCAGUGUUUUUUUGUUCGCAUGAACCCGACUAAAUAAUUCCAAGUUUUUGGUCGGGAUAAACAAGCGGGUGAAAGGGAGACAAAAUAGGUGGGGCCGGAUUAAUAAUCCGGUGCUUAUUUAGUACGAAAGGUCACCAAACACCUGUUUCGUAUUAUAUAAUACUAUCCGGUGUCUUAUACGGUGUGCCAAACAAGGCCAUGUCAUGUAAGAACUCAUAAGUUGUAAUAGUGCAAAUUAGUCAUUUGAUCUGAGACAUAACAGUUGCCUUGUGGGUACGUCUUUCAUCAUUCGACAAUGUAACAAAGACCAUGUUUCAUCUUGGGCAUGUUCUUAGCAUUGUUGGGAUUAGUGAUUUCAUAAAGGCAUGUGAGCGUACAACACUAGAUCUUUAACCUUCAAUCGUAGAAGAAGAAUUAUAUGCAUAUGAUUUGGGAGUGUUUUGCCAAAGUGCAUGAAUCUGAUUUAGGAAAGAAGUUCUAGAUCAUAUUUACAGGAAUCGUACGAAAAAUAAAUACAUUGGGUAGUAGGCAUGAAGAACUAUCACCUAAAACAAUGUAAUAAAGAGAAUUGACCUAGAGAAUGACCAUAUUGUAUUGCAUUCGUAAUUGAAUAGGCCACCUAUUCUAUUUAGCUUGGGUGUCAUGAUAUACUGCUAAGUAUCACUCAUGGCUUGGCUUGUGGAAGCCUUGAAGAUUAGCAAUAACUAAUCUUUAUCAUAAGAAAAAUUAAAAGUAAGUUUUAAUUCACUAUAGAUUAGUAUGAAUUACAAUUACCCACUACCUUGCUAACUAGAACCUAAUGAAUUGUACAUCGUGUAAGGAUGAGAUUGAAGAAAUAUAAAUGAGAUGGUGAAAUACAAUUAAACAAUUUAAUUGAGUGUGGUUAAGAUUAAUUAACAUGGUAGCCGGCCAUACUAGAGGAAGAUCUAGGUUUUUCUCUUACUACGCUUUGAAUUUUGUGGGUUAAAGGUUUGUUUUUGAGUGCAUACUUUCAUUAAUUCCGCCUCUAAUAUUUAAUUUCAUUGCAUGUGAUGCUCAAAUAAAUCUUAAAUGAACAAACUUUUUCCUUCGUCCAGUUUUUACCAUUUUAUGUGAAUAGUUUGUGUAAUAUUAUUUAAGGUAUUCUAGAAGGGUUGACAAAAUAGUGAGAUCGAUGCUGACUUAUGAGGAUUUUGGCCUAAGUUGAUUCAUGGAGCACAUGAAAUUGGAAAAUUAACAUACAAAAUUUCAUUGCACAAAUCAUAAGGAUUUGAAUAUCAGAGUUUCGUUCUCCUAGAGUUAGAAACCAGAAAAUCGUGAUUAUUCAAUUUUAAUCUUAAUUCUACGGUGGAAGAGAAAGUACAAAGAAAAAAGUUGAAUGACUAUUUGCUGUUGGAUUUAUAUCAAACAGUAGGUGACUACAAUUUUCUUAAACUGUGGAGUCAAGGAGAACAAGUUUAUCAUAUCAAAUAAUCUCUUAUAACAAAGUAAAUUCUAAUUUUCUAAAACAUAUUGUAUUUGCUUUUCUGCUUUCAUGAUUUUUAUCAACUAAAUAUAAACUCUGUUAAAAUUCAAAUAUAUUGGUGCAAACAGACCCUAAGGCUUCUUUAAUUCUAGCUACCUGUUGAAGAUGGGCAGUAAAAUAUGGAUCCAGUCCAGAGUCCAUAACAAAUAAUUCCAAUUUUUUUAUCGGGCAUGGAUAAAACCAAAAGGCUUAAGCGACCAAUUCAACAAAACAAAUCAAAAAUAAAGAAAUAUCAUUAAUUUAGUGUCGGGAAUUUAAAACUACUACUUAUUAUUACGAUUUAAUAAUAUUUUUUUAUUAAAAAUAAAUACGAAUUAUAUUAUUAUUAGUUUAUUAUAAAACUAAACUGAUUGCUUUUUUCGUAACGUAGAUAAUAUUGUGCGUUAAUAAAAACUUAAAAAAUAAAAAAUUUCAUCACUUCUAUUAAAACACAUAAUGUACUACUUGUGUUCCCAUCACAACUAAAAAUUUCUCCUUUCUAGAGCCUUUGGAUAUACAUGUUGACAAAAUGGCGACAUCCCAGAAAACUCCAACGAGUUUCUCUGCCUACAAAAAGAUGACAGACACUUUUUAUGACUGUUUUAAGCCUGUAAAUAACAAGUACCAACAACGACCGAAGACUACAAACAAAUCUCAACAAAUUAAAAUAGUGUUAACUGCAGACACCACAAGAUAGUGUGAUAAUGAGGGACGAAGUUUUAAUUUUCUCUUUACCAAAAAAAAAUUAAUUAAUUUUUUCAUACUGCAUUUUGUGAUUUCUGAAUUAUAUUAAUUUAUUUAUUUUUAUUAAUUUUACAGUCUAGUUAGGGUUGAUGUGACAUAAACUAAACUCACAUUCAUGAACAUGUUGACUGUUAAUCUCACUGUUUAGUAGUUUACUCUUUUAAUCUGUGCCUUAAAUAUGAAUCCAAUUUAUACCGCGUCAGCACUCACAUCUAACUAUACGGUGAAAUUGAAAAGAGAAGUUACAUGCGAAAAUUGAAACUUCACUCGUAUUACAAAUGACCUCAAACCGCGUAUAAAAUGCGAUUAAUUAAAAAAAAAAAAAAAACUAUGAAAACAAAUAUUUUCCCUUUAUAUAUGUAAUAAAUGAAUAUAAAAAUUUGACUAAUAUAUUCCACGUUGUAGUCUUAUUUAAUUCUAUGUCGUUUUAUUUCGUUUUAUUUUUUUUAUUUUUUUAACAGAUGAUACCAUUACACUAAAAAGGAAUGAGUGAGUUUAACGUCACAAUAAGAUAGUAAUAACGUGUUUCAAAUUCGCCUUUAACGGAAUUGAACUUAAGACUUUCUACUUAUAAGUGAAAAGAAAUACUACUAUACUAUAAUAUUAAGUAACAUAUUUUGUAUUAAAACAGCCCUUACCAUUCAAACCUAACGUAGUCAACCAACCGUAACUAAGUUUUUCUCCACAAGUUGGAUGGGGGGGGGGGCAAUCGUCAUCCCAAUGGACAUAAAUUCAGCUUCCAAGCUUUGUUCUAGCUCCUCUCUAUCUUUUAUACCUACCACCCCUACCAACCGAACCUUCCUUCUAAUUUCCUCUACAUCUUCAACACUUCAAUCCAUCAAUCCUAUCAUCUUUAACAAUAAUAACAAAAAAAAAUUAAUUCCUUUUUUUUUCUUUUUUCUUUUUUUUGUUUUGCUAGUACCAUUAUUGUUUUCACAACCUGGAGAAAAACAAAAAUACCAUCAUCAUUUGAAACCUAAAUAUGAUCAAACUUGGCAAUUUAUGAGUACCCGAAAAAUGAAACGGCAAAAUUUAACUGCUACAGACAAGAUAGAUCAUACGAAUACAAGUAACUUAGUAACUCGAAGACAUUUUCACUACUGGUAACUCAAAAGCUGUCAGUUUUACAUUCAUGAUCAGGUCCUCUAGUAAAAUUCAGGCACCCAAAACAAAAUCAAACCCACAAAAAUAAAGAUUAAAAGUUAAAACCCACCAAACAAAACCACAAACAUUUAUGAUCCAACAAGUUUAACCGAGAUCACAGAUAAUAUAAUUUAAAUUAGAGAUUAGUCAUUGACUUAAUUUUUUUUUUUUUCUGGCCUACCCAAAAUUUCAAGUAAAUUAAGUCUCUGUUUUUGUCUUAAAACUCUUAAUUUUUUUGCUAAUCUUCGAACCCAACUUUUUCCCAAAUUGCGUUUCUCACCCUCCUCAAAUCUCUGCCUUUCAGAGUCCUCCCAAUCCCUUCGUGAACAGAAAACGAAGCCCCUCUCAUCCUCGCCAAGUACUCGUGAGGUGGGACCCUCCCAUACCCGCUGUCGUUGUCGUCGUCGGCACCGUAGAAAUCCCCACCGCCGUCUUCACCACUUUCCAGCGUCCUCUGCUCUUUGUAACCCUCCUUGAGAAUCUCGGACCAGUCCGGAAUGUUCACCGGCAACGAUGAUGACGUCACCACCUUGGCGGCGCCACCCAUCUCCGCCACGCUCAUGCUCAUCACCAUCAUCUUCCUCCCCAUUUUCUUCGGCUCUCUGCGGCUGGGAACUGAGCUCUUCUUGGACUCUGCAACUGGGCUGGAUGACGAGUUCCCGAUAUCCGCCUCGUCGAACUCGAAUAGCCCAUCCGAGCCAAUUGGGCUGUCGUCCGUCGACGGGGCUGGAAAAAUGGAACUGGGUUUUCCAUAAAAGGAGGACUUCCUCGACGCCAUUGAUGGAGAAGCAAGCUUCGAGUUAUCUUGUCUCUCUGACUAUGCUCUGUUUUCAGUUGGGACUUUUUUGUCUUCUAAUUUUUUUGGGGUGGUUUUAUGCAAAAUUUAUGCCCAAAAUGUGGAUUGCUCUGCGUUUUAUAAGUGUGAGAAAUGUGGAUAAGCUCCCUCUAUUUCUCUCUCAUCGUACAAACUACAAAGUUACAUUUGUCAUGCUACAAGACAAAAAGGGUAAGUGAUAGAGUGUGUGUAUCCUCAUUGUUUAGCAUGGGGAUGGGUGCUCAUCAUUUUCAUUUUCAGGCUCUAAUUGCUUCUUUUGCUUUUUUUACUUUUUAUGGUGCAAAAUGAUUAGUGUUGUACACCAAUUAGUUUACUUUGUUUUAAUCUUGAUUUAACUUCUUAAUCAUGGUUACUUCAUGUGUAAGUAUAUAAAAAACGCUUCACCAUUUUACUCUCUGAAACUUAAAAUUUGUUUCGUUUUGAUUUGUGGACUCUUUUCUCUCUAAAACUAAAAAAUCGCACCCUAGAACAUAUGUGGGACCCGCAUGUGCCAAUUAAUUUGAUUAUUUAUAAUCACUAUGCAUUUACAUUCAACAAUUAGAAAAUAUUAAGUUUAAAAGAAGAAACUAAGAAUUUAAAUUUUGUUCAUUGCUGGGCUUGAGUUGCAAAGAUGAAAAAAAUUAAGAGAAAUUUUAUUUGGACCCAGUUUUCCUCUCUUUAAACCCAACUUUAAUAUUUUGUUACCUAAACUCUCUAGUUUACCCUCAUAAAUUAUAAACAUAAAUAAACUGGAAAAAGAAAAACUCAUCAAACCCAUUUCCCGACUGUUCUCUCGCCUUCUGGCAUCUCCUCCCUGUAUUUGUUGGGUCUGUCUCCCUCCCGAUUGUUUUUUUUCCUUGAUAUUCUCGGUGUGUUCCCCCCACCUCUCCCACACCCACCAAUUCUUUGUGGUGGCUACUCCACCAAACGUCCGGUGAAUCUUUCCUUUUUUCUUUUAUUGCAUGUGAUAGGGCCUUGCUGUUAAUAGGCAAAACUAAGCGACAUCGUCGACUCCGUAAGAAACUUGUUGCAGAAAUCCAAAAUGGAGUCAAAUGGAUUUUGUAUUGGGUCGGGUUGUUGAAGGCGAUGUCUGAUUUAGCAAUCCUGCCUAACUACUUUUAUAUGCAGGAGAAGGAAGAGGGAGGGAGGUCUAAAGUGGUGGUUGAGUGGUGGCGAUGUAUGUGGGUUCUAUCUCAGUUGAAUGGGUGUAGAAAGAUAUUUAAUUUUCAGUUUCUUAUUUUAUUUUUGUAUAAGGGGUAAUAUAGGAAUUACAUAAAAAGUUUUUUGUAGCUGGGUGUAGAAAGAGUAUUGUUGGGUCUAAAUAAAAUUACCCAAAAAUUUAUUAGCAAAUUAAUUAGCAUGAUGCACCCAAAUCAAACCCACAUAAUGGGAUUAACAAAAUUAAGGCAAUGUAGAGCGAAUUUAGAGUUUUAUAGAAUAAAAUGAUAACUUUUGAGUUUCAAAUGGCAAAAUGGAAUCAAAAUUAAGUUUCAGGAAACAAAGUAAAGUGAACUUUAAGUUACAGAGAAUAAAGUGAUGAUUUUUUAGAUAUAGGAUGCAAGUGGCAUUAAAAUCGAAUUCUAUAGGCGUAACUAAAAAUAAGUAUAUAUUAAAAAAAUAAAAAAGGCAUGCAUGUCACUUGUUCUUUAUUUAUUUAUUUUGGAAAUAGUCACUUGUUCUUUAUCUGACCGUAAUAAAAAAGUACAUAGUAUGCAUAAACAAAGUGCAUUCAUAUAUAUAUUACAUAGUAUGAUAAUCAGCUACGCACAUCAACAACUUUGUGUGCACAAAAUGAUUUCAAAUCUAUGAAAAGUUAAUGUGGUAAAAUGGUAUGACAAAUUCUUAGCUGUAAGAUUCAAACUGUACCAUUAUUGGUAUUCAAAUUUAUUAUUAUCCAUAAUAAUUUAAGAUCUUAUCCAUAAUUUAAUUAAAAGAGUUUGUUUCAGGAGUGCUCAUACAUUUAUUAAUUUGCAUUUGAAUAUAUGGUAUAUAUUUACUAUGGUCUUAUCCACAAUUUGGAACAUAAUAAGUACUUCAUGAAAAGUGUUAUGUUAAACACACUACUUUUUCUAUUGAAUAAUGUGGAAGUGUUACGUUAUGCUCACCAUACACCUAAUCAAUUGACACGUGUUAUUUCACUUAAUUCUAGUUAUUUUUCACAUUAAAUGUUAGUUUUUCAAUUUUGAAAAAAAUUAACCAAGAUUAAGUGAAAUGACACGUGUCAAUUGAUUAGGUGUAUGAUGAGCAUACACCAUAGUUUAUGAUGGUGAGUAAAAAUGCUCCCACACAGCACCUGCCACACAACAUCUUCUUUAGUAGUAAUUAUACAAAGAUGAAGUUUGGACAUUCCAAGCUAAUAAUAAAACUAACUGAACAAGAUUAUAGUAGCUAAACUAUUAAUCAUAAAAUUUCUCUAUAUAUAUCGAAUAUGCAUUGCCAAUACUUUGAAAGCAGCUCUUUCGACAAGCGAAAACAAGAUAAUUGAUGCAGGACGCAGCAAAUAGAAACGAAAUAAAAUGAUAGAUAUGAUUGAUAGGUAGGGUCCACUAUCUCUGAGUGCAAGGAGAUGCCUGAAAACCCUAUAAACUUUGGUUCUAGUACUAGCCUAGAACGUAGACACUAGAAAAAACAAAACAUCAUACUCUUAAACAAGAGAAAGGCACAAAUAUGAGAUGGAUAUAUCUCUGAAUAAGGAUGGGCAAAUGCUCAUUGGUUAUGGGUAACCGCGGUUACCCGCCCAUCUAAAUUAAACGGUUACGGUUAUGGGUAACCGUUUAAAUAAAUAAACGGUUAUGGGUAUAACGGUUUACCCGCGAAAUUUAAAUGGGCAGUUAUGGGUAUUAACUGCGGUUAUAAACGGGUAACCGUUUACCCAUUUAUUUUAUAUAUGUAAAACUAACACAAACCAUGUUCUCAAUCCAAUAAUACUUAGCACCCAAUAAAUUAGCAAGGAAUUCAUCGAUCAUUCUCUCAAUAACACUACUACAGGAAUGAUGAGUCUCAUCAUCAAGGAAUUGGCCAAAUUAAUUUAAAUUCAUUGCGGGUAACCGUGAAAGUGAAAGAAAUGCUUUGACAUAAAUGUCUUCUAAACAAUUUUUGUAACCCAAUAAUACUUAGCAAAUAUUAUAUUUACCUUCUUUGGUAACAGUUAAAAAUAUCGUCCGUAAACUAUUAUUUCAAUUAUUGAAAUGGUAUAAGGACUUAAAAAAUUAAAAUAUGGAAAUGUAUGAUGAAUGUACCUAUAACGGUGUUUAAUUGUCAAAAAAAAAAAUUAUGACAAUUUUUUUUUUAAUUUUCAAGUUGUUAAAAAACAUAUAGACGGGUGAAAAAAAGGUAAUGGAAAAAAAAAAGAUAAACGGGUUAAAAAGGAUAAAUGAGUAAACGGAUAUUAAACGGUUACAGUUAAAUAGGUAUGCGGUUAUGAGUAUGGUUAACCGUUUAUAAACGGUUAUGGGUAUGGGUAUAACCGUUUAGGUAAUUACCCAACGGGUAAACGGUUAUGCGGGUAUGAACAUAAACUGUUAUAGGUAAAUUAACCGCGGUUACCCGCCCGCCAUAACCAUUGCCCAUCCCUAUCUCUAAAUAUUUCAUUCACCAACAAAAACAUCCAACUCUUUCAUCUUACAGAAAUAAAUGGUUUUUAUAACCAUUUUGUAACUUACAUUCAGAAAUUAAAAAGGCAAUAAACAUAAUAACACCUAAUACUGAAAAUUACAUUAAAAAAAAGGCUAUUAUCAGCCAUAGAAACGCCCUGACUGUUAUGAUUGGCCAUAAAAAACGUCUUGAAAUUAAUCUUAUCAGCCAUUUGUAUUAAAGCACCCUCUUUAUUACAGCACAUAAAUCUAUCUUCCAAUAAUUUAUGGUGCUCCAUGCCAAUUGAAUCAUUUAUUUCCCAUCUUGCAUCAUUCUCCCCUUCUCAAAAAAAAAAAACACGUCCUUGAGUUUUGUUUGUAAGAACAUGAAUCCAAGUCUCCAUGCUUUGUUUUCUUCUUCAAACUUACAAACUGAUUCUUUGCAUAGAAUAUAUAGAGGUUAGCCAUCUCUUGGAAUCAAACUAUAACAUCAGGAUAGGAACAGAAAGCAUAAAUAUUUAAGACUUUUAACAAAUCAAUCCUUUCACUCAACCUCUUGUUGAUGGAAGCAUGUAUAAAAUCCAACCAAACUGGAUCGUGGAAUUGAAACUUAGUAAAAGAUUCCACCACCUCUAUCAAAACGCUUGUCAUCGUUUGUUUCUUGUGCGUCCAAUUUUGAAUUCCAAUACCAGAUUGUUGUCAUUAUGAACUUCUUUGAUAGAAGUCUUGAUGAGCCACUCCAAAUUGUAAAGAAAACUCUUGACCUCCAGUGACCAGAUUAAUUAUAUCCUCAUCAACACCAUCAUCAAACACUAAAUCAUAAUGACACAUUCCACAAUAAAUUUCACAAGAGCCAUCUGGACAACGAUCAAAUUUUGGAGGAAGAUCAAGAUUUAUGAAGUUUUCACUUCAAAAUUCUGAAGCAACCAUUUCUUCGACUUCCAUCUGUAAAACAUACCCAGUCUCAGUUACUGGCAUCAGUGACAUGCAUUAGUAAAACACAAAUAUCGUUUUGCCCAAAUAACGGAUUCGAGAACCGCUUGAUAAUUAGAAACUAGACUGGACGGGCUUUCCAAUGAUAUAUUGCUUGAUGGUCGAGUAGUUCUUAAUCAACUCGAAACUCAGCUUGCAAUAGAGAUGAUUUGCUAGUUUCGCACAACACCCACCAACACUCUGGUGUUUUGCAAAUAUCUAUUCACAAAAAACUCUGUUUGAUGCACGGUUUGUUGGGUUGGAAACAAGACUCCCUGAGCUUUCCAAUGAUGCAUAGACGGUGUGGAUUCUCUGUCUAAAAAAAAUACAUAUUUUUUGACGAACUUGACUUUCAUAGUAGGAACUCGAACUGAUAUUGUUACCCUUGAUAUAUCGUCACCCUUGGAUCGAGCUGAUACCAACUGAUGCAGGGCGUAACAGAUAUAAACGAAUUAAAAUGAAAUGAGAACAAAAAAUUAGGAUAAAAAAUGAUGGAUAUGUAUGAUAGAUAGAUAGGGUCUACUAUCUCCUAGUGAAAGAAAAGACCUGAAAACCCUAAAAUCUUUGGUUUUAGUACCAGCCUACAACACAGACACUAGAAAAAACAAAGAUGCAGACUCUUAAACAAGAGAAAGAUACAUAAAAACAAGUUUACAACUUAAAUAUCAAUAUGAUAAUUCAAACGAAUGAAUCAUUUAUUUCCCAUCCUGCACCAAGAACUCAAAGGAUAAAAUUGACAACCGCUUGUAGCAACAAAUUAACUUAACUGAGAGUAGAAUCAAAUUCCACUAGUAACUUUCCAAUCCGUAAUCUCCAAUGUAAACCCUAAACACAAAUUUAAUAUUGGAAAAAUUAGUAUCCGGUCCCUAGUUUUUAAUGUUCAUUGACUAAGACCUUAUCAGUUUUUAGAUUUUAAUCAAAGUCCCUAGCAUUAAUAUAUUAAUGAAUCACAUGUAAGUUACAUAAUUUUUAUAAUAAAAACUAGUAAUUGGUUUAGAGUUUUAAUACUCACACCCUUAUUAAACUCCUAAUUAAUUUUCAAUUCAAACAUUUCCAAAAUAUAAAAAAUAAAAUUAGAAUAAGUUUGUACCCUUAAAUUUUUAUAAAAAAAUUUCAAUUUUUUAAUUUUAUAGGUACCUAUUCUUAAAUAUACCAAUUUGUUAUAUGAAAAAUGUACAAUUUUUUUUAAAAUAAAAUGUACCCAUUUUUUAUUUAUAUAAAAUUCAUUCAAUCUUAUGUCUAAUCCAUUUUUUAAACUUAUAUGAGAACCUUGUAUUUCGUUGAUUUGAGAAUGUAUGCAUGUCAAGUUUAAUAGAAGAAAUUUAAUAAUGUUAUUAAGCCUAAUAUUUUUUUUUUUUGAAAAAUGUGCCCAUAUUUUGGUACAAUAAUGUUUUGAUUAGUUUUGAUAAACGUACCGAUGUAUACACACACACACACAAUAUAUUAGAAAGUAUAAUUUAUCUUUAAUAUUUUUAAUCCCAUAAAUUAUGGGUUUUAUUUAUAAUCUCAUUAAUAUAAAUAACUACAAAUUUCAUUUUAAUUUAAAAAUAUAAUAACCUACAUAUAUAUACAUUAUUACAUUAAUGUCAGAUAUUUCGAUAAAAAUUUAAAAAUAACAAAAAUUUCAAUCAAAGAACAUUGAUAAUUAAGGAUCACAUCUAAAAUGUUUCUUCACCUUUGCAUAAUAGAUGAUCCAAGAAAAAACAAUAUUUUGCUUGGAAAGCAGCUCAAAUUUUAAAUUCAUCAAUUGCCUUUAACUUCCAUACGCAAUUCAACCAUUAAGCAGAUAUGGACGAGUAUAUCCUCGAACAGAUCAUCGACACGUGGGCCAACCAGAGUUUCCUGAUUGCACCAUAUAAUUGCACCAGUGAGGCCAUGCCACGCUCGGGUUUCCGUAUAGUCUCGAACCACGCUGCAAGUCAAGGGGGGCCCCGCGGCCCAUUCGACGUCUUGAAAAGAAAGGGAUGUCCAUAUCGCGACACGUCACGUACCAAAAUUUAUUGGUGAAAUACGCGUUUUGUCGCGGCUCGGGAAGGUAGAGUAGGCUGUGGGCGGUGGAAGGAGAGGAACGUUCUGCUGCAGCUCAGUAAUCUCAGCAUAAAUCAGCCUGCGCCUUUCUGUGAUUGACAGCUAUGGACUGCUGCGAUUCUUGGGAUGGGUGUUAUAUUUGGAUAAGGACUUGGACUGGGAUCACCUCCGGAUCCCUGCCUCCGGACCAACUUAAGCAAACCAUCCCAUCCUUCCAUUUUCAUAUUGUCUUGUUUUGCGUGUAAUAUUUAAAAUUAUUUUUUACCACAGGAUAAAAAAUAGAAGGAUGUGAUGUUUUGCUCAGUUUGCUCCGGAGGGAUUCCAGUCCUAAGGACUUCACCUUUUUUCUUGAAAAUUUAAUUUAUAAUGUAUACAAAUCUAAACUAUAUAUUUAUCAACUACAAGGGUUAAAAACAUAGAGGUAGAUUUUCUACCUUCCUACUUCUCGUGCCUUUUUGUAUAUUUUUUUUUGUGUGGUCAUGAUUAAAUCAUGUCAACAUUUUAUAUUAUUUUUAUAAAAAUAAUAAGAUAAAAAUGAAUAGUAACAUAAAAUGUUGACGUAAUUUAACCGUUACCACAUAAACAGGAUGACACGGGAGGGCACGGAAAGUGAUAUCUGCCUUCUUAAAAAAUUAACUUCGUUAACAAAAUUAAAGUAAAAUGACCAAAAAGUUAUAAGUAAUAUUGUGAAUUAAAUACAAAAUAAUUUUAUGAUUCUUUUUAAACCUAAUAGCCACGUAAUCAUAUCAGUUAUCCCUUCGCUUAAACUGUUUUUUGUCAAAUAAAGUAAACUUUUUGUGAGAAAAAGUUUUGAAGCUCACCACCAAAAGCUUUGACAACUAUUAUAUAUAUAUAUAUAUAUAUUUUUUUUUUUUUUUUUGUAAAUGGUAUUUUGGCUUUUUAGCUUAAAAUAACUUAUGAAAUUGACAUAACUUCUCACUUUGGUAUACCAUCAAUCAUUUUUGUCAUUUUGUGAAAAAUCUACGUUAAAUAAAGAUAAAUUAACAAAAUACCUUCCAUUUUUGUCAAAUCAUUUUGGCCUAUUGUUGAGGUUAAUUUUUUUUUUCAUUUUGGUCCCAUUUAACAUAAAUUUUCUACAAAAUAACCAAAAUGAUUGACGGUAGAUAAACUCAGAAACCAAUUCUAUCUAUUUCAAAUCUCAAACACCAAAGUGAGGAUUUAUGCAAAUCUCAUAGACUAAUUUGGCUCAAAAGCCGUUUAAUUUUAAAAUUAAAUGAGCACAUGCAUAACAUAUGUACAAUUGCUUAGGGCUGGGCACGGGCCGGGGCGAGCCGGGCCGAACCUAAGUUUGUAGGAACCGGAGGUUAAACGAAACGGGCCGGGACGGGGCGGGGAUUGGAUUUUCUUGUAUAGGAACCGGACAUUACCCGGCCCGGUUAAAACGGGCCGGUUCGGGCGGGUCCACGGGUACCCAUUUUUUCUUUUAGCCAUAGAAGAGAAGGGACGACCUCGUUGAGGUCGUCUUCCCCACCACAUACGAGAACAAGCAACACAGCUGCACAGCAAGCAAUAAAUGAAAGCCCAGAUGCAAAAACAACAAAUCAAACCCCUUUAAUCAUGCACACAGACAAAACCAACCACCAAACAAUGAUCAAAACAUCAAAAUUGAAAAGAAACAACAAUCAACAUAUAAACAGGAAAAAAAAACAGAACAGAACCCAGAACUCGCAAGGAUGAUACUGUCCUCGAUAGUGGUGGUGGGUGGUGGUUGUGUCGCGCGCGGCGAUAGUGUGGUGGGGUGGUGGUUGUCGCGUCAUCUUCGUCGAUCUGGAGCCCACCAUCAUCGACGAGCUCGCUAUUGUCGUCGCGCCAUCAUCGUCUAUCUUCUAUCUCUACUAUCCCUCGGGUCCCUCGGAGCAUCUCCGAUCUGGAUUCUGGAGCCUCAUGUCAUCGUCGACGCCAUCUUCGUGUAAACCCUAGAACUCGAGAGGACUCUGACAGAACGAAUCAGACAAAUUGAGAGAGAAAUGGAUCAAUUGCCGUCGGAUUCAAGCAUCGCCGACACCGCCUCAGUGUAAACCCUAGUUCUCAGGCCCACCUCGCGGUACCCUAGCUCAUCGACGGCGGCGAUAAUGAUGAUGAUGGUGGCGGCGAUAAAGGAGAUUCAAGGAGAUUUUGCAUGUUGGAAGGUUGAAGGAGAUUCAAGGAGGAGAGAUCGAGGGAGGAGAGAUCGAGAGAAUGGAGGAAGUGAGUAUGAGAAUGAGAGUCUUGGGAGUCUCGGACAAGAAUAAGAGAGAGAGAGAGAGAGAGAGAGAGAGAGAGAGAGAGAGAGUGAAAUCAACGGUAGGAAAUCAACGUAGGAAAUCAAGGUAGGAAUCAACGGUCCGGGCCGGGGGCCCGUAUUUUCCCAUUUCUGUACCCGCCCCGCCCCGUUUUUUUACCUGUACCCGCCCCGCCCCGCCCCCUUUUGAAUUUACAAUAUCUGUACCCGCCCCGUACCCGCCCCGUACCCGCUUUACCCGCCCCUACCCGCGGGUCCAGGACUCGUUUGCCCAGCCCUACAAUUGCUAGUUUUAUUAUCCAAGAAUGAAAGUCGGCAAUACGUUACAAUUGUAAAAUCUCUUAUUAUUAUUUUAUCUUAUUUUCUUUAGCGGGUCUUUCUAAAAAAUUAUUCUAUUAGAUGGUUCGUGUCUAUAAUAAUUGUCCCGUUACUAAAGAUGUUGAGUUAAGGACAUUAUUUUCGAGAUGUAACUUUCCAACAAGUUUCAAGUGCCUGAGCCCAUGAGUUUGAAACUUGUUGGAAAGUUAUGGAUCAUGACUUCAAUUAUGUCUGAAAGUGAGGAUGGGAAAGUUGUUGGAGAACAAUUCAGAAAUAAACAAUAUAACAGAAAUAAACAGAACUUGAAAUUCACAAUUUUAUUUUACUAAAAGUACUUGCUAUACAGAAUGAAAAGUAUACAAUAAAAACAGAAAUUUAUAUAAGAAUAUCCACAGUACUAACUUGAUUACAGAAGGUAGAGGCUAGCGUAAAAGCUAUGUCCUUCGAACAGUAAUUCCGUCCCACUCUUGUGCUUGUAGUUCUACAACGUCUGCUCGACCAGGAUACAACUACCUAAUCCUACAAUCCGCACUGGAUUAUAGAAUUCUAGUGAAUUGCUUUGUGUGUUUACUCUCUCUCUGGAAUUUUGUACGGAAGAAAAGGAAGAAGAAAAGAUUAUCAUUUGGAUACCAUGGAUUGCAUAUAUAUAGGCUGUUUCACACCCUUUCAAAUACCAGUUCAGUGUAUUUGAAGGUUCACAACUCUUUCUAAGAGCUGUGUCUUUUAAUCAAAACGUUUUUAAUUAAUAAUAAACUAAUUAAAAACUUAAUCCGAAAAUUAAAAUUAAUGAAUCAGAUUAAUUUUAAAUUCCAAGGCCCAAGGCCCUUGUCUUGAUUAAUUAAUAUUCAUUGUAUUUAGGCUAUAUUAUACAAGCCUAAUCCACACAACCAUAAGGCCCAAGCCUUCAAUCCAUUUCCAAAUGGCCCAUAUUCUAAUUACUAGACUAAAGCACUAAAUUUAUAUAAAGGCCCCUGUGAAUCUUGUUUUCCCUAAUGUGGGACAAGAGUCUCAAAACUUCUAACAAAAACAUUGCUUGCUUCCCAACAUCUUCAACCCCAUUUAAUACAUACAGCAAUAGGUAUCACAAUCUUGGGUUCUUAUGGUCCAACGUCAAAGCUUAGAUAUUUUUUGAGGAGAGUGAAGGAGUUAAUGGAUGAGAUGGAAGUUGCUGUUGGAAGUGCUCCAAUCGCUUCCAAUCGCAACACAUGUUUAGUCCCCUGUUGGUGUCCUUACCGGAGCGUGAAAGUCAAGUAGUUUUGAAAAUUGAGGAAAUCUUAGGGUUCGUUUGGUAUCUUGUUAAAAAAAAUUCAUACAUUUUUUAAGAACAUCUUUUAAGAAUCAUUUUAUUUAAUGCUCAAAAACUUGUUUGGUAUAAAAUUCAAAUUGUUUUUAAACUUAACAAUUAAAAAAAACCUCAUCUUACAGUGGAGUUGGUAACAUCAGCCGAACAUGGAAAUCCAAAGAGAGAAGGGAGAAAGUGCAGAGAGAGAAUACCAGAGGAGAGAAAAAGAGAGCAUUGGUUGAGAAAGACGAGAGAGAGGUCGGCUGAGAGAGGUAGAAAUGGGAGAAAAAGAAAGAUGAGAGAGAAAAAUACAAGAGAGAGAAAGAUGGGAAAGAGAAAAUAUAGAGUGCACAUAAAAUAUUUGGAAGCAUAUGGUAUAAGUUAAAAAACUCUACCAACUUACCUUUAUUGUUUUCAACAAUUAGGCAAAUUUUUAAGUUGGUUUUGAGUAUAGUUUUUAAAAAUAGCCAUACCAAACAAGUACUCAAGGUAUAAAAUUUGAAAAAUAUUUUUAAGUUAAAAAAGUUAUAUUCAAAUAGAAUGCCAAACAAGCUCUUAGUUGCAUAAGAAGCCUUUCUGUUAUAGAGGGUAGAGAGGAAGAGAGUUGUGCAGCUAGGGUUAGUUGAGGAAGAGAAUUGAUGAGUUUUUUUUUUUUUUUUGAAUACAAUGAUAUUUUUACAUUAAGGGAGAGAGAGUUAGGCUAAGCCACACAAUGAACAAUUUAAUUUGAUAUCAAAUUCGCUAUUCACGAGAUUUGAACCUAAGAUCUCUCACUUUCAAGUGAAAAGGAAUACCACUAGACCGUAGUAGUGAGUGACAGAAUUGAUGAGUUAAAGAGGGUAGUUGGGCAUUUGGAUGUGGGGCCUUUAAGAAAUUAGAUGAAAAUGUUUAUUUAUUUAUUUUUAACAAAUGAUAUUAUCUACAUGAGAGGGAAGUUGACAUUUCGAUAAAAUUAUUCAACCUGAAAUAAUAGAAAGAUAAUAUUUACAAAGUGCACACUACCGCUACAAUUUAGCAUAUUCGAAGUGUUGUAUCAAUGAGAAGUUAUUGAGUGAUACGGUAUUACCAAUUUCCACAUCGGGAUGAUACUUCCGUUCGAAAUUUUCCACGUGAAAUUUUUUUUACAGCUAGAUUCAAUGUCUUUUUCUGUCUUUUUAUUCCUGGUUAAAAAAAAAAGACAGAAAAUUAAAAGCUUAAAUUAAUAAUAAGUAACCAGUAAGCACCUUUAUGGAAGAUCCCUAAUGUCUAACCACCACUCUCACACCUUUAUGGAGGAUCCGUAGUGCGCGGACCCUCGGAAUCAAUUCACCAUGAUCGAAGUUCGAACGCUUGACCUGACCUACUGGGCUAAAGUCGGACUAAUCGGUGCCCCGUGGAUAACGGGCUUCUUCGACCAACGUCUUUAUGACUGGAUCACGGGUCUCAAAAUGUUUAAAAAGCCCAACAGAAUAACCCCGACAAAGCCCAAGGACAAUUCCGUCAUUCCGUUCGCAACUCCCCCCCAAUCCACACAAAACCCUAGCGGCAUGUGAACCGCUUUACAAAAUCCACACGUUUCACUCUCACUCAGCCUCCUUCACCCCCCAAAACCCUAACGCCCCCAAACCCAGAGCGCCGCCGAAGAAGCCAUGCCUCCCAAAUUCGACCCUUCUCAGGUCGUCGAUGUCUACGUCCGUGUAACCGGAGGCGAGGUCGGCGCCGCCAGUUCGCUCGCUCCCAAGAUCGGUCCUUUGGGUCUCUCCCCCAAAAAGAUCGGAGAAGAUAUCGCUAAAGAGACUGCCAAGGACUGGAAGGGCCUGAGAGUCACCGUCAAGCUCACCGUGCAGAAUCGUCAGGCCAAGGUCUCCGUCGUCCCCUCCGCCGCAGCGCUCGUCAUCAAGGCGUUGAAGGAGCCGGAGCGCGACAGGAAGAAGACUAAGAACAUCAAGCACAGUGGGAACAUUUCGUUGGACGACGUGAUCGAGAUUGCUAAGGUGAUGAGGAACAGGUCCAUGGCGAAGGAGUUGGCCGGGACCGUGAAGGAGAUUCUGGGCACUUGCGUUUCUGUAGGGUGCACCGUAGAUGGCAAGGACCCGAAGGAUCUUCAGCAGGAGAUUGCCGACGGUGAUGUCGAAAUUCCCUUGGACUGAUGAGCUAUGUUUUUGGUUUUAUAUAAUGCUAGUCAGUUUUUGGGUUCUAUAAAGAUUUCAUAUUUUUGGGUUUUAAUUCUAAAUUGGUUUCCCAGUUAUGAAUUUCUAUAGAGCAUUGAAAUCGUUGAUCGAAUUCGGAGCUGUAAUGCAUUAGUGUUAAUUUAUGAACUUGAUUUUGUUGCUUAAUGUUGAAAUGCAUUUUCUUUAUGCUCAUGAAUGAUUGUGUGGUGAUUGAUUUUUGCUUUUUGUUAAGUGAUGAGUGAUCUCUUUAAAAUCACUCACAGAUGAUUUAGCAUUUCGAUGUUAAAUUUGAUGGUUUCGGUGUAAACCGGUGUUGAAACAAUUGACUUGAUGGGGUUUAUAGUGUGAAUUAUGGUGAAAUCUAGUUUGAAAGAUGGUUUAUGCAAUUGUGUUUUGGAUUAUGAAGCAAUUGUUCAAAUGAUGGUGGUAUUUGAUUCCGAGAAUAUUUUCACGUUUUGCUUACAAGUUUGAGUUGGAGCAAUUGUGUUUGUUUUCCCCUCGUGUGAAUUUCAAAUGUAUAUGUUCUGUUAAUUGCAUUUGUUCAUCAUGAAGUCGGGAUUACAGCUUGUAUACUUGGACGUUUGGUUAAAAUAUUAAAAGAUUAUUGCGUGACCCGAUACCUUGUUAGUUAUCAAACAUGGAUUUUAGUUUCAAAAUCACUUAUCUGAAAUUGGGAAGUCAUUAAGAUCCUAACAGUGUUGUUGCUGAUGUUUUAGUUCUCAUAACAUUGCUCACUAGUCUGUCUUGUGGUUUGAGUGAUCGAGUCUACCGAAGGGUAUAAUAAGCACUUUAGGUGAAACUGGUUCACCAUCAUCGUGGAGUCCCGACCCACUAAUACGAUGAAGUGUGCUAAGCUCUUCACGUGGCCUUGUAUUAGUGGCUCCAUGGAAGUAUUCCGUAUGCAAUUUUUUUUUCCUGGUGUGGAGAACUUCCACGCCAUGGGAAGCCAUCGUGUUGUGAUACCUGUUGUGAUACCAGGCUAUGUAAUGUAUGAUGGUUAAAACACAUGGAAGGACAUUAUUAGCUUGCUUUACUGCCAAUAGUAUUUUUAGUGUCGGUAAGUUUCUCUCAAUUUAGAUAUUGUCCGAUAGGUCUGCAAGUUUCACAUCUAAGUAAUACUCGAUCUGAUAGUUUACAAUAUAUAUGAUAUAUAUUUAACGACAUUCUAAGAACUGAUAUUUUUAGAUAUCAGUAGUUGUCUGGUUCGAUCGAUGUGAGCUCUUAGGGAAGAUCACCAUGUUAUCCCUAAAGUGAAUUUUAUCCGUAGCUCUACGGUUCUUUAACUUGGCACCGUCAGAUCACUAAGGACGACUUUUGUCCCUGCUUGACGGAUUGGUCUUACACUCAAGCUCCCUUCUGGCUUUUGCACUCAAGGGCCAAUCUCUGUCUGGCCUGAGGUAACACGCCUUCGUUAUCUUUUUGGCAGGCCUACGCCCCAUAGAAACUUUUUACUUGAGUUUGUUCCUUGGCCCAUAGGUUUUGACACAGGGUUAAUUUGAGCUCAUCAUCUAAAUCUGCGCUAGGAAAGGCCCAAUGCCAAUCCAAGGGAAUAGUGAAGCUUCACAGGUUAUCUCUGUCCAGGUGUGGGUAGUUUGCAUCUUCACAGCAUGUACUCUUUUGAGAUACUAUUUGGUCUUAGGAUUGGUAUUGAUCAAGUGAUCAGACAGCUCAAGGAUGCAACGUGCUAGACCUAAGACUUCAACAUGAGUUGCUCAUUUAGCUAAUAUUUUGGGACGACUUUUUAUCACUAAUCCCUCUUCUAGAAAAGAGAGUUCCUCUCUCCGUUACACCCGCAAUAGAGCACGCCCGUUCUUACCUUUGUGGAGUUAAGUUACUAAAUUUAACUGGACCGCCUUACUACUAAAGGGGUUUUUCUUAUAAACGAAUAAGAACUCUCCUUGAGGGGGGACUUGUUUUACUGGAGUGCUUAAAGGUGUUAAAACAACUAUGUAACUUAGUUAAGGACUUCGGCAGAAAAUUCUUAGGUGCUUUGUUGCCCUCUUGGCAGACUAUGACCGAUUCCAAAUCAUAAGGGAAAAUCUGCUCUGUGAAAAAGGUGCUUUGCAUAAGGUCUAGUUCCUUGGUCACUAGAUUGGCGAUGGCAAGAGAAGGUGCGAGUAAGCCAUGGUGGAUUGGGAGACACCACUCAAGGUGCAGUAACUAUGAUAUUCUUCCUCAGAUUUUUUAUACUUCAAUUUUCUGUUAUAUAAUAGAAACUUAUAACAGUUCAUUAGAGGCUUCUCGGGAGAUCAGAAGGGCUUAAAUUGCUUUUGCCUUACCUUCUAUUAUGGCGAAUGAGGGGUGUGCGCAAUAGUUUUCUUCCUCUCCCUCACUCGAUCACUUCAAUGCUUAUAAUUUGAGAGAUGAGAGGAAAGUCUUCUCUUGAAUUCGAAGAUGUGACACAAAUAAUGAUUCUCUUCGCCGGGAUGUUAGCAUCUUAGGCAGCUUAAGCAUUUUUUAUAUUCGGGUGAAGGCAAGUUGAAACUCUGCCCCGACCAAGCGAAACUAAGGUCACGAUCUGCUCUACGGGCCAAUAAAGUCGUUUUUCAAGCACUAGUAAAAUGAUUGUGGAGAGGGUGCGCAACCUAGAGAGAUAGUCGUAUCUCUUUGAUGAAUGUGCUAUUGAGGUUCGGUUCAUUUGGAAAAGAGGUUAGUCUUAGGGGAGACCAUGUGAAUUGAUGAAGUUUCUUGUGUAACGCAUGCGAUCGCAGGUCAGUGGUUUGUUACCACAGAAAUGAAAAAGUGAAGGAAAAAAUCCAGUGAGAGAGUGGGAGUUUGUUGGAUGGUUCUCCUUAUUUUCCUAGCACGUAUCUUCUAUUCCCAGGUUUUAAGUCGUUUGCCAAAAAAACCCGGCAAGUUUUGUGUCCGUUACAAUGCCGUAAUUAGACUUUUGACCUCAUGUUUUUGAGGUUUGCUACAAGUCGUUUUCCAACUUUACCCACAUGAACUGCGGAUUACCACCAGAAAUGCUGCAGAUUUCCCAGUAUAUAAACGCCUUAACAUUCCUACCAAUUUCCCAACUUCUUGAGUUCCCUAUUGACAAAAACCCUUCUGUUUGAUAGAUUUUACGUAAAUUAGCCCUUUCUCUCUUCUUUCUUGACAUAAAGGGGGAAGAGAGUCAUUUUUUCUGUUUGUUCUUUGCAAUCACAAUUCAUUGAAGAGAAUGCUUUUAAAUUUCAAGCUUCAAUGGCUAAGGGAAUGAGGAACUUGAAUGCAUGGAUUGAGGUGGCUCCGGCACCAGUCAUUUACCCGCGAAAGAUUUCGAAUUCGCCUACUUUGGAGACGAUUCUCGAAGAGAGCGUCGAGGAGUGUGACGAUGACUAGUUAACUUUUAUGCUCACUUUUUUCCUUGUUUGGUUAUUCAUCCUUGAUGAAAACUUAUGGUCGCAAAUUUGAAGAUGGAUGGCCUCUGGAUGCAUCUCAUCGCAGCUCCGGAUUGUUACGAUGGAAUUGGUGAUUGGAGCCGGGAUCUGUCCAUUGGAAAGGGAAGUCCUAAACAAUCCAGUGGAAGUUCUUCUUUGAACAUUGUCCAGUGAACACCGUAUUACUGUUGUAAAUAUGCAAUUAGUUUCAACUUUGUUGUAUAUAAACGUAGUUUGUUAAAAACUAAAAGUACUAUAUGGAACUAUACAUUUCAGACGAUGUAAAAUAAUAAUAAAAUAAUCCAACUAUCUAUGUUCAGAUUUAUCCAUUAAUAUGUGUUGUGUUCGUAUAAAUCUACAUUUGAUCACUAUACAAAACAAUAUAUAAAAACAAGAAUAAAAUACCACAAUAACUUAUAUUAUUCAUAAAAAAAUGAGAAAAGUAAUUAUUUUAUUAAUGUAAUAAUAGUUGAACAGUGUUAAUCAUGUCAAUCAUAUACACAUUGGUUCCAUGUUCAUACAUAGUUAAAGUCAUAUAAGGUGUCGUGCCCGAAAUAACCACUAACAUGUCGCAUAUGUAAACUGCAGCUGUCCGGAUUAGUGAUAUUUUGCAAGCUUGAAACAAGAAGAUUGAGUGCUAAGUUACUUGGGGGGCCUUCAUAUUUCGUAGUGGGAAUCUUCUUUCUGAAAAGUAAGUGUGAUAAUUGUUGGGUAUCCCUCCACUGUCAAAUGGGUCAUUGUCUAUUGCUUCUUUAGGGUAAGAUAUCUAAGGAUACCAAAAAAAUGGACAUUUUGAAAGCUUUUGGGAAGGGGUAAGUAGCUCUUUAUCACAGUGAUGAAAAUAUGUUGAGUUUUUAUAUGAUGACGUGGGUUCAAACUCCGUCUGUGGUUAAUAUAACAAAACUUAUCAUUUGACAAAAAAAAAAAAAAUAUAAAAAAGCCUUUUGGGAAGGGCAGGUGUGGAUGAAUUGGAGGUUGGGUGUGGAUGUUGAAAGUUUUACGUUUACAAACAUAAUUAAUAUGGGGCGUGGCUUCAAUAUUCAACUAUGAUUUUAAAUGCAUCAGAGGAGUGUUAAUGUAGAUUAAGGUGAUGAAAGUAUACGCUCUGUUUUUUCUAAAUCUCACUUGCAUCUGCAAUUGUAAAUUUUUAGUAGUAAAGUUUGUCUUUUUAUUAUUAUUAUUUUUUGUGAGAAGUAGAAGAUCAUCUAAAAAAUGAUUGAAUUUUUGGUACAAAUAAUGCACACAUAGAUUAGCCACUAAGAUUCAAGGUAGAUUUUUUUUAUGAUUGUGGGCCAAGAAACACGUUAAACCAGAAUUGUUUUGUCCACAUUUUCCUUGUUCCUAGUAUGCCUUUCAGUAAUAAGUGGGUGAGACUCUGAGACCUACUUUUUUUGAAACCGCUAGUGUAAUUUCCUUCACUGGUUUUUCUGACCAACAUGUUAUAAUUAUUGAGUAUUUACUUUCAACUCCUAUAAAAGGCCUCCUUCAUCUUCAUUCCCUUCAUCCCAAAAUCCCACUGCCCUCACUCAAACACUACUAGAAAACCCUAAUCAACAAUCUGCAACAAAACCCCAUUUCUCUGCAUUUCUUUCCAGAAGCACUCAAGUAAAAAGCCACUUCUGUAACUUUCAGCUUGGAAUUAAGCAGCUGAUCAGAGAGCAGGAAGUUAAGAAACCUUUUUGUUUGAUCACUAACUGCAAUGGCAGAGCAGAUGCAGAUAAGAUUGUUGUGUUCUUGGAUGGAGGUUGCACCUGCAAUUUUGAUAUCCCACAACAAGCCUUCAACUUGUCCUCAAUUGGAAACAAUAACUGAACAGUGGGAGCUGGAGGCUGAGGAGAAAGACCUGCAGGAGUCCAAAAAAUGAACAUUUUACUUCUUCUCAUGUCCUGAUUGUUAAUAUAUAUAUAUAUAUAUAUAUAUUUUUUUUUUUUCUUUCUUUCUAUUUUUGUGUGAAUUGUAGAAGUUUUUGGACUUGGUUUGGACAAAAUUUUUGAGAUCAUCUCCAAACAAAUUAACAAGAUUGUGUAGUUUCAAUGGCAUUGGCUUCCAUCUUAUAAGGUAUUUCUUAUGGCUAGAAUUUUCAAAGGGUUUCGUUCAUAUUGAUUCAUUAGAUGUUGAGUGAUUAGUGACAGCAUCAACUGACUAGAUUUCUGCAAUUCUGUCGACACGAGAGAUGUAAAAGAUGGGCAAGCUACACCUGAAAAGUUUGACAUUCUUCAGGCACACUCAUGACUCGCAUUCUUAAUUUAGUAUAAUAUGACGAUUUGGAAUGAUUGCAUUUCUUUGAUUGAUUACAAUUGUACAAGGAUGUACAAAUAUAUACUGAUUACAUUUAGCCAAACUAGGAAAGAGAAUUAUUCUACUCUAAUUUAGGAGCUAAUAAGGUGUUGACCUGUAGAAGAAGAUGAUUACAACAAUCAUGGGGAUUUCUCUAUGAUUUGAUUUCCAACCCUCCCCCUUAAGUUGGAGAGUGAAUAUCACGAAGUCCCAACUUGCCACUUAAAGCAUGAAAUUGUUCCUUUCCCAAUGGUUUCAUAAAUAUGUCUGCUACUUGUGCGUGCGAAGGAACAUAGGAUGGUGAAAUCAAUCCAGCUUGCAAUUUUUCUCACACGAUAUGACAAUCAAUUUCAAUGUGUUUUGUGCAUUCAUGAAAUACUUGAUUUGCUGCAAUGUAGAGAGUUGCCUGAUUAUCACAAAAGAGAGAUGUCGGUUGAUUUUGUGGGACUUUCAAGUCUUCAAGAAUAUAUCGUAUCCAAGUUAAUUCCAAACAUGUCAAUGCCAUAGAACGGUAUUUUGCAUCUGCUAAUGAGCGUGCCCAAUCAGAAUCACAAAAGGCUCGUAGUGUGAGAUUAUUAGAAGAAGGGAAGAAUAACCCUUGACAUGGAGCCCCUUUUAUAAAUCUUAAUACUCGUAGGCAACUUCCCAAUGUGGCUUCCGUGGAUUUUGCAUGAAUUGACUAAAAUUCCAAUUGAACAAACAAUAUAAGGCCUUGUGAUUGUUAAGUAUAUUAAUCUCCCUACCAAUCUUCUAUAUUUUGUAGGAUCAUGGAGACGAUCGCCAUCAUCAAGGUUCAACUUCAAAUGUUCCUCCAUUGGAAAAGUACUUGGUCGAGCUCCCAAUAAACAUGCAUCUUUUAAAAUAUCCAAAGCAUAUUUUCGUUGGGAUAUGAAGAUACCCUUUCUUGAUCGUGAUACUUCAAAUGCCCAGAAAAUAUUUUAAGUUUCUCAAAUCUUUGAUACCAAAUUGUAGUAGGAGAGAGUCUUUGAGAUUUUUGAUUGCAUUUUCAUCAUUUCCUGUCACAAUUAUGUCAUUAACAUAAAUAAGAACGACAAUAAAAGAGUUUCCAUGUAUCUGUGUAAAGAGGAAAUAAUCUGCCUUGGAUUGUUGAAAACCUGCUCCUUGAAUAGCAUGAGAAAAUUUUGCAAACCAAUUUCGGGAAGCCUGUUUCAAUCCAUAUAGGGAUUUUUUGAGCCGACAUACGAAAUUCUCCUCUUGUCGACGAAGACCAGGUGGAAUUUCCAUAUAGACUGCUUUAUCAAGGUCCCUGAUAGACGCAUAUUUAUGCGACUUAGUUAACUAGUUUUCUUGCAUUUACGUUAUUAGUUCUUAGUUAUUUUAGUACUUUAAGCCAUUUUCGUGUGUUUGUAGGUCCAAAGGGCUAAGGUAGCAAGAAAGUGCAUUUUGGUGCAUUUUGGAGCAGUUUUGAGCUUGGAAUGGAUUACAUAUGAUAUGAGCAAGAUGGAAGGACGAAUUUGAAGACAAAAGAGGCUAAGAACAUGCUAAAAAUCUGGUGAAACAAAUACAAGUUGCAAGAAGGGAUAAAUUUCUAGAAGGAUUGGCCAAAACUUCACUCAAAACACAUCAAUGCCGUGGCUUUUACUUCCACCUCCACCAGAAAUUUGAGUAAUGAUGCAAUGCUUAACUCACCAUGACAUGUGAGUGGAUGAUGCAAUGCUUAGCUCACCAUGACAUGUGAGUGGAUGAUGCAAUGCUUAGCUAACCAUGACAUGUGAGUGGAUGACUCAAUACCUAACCCACCAACAAUUCCCACUCUUUGCCAUGCUCACCUACUCAAUUCCACCAACAUUUUGUGUUAAACAAGUCCAUCCUCUUCCUAUAAAUACCAUGGCAUCAACCUCAUUCAAAUCAUCCAGAAAUUAACCAUUCUCCAAGCCUUUCCUUGCCUCUCCUACAUAUCUAAACCCCUUCCCAUCCAUUCCUCCAAAUAACCAACCCUUCAACAUCAUUCCAACCUUGUUGUUGCGGCAAAGAGAAGGAGAAAAGUCCUUAGACGCACUUGCUAUCCAACAUGGAUCGUUGGAACGUUUAGGUGCUUUCUUUCCUUUGUUUUUCAAUGUUUAAAUUUGUUUAUCUUUGUUUUGUAAUAAUGAGGAACUAAACCCCCCUUGGCUAGGGGGGGAUUCGAAACCAUGUUAAUGCUUGCAAUAUGAUUUGAUUACUUUUAAUUGCGUUUCAUAAGUUAUGAAUUUGAUUUACUUAUCUAUUUGAUUGAUAACAUGUUUAUGUAUGUUGAUUAGGGAUGCAUACUUAGUUUGCAUGCAUAAAUAUGAUGCUAGAGUAUAAGGGAAUUUCACCUAAUCGUUAUGAACUUAUAUUCAUGAGUAGUAAAAGUCGCUAGUCACGAUUGUGUUAAGUAAAUCCUUGGCAUAAGUUUCAUGCAAAUCAUAGUAACGAGUGCCUCGUCAAUGCUUAUGUUUUUCAUAGAACUUAAUGAUUCUUGCUUGUAUCUCUAUUAUGCAAUUCAUGUAGGGAACUUGUAGGGAAUGUUUUGGGUUGUCGUAUGCAAUCAUCCAACCCAAUAACUUGUGGAAAAACUAAGGGUUAAUUAGUGCAAUUCACGGUUAAUUUGGGGCGUUGAGAAUUAAUAAGUUAUUGAAAUGCAAUUGGAAAUCAUUUUGUAUGCAAGCAAGACAUGUGUGGAGAAGAACCCCUUAGCUAGCCUUCCAUUAUCCAUUCAACCCAAAUUUGUUUAAAAUCUAUUUAAGUUUUUAGUUUAUUCGUUUUUACUUUCAACUUCACCAAACUCAAAUCCCCCUUUUACUUUCUUGUUUUAAAAUCUUUUGUUUACAUUUUUAACUUUGUUUUUAUGUUUUUAAAUUAGUUUUCAAGUGAUUUAGCAAUCCCUCCUAAUCCCCGGUUUAGAACGAUCCCUACUUACAUCUAUACUACAAUUGUCAAAAAGAGGGUUAAAUUUGUGUGCUUAUAUAUUUCGCAUCAGUCCCCAUGUAGAAAGCAUGUUGGACAUCCAAUUGAUGAAGGAACCAAUUCCGAGAGGCAACAACGGCAAGUAGACAAGGGAUAGUGGUAAGUUUGGUUGCAGGAGAAAAAGUUUCCAAAUAAUCAACACAUUCAAUCUGAGUAUAGCCCUUAGCAACAAGACGAGCUUUGUAACGCUCGAUAGACCCAUCAGAAUUAUACUUGAUUUUAUAGACCCAUUUGCAACCAAUGGGCUUAUGACCAGGUGGUAAAGGAACAAGUGUCCAGGUAUUAUUCUGCUUUAGGGCAUCAAGUUCAGCUUUCAUGGCAUUUCUCCAAUGGGGAUCAACUUCAGCUUGAGAAAAGGAAGUGGGUUCAAUGACACAUGUAAUGUUAGAUAAAAAUGCAUGGUGGGAAAGAGAAAAAUGAGAAUAAGAAAGAAAAUUAGAUAGCGGAUAACGAGUACCUUAAGAAAGAGGUGGCGCCGAGGUUAAUGAAAGGUUGGGUUGCGACGUCACUAUAUAUAUGUGAUAGUCUUUGUGCCAUGAAUGUGGGUGAACGGUACGAUUAGAAUGACGAGAAACAUCAAGUGUUGGAGAUGUUUGUGGAGGAUGCAAAAUAAGUGGAGAGGGUUGAGGGUCAGAGGAUGACUCAUCCAUGGGAGCUGGUGUGGGUGCAUGAGGAGUUGGUAGGAUUGCAUCAACUGGAGUAGAUAGAGAUGUAGGGGAAAGAUCAGUCGUGGUAGGGAUGAGAUUGGAUGGGAUAAAAGGAAUAAUGGGCUAAUGGAUAUCUGAUUGAGGUAGUGGAAGAACAUGGUCAGAAGUGGGAUUUAUAUGUUUGAAAAGGAAGUCUUCUUCGUGAAAACAAAUGUCUAUCCUAACAAAAAAAUUUUUGAGUGUCCAAAUUGAAUAAUUUGUAACCCUUUUGCUCAGUAGGAUACCCAACAAAAAACAAAGGUGAGCGCAAGAAUCAAACUUAUGUUAGGGGUGAACAAUAGUGGCAUAACAAAGACAUCCAAAAACCCUUAAAUGAUCGUAGGAGGGCGGACGAAGGUAAAGUCGCUCGAAAGGUGUUUUGUUGGAUAAUAUAGGUGUAGGUAUUUGGUUUAUGAGGUAAACGGUAGUAAGAUUACACUCCCCCCCCCCGCCCCCCACAAAAAAAAGAGAUGGGCAAAUUGGAUUGUAAACGUGAUGCAAGGGCUACAUUAAGGAUGUGACGAUACUUUCUUUCAACAACACCAUUUUGUUGAGGUGUAUAGACACAAGUAUGUCGAAAUUUGACUCCAUUGGUAAGGAAAAAAUGUUUUAAAGAUAAACACUCAGAGCCAUUUUAGAGCGGAUUGUUUUGAUGGUGGUAUUAAAUUGUGUGCAAAUGAAUUGAAAGAAAUAUUGAAUUAAUGAGGGAGACUCAAAUUUAUGAACCAUUAAAAGAACCCAUGUGCACCGUGUAUAAUUAUCCACAAUGGUUAAGAAAUAAUGAGCCCCCAAAUGUGUACAGUGUUUAUGUGGACCCCAUAUGUCAUAGUGAAUUAACUUAAACGGUGCAUUAGAAGAAAUAUAACUGUUCACAAAAGGGGCCCUUUCUUGUUUUGCCAUAGGGCAAACAACACAAUUAUUAUUAUCCAAAGUUCUAGAUAAAAUAGGAAUAGAAGAAGAAAGUAAACACAAAUGGGCUGAAGAUGGAUGGCCAAGACGAUGGUGUCGGGUGUGGGUGGAGAUGGUGGCAUGGCAAGUGACUGAGUUGUGGUUGACAGGCGACAUGAAGUAUAAACCUUCGCAUUGUUUACCCCAACCAAUCAUCUGCCCCGAAGCCAAGUCCUAGAUGACACAAAAAUUAGGAAAAAGAAUUAUACAACAAUGCAAGUAUUUAGUUACUUUAUUAGCAGACAUAAGAUUUAACCUGAAAGAGGAAACAUGGAGAAAUUAUCAAGUAGGGGUGGGCACGGGCCGGGUUGGGCCCAAAAUUGAAGGAACUAGAUCGAACAUGUUUGUAAAUAAAACGGGACGGGGUGGGGCAGGGUGGGUUUUGGAUUUUUCAAAAUGAGACCCGGACCUAACCUAGCCUUUUUGAAACGCGUUGGUUCCUAUGGGUCCCCACAAGUCCAAAUCUUCACUCACCCUAGCGAGGACGUUGACUUUAAGGCGGUGGAGGUCAGAUAUGGAAGAGGGGAAACCGUCGGACAACAACUACACAGAUUGAAAGCAAGGAUAAAAGCUAACAAAAUUUGAAUCCUCAUAUCACAACCCAGAAUUCCUAGGAAGUUCUAGUUAAAUUAACCAUUCCUAAAGAACCUAGAUUUUAACCUCCCACAACCUGUCCCCACUUAGAUUGACUCAAUUCACCAUAGAGAAUGUGGUGGUCGACGAUUUUACUGCUCAAUCAGACAAAUCUGUCUCAGUUUUCUCAACAAUCCAUCAUAAAAAAUAAAAAUUAUCAAAUGAAUUACAGAAACAAAACAUAAUCAGUACAAGAUUAAACCUUUAGCUGUUCAUCUGAUUAAAUUGGAAAAUAAUAUUAAAAAAGAAAAAAACAAAUCCACCUAACUCAAAUUCAUUAACGGAAAUCCAUAGCUUAAUCCAAACAUACCCAAUUGCAAUUUUGAAAUAAGAAGAAAUAUGAACAUAACCAAUUGCAAACUCAAAUUCACCAAAGAAUAUUCAUCAUAUUGCUCGAUCAAGAAAAAGUCCUACCACUUGUUUAACGUCAAGAAGAACCCAAAUGAGUCACUUCGCGGAUAUAUGAAGAGGUUCAAAGCAGAGAAGGCAAAGAUAGUUGAAUACAACGACUUGAUAGCUAGAGCAACCUUCCAAAAAGGACUCCCCGCAGACCACCCGCUGUUCAGAGAAUUGAUCAUGAAAGAAGAUUUAACUCUGGCAGACUCUUUCGCUCUGGUAGAGAAGCAUGCACUUUGGGAUGAGGUUCGCCAAUGCAUAUUCAAGGCAAAUCCAAGCGAUCUUGAAUAUGAAGUCCCCCACUACUCUGAAGGAGAUUCAAGGUCUGACUGGACAAGCAACCGUAUCUGAAGCAGCAAUAAGCUCUACCCUCAUAUGAGAAGAACUGAGGGCCCAACUACUUGUAUUCCACAGUUCAAAAGCUUUCAUCGAUGCGGAAACCAGCUACUAGAAAUUUAAAAGCUAACUUUGGCAACAAUUGUUGUAACCCGAAAGCUCAAGUUAUACCUUCAGACACACACAGUCAUCCUCAUGACGUACUAUUCUGCCCAAUCCAAAUAUGUGACAAUAAAGGUGCAUACACUGGCGGUGCAAAGUUUUUUGACGAACUCAACAACUCAGCUCAAAAGGCACGCCAAGGGCAGACGAACACUAGAAGGACACUCGGAAGCAAGUUUUGUCCUCGUCACCCUAAAAUAUUCUACAUAGGGGCAACAUGUACCGGUAAGUUGAGCACCACCUCCUGUUACGCGUCACAUGGCUCCAGCCAACCCUUGCUUCAUAAUUUAGUUCAAGAGCGGCCAGGUACCGGCAGUUGAGCAUUACCUGCUACGUGUAACAUGGCCCCAGCUCCAUGACCCUUUACCAUGCCUUCACACCUAGCCUAGGCGAUGCAACAGAGCGACCUAACGAGAUGAUCUGAAGGUAGCCGACCACGCCCUAGCCACGUCUGCUUCACCCGACUACAAGGGCUUAGAAGCAUUUGCACAUUGGCAAUGCAUCCAACUACAAGGGUUUGGAAGUAGGUGUGACCCUUAUUACCCCAGAUAGUUCGAUGCUCGAGCAGGCAAUCACUCUAGACUUCAAAGCAUCUAACAACGAAGCAGAGUACGAAGCUCUACUAGCAGGUAUCCGAAUGGCAAAAGACUUGGCAAUGAAAAAGCUUGCAAUUCAUUCUAAUUCCCAGCUAAUCACCAACUAGACUAUUGGGGAGUACACAGCAAGACAUCCAAGGAUGGCGCAAUACUUAGAGAAAGUAUGCAAAUAACUUGAGGUAUUUCAAACUUACAGCCUCACUUUAGUCCCGCGGGCAGACAACGUCUACACGGACGUACUAGCCGGCCUAGGCUCUACCCAUAACCACUAACUUAAACGUUCUAUCCCGGUGGAGUAUCUAGAUAAGCCAAUCAUAAAGGCGCAGCCGGCAACCGAAAUGUCACAGGUUAGUACAACUCUAAACUGGCAAAAUUUUAUUAUAGACUACCUGGUCAAUAGCACACUCCCCACAGAAAGGUUGGAGUCUAGAAAACUCCAAAUAAAGGUAGCAUGCUACUACAUGUGGAACGACAUUCUCGCUCGAAGAUCCUACACUAGACCACAUCUCCGUUGCCUAGCGCCUCUUGACGACCUAAAGGUUUUAAGCUCAAUCCACGAAGGCAUUUGUGGAAAUCACUCAAAAGGUCGAUCCUUAGCGCAAAUGACUCUUAACGCAGACUACUAUUGGCCUACCAUGCAUCAAGACACUAAGGAGUUAGUGUAAAAGUGUGAGCACUACCAACGUUACAAGCUGGUACCAGUAUUGCCUGCCAACGAGCUACACUCAUAGACGAGUCUUUCGCCGUUCAUGUAGUGGGCAAUCGACUUGGUAUGGCCAAUGCCGCCUGCUACUAGGGGUAUAAGCAUGAUGAUCGUGGUAACUGAUUACUUCACCAAAUGGGUAGAAGCAGAGCCCAUGACUACCAUGACUUAGACGGACAUAUAACGCUUUAUAUAGAGGAACGUCAUUUGCUGAUUUAGCAUCUUUCAAUCCAUCGUCACCGAUAAUGGCUCGCAAUUCAUAGGCAAAGAUCUAGCGAAGUUCUUCCAAAAAGUAUGGCAUCAAGUAGCAUAUGUCCAUGCUAAGAUAUCCUUAAGGUAAUGGGUAGGCCAAAGCAUCCAACAAGACGAUACUAGAUUGCCUCAAGAAAUCCCUCUCCGAAUAAAAGGGAAAAUGGCCAGACAAAUUCCUCGGAUGUUUAUGGGCAUAUCGCAACACCAAACAACGAGCCACCCGUGAGACUUCUUUCUUUUUGGCAUUUGAUUUAGAAGCAAUCAUUCCUCCUAAUGUCAUCGUGCCAAGUAUCAGCACUCUACUGCCAAGCAUCGAGCAGAACAGUAAGGAGAUGACUAUAAGCUUAGAUAUGGCAAAGGAGAAACGUGAGCAGACCAUCACCUACAUUGCAGCCUAUUAGCAGCAACUCCUCUCCAGCUACAACAAAAGAGCAAGAUCUGGCAGUUCCAGCCCAAACUUCUAGUCCUAAGAAAAUCCUUCAUCAUUGCCCGUAAAGAAGGCUCCAAAAAGAUGGAUCCCAUCUGGGAAGGUCCGUACAAGAUCAAUAGAGUAGGCGGUAAGGGUAAUUACACCUUCGCCACUAUGAACGACAAAGAGAUCAAAAAGCAGUGGAACGCCUACAAUCUGAGGAAGUACUAUGUGUGACCUCCCACUACAUCAAAGCUUGAAGACUCAAGCACCUCGACGGGCACCACCUCACAAGCCGAUGACUAUCCAGUUGUUAUGCAGUUCAUGCAUUACAGCUAAGUUCUCGUUCGUUUCACUCAUUUUUCAAUAAGGAAUUUAGAAGUAAUCUACAACUUGGCUCGGCUGCAUGCUUAUAACAACUGAUCACUUUUACACUUCUAAAGAAGACCGCGCCCUUCUUAGGGACUCAUCGUAAGAAUUGCACCCCUCGAGAGACCAACCAUGCUCUUCAGUGCGAGAGGGUAAACCAAUUCCCGACACCCAUCUGGGUUUUCUCUCCAAUGCGAGAGGAUAAACUAAUUGCUCUUCAGUGCGAGAGGGUAAACCAAUUCCUCGACACCCACAUGGGUCUGCUCUCUAAGGUAGGAGAAUAAACUUACACUUUGAAUAUCUAAAUGUGGAUGAGCCGGGCUGCCCUAUUAUAACUAGAUGCACAAUAACUUGUGUUGGGAUUCCUAAAAAUAGCCACAAUGGUCUUUUUCAAAGCUUAGCUAACUGAAGGAUUUUGAGUCUUUUGGCCUAAUCCGCAGGCAGCUGGGCCCUAGACACAGAAGGGGCACAUUACACAGUACGCCCUAUGGACGGCUGCCCUAGAACCCUAAAGCUGCUACCAAGUGCAAUAAGGUUCCCUACGGUUUCCAGAAGACUGCCUACGGCUUGCUCUUCGACAGCAACGCCGCAGAAGACUUAUACAACCGCAUAUUCUCGUGAAAGGUUAAACAAACUAGCGUGUAUAUAUAAAGUUUAUCCAUUGUCGAUAUGAUACGUAGUCGAUAAGCUUCACCUCUGCCAAGGGUGGAACGACCUACACCAAGUCCUAAAGUGUUGUGAUACUUGCGACACAACCUACGAAGUUGGAGAAAGCCAAGGUUAACAACUUAGUGGUUACGCGGACUCGUCUGCUUCUGUAAGUAAUGCGUUCGGCUGCCGACCCUAUGGCUAACAACUUUGCAAAGUUCUAACCUAACACCUACGGUUGCAUAGGCUACGCGAGCCUGUCUGCUUAUAGAAAAGUAGCACGCCUGCCACUGGUCUAUAAAGUCUAAAGGUUAGGGCAUGAACAAAAGAAGCGAAGAUGGAAAAAAGCGAAGGAUACAAAUUUAUUAAAUUUUCUAGCAAAAUUGAUAAACAACUAGCAAAGGCCAAAUGAGUUUAAGAAAAACAAGAGCAACAAGGAAAACAAAGAAAAUCAUAAAGGCUACCUAGAAAACUACCCUUCAACAGCUUGAACAUCCCACGACUACUCAGCCGCCACACAUUUAGCAACCGCAAAGCUCCCAACAGUGGCAUUAUCCGGCGUUUCACCCUCGGCUGCUCCAGCUUGGGCAUCAACCUCUCCGACUACUUCACCAAUAGAGGCCUCAAAAGUAAAGGAAAACAAUUCUUCCAGAGAAAUAGAGAAUGUUUCGAAGUCUUCCAAGCAAACUCGAAGUCAGAUGGCCUACUAAAGAGAUGAUCUACAUAACCCAGCUUGUAGAAAUCGGCUUGACUCUGAACAAGUGAAGCCUCGAGCCCAGCCUUUUCACCUUUCAGUUGCUUGUUCUCCUCAAGCAGACCAACAUGGAUGCGCUGCAGCUCAUCCACUUCUUUCUUCAAACUUUCGUUGAUCUUCAAAGCCAAUCAACGACCUUCUUGAAGUGGAUCACUUGGUUAUAAUCAAUAAUCAACUAUUCAUCCUUUGCAUAAGCAGUGGAACGAAGCUCAGAAACGGCACGCUCAAGAUCUUGAAUCUGAGGUAUGUGACAUCCGAUCUUCUACUCUGCACUUUCAUACUUAAGUUGGAUCGCGUCAAGCCUAGUCUUCAAGUCAACGAUCUCUUGGUGAGCGGUCUCAUGCUGCAGAGAAGUGGGGGUAGAGAUAUUAGACCCCUUUCAAAGCGACGAGCUCAGAUUCUAACUUCUUGAUCUUUUCGACAGAAGAAUAAACUUCAGCUACCAUAACCAUUGUCACCUCAUUGACAUCCUUGGUAUCCUUUUGGUUAAGGAGCAUAUACUCGGCUGCCAGACUAGUCGUCUUCUGCAUCAUGGCAAGUAGGGCAAUCUUUCUAUACUAGGUCGUAUACUUCACAAAGGAACUUGGGAAAACAACACCUCUAAUGCCAUAGACAAACUUGGCACAAGCAUCUAUGUCUUCAAAUAGAUAUGGUUUUAAAAGCGCACAGAUCUCAAUAACCUUCCCAAAAGCAAGCUUAGUAGACUUCUCACAGCUGCUCACGUGAGUAGUCUACUCCUUCUUAAUUGGCGAAUCAGUCUUAGCAAUAGGGGGACUGGGCCUUGGCGCCACUUUAGCAGUAGAGUCUAUCUUAUCGCUCUUCAUAAUAGCAAGCCUCUCCAAAGGUGAACCAAACUUAGCUUCUAACGGAGAUCUUGGUAUAGACUUCAGCAUGGGGGGCAUGACAUGACCUCUACGCUGAGCAAUCAUAUCAGCAAUCGUACUAGCCAUUCUUGACAUGGCAAGUACCACAAGCUCAUAUCUAGUAGCCUCAUGUUUCUUCCCAUUGGAAGAAGUCAUGUCAAUCACAGGCCUUUCGGUAGUAGGCAGACCCUCACGAGUAGCGGAGGAAGUUUUGAGUUUUUUCUCAACCGGCAUCUUUUGAGCAGGUGAGGAAUAUCUCUUCUUUCCACCUUCAUUCAUAGUAGGCUCCACAACAGCGAUCAGACGAUCUAAUGCAUCCGCCUUGAUCUUCUUUACCUCUUAUCUUGGGAGCAGCCUACCUUCUCCUAGCGAAGAGGACUAAGUAGCCAACGCCAUUCAUGGUACUCAGCGGGGGAGCUCAACCCAUACUGGCUUUUCCCUCAUUUUUUCUCUCAGACCAGCAGGUAAGAUGCCUGCAUGCCCAGCAUUCCAAGAACCCAUGAGGCCCGCGACCUUAUCAUUUCUCUCAAUCGCCGGCCUGGCCCUUGUCAAGUCCAAGAGCCCAAAGGACAUGAGCCAUGCGGCUCGCCUAGCACUGCGCCCCAACACCUUAAUCCGCGACCCCAACUGUACAAGCUGCUCUUGGCUUUAGCCAAGCCGGGUAGCCCAAGCAGUGGUCUUUGCCACAACACCUCCUCGGCCCAUGCCGAGCGGACUCCUGGCCCCUACCAGCUGAUGUGCCGCACUACCUCGACGGUUGCCCCGCGACAGCACUAUCCAAGAAAAAGACAAGGAAAAUUAAAUUUUUCUUACCUUGAUGCGGCGCGAAGAAGAAAAAGAAAGCAACGAAAGACGGUUAUUUACACGGGCAAGUGCAGAAGAUUGCUAAGGGAGGGGGAACAAAUAUCCUCUAGCUUUCUCUCUCUUAUAUGGUAGAAUAAAUUGCUCUCUAAAGUUGAUUUAAUCAUCUACUUAAGGUGGACUUAAAUAGCCCUUAGAAGUGAUUUAUUUUCCUUUCCUAGAAGGAUCUAAUUUCCAAUUAAAGAGGGCAUUUAAAUCAAAAUAGGAAACAAUCAUAUGUUUCAUAAAGUAAUAAGAUCUCUACACAUGCUACCCUUUCCUACGACCAGCCCAACAUGUGUGGGGGCAUUGGCAUUUGUGGAGCCAAAAAUAAUCAAGAAGAAUAUGGAGGCGACAUGUGGAUUUUUGGGUAAAAAAGACAAGAUUACCCUCGAGGCACAUCGGGAUUUCUACACGCAAGCAGUGGGCAAUCAUCCCCCAAUCAAGUUAAAAGUGCCCAAAAUAGGUAUUUAUUCAAAACCUAUUUCAUCUAUCGUCAUCAAAUCUUCUCCACAAGGUAGCUCUCAAAUCAUUCAUUUCUAAUUAUAUUAAUUAGCUAACAAAUCAUGAAUCUCACCCAAAAAACCAUCCAAGUGGCCGGUCCCCAUCCUCCCAAAGGGGCCAACCACACCCCUAUAUAAACCACCUCAUUUUCUCCAAACUCAAUUCCAGUUCUCUUGCUAAAUUCUCUAAAUUCUCCAAACACUUUUCCCUCAAAAUUCUAACUUUGUCAUCAGAGGUUCUUCGGCCAAAGCCCCCCCCACCAAUUCAUCGUGGGCACGUGAGGUUCUUGGCCUUGACCUAAUAUGUUAUUUGUUUUGUAGGUGCAAUUUUGUCCAAAAGCAAGGAGGAAGAAAUUUGCAUCCACAUUUGUCACCCUUUUAACCUAAAAGACAACAAACCUCUCUUUGAAUCCAAACCUGAACAAUUUCCGUUUUCAGGUUUUGUUGUUGUUAAUGUUAAUAAAACUUGAUUUAUUGUGUAUUUUUUGUUAUUUUCAUUAAAUAAAAAUUGUUGAAUGUUUUGGUUAAAAAAAGUUUGUAUUUUUCAUUUUUUAUUAACAAAUGAUAUUAUCUUCUUAAAGGGGAGGGAGAUAGACUUAGUCUCACAAUGGACUAGCAAUAAUGUGGUUCAAAUUUGCCUUUGGCAAGAAUCAAACAUAAAACCUCUCACUUACAAGUGAAGAGGAAAAAAGAGAAAAUAUCUUUACACCAAAGGCUACGCCUACUUAAUUGAUAAAGGGUCCGAGAUGAUUAAAAAUUUUAAGUGACAAUAUAACACAAUGUGACAUGUUGAUGUGUGUAAUCACUCGCUAAUUAUGACAUUGGUAAUGCUAGAGAGAUUUAUUUUAACCAAAUUUAUAAAUCAUAUGACGUGGUUGUUGAUGAUUGAAUUAUUACUUAAAUGUUGAUUAACAUACUCAUUUUCUAUUGGUGACACACUACAUGGUUUAUAAAUUUGGUUAAUAAAUAUUGGUCUACCGUAUAUUACCCGUAUUAAUGUUUUGUUCAAGACAUAUUCACGUUAAAGUUUUAUUAGAUUUAUAACACUAUGUCUGCAAAGUAUGUAAUAUAUUUAUAAUCACGUACACUUAUAAAUUCUUUGCUUCCCAAACUAAGAAACUCAAAGCUCCAACCUAUUUUUCUUUUGUUCAACUAGUGAGAUACUUACCAAGAAACUUUUAUAAUAUGUCAUUAACUCACAAUGAAGCACAACGAGCUAUAAUUUAAUAUCAAAAUUAUUAUAAAUAUAUUACUCAGUUGAACUUGAAACCUCAUCGUUGCAAGUAAAAAUUUAAUGUCGCUUGACUAGACGCAAAUUUCUACAAUACUGUGAAAAAUUUAAUCCCUAAUUCAAGUUGGUUCUUUUCUUUUUUUCUUAAAUCAUAGUUCGAGAAGUUUUUGGUUCUCCACAACUACCAAGUAAAGGACAGACGUCACAACAGUAACAAGACAAAGUUCUCGAUAAGAGAAGGGGAUCCUCUCCGGAUCCCUUCCACCAAGUCCACCAAAUCCACUCAUCCGAGCUAUUGAAAUUUGAUCAAACAGCUACAAACAAAAGAUCAUUUUAAAAGAUAGUAACUUUAGCUGUUUAAUCAAAUUUCAAUGGUCCGAAUGAGUGAACUUGAUGAACUUGGUGGAAGAAAUUCCCGAAAAUCCCGAAUAUCGGAAGCUUUUUCGGUUUGGUUCGGGAUUUUCGGGAAUUUUUUCCACCCCUACCUAAAUAUGUGGUUUCAUUACCCUCGGAAGCUUAGAAAAUAGAACCAACAACCCCAGCAUGAAGUCUAUAUGUUGAUGGCUCGUCCAACCAACAUGGUUGUGGAGCAGGACUAGUCCUUACGACCCCUGACAAAGUGGCGAUGGAGUAUGCUCUUCGUUUCAAAUUCAAGGCAUCAAACAAUAAGGCUGAAUAUGAAGCCCUCAUAGCAGGCUUACGUUUGGCCAAACACCUUAAGGUUAAACGAAUUGACAUCUUCAGUGACUCCCAAUUGGUGGUUAACCAGGUCACCAACAACUUUGACGCUAAGGAUAGCUCCAUGGCAGCAUAUCUGGCAUAAACAUAAUUGUUGCUCAAGCACUUCCACUACCAGAUCACCCAAAUUCCUCGAGCGGAAAACCGUCAUGCAGAUGGUUUGGCUUGCUUCGCCUCAGUGGUAGAAGACAAGAUUGGGAGAAAAAUUCAGGUCGAAUUGUUGGCAGCACCAAUCACUAUAGCUGCAGAAGUGUGCAACUUACAACAGGGGGAUCGUUGGAUUACCCCGAUUUAUAGAUUCCUUGCUCAUGGCACCCUUCCAAAUGACAAAGUCCAAGCUAAGCAGAUUUGAUACAAGGCUACCCGUUACUUGAUCAUUAAUGACCAACUCUACAAGCGGGGUUUUAACCUACCAUACUUAAGAUGCCUUACGCCCGCAGAGGUGGAAAUUGUCCUUUGGGAAAUACAUGAAGAAGUCUGUGGAGAUCAUGCUGGAUCUCGAUCCCUAGCACAAGGCUUUUCGCCAAGGAUAUUACUGGCCAACACUCCACUAAGAUGCCAUCAGAAUAUCUCGUUCAUGUGAUAAGUGUCAACGCUACGCAACUAUUCCUCACUCCUCUCCCGAGCCGCUCACUUCUAUGAUCAGCCAUUGGCCCUUCACCCAAUGGGGACUUGAUUUGAUCGGCCCAAUGCCUGCAGGGAAGGGUAAGGUCGGCUAUGCAAUCGUUGCAGUUGACUACUUCACAAAGUGGGCUGAAGUAGAACCCGUGGCAACCAUUACUGAGGCAAAAAUAGAAGACUUCGUAUGAAAGAACAUCCCUUGUAGAUUCGGCAUUCCCAAUGCGUUAGUCAUUGAUAACGGGCGAUAGUUCAACAAUAAUAAGUUCAGGAUGUUCUGCUUUAAGUUCAACAUCAACUUAUGUUUUACCUCCCCAGCUCAUCCCCAGUCUAAUGGAUAAGUCGAAGCCAUCAACAAAAUAAUCAAGCAAACUUUGAAAACCAACUUGGACAAGGCUAAAGGUUGUUGGCCAGAAUUUGUACCCCAAGUUCUUUGGUCAUACCGCACUUCGUAUCAGACAUCAACAGGAGAAACCUCAUUCUCACUUGCUUUUGGUACAAAGGCAGUUAUCCCAGUUAAGCUUGAGCAAGCAACGUUCCGAGUCCAGAACUAUGUGCAAGGCGAAAAUGACAAACAACUUACCCUCAACUUAGAUCUAGUCGAGGAACACAGAAACCAGGCUCACUUGAGGAAUGUCGCCUACAAGCAGCGCAUCUCUAACUACUAUGACUCAAAGGUCAAACCUCGUUCUUUCAAAGUGGGGGAUUGGGUAUUGAAGAAAAGAUUACUCUACGAUAGAGUUCCGAGUGAAGGAACACUUAGUCCAAACUGGGAUGGACCGUUUGAAGUUGUUGGCAUCAGUCACCCUGGCUCCUACAAGCUUAGAAGCUCCGAUGGCAAGACCCUUGGCCAUCCAUGGAACGCUGAUCACUUGAAGUACCAUUACAAGUAAACUCACAUUGUACAAGUGUUAAGCUUUAGCCGUUCGACAUCCUAUGUAACGAAGACUAUUUGGCAUGAAUUCAAUAAAGAUGUGAUUUAGACAACUCGGUCCUAAUCCUCUUACAUUCCUAGCAAUGAAACACUCGGGUUCAAAACUUCAACAUGAAUGCUUCCAACAUGAAACAAAGUCUAAGUAUAUGUCAACAAGACUAUACAAAUAAACGAAGAGCUUCACAGUAUAUUCGUUCAAUCAUACAUUCCAACACAUUCAUACAUAAGCCAACUGUGUUUCGAAAGGGUUCAACAUACUUUGUGUCAUUCGACCCUUACUACAAUGUGCCUUGACACCUUGCCUUUAUUCUCACCGACCAGGUGAUGAAAUGUGAAGAAGGAACCCAUCUUCAUGCCAACAACCAGGUGAUGAAAUGUACAACCUGUACUCUUCUUCAUGCCACCAACUAGGUGAUGAAAUGUACAACGUACUCUAAUAUCAUUUGGCAACUUGCCAUUCAUGCCAUCAACCAGGUGAAGAAGGAACUCAUCAUCGUGUCACCAACCAGGUGAAGAAAUGUGAUGAAAGGUGAUGAAGGAACUCACUUUCGUACCACCAACCAAGUAAUGAAAGCAACUCACCAUUCAUCCCACUUACCAGAAGACGAGUGGUACAACUUGUACAUGUGAACUCCUAGCAUUCACAAAUAAUAAAAAAUCCUCAAGCUUGACAACUCAACUAGGGGGACACUUAUGCCCAACAAGAGUUAUAAUCACCAACAAAGUCUUAUUGCAAGCCAACAACAACUUCAGUGCAUGGCAUAUGAAGAUCAAGUUAUUCAGCCCUCUUGCAUCUGCUUCAGACAUUUCUCCUCUGUAACAAUGCAAACACUACAACUCGUAGAAAGCUUCACACACUCUUGAUCAAGAUAGUGUGAAGCAAAACCAAUUUAUGGUGCCAACAAGAGCUUCAUCAAUGGAGGGCAACCACAAUUCUCAAAAGCUUCACACACUCUUGAUCAUGACAAUGUGAAGCAAAACCAAUUUAUGGUGCCAACAAGAGCUUUAUCAAAGGAGUUCAACCACAAUUCUCAAAAGCUUUACACAUUCUUGAUCAAGACAGUGUGAAACAAAACCAAUUUAUGGUGCCAAAAAGAGCUUCAUCAAUGAAGGGCAACCACAAUUCUCAAAAGCUUCACACACUCUUGAUCAAGACAAUGUGAAGCAAAACCAAUUUAUGGUGCCAAUAAGAGCUUCAUCAAUGAAGGGCAACCACAAUUCUCAAAAGCUUCAUACACUCUUAAUCAAGACAGUUUGAAGCAAAAACAAUUUAUGGUGCCAACAAAAGCUUCAUCAAAGGAGUUCAACCACAAUUCUCAAAAGCUUCACACACUCUUAAUCAAGACAGUGUGAAGCAAAACCAAUUUAUGGUACCAACAAGAGCUUCAUCAAUGGAGAGUAACCACAAUUCUCAAAAGCUUCACACAUUCUUGAUCAAGACAGUGUGAAGCAAAACCAAUUUAUGGUGCCAACAAGAGCUUCAUCAAUGGAGGGCAACCAUAAUUCUCAAAAGCGUCACAUACUCUUGAUCAAGAUAGUGUGAAGCAAAACCAAUUUAUGGUGCCAAUAAGAGCUUCAUCAAAGGAGUUCAACCACAAUCCUCAAAAGCUUCACACACUCUUGAUCAAGACAGUGUGAAGUAAAACCAAUUUAUGGUGCCAACAAAAGCUUCAUCAAUGAAGGGCAACUAUAACUCGUAGAAAAAAAAGCUUCACACACUCUUGAUUAGGACUGUUCGAAGCAAAUUCAAUUUAUAUGGUUCAUCCAAACCUUCGACUACUAUAAGGUGUGGCUUGCAUCAUAAUCUCUUGCUCAACAGUGUAGAAGCAAAAUUUGUAUAUGUUGUCUCUCCCACAUUUUCAAAUUUCUAGUUCCCCCCCCCCCGAAAAAAAAGGAAAUUGGGAAAUUCAACAAAUUUCUAGUUUUCCAAAAAAAAAAAAAAAAAAAAAAAAGGGAAAUUCAACAAAGCUUCAUCAAUGGAGGACAACUACAAAUUCUCAAAAGCUUCACACAAUCUUGAUCAAGAUAGUGUGAAGCAAAAUCAAUUCGUGGUACCCAACAAAGCUUCACCAUAAAAGCUUCACCAACAAAAGUUUCAUCAAUGGAGGACAACUACAAAUUCUCAAAAGCUUCACACUAUCUUGAUCAAGAUAGUGUGAAGGAAAAUCAAUUCAUGUUACCCAACAAAAGCUUCAACUCCUACAAAGCUUCAACACAAAAGCUUCACCCACAAUAGUUUCACCAAUAAAAACUUCACCCAUAAAAGCUUCACCCACCACAAAAGUUUCAUCUACAAAUGCUUCACCCAUAAAAGCUUCACUAACAAAAGCUUCACCCAUAAAAGCUUCAUCCACCACAAAAGCUUCACCUACAAAAGCUUCACUUACAAAAGCUUCACCCACCACAAAAGCUUCACCUACAAAAGCUUCACUUACAAAAGCUUCACCCACCACAAAAGCUUCAUCUACAAAUGCUUCACCCAUCAAAGCUUCACCAACAAAAGUUUCACCCAUAAAAGCUUCAUCCACCACAAAAGCUUCACCUACAAAAGCUUCACCCACCACAAAAGCUUCACCCAUAAAAGCUUCACCAACAAAAGCUUCACUCAUAAAAGCUUCAUCCAUCACAAAAGCUUCACUUACAAAAGAUUCACCCACCACAAAAGCUUCACCCAUAAAAGCUUCACCAACAUCAAGAUAAUGUGAAGCUUUUGUGGUGGGUGAAACUUUUGUUGGUGAAGCUUUUGUGGUGGGUGAAUUUUUUGUUGGUGAAACUUUUGUGGGUGAAGCUUCACCGACAAAAGCUUCACCCACCACAAAAGCUUCACCUAUAAAAGCUUCACCAACAAAAGUUUCACCCACCACAAAAGCUUCAUCUACAAAAGCUUCACCUAUAAAGCUUCAACACAAAAGCUUCACCUACAAAAGCUUCACACUAUCUUGAUCAAGAUAGUGUGAAGCAAAAUCAAUUCAUGGUACCCAAGAAAGUUUCAACCUCAAAGCUUCACCUACAAAGCUUCAACACCAAAGCUUUACCUACAAAGCUUAAAAAAAAAAUAUAUUUUUUCAGAAAUUCGAAAAUUAAAAAAUUCGAAAAUUCGAAAAUUCGAAAAAAAAAAUUCAAAAAACAAAAAUUGCCUAGGCCUCAUCUUUUUUGGGCCUAACAACUUUCAUAACAAAUAUAUAUGAAUGAGGAGUUUUAGGCUACCACUUAGAAAGGAAAUGCCUCAUUCGUCAACUCCCUCGACCGGAGACUUGGGGGACUCCUACCAUGUGCUAUUGCACCUUGAUACUCGGAAGUCUCACAACCACUCAGUGACUUGGAUUUUCAAGUCUCCAACUGAGAAGUUUUCCUCACUCGGGAAAUUAAGGGAGCACUACCUCAACAUACAUGCUUCACUCUUAAAGUUUCAACAUACAAGCUUCAACAAAAGAAAAAAAUUUAAAGAACUUAGUGAAGAAGGCCUUGGUGUAUUUAACACAAUAUGUUGAAAUGAAGCAAAGCUUGUUUAUUGAUAUCUCUGAUAAGUUACAAAUAUGUACAUAUACAUGAAUCAAACUAAACAAACAAGAUGGAGCGUUCUCAAAGGUUGCUCAGGAGAAGUCUCAGCAGUCGGCAGAGCCCUAGAAAGAGGAGGCACCGAAGGGUGAUUAUUCGGAGCCUCAGGACUAGGCAGAACCCCAGAAGGAGGAGGCACCGAAGGUUGAUCAUUUGGAGCUUCAUUAAGCGAUACAGCCCCAGAAGACGAAGGCAAUAAAUGCCUUUGGAACAAACCCACAAACCUUUGAUGAUCAAGUAAAAUUUGACCAUCAGAUUCCUGCAGCUGGUCGAGCUUCCUCUUCAUGUUUGUGGCAUAGUCAUGUGCGAGCCUGUGCAACUGUUUAUUCUCAUGCUUGAGUCAUCAGAUCUCAUCUUUGAGACUUAUCACUUCAGCUGCCAAUGAUUCAACUUGGUGGGUUCGAGUAAAUAGGCGUUGGGCCAUAUUAGACACAGAACCUGCACACUAAACACUGAGAGCCAGAUAAUCCUUAACAGCCAACUCAUCAGAUCGUUUGGAAAGUAGUUUGUUAUCUUUGGGAGUGAGAAGGCUCCUGGCCACCACCGCAACGGUCAUAUCAUUCUUCAUCACAGAGUCCUCAACGGUAAGAGGACCAUAAGGGGAUAAGAAGGAUGGGCGCCAUAUGUUGUCUUGAGAAGGCAUGACUGCCUCUUCACCAAAGUUCAAGUCAAAACGACAGUCGGAUGAGCCAGACAUUCUCAGAAAUGAUGAAGGAGAAAUGAGAUGCAAUAAAUCUCUGAAGUACAAAAAUAAGGGGAAAUGUUUUGCAAGCAAUAACUCUUUGAACGUAGUUCUUGCACACAAUUGGUGCCCCUAUAAAAGAAAGGGCAACAGGGCCAUUGGUUCAAAAAUCGAAGAGGCACCACUCUCCGGAUUUCGAGAAGCAGAAUUUCCUGAGUAAAAUAUGUCGACAAUCCCCACACGCAACAUCAGCUUCUUGGGUACCACAGAUAACUUUGCCAAAGAUCUCUGACAAAGUUUAGACACAUAAAUUUUGAAGGUCCAGGUACCUUACCAUUGCCCAUAAGGGUAAAGAAACAGCAGCACUGCUUGAUAACUGGAAAGUCCCUGUGUGUGUCAACCUCCGUGCUUCUUGGUAAGGCAGACUGGCAAAAAUGCCCAACCAUUACUUACAUUUGAGAAAACACUCAUUGCUUGCUCAAAAAUCGAACAGGCACCGCUUUCCGAAUCUCGAGAGCCAGACUCCAAACAGGAUUACUUGCUCAAAAAUAGAAGAGGCACUGCCCUCCAAUCUCGAGAGCCAUACUCCCAACAGGAUUACUUUCUCAAAAAUCGAAAAGGCACCGCUAUUCGAAUCUCAAGAGCCAAACUCCCAAUAUUAUUGCUUUCUUAAAAAUCAAAGAGGCACCGUUCUCCGAAUCUGGAGAGCCAGAUCCCCAACAGGAUUUCUUGUUCGAAAACCGAAGAGGCACGCUCUCCAAACUUCGAGAGCCAUAUUUCCUAGGAUAAAGCUUGUCUGCAAUCUUCACACACAACAUCAGCUUUGUAGAUACCACAUACCACUUUUUCAAAGUGCUCUGACAAAGUUAAAACACGUGAAGCUUGCAGCUCUCACUACAUUACUAUGACCAAGAAGGGUACAUGAAUAUCAUUACUACUUGUUGUUGGGGAAACUUCUAUAUAUGUCUACCUCUAACCUCAACGGACAGGCAGACCUGCAAAAAAGCUCAACCAUUCCUCAUAUCUGAGAGGGCACUCCCAACGAAGCCUUUUAAAAUACUCAGCUUCCUUUUUUCCCGAUAAUACCUCUGCAAACAAGCCACACCAAAGCAAGAGUAUCUCAUAUCAUUAGGGUUAAAAGCAAGAGUAUCCCAUAUCAUGCUUUUUCCCUGUCUUUUCCUUUGGCCUUGUUCUUACCUGCAAGACAAUGAGAAAAAGAGCAAUCAGUCAGCAUUUGGAAUCAAGCUUCCAGUCAGGAACUGACUACCUGGAACUUCUUGCCUGAGUACUUACCUGGCAUUGCUCUCAAGUACUCAUCUUCAACAUCUUAUACUUCCAGAAAAGAUACUACACAUGCUUGAGGAACAGAUAGGGCAAGUGAGAAGGAUACAAGGAAGCAUGUGGAGACAAGCGCAACAGAACAUGUGCCGAUUCAUCUAUUACUUUGUCAACAGCAAAAGUAUCUCAUAUCAUCAAGGUCAAACACACUCUUGAUUUGAUGGACUUGUUUUGACCCUCAAAUUCUUGAGUUGGCCUUAUACUCUGGAGGAAACCAGAAAACCCUACAGCCCAGUUCAAGAAUAAGCUUGUGGAAAGUUACUUCUUCAAAAGCAAAAGUAUCUUAUAUCAUCACUUCUCCAUUUUCUUCUCUUUAUCUUUUCUGCUGCCUGUAAGAUAGGGAGAAUGAGAACAAUCAGCUGGAACUCGAAAUCAAACUUCUGAUUUGGGACUGAUUACUAGGAGCUCUGAUUGCUUACCUUGUUUGUCACCUUUUUUCGGCAGAUCUCCUAGCUUGGUGACUUAGGGGACUCCUACUACAUUGUUUGUAUCGCGCUUAACCAAGCCUGAAACUACAAGUAAGCUUCAAGUGAAAUUGAUACAUUACCUUGUGCAUCUCCACCGGUUAAAGAUACCACCUCUGGAUGGAGGAAAAGUAGUUCUAGAGAAGAUGCCACAUCUACCUGUGAGAUAGAUAAGGCUAGUGAAAACGAUACCACACUUCGGUACUUAGAAGUUUCGUGAUUACUCAACGACUUGGAUCUUGCAAGUCCCCAACUGAGGAGCUUCCCUCACUCGGGAACUUAGGGGAUCACUGUUUGUACCAUACUUGACCAAUUCUGAAACUACUGAGCACGAGUCAACGUUAUACCGUCAAAGACCCACAAGAGUUUCCCUUUAACCAGGAGGCUAAUCACAUCGCAACACAUGUCGACAUUAGAAGCCAAUUAAAACACGACACGUGUCAAUGUCAAAACAAAGCUAGAAACUCUCUUCUAUAAAAGGAGAUAAUUCUCCCACAAUAUUUCCUAAUGUCAUUUGUACUAAAUCAUUCACUAGUGCUCACUAAAUGAGAGCUUGAACCUAUGUACUUAUGUAAACCCUUCACAAUUAAUGAGAACUCAUCUACUCCAUGGACGUAGCCAAUCUGGGUGAAACACGUACAUCUUGUGUUUGCUUCCCUGUCCCUAUCCAUUUACAUACUUAUCCACACUAGUGACCAGAGCAAUCUUGCGAAGGUCACAAACUUAACACUUUCUGUUGUACCAAAAACCUCACUGAUUUUGUGCAUCAACACAUUUAAGGAACGUGUUCAGAGUAUACAACUAACUAGAACACUAAAGGAAAUAAUAUAAAAUUGAAUGAAAUAAAGGAUGGAUCCUACACCGAGAGGACUCGAAGAUGCUGAUGCGGAAAUGCCUGAACGCCGGGAUUGUAUGCCUUGAUUCUAAGUCUUGAAGGGGGCACAAAACAAACGUGAGUGGUCCAAUUUGAUAUAAUAAUAAUAAUAAUAAUAAUAAUAAUAAUAAUAAUAAUAAAAAAAAAACAGUUAUCAACAUACUAACCCCCAGGUUUUAUGAAAACACAUAUAUCAUGGUAAACAUAGGUUUUUCGAAACCUAGCAUGUCAUGCAAUGUCUUAAAUCAUAACUUAUAUAUAUAAUAAUCACUAGUGAAUUGUUCGAUAACCCUCAGGCCCCAUGCCGGCUCCCCGUCCUUAUGCUAAUAGCCAGAGGAAACACACUCCAGGCCCUAUGCCAACACCAAAUCGUCGCCCGAAAUGAACCGGAAUCUAUCCUUACAUCCCGUAGCGGAAAAGACCACUAGGUAAGUACAAAACCAUUGAACAUAUAUAUAUUGAAAAACAACUUCAUAGUAUAAAGUCAUCCAUCAUCUAUACUAUAAAGAGGUGUUCGAAACAUGUUCUAAAUAUCAAAUCGUCAUCCAUUAGAUAUUCUAUAAGAACACGGGUUAUAGGAAAAAUAGUAGUAAUUUAAUCUAGCCUCAAUAAGCAUGUUAUCUCAAAGCGUUUCAUAGAACAUAAUCAUUAAAUCAUGCUUUUCAUGUAUGCAUUUCUACUAUCAAAACAUGCAUGUUUAGAAGUGUCCACUCAUAGAUAUUUAGCCGCCGAAAAGCCACGUAAACUAGCGAAGACGGAAACGCCACAAUAAUUGCCCCUAAGCACAUAAAAGGUCCAAUUAAUAAAAAUCUAUUAUAACAAUUGAAUUUGGGAAAACGGACGUUGGAAACAAAUUUAGGACGUCGAAUUAACCUAAGAAGGGUCCUGAUUAAAUUUCGUAGAAGUCGAUAGAAGUCAACAGGGGAAUAUUCUGCCGGAUUGGACUUGGGUCUUAAGGGUGUUGGGUUAAGCCUAGGGGUUUUGGGGUUUAGAGGGCACAUGCCUAAGGCCCAAUGGAACAUGGCCCGAAGGCCUUGGGGUUUUUUAAAAAAAAAAAAAAUUUAAUAAACAAAAAUAAUUAAAAAGGUUGGGGUUGGGCUUAGGGCCCCCAACAGCAACAGCCCAAAUGCCUUAAGCCUAAGGGUUUUUGGGUUCUUGAGAGGACGGGCCUAUGACCCUAAAUAAAACGGCCCAAAGGCUUUUUUAUUAAACUAAAUAAGGUUAAAACAAAAUAAAUAAAUAAAUAAAAGAAAUGGGUUUGGGUUGGGCUCGGUAGGAAAGGCCCAAAAGGCCUAUGUUUGAUGGGUCGCCGGACCCAAGGAAGAAGAAGGCCAGAAUUUGGCCGGAAAGUUCCUUAACUUUAAAUAUUCAUAACUUUGUCAAAAAUGAAAUCGAGUGAUUCAAAAACAAAAGUUGUAGUUCUCGAAGAGAUGAAGAGAAUGGUACCUUGCAUGACGUCUAACUCGUAGUAGUUUGACAAGAAAAUGCCUCAAAAGCCUUGGAGGUCGCCGAAAACUGGGAAAGAUUCAAAUGGAUAUAACGUCUUCAAUACUUAACGAAAUUGGGUGAUUUAAAAAGGAAAGUUGUAGUACUCAUGGAGGCGAAGAGAUUGAUACCUUGCAUGCGCGCCAAAUCUCUAUGGUUUGGCUGGAAAUUGGCUCGAACGUGAGGGUUCCUCGUUGGAAUCUGGGAAAGCCUUCCCGAAAAGUUUCUGCGAUGACUCAACAUCCACCACACACAAACAUGGUCAAAGAACGAACUACAAGGAUGGAAGGAAGAGUUUUUGGAGUGUUACCGAGGCUUACCAGCCGUCGGCAAUAUGAGGGACUCGCCGGAGUUCCUCUGUGCUCCACAGACGAACUAAGAGAGGGAAAAAGAGAUAGCUAACGCGGUAGUGAUGGUGAUGAUGUCGUCGUUGAUGAGGUGGGUGUGGACAGGUGUGUGUGGGUUGGUCCUCGGGGGAGAAAGGGUUAAGAGAGUUGUCGACAUGGAGAGAUAAGGGAGAGUGAGGGGGAAGAAAGAACUGAGAGAGAUGGAGAGGGAGCUUGGGAGACAGGGGACAAAUAUCAGGGGUGGGCCCUUUGGGCACACCAUUUAAGACCCAAAAACCAUUUUUUAUAAACUUUUUAAGGGAUAUAUGAAAUUACAUUUUAAUUCAGGGAUGGGUUGUAACAGCAUCUCUGGUGGAUUUCAUCUCAAUCUUAAAUAAAUAUUCUCUCUUUCUCUACCCCAUUAAUAAUUUUCAUGAAUUAAGUAAAACUUAUUUAAUGAGUCAUUUUUUGGUCUAACUAGAACAUCGCGUACAUGUACUGCUAACGCGGUGUUGGCAAUCCUCUUUAAGUUGUCCCCAUAAUGUUAUCAUUAGAUAGAUUAGUAAUACCAUGCCACUUACACACAAAAAUUUUAAUUUUGAAUUUCUAACGUUAGUCACAUGCUAACAUAGUGCUACCAAUCCACUUAAAUGUAAGUUCCUGAGUUUAGUCUAAGUAGUACGGAAUGAUAUAGAUAAUGAACUAUAAUCAGGUUUUAAAUAAUUAAAGAGCACCAAUCACACAUUAUUUGUUAUAAUUUAAAUGAAUUAGUAACACCAGAUCCAUUACUCGCAAAAACAUCUCCCAAGUUAUCAUCCAACUUAUGGUUUACUAAGAUGUGCAUUGUUAUAUGUAGGGGGCAUAUAAACCCUGCAAUCACAUUCGGGCUGUUUUUGGUAAGGAGAGUAUCACUGGUGAGAGCCAUAUUGUACAUGGCGGCUCAGUCGUUUGGAGCCAUAUAUGGUGUUGGGCUAGUGAAAGCUUUCCACAGUUCUUACUAUACCAAGUAUGGCGGAGCCAAUGAGCUUGCCGAUGGCUACAACAUAGGCACUGGAUUGGGUACUGAGAUUCUUGGCACCUUUGUUCUUGUCUACACUGUCUUCUCUGCCACUGAUCCCAAGAGAAAUGCAAGAGACUCCCAUGUCCCAGUAAGUAUAAAUUAAUUUUGCUGCUAUUAAUUUCUAACUACUGACUCUAAUGAUUUGUUUAUGUUGAUUAAUUAAAGGUAUUGGCACCCCUGCCAAUUGGGUUUGCUGUGUUUAUUGUUCACCUUGCCACAAUCCCAAUCACUGGCACUGGCAUCAACCCAGCUAGAAGUCUUGGAGCUGCAGUGAUCUACAACAAUGACAAGGCUUGGAAUGACCAAGUAUGCCUUUCACCUUACUCUCUUAGUUACUAACUUUUAAUAAAAAAUAAAAUUUACGGACGUUAAAUAGACAAUAAACCAUGUAUAUAACUCAAUUUAAUACUCUUUAUUGUCGUCUACUUUUUUAUUUAAUUUUAUUUUUGAUUAAAAGUUAAUAACCAGUUCUAAUUCUUCGUAUUUUUUCUAAUUAUUUACUUAUGUUUGUUGUUUAAUUAUUCAGUGGAUCUUCUGGGUUGGACCAUUUAUUGGAGCUGCCAUUGCUGCCUUAUAUCACCAAUACAUCUGGAGAGCAGGAGCUGUUAAAGCUCUGGGUUCUUUCAGGAGCUCCCCCAACAUAUGAUUUUUAAGAGAUUUAUUGUGUUUUCUCAAUGUUUUGAGAAACUUUGCAUUUCUGGAAGCAUGGAAUUUGUAUAUUAUUACUAUUGUAUAGGUGUUGAGGGUGUCAAUAUUAAGUUACCUUCUGUCUGUGUACAAAAGGCACUUCUUUUAAAUGUGCCUUAAUGUUUGCAUUCUGCUAUUUUUUUUCCCUCUUUCCUUUUAUAACAUGAUUUCAUCUAUUUGUAUGUGUCAUCAAUAUGUUUAAUUAGUGAUGAAUUUUCAGCAAAUGCAUUGUGUUACUGAGUUGGCGCUUCCAUAGGUAAACUUCAAUAGUACAGCAAAGACGUCUACAUGAUAAACAAAAGCAGAACAUCCAAUCAAUUCUUGACAAUUACAAAUAUUCUAAUUCAGAUUUCACGUCAUUCCAACUUCUCCUUAAUUCAAUUCCUCCUUAUUUCAAUUCAUCUCAUUUUAAUUACGGAUCAGUUAACUAGUCAUGAGUGCAAAGUUAUAUUAGGGGCCUUCAUAGUUCUUAGUGGGAAUCUUCUUUCUAAAAAGUAACUGUGAUAAUUGUUGGGUAUCCUUCCACUUUGCAAAUGGGUAAUUGUGACAACCCGUCCCGAAGAUAUGUAUUAUUUUAUUAUCAAGGACGUGAAUUUACUAUUUUACCCCCGGUUAUGAGCGUUGUGGUGUGUUAUGUAUGUAAGUGUUGAAAUGGAUGGAAAGGAAAGAAAAUAAAAAGAAGAAGGGAGGUCACAUGUGUGUGCGUGUGCGUGGCUGGUAGAAGAAAAAUAAGAAGAGAUUGGGCAAAGCUGCCCAACCAGAGGAAGAGAGCAGGAGCUGAGGGGGAGAAAGGAGAGAGAGCUGGCAAAUUAGGAGAAGAGAGAAGGAGAGGAUGGCCAACCAGAAAAGGGGAAGGAGGGAUAAGAGGGAAAAGGAAAAUGAGGGGAACCCUGGGAUCUUUUUCUUGAUUCGUGCGACUCGGUCGAGCUCCAAGGCCGAAUUCACCUAUUUCCCGGCCACUUUCUGAUGAAUUGUCUCGAACCAUGACCUAGAAACAACUUCCUAGCCUUCCCUCUUCCAUUCCCACUCAAAAUUAGAAGGAAUUUGGUGGUAAUUUAUUCAAAAACCGAAAGUGGGUGCCGUGAAGAAAAUUGCUCUAAAUCCACCACUUGUGAAACGUUUUCCUUCAAUUACCACUACCAUUAGACUUCCCUAGAACCUAGGAGCAAAGCCCAAGCAGUGGUGGAGGCUUCGGAACAAGUUUGAAGGUCGAAUCGAAGCACACCAAAUUCUAGGGUCCGCACGGAGUUUGGUGAAAUUGAAGUGCUUCCACGCCAAAUUGGCAUUGGUCAUAGGUAUGAAAGUUGUUCUACUCAUUGAGAUCUUCAAAUCUGAAAAUUUUGGUAAUUUUUAGAAAUAGUUGAAUUUUCCGGCGAGCCAGGACGGCCGACCGCCACCCGCGACGCAACGGCUGGUGCGGUGGCGUGUGGCCUGAGGGCCACCAAUGCUAUUUUUAGACUAUAUGUGAUUUCUUGAAUUCAAUUUUGAGAAGUGAAUUAUGUAGAUUGAUUGUUAGAGCCAAAAUUCUCUAAGAUACGUUAAUAGGCCAUUAUAUGAAUCGACGAUCCAACCGUCGGAUCAUCACCAAACUUUGAUACGUAGUAGUACAUAAUAUUUGAAGAAUGCAGGAACUUAUGGAUCAGGACUUCGAUGGACGGAUCUUCUCGAAUUGGAUUUGUAAGUUCAUAAAAUAAAAUGUUAACCGCCACUUAAUUUUGGAAAUUGGCGGAGAUCCAACCGUCGUAUCGUAAUGAAAUUUUAGUAUGUUGUUCUAGAAGCUUAAUGUGUUUUGGGAAGUGACAGAUCAAAAAUCUGAGUUGUGGAUCUUCCAGAUUUAGUUAUUUGGGGUUAUGACCCUACCGUCGAACUUAGUCGACGGUUGACCUUCGAUCAACUGGUCUCGCAUUAUUCUUGAAUGCCGUUGAGGACAUGUGUUAUGUGAAUUACAUAUUCUAUGGAUAAGAGUUUUGAGAUGUGGUUUGAUAACUGUUUUAGGCACCGAGCGUUCAGGACGUCUUGGUUAUGAUGUUAGGGAGUCAUAGCGCGGACCACAGGUGAGUGGGCAAUUAUUUUCUGUAUAUACCUAUAUACUACUGAUUUUUCCCAGCAAUUGAAUUUAAAUGAAAGUAUGUUUUAAAAUGCCAUGCAUACAUAUUAUAUGAAAUAUAUGAACUAGUAUUUGAUGCAUAUAUGUGAAAUGGUGCUGUGGACGCACAAGUGAGUUUUAUGUUGUUCAUGUGAUUUAUUGAUGAUGGGAAUUGUGUUGAAAGCUCAUAACCUGCACCCCUGGUGUUAGUGCUUAUAUUAUUCACCCCGCACCACUCGCUCACCUUGGAUCCAAGUAGGUGCAUGUCGUACAAACCAUUAGAGGUGGUUCCGACAUGUCGUACAGACCAUUAGAGGUGGUUCUGACUUGUAGGUGACUUUAGAUUGUUAUACAGCUGUUGAUGAGAGAAGCACUAGAGCGUAUUCUUACACCAUUCUUGUCAUACAGACUACUUUAGGUCGUUCCGAUUUAUGUACAGAGUAGCGCCGUACAUGUCACAGUUGGUGACUCUGGUUGGAUUAGAUAUUGAGCUAUAGAAUUAACCGUAUAGGACAGCUGCAGAGUCUCCGGUUGAUUCCUUAUUUCACCUGUUAUAUUGAUGCAUCCUUAUUAUGUUUUGAAGCAUAGCAUGGCUUAUUUCUUGAAAGGUGUUAAAGACAUGUGAUUUGAGUUAUUUGUUGUUAUAUAUGGUUAUAUAUAUACUAUUUCUGGGAAAGUAUACAGGUUUUACAGUGAGGGGUUAGAAGUGUUAUUAAAUGAAAUAUUUUCAAAAAGCUUUGUUUUACUGACCCACUCAAUCUUGUUUUGCGCCCCUCCAGGUUCUAGUUAGCAGUGUUGGUGGCUCACGGGGAUUCCCACGGCGUUCUGACAACCUACUUAAAUGUAGGACUCACCUUUAGGUGUUGUAAUUUAGUAAUGGUCAUACUUGACUGCACCUAGUACUUAUGCUCUGAUUAUGUGUGUUUCACACUUAAACUCACUCUAGCAUGUUAGUUGGAUAUUAUUGCUAGUCAUUGGGUUUUAUUCCUUCGUAUUUCUUUUACCCAUUUUUGCUUCUGCGUCGCACUUUUGGUUACGUCACGCUCACGUAACGGCCUGCACGCCCUGAUUCUAGAAUCGGGGUGUGUUAGUUGGGUAUCAGAGCUUAGGUUGCAGUCCUGUAUAUCUUAAGGAUUCUCUUAGUGUCGUCUAUCAGAACUAUACCGCCUUGUAGAAAGUCACGUCGUUCAGAUGAGCCUAGUUUCCCUGAUAUAACUCAGUUAGAGAAAGCUAUUGUUAAUGUGAUUCAAUUUGUUAUCUGUCCUCCCCUAAGGACUCCUCUUGAAAAUGGUUAUAAGUUGAAACUGAAUCAUUUUAGGAAAUGAAGGACCUGAAGGAGCAGAGCGAUGGCUCGAUUAUUUGGAAAAGACGUUAAGCGUUAUGCAAAGUCAAGGGAAUCUUCCUUUUGAAAGGUGGAUCAAGAUAACUACUUGGUUUCUGAGUAUUGAAUCUGCAUCCUGGUGGAGGCAGGAGGCUUUUUAAUUGAUGCCAGAGGAAAUUGUUGAUUGAGAGUUGUUUAAGGAAUUGUUUAAGAAAAGAUUUAUUCCUCGGCAUGUAUGGAUGAUAAGAAUUAAGAGUUUACAAAUUUGAGACAAGGAAAGAUGUCAACGAAUGAGCAUUAUAGAAGGUUUAUUGACUUGUCUCGUUACCAUUCGGAUGUUGCUGCUAAUCCGGUUGAGAUGUUCCGUCAUUUUAAGCUGAGUAAUAAGAAAAUGUAGUGUUCUUUGGCGAUCAUUACCCAAUGUGUUUCUUACCCGAAGUUUUACGAAAUUUUGUUGAAGACUCUGAGAAUAUGUUCAGCAAUAGUAAUGAAGGAGGGGAAAAGAAUGGGAAUCAGAGGAAAGAUGACAAAAGUAAAGGUUAGUCAUCUCAAGGACUUGAGAAACUUAGAACUUCAGAAGAAGUGAAGUUAUUUUUGGUUUUUCCAGAGGAGGAAUUAGUACCACUAAACAGAUGAGAGGUGGUAAAAAAUUACUGGAGGUCCUAGAUUCCUGAGGCAGGAAGAUAUUAGUAAAGGAAACGUACUUUGUACCGUAGGUACAAUAAUAGUCAAUUUGGAGAGUGUAGGCGAGAAAUCAGCAGAUGUUUUUCAUGUGGACUAAUGGGACACAGAGCUGUAAAUUGUCCCCAGAAUCAGUAGAUGCCCAACAGUCUUCUUUGCCACCACCAAUGCCAUCCAGCAAGUUCCUGGAUCCAUUAGUUAUGGUCAGAUAGGCCGUGGUGUGCGGGGGUGAAGUAAUCAAGCUAUUAGAGGUCGUGAGGGAUGAAAACAAGCCAAUGUUGUGUUAACAUAUCACUGCAAGAUGCUUUGAGUCAUUCGGACUUGAUUAUGGAUAUGUUAAAUAUUUUGGUCACCUUGCCAGAGUUCAUUGGUCGUGAUGCGGAAAUUUGAUGUUUUGGACGAUGUUGCCUAAGAAAGUAAUGAAUGAGUACGAUAGAAGGGUACACAUAUAUUUCCCAAGGAAUGGCAGGAUGUUAAUAUUGCACCCUCAGGAAUCAUUACUUACUUAUCAAGACGACAGCGGGUUAUCAGUAGUACGGUGAUGGUGGAAGAUAUAGUUAUGUCAGUGAAUCUUAUCCCUUUAGAUAUGGUGGAUUUCGAUGCUAUUCUAAGCACAUAUUGGUUGUAUUAUGAUCGUGCCAAUAUAGAGUGCUACUGGAAAUCAGUUACUUUUCAUAGUCCUGGACUACCAGAGGUUACUUUUGUGGGUGAAAAAAAAAAUUGGGGUGAGACAUGGUGUUAUUUCUGCCAUGAGAGCAAAUAAGUUGUUAUCAAAUGGUUGUCAAAGAUACCUAGCACAUGUGGUGUUAAAUGAUGUUGUUCCUAGCAGUGUGGAGGAAGUUAGAGUAAUCAGGCACUAUCCUGAUGUAUUCCCAAAUGAUUUGCCUGGAUUGCCGUCAGACAGAGAUGUGGAGUUUUCGAUUGAUUUGCUUCCAGGUAUGGAUCCUAUAUCUUUGACUCCAUAUAGAAUGGCUCCAGUUGAAUUGAGAGAGUUGAAAAUUCAGUGUGCAGGAAUUGAUUGAUAAAGGUUCCAUUUAACCUAGUACAUUACCUUGGGGAGCCUCAGUUUUUGUUGUGAAAAAGAAUGACGGGACAUUAAGGCUAUGAAUUGAUUAUGGGCUAUUGAAUCGGGUAACGAUUGAGAACCAUUAUCCAUUACCUCGCAUGGAUGGUUGGUUUAAUUGGCUUCGAGGUGCCUAUGUAUUUUCAAAGGUUGAUUUAAGGUUUGGUUAUUAUCAGUUGAAGUGUAGCAGUGAGGAUGUUCCUAAGAUUAAUUUCAAGACUCGUUGUAGUCUUUAUGAGUUUUUGGUGACAUCAUGCGAAAUGACAAAUGUGCUUGCUGCUUGUAUAGGUUUGAUGAAUCAAGUAUUCCAGCAAUAUCUAGACAGGUUAUUAUUGUUUUCAAUUCGAGUAUAUUCUAAGUUGAAAGUAAACCAUGUUCGACAUAUUAACUUGGUAUUAAGGAAAUUGAGAGAACAUCGGUUGUAUACCAAGUUUAGUAAAUGCCAAUGUUGGAUGAAUCAAGUGGCAUUUCUGGGGUGUGUGAUAACUGUUCAAGGUAUUCAGGUGGAUCCUUAAAAGAUAGCAGCGGUGGAGAAUUGGGAACUAGUGUGAACUGUGAGUGAGGUACGGAGCUUUCUUGGCUUAGCAGGCUACUAUAGACUGUUGUUAAGAGUUUUUUUAGUCAUUGCCUUGCCAUUUAUGAGUUGAAGAAUAAAAGGUUAAGUUUGAGUGGGAUGAAAAUUGUAAUCAAAGUUGUCAGCAGCUGAAGAAUUAUUUCAUUUAUACGCUGAUUUUAACACCCCCAGAUGAUAGUGAUGAUUUUGUGGUCUACAGUGACGCCUCGUUGAAUAGUCUUGGAUAUGUGUUGAUACAACAUGAUAGGAUGGUUGCUUAUGCUUCACGGCAAUUGAAACCUUAUGAAAAGACUUACCCUACUCAUGACUUGAAAUUUACAACCAUCAUCAUUGCUUGAAAUUAUGGAGACACUAUAUUUAUGGUGAGAAUUAAUGCUUGUUAUGCUGGUCAUGUUUCUCUUCUUGCGAACUUGAGAUCUUCUGGAGUGAAGCUUAAGGUGAAAGAACGAGAAGAAGCUUUAUUGACUAAUUUAUAGGUCAAGCCAAUUGUAGUGGAUCGUAUACUCGAUACCCAGAUGAUUGAUGACGAAAUUCAAGAAUUAAUCGAGGUAAGAAACGACGGGAAAAGGAAAGACCUUAGAGUUAGAGAAUCAGGUGACAUGUUUAUGCAAGGGAACGGGAUGUGUGUGCUUAAUGAUGUGGAAUUAAGAAAGCAAUUUUGAAUAAAGCACAUAAUUUAGCUUAUGCGAUGCAUACUAGAGGUACAAAAAUGUAUAAUACCAUUCGACCAUUUUAUUAUUGGCCAGGUAUGAAAAGAGAAAUUGCUAAAUAUGUUACCAAAUGUACCAAUUGUCGACAAGUUAAAGCAAAAAGGAAGAAAUUUUGGAUUAAUGCAGCCACUUCUUGUUCCACGGUGGAAAUGAGAAAAUAUUACGAUAGAAAAGAGAUUUGGGCUUACGGAUCUGUUGAACUUCUUGGGCAUGUUAGUCUCGUCAGAUUCCCAGAAGUAACACCAUAAGGCCCAAGAAAGCUGUGUCAUGUGUUUCAGAAUUUUUGAACUUAUGGACGGAUGGUAUUUGGGGAGCAAAGGUUCAAUCACGAACGGUUCGAAAAUGUAAGGCCCUGAGUUAGUGGAAGAGACUACUCAGAAUAUUCAAGUAACUAAGUCUAAACUGAAAGCGGCCAUGAUCGCCAAAAGAGCUUAACGGUCAGACAUGCUACAGACAGGGUGUAUAAUGUUGAUGAUUGAGCGUUUUUAAAUUAUCACUGUGUGAUUCGGUUUGAAAGGGAAGACGAGUUAAGUUCUAGGUACAUCGGACCUUAUGUGAUUACCAAGCAAAUCGGUGAAAUGUUUACAAGCUUGAGUUGCCUCCAGAGUUGUCGGAAGUGCAUGAUGUAUUUCAUGUUUCGAUGCUUCGCCAUUAUAUCUCAUAUCCUUCACAAGUAGUACCUCCUCAACCUUUGCAAGUUAAUCCAGAUUUGAUUUAUGAUGAGGAACCUGUGGCACUUUUGGAUUGGAAGGAUAAGGAACUAAGAAAUAAGACCGUGCGUUUGGUGAAAGUAUUAUAGAGAAAUCUUUCAGUGGAAGAAGCUACUUGGGAGAUAAAGGAUCGGAUGAAAGAGACGUAUCCACUCUGGUUUUAUAAUUAUUAGUGGAUGUAAUUGUUAUGUAUAAUUUCAAGGACGAAAUUUUAUAAGGUGGGGAGAUUGUGACAGCCCAUCCCGAAGAUAUGUAUUAUUUUAUUAUCAAGGACGUGAAUUUACUAUUUUACCCCCAGUUAUGAGCGUUGUGGUGUGUUAUGUAUGUAAGUGUUGAAAUGGAUGGAAAGGAAAGAAAAUAAAAAGAAGAAGGGAGGUCACGUGUGUGUGUGUGCGCGCGUGGCUGGUAGAAGAAAAAGAAGAAGAAGAGAUUGGGCAUAGAUGCCCAACCAGAGAAAGAGAGCAGGAGCUCCGGAGAGAAAGGAGAGAGAGCUGGCGAAUCAGGAGAAGAGAGAAGGAGAGGAUGGCCAACCAGAAAAGGGGAAGGAGAGAAAUGAGGGAGAAGGAAAAGCAAGGGAACCGCCGGGUCUUCUUCAUGACCCGCGUGACCCGGUCGAGCUCCAAGGCCGAAUUCACCUAUUUCCCGGCCACUUUCCAAUGAAUUGUCUCGAACCAUGACCUAGAAACAACUUCCUAGCCUUCCCUUUUCCAUUCCCAUUCAAAAUUAGAAGGAAUUUGGUGGUAAUUUAUUCAAAAACCGAAAGUGGGUGCCGUGAAGAACAUUGCUCGAAAUCCACCACUUGUGAAAUGUUUUCCUUCAAUUACCACUACCCUUAGACUUCCCUAGAACCCAGGAGCAAAGCCCAAUCAGUGGUGGAGGCGUUGGAACAAGUUUGAAGGUCGAAUCGAAGCACACCAAAUUCUAGGGUCCGCACGGAUUUUGGUGAAAUUGAAGUGAUUCCAAGCCAAAUUGGCCUUGGUCACAGGUAUGAAAGUUGUUCUAAUAAUUGAGAUCUUCAAAUCUGAAAAUUUUGGUAAUUUUUAGAAAUAGUUGAAUUUUCCGGUGAGCAGGGGCAGCCGACCGCCACCCGCAGCGGCCUGAGGGCCGCCAAUGCUAUUUUUAGACUAUAUGUGAUGUCUUGAAUUCAGUUUUGAGAAGUGAAUGACGUAGAUUGAUUGUUAGAGCCAAAAUUCUCUAAGAUACGUUAAUAAGCCAUUAUAUGAAUCGACGAUCCAACUAUUGGAUCGUCACCAAACUUUGAUAUGUAGUAUUACGUAAUAUUUGAAGAAUGCAGGAACUUAUGGAUCAGGAAUUCGAUGGACGGAUCUUCCCGAAUUGGAUUUGUAAAUUCAUAAAAUAAAAUGUUAACCGCCACUUAGUUUUGGAAAUUGGCGGAGAUUCAACCGUUGGAUCGUAACGAAAUUUUAGUAUGUUGUUCUAGAAGCUUAAUGUGUAUCUUUGGAAGUGACGGAUCAGAAAUCUGAGUUGUGGAUCUUCCAGAUUGAGUUAUUUGGGGUUAUGACCCUACCGUCGAACUUAGUCGACAGUUGACCUUUGAUCAAUGGGUCUCGCAUUAUUCUUGAAUGCCGUUGAGGAUAUGUGUUAUGUGAAUUACAUAUUCUAUGGAUAAGAGUUCUGAGAUGUGGUUUGAUAACUGUUUUAGGCACCGAGCGUUCGGGACGCCUUGGUUCUGAUGUUAGGGAGUCGUAACGCGGACCCCAGGUGAGUGGGCAGUUAUUUUCUGUAUAUACCUAUAUACUACUGAUUUUUCCUAGAAAUUGAAUUUAAAUGAAAGUAUGUUUUAAAAUGCCAUGCAUACAUAUUAUAUGAAAUAUAUGAGCUAGUAUUUGAUGCAUAUAUGUGAAAUGGUGCUGUGGACGCACAUGUGAGUAUCAGGUGAGUUUUAUGUUGUUCAUGUGAUUUAUUGAUGAUGAGAAUUGUGUUGAAAGCUCAUAACCUGCACCCCUGGUGUUAGUGCUUAUAUUAUUCACCCCGCACCACAGGCUCACCUUGGAUCCAAGUAGGUGCAUGUCGUACAGACCAUUAGAGGUGGUUCCGACUUGUAGGUGACCUUAGAUUGCUAUACAACUAUUGAUGAGAGAAGCACUAGAGCAUAUUCUUACACCAUUCUUGUAGUACAGACUACUUCAGGUAGUUCCGAUUUAUGUGCAGAGUAACGCCAUACAGGUCACAGUUGGUGACUCCGGUUGGAUUGGAUAUUGAGCUAUAGAAUUAACUGAACAGGACAGCUGCAGAGUCUCCGGUUGAUUCCUUAUUUCACCUGUUAUAUUGAUGCAUCCUUAUUAUGUUUUAAAGCAUAGCAUGGCAUAUUUCUUGAAAGGUGUUAAAGACAUGUGAUUGAGUUAUUUGCUGUUAUAUGGUUAUAUAUAUACUAUUUAUGGGAAAGUAUACAGGUUUUACAGUGAGGGGUUAGAAGUGUUAUUAAAUGAAAUAUUUUCGAAAAGCUUUGUUUUACUGACCCACUCAAUCUUGUUUUGCGCCCCUCCAGGUUCUAGUUAGCAGUGUUGGUGGCUCACGAGGAUUCCCACGGCGUUCUGACAGCCUACUUAAAUGUAGGACUCACCUUUGGGUGUUGUAAUUUAGUAAUGGUCAUACUUGACUACACCUAGUCCUUAUGCUCUGAUUAUGUGUGUUUCACACUUAAACUCACUCUAGCAUGUUAGUUGGAUAUUAUUACUAGUAGUUGGUUGGUUUUUAUUCCUUCGUAUUUCUUUUACCCCUUUUUGCUUCCGCGUCACACUUUUGGUUACGUCACGCUCACGUGACGACCAGCACGCCCUGAUUUUAGAAUCGGGGUGUGUCAGUAAUAGUCUAACACAUACAAUUCUCUUUGUAUUCGAAAAAAGAAAUUAAUAGUUCUCUUUAAUUAUAAUUUUGAUUGUUUAAGCAGUUAUAAGAAAUACUGUGUAUUUGUUUAUCUAAUGAAAAUUAAUCGAUGAAAUGAAUUUUGAUUCAAUUUUUUCUUUAGAGUAAUAUCUAGGGAUACCCAAAAAAGGACAUUUUGGACGCUUUUGGGAAGUGCAGGUGUUGAUGAAUUGGAGGUUAGCAGUAGUUGUUGAAGUUUACAUUUACACACACAAUUAAUCUGGGGAGUGACUCCAAUACUCAACUUUGAUUGUAAAUUUACGAAAUGUUAAUGUAGAUGAAGGUGAUGAAAGUAUAUAAUUUAUUUUUUCAAAUCUCACUCGUUGAUAUCACAUUGUAUGCAUCUGCAGUUUGUAAAUUUUUUGUAAUAAAGUUUGUCUCUCUAUUAUUAUUGUGUGUGAGAAGUCGAAGAUCAUCUAAAAAUGAUUGGAGUUUUGGAACAAAUAAUGCACGCACAUAAAUAGGAACAGGCUUUUGUUGUAUGUAGGAAUUAAAGCAAUUUGGUGGACAGUGGAGUACACCACAUAGACUGGUCAUUAAGAUUCAAGGUGAAUUACUUUUUAAGAAAAACUAACGAAAAGUUUAAAAAAAAAAAAUUUUUAACGAAAAAUUCAUUUUAAAGGUAUUGUAAAUAGUUGAGUACUUAAUUUCAACUCCUAUAAAAAGCCACCUUCAUCUUCAUUCCCUUCAUCCCAAAAUCCCACGGCCCUCACUCGACAAUCUACUAGAAAACCCUAAUUAACAAUCUGCCACAAAACCCCAUUUCUCUUCAUCUCUUUCCAGAAGCACUUUUGAGUAAAAAGCCACUUCUGUAACUUUCAGCUUGGAAUUAGGCAGCUGAUCACAGAGCACGAAGUUAAUUAAGAAGCCUUUUUGUUUGAUCAAUAAUUGCAAUGGCAAAGCAGAUGCAGAUGAGAUUGUUGUGUUCUUGGAUGGAAGUUGCACCUACAAUUUUGAUAUCCCACAACAAGACUUCAACUUGUCCUGAAUUGGAAACAAUAACCGAAGAGUGGGAUCUGGAGGCUGAGGAGAAAGACCUGCAGGAGUCCAAAAAAUGAACAUCUUCUUCUCAUGUCAUGGCUGUUAAUAUAUAUCUUUCUUCUUUUUUUUUUCAGUUUUUGUGCGAGUUUGUAGAAGUUUGUGGACUUGGGUCGGACUAAAAUUUUGAGAUUAUGUCCAAACAAAUUAAUAAUAGUUUCAAUGGCAUUGGCUUCCAUCUUAUAAGUUACUUCUCAGGGAGAAACAAAUGAUGCCGUUGUUUUACAAGUUGUAAUAUUAUGUUUAGAAUUUUCGAAGGGUUUCAUUCAUAUUAAUUCAUUAGGUGUGACAAUUACAUAUGAGAAGACUGUUCCUGCACGAGAAUAUGAACAUAGAGUAAUUGGAGAAAUGUGGAGCUAGUCAUUUCUCCUUCAGUAUUUAAUAGUUAGUACUCUUGCUAUAUUGGUUCUCUUUCUUUUGAUAAAAUGUAAGUAAAGCAAGUGGAUUGCCUGAUUAGGGUAUUUUUGUCCGAUACACUGUUAGUUCUUGCUCAAACUCCUCAUUUUCUUAAUAUAAAUUAGUGUAGAAUAUCGUUUGUAGUAAAAAAGAAAAGGUGCAAGUAAAGGCAUAAUUGGAAUUUUAUCAAAAGGAAUUGGAAAGGUGGAUUUUCUAAAUCAAGUCACUUUUGUCACCCUUUCAACCUUAAAAACAAGAAGCCUCACUUUGAAUUCAAACCAAACAAUUGAAGUUUGAGUUCAUAUUUUGUGUUGACAUUACAUCUAUAUAUUUAAAGAUGUCAUUUCAUGCAUGAUUCAGUAUAAGUUCUAAAACAAAUCUUAAAAACGUGUUCUAAAGGACAUUACCGAAAAAAUAAAAAAACAAUAAAAUGUUAAAAGACAGUGUGCUAGUCCCACGAGAACCUACCGACUGAUGCGCAGUCCCACUACGCCCGGGUCCAACAUGUUUCCUCUUUCACCCUUGCUUUCUAUCUCAUCUUUCCUCUUUCAUCUCUAUCUCUUCCUCUCUUCCUCUCUUCCUUUCUUCCUCUUAAAUAAAAGUUGUUGAAAGGAUACGUUUGUAGGAACUCUUUUCCUUAAAGCUUCCAAGAAAAAGCGAUACUAUCUUUACACCAAAGGCUACACCUACACCUACAUAAUUUGAUAAAGGUCCGAGAUGAAUAAGAAAUUUUAAGAGACAAUAUAUAGGAUGUACAGUAUGAAAGUUUGCUAAGAAACUCGAAGCUGAAAAACCAUUUUUCUUUUCUUGACAAAUAGUAAAAUACUUACCGAAACUUUUAUAAUUUGUCAUUAACUCAGAAUAAAUCACAACGAGCUAUAAUUUUUUAUCAACAUUACUAUAAAUAUAUUAUUUAGUCGAACUUGAAACCUCGUCGUUGCAUGUAAAGAUUGAAUAUAGCUUAACUAAACCGGGAAAUUUCUACAAUACUGUGAAAAGUUGAACUGCCUAAUCCAUAUUGGCUCUUUUCCAUUUUCUUAAAUCAUAGACUUCGUGAAGUUUCUCGGUUCCGCCCACCACUACCAAGUAAAGAACAGGCGCCACCACAAUAACAAAGACAAAGUUCUGGACAAGGCCUUCCUUUUUCUGACACGUGUCCUAAUACAAGCCAUAACCUUUUUUAUGGUUUUAGGUCGGAAUUCUAAUUUCUCUAGUUCGCAGAGCCGGGCUUUGAGGGUGUGCAAAAGGUGCAACCGUAAAAGGCCCCCAAUUCGUAAGGGCCUACAAAAUUUAUUUACAUGUCACAUAUACAUAUAAAUAUAUUAAAUGUGUAAGAGAAUACCGAAGUUAUUUGCAAGUGAUAGUGGUUUAGGCUUCCUACUCUUUCACCCAGGAGUGGGGUUCGAUUCCGUAUGGCUUUGCUUUGGAAUUUUAAUUUUUUUUGCAUAUUAUAAACUUAUUGAGCAGACAAAUUUACACAAAAACAUUCAUCUUGUUUCGAAUUCAAGACCUUUUGAAGAUAGAAAAAAAAAACUCCUAUAAAACAAACUUAUUUUUGAUUCCCUAAUUUGUAAUAUUUCAAUUUUAUUGAAUAAAUUGAAAGUUAAGAAAUAAUAUAAAAUAAUACACCGUUAGAAAAUGAAGGCUUCCAUCUAAAUUUUGCACAGGCCCCUAAAUUCUCAAGAUCUGCACUGCUAGUUCGUCUUCUACUUAUUAAUUGUAUUAGGGUUUAAUCAGGAUAAUGUUGAUUAAGAUCAGAAUUAAACUCCAAUAGAAUGAUUAAUCUGGAAACAAUGAUUGCUGACGGCCAGAGCAGCAAAACGUGGCUGGAUAUGAGUGGUUGAGAGCACAGCAGAGGGUGAGGUGGGUCUGAGUUGGAAACUUGGAUGGGGCGGCGGUGAGUAUUGUUUGCAUGGUCGGUGCAUGAGUCACGCUUUGUCCAUUUUCUCACCAUACUCACAAUCAUAACGUAAUUUUGACACCGUCCACCUCCUCCUCCCCCAUUGGGGCGGCUGAGGCAUGCAAUUGCUAAGAUUAUGGGCCACGUGUCACUCCGACAAUGGUUCAAGAUCUUAGCUAGUGGUUGAUAUUGGUCACUUUAUUAAUUAUCUACAUUAUCAUCUUCUUUCUAGCUAAUUGGCAUAAUUAAAUCUGAAGCGUUAGUUUUGGUUUGUGUGUUCAUCAUGUGCAAUAGUUUAGGAUGAAUAUCGAGUACGUGUGAUUACACGUAUAUCAUAAUGAUUUUCUGUUUUUUUUUUCUUUUCUCAUUGUUCAAUUUAGGACAAUUAUUCACAAUUCUCUAGUUAUCAUCAAGCAUAUAAUGUUUUAAGGCAUAUAUAUGUUCUAUUAGAUAUAUACAUGAAAUAACUCCUAUAUACAAGUAUGAGAUUAGCUCCAGCAUUUUGGUUUGAUAAGAGUUUGAAGUUAUGACAUUGAGUUUACAUCUUGUUUCAUAUUAUGUCAUAUGUUUACUCAACUCACAUCGUUGUAACACAAACGUGUGCAUAAAAUUAGAACUUACAAGUAACAAUUUUGUCAAGUUUAAACAGUAAUUUAUCUUGUACUUUAGAAGUUAAUUAAUAAUUCAUUAUAGACCUUCCUGGAAUUGUCUUUAAAGAAUUCGAAUCAGACGCAGCCUAAAAACAAAGAAAAGAAAAAGAAAAUAUGUGACCUAGAGGGCUUGGACGGCCAACCCAUCAAGUUCUAUAUUCCAUAAUUCCACUCCACUCUAAUUCCACUCCCCCAUAUAAAACCCCUCCAAACCCUCCACUCUUUUCCCAUCACAAACACAAACAACUAGCUCUUCCAACAUCACCACAUUACAAAUAAGCUCACUUCAUUUUCAUCCUUCUCUCUCUCUCUCUCUCUCUCUAGCCAUGGGCAAAGACAUUGAAGUUGGAGGUGGGUACUCAGCCAAGGACUACCAGGACCCUCCGCCAGAGCCGCUAAUCGAUGCAGAGGAGCUAGGGAAGUGGUCGUUCUACAGAGCCAUCAUAGCUGAGUUCAUUGCCACCCUUUUGUUCUUGUACAUCACUGUGCUCACUGUGAUUGGAUACAAGAGCCAAACUGACACUGCUCUAAACGGAGACCAAUGUGGUGGUGUUGGCAUUCUUGGUAUUGCUUGGGCCUUUGGUGGCAUGAUCUUUGUCCUUGUUUACUGCACAGCUGGCAUCUCUGGUAGGUUUCAUCUCAAUCUUAAGCAAAUAUUCUUUCUUUCUCCAACCCAUUAAUUAUUUUCAUGAAUUAAGUAAAAUAGAUUUAGUGAUUCAUUUUUCAAUGUAACUAGAACAUUACAUGUGCUAACGCAUUGUUGCCAAUCCACUUAAAGUUGUCCCCAUAAUGUUAUCAUUAGAUAGAUUAGUAAUACAACUUCAAUUAUGCACAAACUUUGAUUUUGAAUCUCUAACGCCAGUGACAUCCUGACAUAGUGCUAUCAGUCCACUCAAAUUGUAAAUUCCUAAGUUUAGUCUAAGUAGUAAAGAAUGAUAUAGAUAAUGAACAAUAAUUAGGGUUUAAAUAAAUAGCACCCGUUACACACUAUUUGUUAUUAUUUGAAUAAUUUAGUAAUACCAGAUCCAUUACUCACAAAAACAUCUCCAAUUUAGCAUCCAACUUAUGGUUUACUAAGAUGUGCAUUGUUAUAUGUAGGGGGGCACAUAAACCCUGCAGUCACAUUCGGGCUGCUUUUGGCAAGGAAGGUGUCACUGGUGAGAGCCAUAUUGUACAUGACGGCUCAGUCGUUGGGAGCCAUAUGUGGUGUUGGGCUAGUGAAAGCUUUCCAAAGUUCUUACUAUACUAAGUAUGGCGGUGGAGCCAAUGAGCUUGCCGAUGGCUAUAGCACAGGCACUGGAUUGGGUGCUGAGAUUGUUGGCACAUUUGUUCUUGUCUACACUGUCUUCUCUGCCACUGAUCCCAAGAGAAAUGCAAGAGACUCCCAUGUCCCAGUAAGUAUAAAUUAAUUUUGCAAUUAGUUUCAAGAAAAAUGAUUUUAAUUUUGUAAUAACUCUAAUGAUUUGUUUAUGUUGAUAAUUAAAGGUAUUGGCACCACUGCCAAUUGGGUUUGCUGUGUUUAUUGUUCACCUAGCCACAAUCCCAAUCACUGGUACUGGUAUCAACCCAGCUAGAAGUCUUGGAGCUGCAGUGAUCUACAACAAUGACAAGGCUUGGAAUGACCAAGUACGUACAUUUCACUUUACUCUCUUAGUUACAAACUUUUAAUAAAAAAUAAAACUGAUAGACACUAAACAGACGAUAAACCGUGAAUAUAACACAAUUUAAUACUCUUUAUUGUCGUCUACUUUUUUAUUUAAUUUAAUUUUUAAUUAAAAGUUCAUAACCUGUUCUAUUUCUUCAUUCUUUUAUUCUAAUUAUUUUACUUAUGUUGUUUAAUUAUUCAGUGGAUCUUCUGGGUUGGACCAUUCAUUGGAGCUGCCAUUGCUGCCCUGUAUCACCAAUACAUCUUGAGAGCGGGAGCUGUUAAAGCUCUGGGUUCUUUCAGGAGCUCCCCCAACAUAUGAUUUCUAAGAGAAUUAUUGUGUGUUUCUCAAUGGUCUGAGAAACUUUGGAUUAUUCUGGAAGCAUCGAAUUUGUAUAUUACUACUACUGUAUUGGUGUUGAGGAUGUCAAUUGUGUUACCUUCUGUCUAUGUACAAAAGGCACUCCUUUUAAAUGUGCCUUAAUGUUGCAUUCUGCUAUGUUUUUUUAUUUCUCCUUCCUUUUAUAACAUGAUUUGAGUUUGUUAUUGUGUCAUCAAUUAUGUUUACUUAGUGAUGAGUUAUCAGCAAAUGCAAUGUGUUAUUGAGUUGGCACUCCAUAGCUAAAUUCCAAUAGUACAACAAAGACGUCUACACAAUAAGCAAAAAUAUAUUGUCAAUCAAGCAACAAAAACGAGCCCAAAAGGAUAAAAUAAAAAUAGAGACAUGACGCACAAACAACUACAAAACUUACAUCACUAAACUAAGCAAGAUAUUUACCCAUGACCACAAAAUUCAAAACAAUCAAAGCUCUAAAAUAACCUAAUUGGCAGAAAUGAGAACUACCACCACCAUUUGAAGCACCGCCAUUUUGAAUAUAAGUCCCACUUCAGGGAAUUGAGAAAAUAAAGUACAAUAUAUAAGUGUAUGGUUUUACUUUUAAUAACACCAAUGUCUUUUGUGAUAAAACUUAAUAUCUAGCAAUAGGUAGUUAAAUUGAGACAAUAUUUGUGUGGUUAGGAAUGGCAAUGACCCCUCUCUCAAUAUCUAACACAACAGAGCCAAACCACCGCAUUUUUUUUUUCCAAAGGUAAGAAUUUCAUUAUAUUCGAAUUGAAAGGUUGACAUCAGAAGUCAAAGUAUUAAACAAUCACUCUGGCUCAAAACAGCCCCUAACAUAAAGCCCCCCUUCCUAUAAGGCGAAAGAGGCCAUUAGAUGUGCUUUCGUAUUACAAAUACGAGGAGCAAAAACAAAAUCCACUAACCUUAGCCGCUGUUUCACAUAUUGAAUAUCAAGAAGAAGAGCUUCAAUUGCAACAUUUGGUUGAACCUUGCCAUUAAUCAUAUCCACAAGACCCUUAGAAUUUGAUUCAAUAUGAACCGCAUCAAAUUCCAUAUGAACACUAGCCAACAAAGCCGCCCGCACUGCUUCUGCCUCCGCCAUUGAACUGGAUGCACAUGGGAAAUUCCCCUACCCCCGCCCCUUUAAAAAUCCCUGCGAAAUCCCGUGCCACCCAUCCAUACCCUCCUCGUCCGGACUCCUUUACCCACGCACCAUCACAAUUGACUUUCAUAAUCCUGAACGGCGGUCUCACCCAACCUCAAGGAGUCCCAUUACUAACCUUAUGAUGCCGCUGUACCUCAUCCACCAACUGUUCACUUUGUUGCUCUGCAUUUAGCUGAGAACAAAAUGUAGAAUUUUAUGCCAUUUCCUUGUGUUGUACCUGCUUCCAUUUGUAGCUUUCAGGGCUUGUAAAUUUCUUUCAAUGGGUUAAUGCCAUGACUGAUACUUUGGGUUAAUAUCAUGCCCUAAUUAUCUUUAAAUCUGCGUUAACUGUUCAAAUUGAACAUUACAAAUUGGACAAGAAUAUUUCAAGGCAACCCUUUCACCGUUACACACAUGUAAAAGUGGUCACAUUCACUUCCUUUCCACUAAUAAGUGGUCUUGAGUUCAACAUUCGUUUGAUACCAAAUUAUUAGGACCGACCAUUAUGUGACUUAAGCUAAUUCCCAUCAGUUAAUGUAAAUAUAUCAUUUAUUAAAAAAAAUUGUCACAUUCACUUAAUUACUCAAUACCAAGGAAUAACAAUCUCACACAAAUUCAAAUGAAAAUUGAAUCCCAUUAUUUUCCCACCAAUUAAUUCAUUUCCCAAUGGCAACUAAUAUCUCUUCUUUGAUCACCUCUCUAUAUUAUAUGCCCUUCUCCAAAAUCUCCACAAUCCAGCAGAGACUUUCUACCUUCUCUAAAACCCUAAUCUCCAAAACCAUGGCAAUAUCUGAGUUCUCCAAAAUAUGCAUGAUCUGCAUGGUCACAUUGUUCUCUUUGCCAAUGGCUUCACAACAAUCCCCACAACCCUUACUCACAUAUGACACCAUCCCUACAGAUGAUGAGACAAUUUCCCUAGCUGCUGCUUCAUCCCCAUCACAAUCUUCUUACCCCGAAAACCCCGCUCCUGAAGCCGGAGGCUAUUUGGCAACUUCAACAGAUCCAGAUGAAUACAAUCCUCCACCACCACCACCACAACAACCUUACAUUGACACAUUUGCCCCUGAAUAUCAAAACAACCAGCUCUCUCCAGACUACUCUCCUUCCCCUUCCCCCGUUCACUUCCAAGAUUACCCUUCUCCUCCUUCGUACAUUGAAGUUUAGGCUCCUGAAAGUUACCAUGGCUACAGUCCAAUUCAAGCUCCAAUUCCACCACCGUCUUCUGAACUGGGAUCUUCUCAAUUUUCGGAUACUGAUGAUUUGACUUCUCCUCCAAACUUGGCUCCUCAGCCCAAUGUAUUGGCUUACAACUACAGAGUUGAGGAUGACAAUGUAUUGAUACUAUAAAACAUUCACUUAAAUCAAAACAAAGUCACUUAGUACUAUGGUCUAAUGAUAUUCCUUUUCACUUGUAAGUGAGAGAUCUUAUGUUCAAUUUUCACCAUAGGCAAAUUUGAACCACGUUAUUGUUAGGCCAUUGUGAGGCUUAGCCCACUUCCCCACCCUCUUAGCUUAGAUAAUAUCGUUUGUUCGAAAGAAAAAAAAUCAAAACAAACUUUAGCACUCAUUGAUUGCAUGUUUACAAAUGUCCCCAAUGAUAAGUAAAAAGAGUUACAAACAUAACAUCACUAAAUAAUCAAAAAUUGUUUUAUUUAAAUAGCCAAGCAUGAAAAUAAAAACAUCAGACCUCUAACUUUAAAGUUCACUUGAAUAUAUAACGAUGUUGUAUUAUAAAAUUAAGAAAUUGUUGCUUUUCAGGGUCUUAUAAUUGACAUUCAAAAUAUCUCAUUGUACUCCAAGUUUUUAUAUUUAGGAAAAACAAAAAACAAAAAACUCAUAUAAGGAGUGCACAAUACGGUUUAAAGUGCUAACAAAAGCAAUUUUUUAAAUAUAGAACAUUAUUACAUGAUGUUAGAUGGCAAAAAUUUAGGGACCUUUCCAAAUUUUGGGUCUUGUGUGACUGCACAUUUUGCUCCCCCUCAAUGCCCAGCCUUCUCUCUACCUGGCUUGGUUUCACCUACACUCAGUUGGGUACACUUUCACAUAUAGACAUAUACAGAAAUUCUUUAUCUAAGACAUCUGUUCUACAUCCGAAUUCAUAGUUGAUCAUCAAGUUUUGCAAUCGAACAUUUCUUCUAGUAAUUUUAUUACUUUGCUUAGCAAUUCCUCAGGUAUUUGCAUGUACUAUUAGUCUAUUAUUGUAAUGAACUAUGUAAUGAAAUCUAGUCAUGCUUGAUGCGGUAAAGCAUUUACACCAACUUAUGAAGAAAAACCCUAAAAGGUGUUGAGAAUGAAUUACACAUUGAUGACGGAUCUUGCAUGGGCUUAUAAGAGGUUGGACUACUCCUUAUAUUGCUAAUUGGUUUUAUGGUAGGACCUCAACUUUCUUCAUGGUAUUAGAGUAAGUUGUCUCUCGUGUGAAGCUCAACGGCCACAUAUGCACCACGUCAUCCGAUUUAUCCCCUCUCGAUUUGUGUUGUCCACGUGUUAAGCUUGAAAAUUCGUUACACGUGAUGGGAUGUGUUAGUAUUGAAAAUGAAUCUCACAUUAAUAAGAGACAUAUUGCCAAUUGAUUUUACGAAAAAACUUCAAUUUUCAACUCAAUUUUCUUCAAAAGGUUCAUGUUGUGCACCCAUAAAAUUGGAACUUCUACUUCACCAAAAAAGACUUAGAGAUUAGAUGUACACGUGUACAGUUCAGAUAAGCCCAGAAGCCCAAUUCUAUUGUGAAUCGCAAUAACGUCACCGUUUGGAUGUGGGAACUUGGUCUGUCACGGUCAUCUCCGUUUAUACAUAUCGCAUCUGUGUCCCCGCUUUCCUCUGAAUCUUUCACUUCCUCUUCUCAAACCGACGCUCUCUCUCUCUCUCUCUCUCUCUCUCCCCACUUUUUCUCACAGGUACUGACUUUGCGUUACUCUGUCUUGCUUUAUGUGAAAUUGCUUUGAUCUAUUUAUUUGUAAUUUGCUUCAGUUUCUUGAAUUCUUAUGAGAAAUCUGAAAAAUUGUGGUGCUUUGAGCUCCGAUCUGUUUGAAGUUACUGUGAAUUGAAUCACUCAUUCAAUAUACUGGUCUGAUAACUGGAUCUCUGUAUUUGCAUCCGGAUCGAUUAAUUAUUAUGUGUAAAUGUGCAAUUACUGUUUUGAUGUGCCAUUCGUGGCUCGAAUUUAUGAUUUUUACGAUUUUGUUAUAUUUUAUUUGAGUUUUUGUGAAUUGGGUUUUGUUCGGUGUCUUAAUCAACUGUAGUAUUUUCCAGAAAGAUGGCAUCCAAUAGGGGUCAAGGUGGAAUUCAGCAGUUGCUUGCUGCAGAGCAAGAAGCUCAGCACAUCGUCAAUGCCGCCCGAAGUGGUAAUUUUUCGUUUAGUUUUACUUGCUCAUUGGUCCCUUCUGUAUAUUGAUCGGUUAGCUGUUUGUUUCUGCCCUUGAUUCGGAUACUUGAUGUGUGAAUUUCUGGAUUUUCAUUUUGCAAACAGAAUUGUUUGCAGUGUAUAUUUACUGGACUCUUGCAAAAUUGUGUGAAAAGAUGAGUUCUUGAUUUUGAAUGGAGAGCAAUUUUUCUUUUCUAAACAGUGAUAUAUUGUGUUGUCAAGGCAUGAAUCACGACCGUUAUUUGGGUGAAUGAUUUAUGAAUGUGCAGUCCUAAUAUGCUCUUUGAAUUUCUUAUAAUUAUUUCAAAUACCCCGACAACUGUAAAUUUUAUAGAAAAACACCAAGAGCUCAAUUGGAUGAAAUAAAUCCUCACCUAACCCUGAGGUAUUGUGUUUGAAGUGUUUUUCAUAAAGUGCUUAGAUUUGAGAAGUCCUAAAUUUUACACCAAAAAAUAGCUUUUUCAGUUGUUUUCUGAGUGCUUUGCUGUUUGGUCUUCUGUUAGCUAAAAUGGCUAGACUGAAGCAAGCCAAAGAUGAGGCUGAGAGGGAGAUUGCUGAAUAUCGUGCCCAUGUGGAGUCAGAGUUCCAGAAGAAAGUUCAAGCGGUAUGUAUAUGUUGGUGAAACCUAUAAGUUCAAUGUUCAUUUGGUCCGGCAAUGUGCUUGCCAAUGUCAUUUUCUUGUGUUUCUUGCAAUUCCUAGAAAACUAACGUACCAAGCAUGAAUAUACGGUCGGUGUCUCCCCCCCCCUCUCCUAGACAUUUGUUACAUUUGUACUAAUUAUGCCAUUUCCCCAUGCUCUCAUAUGGUGACCAAGCAGAGCAGUGGAGAUUCUGGUGCUAAUGUGAAGCGUCUUGAAUAUGAAACUGCGGAGAAGAUCAAUCACCUCUCAACAGAGGGCUCUAGGAUUUCAAGUGAGGUUGUGCAAAUGCUCCUGAAGCAGGUGACGACAGUGAGAAACUAAUCCCAUUGGUGAUAAAUUGUAAUUUCAAACUCUUGCAAGCAUUUUAUUCUUGUGAUCCUACUCCUUAGACUUGUGUUUUUGUUGGUAUCCUCGUAUCGGUUAUUUAGCAAGUUGUGGAGCAUUAUGUUCAGAAAAUAAGCUUAAUGUGUAUCAUUUCGGAAGAAAAAAAUAAUGUUGCAGAAAUUGUUGAGCCAAUUGCGUGAAGCGUGGUACUAGUUGCAUUGUAUCCUGUUUUAGUCAGUGAAAUAGGGCUUCAGUUGGCACAAUUCUUGUAAAACUUAUCAAGUUUUUCGAGGAGUGGAAUGCAAUUUUAACAAUUAUUAUGAAGUUCGGCUGCAAGUCUUUUUUGAACAAUUGUUUCGGGGAUUUGAUGUUGUACUGGAGUUUAGUUUCAAUGAAUUCAGAACUGGAUUGAUCUAAGAUUUUCAAUGACACGGUACUGUAUGUGGUUAGCUCAUCUCAGUUUCUGAAGUUGUAGACGGUUUUGAACAUUACCAGGCUGAUCAUCUGGUUAUUGGGAACGGUAAGGUUGCAAGGUUCCUGGGAAACGAUAUUCGUGGCGUCUGAAAACCCAUGGUGAUGAUAUCCGCUAACGAGGGAACCAUGGGUUGCAUCGUUCCUGGGAAUCGAUGUUCUUGGGUUUUGCUUGUUUCGUCCUGAACGAAGCGAGGCGUACCGGCGGGGGCGCUGUAGGGAGGCCGACCACUACAUAAGCUAAAACACUAUGUUCUUUGUCGGCAGUUGUCCUACUAAAUUUAAUUUAAACUAUAUCUCAAAAUUAACUGGUUUACCGUUCAUAAGUCACCCUAUUUGUGCUUGUAUAUAUCCCAUUCCAUUCCAUCACAUGUGACUCACCACUGCGUUAUGCAACCCAAUAACUAUGGUAAGACAAGGGCUAUCUAAAGAGCAUAUGUGGAUUCAACAUAUGUGACUUAGGAGCGCGUGUAUAAAGGCUAGAUGCUUUUGGUUCAGUAACAUAUUCCUUGGUUCCAGAGUUGUGCUUACUACUUCUAAUCAAAAGGAAAAAAAAAAAAAGCACGUUGAAGGUAUCUAUUAAAAAGAUAGGAGGAAAGAUGGGCGUUGGCCUCUCACAAAUUCGUUGAAAAAAAUGAGUGUUAGUCAUCUAAAAUAAAAAACUUUGGAUGGGCAAAUAAAAAAACAACUAAAGCAACCUAUUUUUAGGGGCGCUUAGCGCCCGUGAUAAAAAAAUGCCUCUCAUAUGACGUGAGCGCGUACGAAGAAGCUAGUUAUAUUUUAUACGUUUAUCUAUAUUUGUGCAUCAGGUUAAUUACACUAACACCCUUUGAGGUUUAUCGAGUCUUCACAAAACCCUCUCAUGUUUGAAAUAUUACACAAACACCCCUUCAAGUUUUAAUUCACUUUCAGAUAGCUCCUUCACUCAAAAUUCUACUAACAAAUUGACAACUAUAAAUAAUAAAAAGUCUUUAUAAAUAUAAAUAUAUAUAUAUAUAUAUAGAAAAAAAAUAUUAAAAAUACAAAUAAAACAUUAAAAAUAGAAAAACCACCACUCAUGAAAUCUCCUCCCUUCGACUCCAUUGCAAGUUUUUCAACCCUAGCCACCCUCGGACCCUCCUUUGUGUGUUUUCCCAAAACCCCCACACAAACCACCACUCCCAACUUCAACAACAAUUUUAUUUAUUUAUUUAUUUUUUAACUUCAACAACAAAUUCAAACUCUAAAAAAUAAAGGACAACCACCCCUCGCUGAUAAAGCAGAUAUAACGGGACAAGAAGACAUCGACAAUCCAAUGAAUAAAGCCAGUCUUACGUCGUGGGUUAAAUUAGAUUUGUAGUUAGCCACUGUGCAUCGCUUAGCCGUUGCGGAUUAGAUAGAUUCAUUUCAGACCAUCACGUUCACAUUAUGGAUUCUGAUUUGUUGCGGUCAAUUGUGUUCGUACCCGUUUUCCCAAUUUUCAAAUCCAGCACUCUAACAUCUCUUAAUUUGACUCCAUCUUCCAUUUAGACCUCAUCUCUCCCUCUCCCCAUCUCUCUCUGAAUAUGUUCGAAAUUUUUGUUGGAUUCUUUUGGAACGUUAGAGGUCGCACUUGGUGCGAUGGCAAGUGCCUUCGCCCAUAAGCGGUAGGUCUCGGGUUCGAGACUUGGGAGCAGCCUCUUCAUAAAUGGGGGUAAGGCUAGCCGACAUUUACCUCUCCCAGACCCUGCGUAAAGCGGGAGCCUUGUGCACUGGGUACGACCUUUAUUCUUUUGGAACGUUGUUUAAGCGUUUAAGUUGAUGAUUUCAUAUGGCGCAAAGUGUGCAGUGGGUAUAAACAUAAGGUAGAACUAAACGUAGAUGUAAAACGUUUAGAAACUAAACUGUAUAAAAAUUUAGAGUUCAAAGAGAAUAAAUAUUUUGUGCAAGGUAAUUGGGUCGCAGCCUCCACUUUGUGAUGAAGAACUACAACAAUAUUUGCUUGAUCUUCUCCCUGUUAUCAAGUAUUAAAUAUUUUGUGACAAUUCUUAAUGUUUAAUUUAGUUUUUAAUAUUUUCAUUUUCUAUAUAUAAUUGUAAAGAUUUCUUUAUUGUUAAUCAAGUAAUUAGGGUCACUUAGUACUAUGGUCUAGGGGUUUUCCUCUUCACUUCUAAGUGAGAAGUCUUAGAUUCGAUUCUCCCCAAUGACGAAUUUGAACCAUAUUAUUGCUAGCCCAUUAUGAGGCUAAGCCUAACCCCUCCCUCUUAUUGUAGAUAAUAUCGUUUGUUAAAAAAAAGUAAUUAGUUAUAAGGGUAAAGUUGUCAAUUUAUUAGAAGAAUUUUGACUGACAGAGUUAUGUGAAAGUGAAUUAAAAUGUGAAAGGGUGUUAGUGUAAUAUCUCAAACAUGAGAGAAUUUAGAACUCGAUAAACCUCAGAGGGUGUUGGUCUGGUAACCCUUUGUGCGUCAUUAAUCUAGUCUUGUCAUUUUAUUUUAAUAGAUAACAAGGAAUAAGUAUUAAUUAUUGUCAAUUACACGUUUUUAUUGAAAUGUUUUUCAAAUUAUUUAGGUUGAGUAGUUGUUACGAUAAAUUUAUUUUUUAUUUUAUUUUUUAGAUAACAAGGAAUAAGUAUUAAUUAUUGUCAAUUACAUGUUUUUAUUCAAAUGUUUUUAAAUUAGAGUUUUGAAACUCCCACUUAAGGAUGGCAACGGUUCGGUUUGGAGACGGAAAUGUUAUAUCCAUCCCCAUAACCACGAAAAUUAACCAUAAAUUAACCAUCGGGGUUAUCCAUAACCAUAUCUACCAGUUAAUGGAUUUUCAAUCGGUUAUCGGUUAUAUCCAUUUUCGUCAAAAAAUUUAAAAAAAAAUUAUAUUCAUCCAAUUGAUGCACUAUAAAUUUUAGUAGAUACUAAUUCCAUCAUUAAAUAGCAACAUCCAAUUACAAAAACAUAACAAUAUAUUUGAAGCUGUUUUUGAUAAGCCAAUAUGAUAAAUUGGUCCAAUAAAAAAAAGGACAAAAGCAAAUACGAAAGGAAGACAAAACAAAUUGAUUCAAUGAAUUAAUUUCUUGACAGCGAGACUCUUAAAGAGAGAUGAAUCUGAUAAACUUGGAACAUUUGAUAAUUGAUACAUAAAAUGAUUCAAUGAAUUAAUUUGGUUGAGUAUAACAAUAAGAGUAUUGAAUUGAUGAGGUUGUUGGUAUGCCCCAUGCAUGAUGUUUGGUGCAUAAUAAAGAUAGUAUAGGGUUUGAUGCAGGCAUAAUGAAUUAGUAUAGGGAGGGUUCGAUAAAUUGAAUAAAAUUAUAUUAUAUAUCAGGUGUAUGUGUGUAUAUAUAUACAAUAUAUUCGGGUCGGAUUCGGGGAUGGAUAUGGAUUCGGGACCCCUAUAACCAUAUUCAAAACCAUAACCGAAUAAAGUUCACGGUUUUUCCCCAUAUCCAUACCCUACCCGAAUUUUCAUAUCCAAAUCCAAUCCAUUCAGGCGGUUAUCCAUGGUUAUUGGGUUUAACGGUUAGAAUUGUCAUCCCUACUCCCACUCUCAUGUUUUAUUUCUCCACCCACUUCAAAUUAAAUAUUAUUGUUUACAAAUUUAUCCUCUUGCAAAAUGACUUUGAAGGACCUAAACAAAAAAGAUUUUUGACAAAGACCUUAAAAAAAUCCAUCUAUAAAUAAUAUAAAUUCAAUUUUGUUGUACGUAUAAUUUACUGAACAAUUAUGGAGGCCAGAGAGAGAGGGGUGCGACAUAGAUAUAGAAAAAGAGACAGAUGUGUAAUUGUAGGUGUGUGUUAUUCCAUCCCAUUGUGCCUUUAUUUAUAGUAGUAGGAUAGGUAAGGAUUACAACAUUUAAUAGGUAAUCAACUCCUAAUAGGAAUAUAAGAGAUAUUCCAAGAUAUACUAGGAUUUACACAAUCACAUUCCUAAUCUAAUAGGACUGCAACACUCCCCCUUGAGCGUGUAAAUACUCAAGAAAAUGGCACAUCAGGUCUUCAGUGAUGAAGUAAGUACAGUUGAUGAAGUCAUCGACACAAUGAGCGAAUGCGAGUCUCAAAUCAACAGAAGAAUGCAUAAAAAGUAAAACUCGCAAAACCUCACUAUGGUAAAACCCAAGGUGGGAGAAAAACCCAUAGUCUAAGGAGAAAAAUGAGAAGUUGCAUUAAGUCAAAACUAUACAUCUUUUGGAAGCAAGUAGAAGAGCUCACAAGGGUAUGAUCAGCCUAGGAUGGGUGCUUCAUUAAAACCUAGUUAGGUAGCAAAACCCAGUGGGAAAAAUGCUCUUAAUCGUAGGGAAAAAGAGUACAUUAAGAUCAAGUGAGUAUACUUCUGGAUACUUUCCCUGAGUUUGACAUAACUUCCAAAUGAGAACUACAAGCAUUUUCAUAUGAAUAGUUAGGCAUACCAAUUCUUCGAACAAGCUUCUGGAAGGUUGACUUCGGCAAUGACGUUGUGUAGAGGUCAGCAAGGUUGUCUGGGAUCGGCCUGCAUGACUUCAAUCUCCUAGUGCUUUGCUGAUGUAGACGCAAUAUGUCUUGAUGUUGACUUUGUUGAUGUAUCAUGGCUUGGUCAAGUGGAUACAUGCGGCAUAAUCUUCAUGGAUCGUUGUUGGGACUCAACGAUGGAUGAAACCACACCAAGUACUUCGAAUAUGCUCAACAAGAACUCCUAACCAUAUCUCACCUAUGGCAUAGUGAAGUGAGGUGAGUCUUGGAAUGAUUCGAAGAUUUCGCAACUAAGGUCAUAUCGUGAACCUCCAAGAUAUUGCGAUAUCCCUAACGGUAAAGACAUAACCAUUUGGGGAUUUUGCCUUGUGUGAGUUUGAUAAGUAACUUGCGUCAGUAUAACAAACAAGUCAAACAUCAUUUCGAGGAUCAGGGGGGUUGGAUCCACUCGAGAAGCGUUGGGAUUUGCCCUCGUAGUACCUUCAAGGUACGUCUUUAAUACCAAUUCAGUGGUUACGUGUAGGCGCGAUGCUGCAUCUUUACCAAGAUCAAUAGUGAAUGAGAUGUCAUGUCUAAACACAAUAAGCUAAUUACAACGAAGUGCAAAGUUGAACUCAGAUGAGGAAUUUCGAAUUCCAUAACCUCUUCAAAGGUCUCAUUUGCAUAUAAUGUAUGGAUGAUCAAAGGUAUACUCAAGGGUGACACAUUCAGGGUGUAGUUUGACUUGUAGACCAAAAUACCGUCAGAACAAUGCUUCAACUUUAGGUUAAGGCAUAAACGAGUUUUCCCAAGAUCUUUCAUCUCAAAUUCCAUCUUCAGAUGCGAGGUAGUUUUCUCAAGCUCUUCCUGAGUCUUAGUGAGGUUCAUGUUAAAGACAUAAACUGUAACUCUAGCAAUUUGGAAUAAGACUUCAUAGUUUAACACGUAAGGGCAUAAUUCAUAUCCCCGACUGAUCAAAUAAUCACUUAGACGGGUAUACCACAUCCGUCGGAUUUUUCAAUCCAUAAGUGAACACCUCAAAACAAGUUAAGAUGGUGUUCCAUGGUUUUGGAACUAUUUGAAACCAGUCCAUGUAAUUCUUUAGGAACUUACAUGUAAAUCUCCGUAUCUAUAUCCCCAUGAAGAAAACACUAACCAUAUUCAUAAUGCUACUAUCAAUCAUAGGACGUUUUGAGAGAAACCUUGCGCUGUAAAACAUGCAUCAUAUCACACUAUUUCAUUCAUCCCAAUACGCUUCCUUUCCCACUUGUAACAUAACAGGGUUAUCUUGGGCAGUGUAGGGACAACAGGUCCAAUACACACUUUGGUAAGGAAUUUGACCUAGAUUGUAAUUUCAAUUGUCUAAUCAGUUCUAUGUUGUCGCUUAAUCAACGGAACAUGGUUCGAUAUUGUUGCUUUUCAUUUAUGUCAGUAGCUACCAUAUAAGUGAAAACAUCAUCGAUGAUAAUCUCAUUUCAAUUCCAUUUAGCUCAUCCAAACUAGUAUACUAGACCAAGAAAUUUAAGUCUCGGGAGAAAUCCGGAUUAAUCUCAUGAAACGGAAAUGAUUUGAGACAAUGAUAGAGUUUAGAUUCAUUGUUGUGUUGUGUCUUCUUCUUCCAGGGAAGUGAAACCUACAAACCGAAUGAUCUGUCAUGCUCCAGGCUAAGACAGAUUGAUUGGCUAUCCGUCGGUGUAUCGAACUGUCCAACAGGGGCGGCACACCCUCCAGGGAUGUUGACUCGAUGUCCGUUAAGUACGUUUAUCCUUGCAGGCAUGUUUGCAGCUAGUAUAUAAUCUCAUUACUUUAGCUAGAUCAGAGGAAUGCUUUUGGAGCAACAUUCUGAAAACUAGAAUUCAUCGCACUUGCUUAUCACACUUGUGCAGUAUGGGGAUUGAGAUGAGACAUAGUGGGCAAUGUCCACGCAAAUUCGCGUUAUUCUACAAGAACGUUGACGUUUUUAUCUCCCCUUAAUGGCAAAAAGACUGUUCUCAUUAAAGUGACAAGUAGCAAAUGAGCGGUAAAGAGAUCACUAGUAAGGGCUCGAAGAGAGCUAGUGUGAAGAAGAAUCAUGAUUGAUAAAAGAUACACAUCAUUUUUUAAGGACCCAUAGUGGUACGUUGCGGUAACGCAGCUUGACACAUGGAAUGCACACCCAAAUGUGUAAAUACGAUAAUCGUCAGGUUCGUACCUAGUAACGAACUGUAACGUCAUAUAGGUUGGGUGGCAAUAGGCCUCAAGGCAGACCAACAUAAUUGCGUACAAGGAUUGCAUAGCCCUAGGCAGAAACCGAAAACUUGGUACAUUUACCAAAAUUCGGGUGAUCAUUUAAAUUGCGCUUUAUGAUCACUAGGCGAGGCUCUUUGGGGUGAACAUGGGAAUUCAAUGUUCAAUUAUAAACCCAAGAUACAUGCAAUACUUUAUCAAAAACCGUCGAUAUAAAGUCUCCGGCAUUAUCCAGUCUCCCAGACCUUAAGGGAUAAGUAGGGUGGUGAACCCUUAAUCGGCCAUAAGGUUUAGCAGCAAUGUGUGUGGACAAACAUGUGACCAGUUUGUCAAUUCAUCAACCAAAACCAUAAGUAUUUAUAUAGUCUGCAUUUUGGUUAGAUUAGUCCACAUAUAUUCCCUUGAAUCCACUGUGAUGAUUUAGAAAUCAAAUUUCUCAAAACGAGCAGGUUUUGGCAAACUGUGCUUGUAGGCACAAGAUUCUUACUUCAGGUAAGGAAAUGUGUCGUAGCGUCAUUGUUCGACCUAAGUGUCCCAAAAGGUCGUACCAAAACAAGUAAAUUGCUCAAUCACCCAGCUCCAAGCUGGCCACAUAUGGUGUGUUCCCAGUUGGGAGGCAACCUAUUGGUCCCAAAUCAAAGCUUCAGGCUCAUUUUUAGAGGUGGUGCAAAGAUAUUUCACUCUAUUUACUUAAGUGGUUUCAUUUAUCAUCAUUGUCAUCUCGAAUAUGCUUAAAAACUCAACAUCGGGGAGAAUUUAAUGUCCCUUAAAUGGUGAUGCAGUAUCAUUCAUACAACGAGGAGCUUGCCAAAUGCUCUUAAUUAGGUUGGAUAAACAUGAAGUCGUUGUUAGAGAUGUGAUUUAGGUGUAAAGUUAGUGUGCGUAGUACGCAUUCAUCAAAACAACUAACUUUCCCACAUUCCUACCUAAUCACGUGUUUAAUUGAAUCAGUCACAUGUAUUAAGAAACAUGAUUCAAUUAACUCAUAUUCGAGGACAAUAUCAAUAAGAUUAUCCAUAAGUAAAACAUACACCAAACGUGAAUCCAAGAACAUGGAAAAAUGUUCACAAAGUAAAUGGUUUACUAAGGGGAUUCGGCCAACAAGGCCAUCCAUGUCAAAAUUUUGUUCUUCCAACGGUGUUUGGUGGAGCAAAAUUAGUCUCACGUCUUGACUACUAGAAUGGUACUCCUUAACAACAUUGGUAGGGGCACGAACAGGUGCAUAACCAAUGGUCUAUUCCAUCGAGACGGAAAUAGAUUCUGUAGGGUUAAGGUUUGAGAAUAUUUUCCCUUAUUCUUGAAGUUUUUAGGUCUUAGGUACCAAGGAUCAUGCUUCGAGCAUGAUGCCACACCUUGGCAGGCCCUGAUUCUACCAUAUGUUGUAAAAAGAAACUUGAAAUUGGAUUGUGUGAGAAUAUGCCAUUCGGUGUAUCCCUGCCGAAGUAGUGCAUCACCAUUCGGUAAGCUUUGACCAAACUAGGUCGAGCUAUUCGGUAUACUCUAGUCGAACUGAGUCCACCACCAUCUAUUAAUUCUGGUGAUCUGUCGCCCCAACCAAGGCCUGGGCUUUGUUCCUGAGGUUGAAGGGAGUCCAUUGAUGGUGGUGGUGGUGGAAGUUUUCUUCAGGUUUGGUGGAUCACCACCACGAACCCCAUCGCACCCCCCUUACAUUUCAUCAAAUUUUGGGGUGAAAUGGGUAAAGUGAAAGCCAUUGAGUGUUUUCCCAAGCGUUGUUUGACGUCGUUCGCCGAAAAAACCGACGAAAAUCAUCGGAGAAGGUGAAGGGAACCGGGUCGGGUCGCCAGGUCUAAGUGAUUCGAUGUUCCCUCCUUAUCUUAUUUUCCCUCCCGGUUCUCCAUUCCCAUUGGUCCACCCUCUCCCUCAUUUUCUCUCCCACAACCCUCUCUUCCUCAUAGCCACACAUGUGGCAUCAUCCCAUUGCUCCAGAUUUUCUAGAGCCUUCCAAAUUAGUGGGAAAAUGCAUAUUUUGCCCUCCACUUCAAUCAUUAAUAACUUAUUCGUUAUGACUCCGUUUAACGAACGAUUUCCGCCUACACACUCGUGGGAUCCUCUUCUAUCCAAUUAUGUCAAGAAAUACCAUGAAACAUAUAAGGAUUAAAAUACAUCUAUGUAUAAUUUCAUUUAGUCAACUAAGAGCAUUUUCGUCUUUUUUUUACCUAUCGAUAAAUUUUUACGACGUAAAUUAUAAUAAUUUCCGGAAACAAAAUUUUUACAAUUUCUCAAUUCAAUUUUCAUAACCAUCAAUCGAUUUAUUUUCGAUUUUCUCCACAUAUUCAUAAUUAUGAAUAUCUAAUUCAUAUAUUUAAAUUUUUAGGAUAUGACAUUCGUCCCCCAUUAAAAUAAAUCUUGUCCCCGAGAUUUCAACCAUCAAAUAAUGGAAAGGAAAUUAGAACCCAUCGCACCCUUCCAUUUAUAGUGAAUAAAAUCAUAUGAUUUUUAUUCAAGCUCAAAAUAAAUAGAUCAACGAAGAAUCAUCAUGAUUCACACACAUUUUCUUAGAUUUCCAACCACAUUCAUUGGUAAAAAUACCAUAACAUCUAGCCACAAUCACUGUAUAAAAAUUUGAAAUUUAAAACCAAUCCUCAAUACCAUUGACAUUGAACGAAAACAAAACCUCAUUCUAUGAUUUCCUUCAUAUCCGCAAAUAAACUAAAUUACCUAUAGUUUAAAAGUUUUUUAAAUCCUUCUUUUAAUUAUUUCUCUUCUAAAUUGCUUCUAAGCGCAGCCACAGAUCGCAUAAAUUAGCGACUCACACUUGUAGAGCAUCAUUCACAUUUUAUUAACCAAAGAAGAGAAUUUAUAUAUAUCACAACUCUAUUGGCCAACAAAACUAAACCUUAUUAAUCACAUAGCCAUGAGAAAUAUGUGUUCUUCAUUGGUUCUAUUCGCGAUAUCGAAUCCAACAACGACAACUCAUGACUAUGGCAACCAAACCAAUCAAAUUUGUAAUUACAAGCUUUCCCCAUCAAUUCUUUUCAUCAAACGUAAAAAACACAACUGGGAAAUCGUUUAUAUUAAACGAACUCAAAAUCUCGUUCCAUAAUUUUAUUUAUGUCACCAAUAAUUCAAUAAAUAAAGAAUCUCCAUGGUCUUUCCACCAUUCCAAUUUUAAUGGAAAUCAUAACCUUAGUUUAUAAUUUCAUUCCCGUUCAAUAAAUCAUCAUAACUUUCAUAAAUAUUAAAAUUUUCAACCAUAAUUAUCAUUGGCCAUAAGAUUUUAAAAUUUCUACCACAAUUAUCAUUGAACAAACAAUGAUUUCAUCACCUUUUUCUUUGACUCCAAUCAGUGACCAGUUGACUGGAAAAGAUCGUAAUAUACUUGGCCAAUACACAUCACACAUUUUUAUCACUUCAAUAAUUCAAUCUCACAGCCCACACAUGGGGGCUUCUUCCCGGAAACAUUGGGUCUUUUUGGCCACUUAUCCAUUUCUCACAUUUCAUGGGUCAUUUCGCCUAAUUCAUAGUUCACAGGGCCACUUUGCCCAAUCUCACAUCCUCGGGCCCUUUUUGCCCAACCAAACAUUCCUCCCAUUUCAUGGGCCAUCAUGCCCAAAUCAACAUCCACGGGCCUUUUCGUCCAAUUCAUCAUCCUCGGGCCAUUUUCGCCAAAUCAACAUUUCUCAAUUGCACAGUUAUAAUACAACUUUUCCAUCUACUUGUCACAAUUCCACAAUCAUCUUAUUAUUCAAAAUUUUCAUAAUGCAUAACAUAAUACCAAUCCAAUUCAAGAUUAAUCUAAAUCUUUAAUCAAACGCUCAUAUUCAAAGCUAUACAUAAAAUAUGACAUUUUAAAAUUUUCUACUCCUCAAUUCAAUUCACUUCGUAGUGAUUCACAAUACAGGCAUUUCACACAAAUUCAUCAUUAGUCAAGGAACUUAUGAAAAAGUGCAAUAUCAAUAUUAUUCACAAUUCACAUCCAUAACCAACAAUAAUAUCUCACACUGUAAGAUAGGAUCAUUUGCUCUGAUACCAUUUGUAAUGCCCCACCCCGAAAUAUUCAUUUUCGGGAAAUAAUUCCAAAAUAGGCCCAACUCAAACUCUUUUAUUUUACUACCAUUAAACCCUAUUCGUUAUUUAAAUUUCCUAAUUACUCACAAAACCUACAACCAAAAUUUACUUACCAAAAACCUAAGACUUAAUUUCAUCUUAUUCAUCGAAUUUCUUUUUCUUAAAUCAACUUCCCAACAAAAUAUAAUUCUCGAUUAUUUAAGGCAGCAUCUAACCCUUGUUAGACUGGCUACGUACCCUUGAGCGGGAGCAAGCCUUUCGUAGUUCACCAUUCAUUCUUUUAUUCAUUUCCUAAAAUAUUCAAUUUUCGGAAAUAUCCAACAUCAGCGUUAAUAAUCGAAACAUACCAAAUGGAUAUCAAAUAUGUACUCAAAAUAUUGAAAUUCACAUAAAAAGACAGCGUCGGCUCACUGGCUAUAUGCCACUGUGGGUGGCGGUCGACCAUCCUGACUCGCCGAAAAAUUCAACUCUAACAAAAAAUUACCAAAUUUUGCAGGAACGAACAACUCAAGGAAAAAUCCAUUUUGCAUACCUGGGUUAACCCCUAGUUCGACCAGGAAGUGGCCGGAAAAGGCCUCGAAACGUCAGAAACCCCGAAAAGAAGUGAACCUGGAUUUAUCAAUUCCAGUGAUUCGCCGCCCCAACCAAAGCCUGGGCUUUGUUCCUGAGGUUGAGGGCAGUCCAUUGAUGAUGGUGGUGGUGGAAAUUUUCUUUAGGUUUGGUGGAUCGCCACCACAAUUUCAAAGGCCAAAUUUCAUCAAAUUUUGGGAUGAAUUGGUAGAAGGAAGGACAUGGAGUGUUUUCCCAAGGGUUGUUUGACGUGGUUCGCCGGAAAAAUCGACAAAAAUAGCCAGAAAAGGCGAAGGGAACUGGAUCGGGUCGUCGGGUCUAAGUGAUAUGAUGUUCCCACAUUCUCUCUUUUUCCCUCCCGGUUCUCCCCUCCCAUUGGUCCACCCUCUCUGUAAGAUCCCACAUCACCUAGGGGAGUGGAUCCUGUAAGCCUUAUAUGUAUAUUCCCAUCUCUACCUAGCACAAGGCCUUUUGGGAGCUCACUGGCUUUGGGUUCUUUCUGAACUCCGAAGUUAAGCGAAUUCGCGUGAGAGCAAUCCCAUGAUGGGUGACCUACUGAGAAGUUGCUCGUGAGUUUCCAAAAAAACACCGUGAGGGCGUGGUCAGGGCCCAAAACGGACAAUAUCGUGCUACGAUGGAGUUGAGCCCAGGAUAUGGUAGGGGCCCGGGCUGGGAUGUGACAAUUUGGUAUCAAAGCCAAUUCCUGGCCGAAAGUGUGCUGACGAGGACGUCGAGCCCCUAAGGGGGUGGAUUGUAAGAUCCAACAUUGCCUAGAGGAGUGGAUCCUAUAAGCCUUAUAUGUAUAUUCCCAUCUCUACCUAGCAUAAGGCAUUUUGGGAGCUCACUGGUUUCGAGUUCUAUCAGAACUCCGAAGUUAAGCGAGUUCAUGUGAGAGCAAUCUCAUGAUGGAUGACCCACUAAGAAGUUGCUCGUGAGUUCCCAGAAACAAAACUGUGAGGGUGUGGUCAGGGCCUAAAGUGGACAAUAUCGUGCUACGGUUGAGUCAAGCCCUGGAUGUGGUGGGUGCCCAGGCCGAGAUGUGACACUCCCUCAUUUUCUCUCCCGCAACCCUCUCUUCCUCACAGCCCCACCAUCAUCCCAUUGCUCCAGAUUUUCUGGAGCCUUCCAAAUUAAUGGGAAAAUGCCUAUUUUGCCCUCCACUUCAAUCGUUAAUAACUUAUUCGUUAUAAUUCUGUUUCAUGAACAAUUUCCACCUACAGCUCCGUAUAAGGAUUACAAUACAGCUCCGUAUAAUUUCAUUUGGUCAACUAAGAGCAUUUUAAUCUUUUUUUUUACCUAUCGAUAAAGUUUUACGACGUAAAUUAUAAUAAUUUCUAGAAACAAAAUUUUUACAAUUUCUCAAUUCAAUUUUCAUAACCAUAUAUCGAUUUAUUUUCGAUUUUCUCCACAUAUUCAUAAUUAUGAAUAUUUAAUUCAUAUAUUUAAAUUUUCAAGGUAUUACAUAAUUGGUAUAAAUUUUCAUAAUUUUGGAAUGAAUGCUAUAUUGUCAAAUGGAUGAUUUUAGUUGGAUGUUUAAAUAUGUUUUACUCUAGGGCAUGCUUACAGUUUAUUGUAAAGGAAAGGAAAUAUUUAUAUAAUUUUUAAUUUCAAUGUCAAACAUCUAUAUGUGUUUAACAUUUUUCUAUUUGAAUUUUUGGUUGAUUAACUGAGUUAAUUUGACAAUAAUAAACCGGUGGUGUAAGUGAUAGUUUUAAUGUAGUCACUAGUAGAAAAAACAGUUUGCACAACAAAAUAAAUUUAGUCCCCAGUGUUUCGAUUACUUUUUUAGAGUUUUCAAGAGAAUGCUUCCAAAAGAUAAUUGUUUGCCGAAAGACCAUAGACAUGGGCAGAAGGUGUUAAAUGGUCUUGGAUUGGGUUAUGAAAAAAAUUCAUGCUUGCAAAAACAAUUGUAUUUUAUUCUACAAAGAGAAUAAAGCAUUGGGUAAAUACCCUGUAUGCAAUUAGUUGAGGUUCAAAAUGACAUAUCAGAAUAGAACGACUAAGAUCCCACAAAAAUUCAUGCGUUAUCUACCUUUGAAACCUAGGUUGCAGCGAUUGUAUAUGUUGACGCAUACUACCACCGAAAUGAGAUGGCAUAAGGAAAAAUGGGUAGACGACGAUGUGAUGAGGUAUCAUGCAGAUAGGGAGGCAUAGAAAGAGUGCAAUCGAACGUUCAUCGAGUUUGCUGCUGAUCCCCGGAAUGUCAGAUUGGGACUUGCCACUGAGGGAUUCAAUAUGUUCGGGGUUCUAAACCAACACCACAGCAAUUGGUCGAUUUUCGUAUUUCCAUAUAAUUUGCCACCUUGGAAAUGCAUGAAAAAAGAAUACAUGAUGAUGACUCUUUUUAUAACUGAGGAUCCUGGUAGAUCAAUUGAUGUUUACUUAAGGUCGUUGGUUGAUGAGCUAAAUGAUUUAUAGACAAACGGUGUGCGCACAUACGAUAAGUGUACUGGGAAGAUAUUCACUUUGCGGGCAGUAGUUAUGUGGACUGUGAACGAUUUUCCCGCAUAUGCAAUGGUUUCUGGGUAGAGCACUAGGGGUUAUAUGGCAUGCCCUGUAUGCAAAGAUGAUGUAACAUCUAGCUGGCAUGCCAGAAAAGUUUGUUACCUUGAUCAUCGGAGAUGGUUGUCAUGGGACCACAAGUGGCAGGAAAAUGAUAAAGAGUUCAACAGAAAAAUAGAGCAUUUCCUCAGACCUAGAGAAUGGUCUGGUGAUCAAAUUUUGGAACGGAUUAACCGUUUGGAUUUUGCCCCGUUCGAGAAAACAGUGAGUAGGACCAGACCUUGUACACAUAUGAAUUGGACGCACAAGUCUAUGUUUUUUGAGCUUCCGUAUUGGUCAAAACUAAAAUUGAGACAACCUCGACGUUGUGCAUGUUCAAAAAAAUGUAUUUGACACAUUGGUGUGCACCAUUCUAGAUAUCAAGGGCAAGACAAAGGACGCGAUCAAAGCUCAUCUUGAUUUGGAAAGAAUGUGCAUAUAGAGGGGUUUAUGGAUGAAUAGGGACAGUGAAAAAGCCAUAAGGGAUCUUGCGUUUUUGUUUUUCCAUGAAACUGAAUGACAAAAAAAAGUUUAUAAAGUUUGUAUCGUCUGUAAAGUUUCUUGAUGGGUAUGCUUCUAAUAUCGCAUAUUGCUUGAAUGUUGAUGGGGGUAAAUUUGCUAGACUAAAGAACCAUAACUAUCAUGUGGUUAUGUAACGCCUACUUCCUAUGGGUAUUCAACACCUAUUGCCGGAAGAUGUUGUGAAGCCAAUCAUGUUGUUGUCCAAAUUUUUUCCCAACUAACGGCAAAAAUGUUGUGAAAGAUGGACGUUAAUCAGUUGCGCCAUGACAUUGUCCAAGUCCUAUGCAAGUUUGAGAUGAUAUUCCCUCUAGCUUUCUUCACAAGUAUGAUCCACGUGAUGGUUCACUUGCCGGAAGAGGCAUUGCUUGCUGGUCCUGUCAACUAUCACUGGAUGUAUCCAAUAGAAAGGUAUAUAAUCCUCAUCAUUUGAUUAUUCAUCAUUAACCUAUGCUUACUAAUUUGUAUUGUAUUGUUUUAUUUUGCCAGAAGAGGCAUUGCUUGUAGAUGUCGUAGCUUAUUAAAAAUUGUAAGGCGGUGAAUACUGCAUCUCGUUUGAUUCCCCUACCUCUUACUUUAGCUAUCACUGCUCUAGUAGAAAUGGAUCGCAUGCCGGUUAAUCCAGUUGAUCUGGUUGAUCCAGUUGAACCCCAAGUCUCCCAGGCGCCAGCAUCAUUAGCCUCUUCAGUGGCACUACCUAUUAGCCGCAGGCAUGGUCACCGUCGCCCUUGCACGCCCAACAUGACAUCAACAUCCACUACUGAUGCCUCAGGGUCAUAACAAUGUAAGGUUAAAUAACUCCCUUUUAUUGCCUUGUGAAUUUAGUUAUUCAUAUUAAGUGUAAUCAAAAUUUUUACAUACUGCAACUGUGCAUUAGGUCCAAAUUUGGCUUAUUCAACUGUUGCGAUUGUUGUUGGAUAUCAUAUAUUAUUUAUUACAAUGUCGAGGGUUUGGGAAUUGUUAUAACUUUAAGGGAGGUUCUGUUGAAAUUUCGGUAUAAUUUGUAGUGUUUGUUUGACUGUUUUUUAUUUUUUUCAACAAAGAAAAAUACUCGGGGACCUUGUUGCUAGUUGAAGAUGGCGAAGGUCAGCCGGGUGACCAACAAACGCAUCACGAUCGGAUACAACGACUGGCAUCGGGUUGCACCAACGCCGGAACAACAUAGCACAUUGGCCCACGACAUUGGUCACGUCAUUCGGACCUAUUGCCCUAUGCAAUGGAAGCCUUGGAAGGCAAUGCCAGACGAGGUGAAGACGAAGGUGUGCGCUUAUUUGUCGGUAAGUAUCCUGCCUUUUAUUUCUUUUCCUUUAACAUAUGUAAUUAAUUUGUUACAUUGCAGACGAACUACAAUUUUGACGACAUUAACGACAAUAUGUUGGUGUACUUCAACAGGCUCUUUGCUGAAUGGUACAAGUAAUGGAAGAGCGACAUGCACCAAUAUUUUUCAGACAUUUGAUGAUCCGCAGGUUGCUCUUGAGGAGGGUUUCCUGACGAAGUUUAAGGAUCAGUAAGAUAAUUGGGUGUGGCUCUAUAGUCAUUUUCAAGAGCCCGGCUAUGUGGUACGUUUUUUAUAUUAAGUCUAAAAGUAUUAUAUGUUUCUUACUAAUGUUUAUUGAUUUUUUUUAUAUUUCAUUUAAAUUAGAACUAAUACGUUUAUUUUUUUGUAUAAUAGAAGAAGGCAAAAGCCAACAAGAUCAAUCAGAAGAAGACGCUUCUCCACCAUUCAGAUUCGAGGCCCUUCUCAUGUAGGAUUGAGGCGUGGCAACAGGUAGUGUUCUAAAAAUCGGUCUAGGCGGUCGCCUAGGCGCUGGGCAGUGGGCAGCCACUGGGAUUAACUCUUAAUAGGGAGAAAAAUCAAGGAAGGAAUUAGGCGGCGCUGAGGCGGCUUGGGCGGACCUUGGGCAUCCUAAGCGGCCGAUUGGUUGGCCUAGGCGGUCUGGAAUUUCAAUUUUUUUUUUCAAACUUGAGAAAGAAGGAGUACAGUGUGUUCUGGAAUUUGUAAGUUUGCAGGCUCUAUUCUUGUGAAGAUGAAAGGAGGAAGAAGAUGAGAAAAUGAGUUUCUUUCUCAUCCUUUCAUUCUCAUGUGAACACCCUCAAACUUUCCCAUUUAAUUUAUUUUUUAAUUUCAUCAAUCACAUUUGGACAGCUAGCAUUAAGUUGACCUUUCCAAAAAAGAAAAAUGGGUUGUCAAUACCCAACAUCAAGUUACUAUUGAUUGUUUAAAUUUUUAUAUUCAAGAUGGGGAAAAGGAAAGAAUAAAAAAGAAUAAAAGAUGGUCUCCUUUGUUGCUUUCCAAAAAAAGAUGGUCUCCUUUGUUUGUGAGUCUCUUGUUGAUGUGAGUGAUGGGAACUAGGGGUGGAGGGGAGGGGUCACACCACACACGUGGUGGUUGAAAUGAGGAAGGAUGCUUUUGUGACGGUUUUGGUGCUCCAAAGUUCAAAGUGAGACACCAACCCAGAUAAAAUUAUAAAUAAAAGAGAGAGGAUUUCGUUGAUUAUAGCAAUGUGCGUGGUUUGGUUAGGGGAUGCCUGGCUUGGCUUCCUAGUAGUUUUAUUAGGAACCAUUCAACCCACUACGUGGGAUUUUACUUGUAUUUUUGAAAAAUUAGAUAUAAUCAUUCAAAAUGUCUUAAGUUAUAUGGCAUAUAUGCUUAAUGUGUUUCUAAAGUUUAGACUUGUUAGAUAUUCUUUUUGUAUUUAUUAUUCUUUUAUUAUCUUAUCUAUGGAUUUUAUACAAGUAUAAUUUUUUAUGUGUCAUUAUUUACAAGAUAUACAAUAAAUUUACCUAAAUUUGUCUAGGCCGCCUAGAUCCCGCCUAGCCGCCUAGCCGCCUAGGCGCUAGGUGCCAACCUGCUGCCUGACUAGCGCCUAGCGUUUUUUAAAACAUUGGCAGCAUGUAAUAAUAAAGCUUUUCAUAUUCAAUUUUUAAUAUGUUAGUAAUAUUUUUUUUUUCCGUACUAACAUUUUUCAUAUCUUGUUCUAUUCAGGGGGGGUUCAAAAUUCCAGGUGAUCGAUGUCUUUGGAGACGUUUAUGUUCGACCCGGGGAUGAGUUGGCCGAGUCCUUUCAUGUACGUAUUCUUCAAUUGUAAUUACUAUCUUAUGCAUUCAAGUAUCAUGGUUAUUAUUUGAACGUUAUAUUUAAUAUUUCAUGUUAUAUUACACUGGUGACGAUGAUGGAGAAGAGGCAGUUGGUUCUUCAGGAGUCCGCCUCCCAGCUUCCUCUCGAGACUCUGCUCAAGUCUGUGGAUCCCCUCGAGGAUGCGAGGUUUCAGAUCCUUACAGACACCUUGGAUCAGACUUUCGGGCGGAGGCUGGAGACAUAUUGUAAGGGAUUGGGAAUGCCCGGCGGCGGGAACCUAGAGCCUCUUCAUCUUCGCAGUUGGAGGGCAAGCUAACAGCUUUGACAGCAGAGGUGGCCGACCUUAGGACUGAGCUCGCCUCGUAUAAGAGCCAGAUGUCAUUAAUUGUACAGGUCCUCAGUCAGUCUAGCAUUCAUCUCUCGGUUAUUUGUCCCCCGUAGACGUCCAAGCCCCUCCAACUCGAGCAUGCCCAGAACUCCGUCCCCUUCGACCUCUAAGCCUGUCCUCAACCCUGAGCCCUUCUUGCCCUAAUCUUUCCAGCCCCAUGCGAACGAUGACCCCGUAGAUUAUUCCACCUUUUUUUCUUAGUUGUUUAGUCCCUUACUUUUAAAACUUUUUCCUUGUACAUACAUUUUAUUUUUAUUUUAAAUAAAUUAUUUUUCUCUUCAUUACAUUUUUUAUUAUUUUAUUACAAAAUUAAACCCAGAACAAAUUUUUUUAUUUUUUUUUUGCCUGACGAAUAGCUUCGUCAUGCAUACUGUUUUGUGAUAACUCACUUUUCGUUGCGCAAAGUUUUUACAGAUGAAUAUUAGUCGUCCCAGGUUUGUAUUCUGGCAUUUUGUGUGACGAACAUAUUCGUUCCUAAAAAUUUGGUGCGACGAAUGAGGAACAGUCGCUCCUUAUUUGCCAUGACCAAUGCUUUUGUUCGUCGUGCAAAGUCUUUCUUCACGAUCUUUGUGCGACGAAGUUUUCGACGUGCAUACGUUUGUGCGACGCUAUUAAGCUUUGUGUGACCAAUUUAUGUUCGUCGCGCUAAAUGUUAAACAUGGUAGUGAGUACUGAGCUUAGAUUAGGAAGUUUUAUUCAGUUAUAGUUUAUGAGUUGAAAUUCCAAUUUAUAGGGUUAUGGUUUUAAAAGAAGGAAAAGUGUACAUUCAUCUGAAUCUCAUCUGGGUUGAGAUCGAAUUGUCCGGGAGAUGAUGAGAUUUUAAGCUUUCCCGUGUCAAAAUUUUUUUGAGUUUUCUACUUUUCUUACUUUGUGUUACUGAAUUGUGACAUUGCUGUGGUUCUUGAACUCGAUAUCUCUGAAACCCAUUAAGGCGUUUUUCUUGCCACUAUUGAUUUCGAUUGUAUAUUUACGAUAUGGGUUUUUAUUGAGGAUUUGGGGAAAUUUUAGUUUGGGAGUUUUUCUUGGGGUCGGAGCUUGAAUCGCCUUUUGGUGAUUGAAGAAAUGGGUAUUGGAGGAGCUAUUUGGUUGUUGUUGUUGGAGUAUAUUGUAUUUUGUGUAUUGGUUUCAAAGAUGAAAAGGCUUUCUAUUAUGCAUAUGGGUUUUUGUUGUUUGUGUUUGAUAUGUAAUACAUUGACAAAUUUAUUUCUUUAUAUUGAUUACUUGAUAGUCCAAUUCCUAACUUACAGCAAGCAAGAAGAAACUCCUGGAUAAAACAAAAAAAGAGAGGAACCACUUCAGCAGCGUGAUGACGAACAAAAAGAUGAUCAUUCACAAACAAGAGAGUUCGAAGACGACAAAGAAAAAGCUUUGUGAACAUUGAGCAUAAGUGCAGUGCCAAGUUUCUUAUAAUUAUGGACAUGUGUAUAUAAAUCUAGCUUUCAUAGUAUCUCUAUCUUGCGAAUCAUGACCAGUUGAACACUGCAACUUUUGUACAUAACCUGGCUUUCGUAACAUCUCCAUCUUUUGAACAAUGAGCAGUUGAACGUUGCUAAUCUUCUUAUAACUAUGACUUAAUGUACAUAAAUCUAGCUUUCGUAGUAUCUCUAUCUUUGAAACAAGGAACGGUUGAGCACUACCAAUCUUUUGAUAACUAUGAAAUUAUGUAUAAAUCUAACUUCUAUAAUCUUAAAAUAAAGAUCACAAUUUGGUUGAUUGAUAAGCAAAUAAGAAAAGCCAACGAAAAAGAAUAGUAAAAUAAAUAAAUAAAACACGACAACGAAGGAAUGAUUGUAACGAAUUAGGAUUGUAUUUUAUGGAUGGUGAGCCUAAGAUUUUGGAAUCCAUACUCAAUCAUACGCUUCUCAAAUCAAUGCACCCUUCAUACAAUUCCACAUUUUGUUCUUGAAAUUUACCUACAUAAAGGUCUUGGUCCAACUUUAGACAUGAUUUCUCCCAUUGGUGAUGGUGAGAGUCAAGUAUUUUUCUAUGCAACUAGCCUAUUGCCAAGGUCCAAUUUAACAUGCAAUAAUCCGUUAAGCUCUUUGAAAAUGAUAAAUAUACACACCAUAAAAGUCUAGGUCUAACUUAUAUACAUAUGCAAAUGCAAUAAUAAAUCAUUGUGCUUCUAUGUAACGCAAGAUGGUAACUCAACACAAACACAAUUGUAUAUACGGAAUAAUGGUAGCUAAGCAUCAAACCAUAAAUAAUCAACGAUAAAAUUACGUUUAGAUAUUCAAGAACACAAAUAUGAAAAUUGCAUCAAGUUCUCAUUGAAAUUGAGAAACUAAAUCAAGUGUUUCAUCCUAACCUUAGGAUGAUAGGUUUAGCUAGACAUGAAAUAAAAUGCAAAGGAAAUUUGUUCAACAACAUAAGCAAAACACUAAGUAAUACAAGCACAGGCAUGAGAUGGUGAUAUAUAGGACACGAUAAAAAGUGAUGUUGGUGUAGAAGGAGAUAGGGUUGAUGAUUGAUGAAGAACUAAGGUCUUGACAAAGUUGAAUGAAAUAAAGGGCAGCCUUUUGCAAGAUUAUGGAAUCGCAAUAGUCCCCUCAGUUCACCAUCUGACUCUUUUAAUUCACUUUGGACUCCCAAGUCCUCAUUGCACAAGAAAACCCCAAUAAAUUAAUAAUCUCUCCCAAGCCCACAUGGUCAACAUAUGUGUAAUAUAUCUCGAAACAUCGACCCGCAACUCGAAAGUAUAGCAAUCUUACAAAUCAGCCACGUCGCGUAUAAAUUCUCAGACUGAGUAGUAGUCAUUAAAAAUCCGAUAAUUUAUUCUUUAGGUUUUAGAAUCUUAAACCGUAAAAUUCUUCCAAAGCUAGACAUCCGUGACUUUCCAUCCAUAUAUGGCUCACCAUCUUGUUAAAGAUAAACAAAAUGUAAUACUUAUUCUAUAGAAACUUAAACUCAAUUGACAAUUGAGAAGUAAUCUCGGCCCCUCGUAAUUCUGAUUUACCUUUUGGCUUUGUGAAUGAAAAAAAAAAAAGUAAUACUUCGUAAUUCUAAUAUUCUAUGGAACCUCAAGAACAUCGCACAUCAAAAAACACAUUAGGCCGUCAGACUAUCCCAUGAGCAACAUUUUAUAUCAUGAAGCAUGUGUGGUCGUUAGGUUUUCCCACAUAUCAUAAUAUAAGUUAAAAGUCUACUCUAAAACCAAUUGGUAAUAAAUGAGUAACCAAAUUUCUUACAAAAACAUUCCACAUCCUCACAAUAAGCUAAUACAAUUGAGCUAGUGUUUUUUUUUUUUUUCUUGAACUAUGCUCUACUAGUAUUCAUUUUCAAUGGUAAAUAAGAAGUUUUAGAUUUGAUUUUCACCAAAAGAAUUUAAACUACAUUAUUACUAGUUAUUAUGAAGCUUAGCCUACUUUAUUACCCUCUUGGUGUGGAUAAUACCGCUUAUUAAAAAACAAACAAUUGAGCUAGUUAAGCUGAUUUGUUUGAUUUUAAGAGCGAAUCAACUGUCCUCCCAAUUGUCUCUUCCCUUUUAGAAAGAGGAUGACCCUUUAUCGAGACAAUCAAUGGUCUGACUAGAUUUAUGGGGCUUCCUUCAGAGAGAGGCAGAUUGUCUGUCUUCUUGUUUGUGUGUCAUUUUCAUCUUUUUUUAUUUGUACUGUCACGGUUAAAUCACAUUAAUAUUUUAUAUUUUAAUUAUUUUUUGUUUUAUUAUCUCUAUAAAACAAUGAAUAUAAAAUAUUAACGUGACUUAACUGUGACUGCACAAAAUAGCAGAAGAUGAAAGGGGCAUCCAAAUAGAAGGGUAGACAAUCUGCCUUCCCUUCAUAGGGAGAGAGGAAGUGACCAGGUGCUGGGAAUACAGUUACCUCUUUCUCUCUCUUAUUUAGUUAUUGUGCUACAUUAAGAAGCAAAUAACAUUUUAUUGUCAAUUUAAUUUAAUUUCUAAUUGAAAUCUUGGCAUUAAGUUAAAAUACAAACUUAAACCUUAAUAAAGACCGCGACCAAACAAAAUUUUCAAUAAAGAAUAAGGCAUGGCGAUCACAUACAGAAAUACAAUAUUUUUAUUUUUAUAUAAGCGAUAUUAUUAUUCUAAAUUAUAUUAAAAAGAAGUUUAAUUUUACAUUUAUUUUGUGUGUGGCUUUCUCAGUGGCCUAUAUCAUUAAUUGACAUUGGUUAAGUUUAUGACAACAUAGUUAAUAAGGGUUAAGUUUAUAAACACAUGUACACAAAAAAGUUAGUACAGAAGAUUUGAACUCGCUAAAGAAAGAGGAAGAAUUUAAUUCUAUAUGAACUAGUGAGUUCAAAAAGAAGAUAUAACGAAGUUUUAGAAAGACAGACAAAAUGUUAUAAUGCAGGUGUUGUUCCCAACUAAGUCAUAUGCCCAUGAAGUUGUAUCCUAACUGACAUCGAUAAAAUUAUAAAUAGAACCAUAUAAUUAUAAGUUGUAAAUUAUUUCUGUCAAGCUCUCGAUGUAUGUAGAUAACGUUUUACCGCAAUGGCGGAAAGUAAUCAUCCAUAUGCACUCUAAUGAGGGUUUAAUCCUUACCAAUUUUUUUCUCACUAACAACUAAUAAUUUAACUCAAUAACUUUAUUGUUUUACUAAAAAAAAAUCUAGAUGUGCGAUUCUCAACAAGCCCCUAUCAAACAGGGCUCAAGAGAAAUACAAUCUCAACAACACUGCAAAAUGCUAGCAAAGAAAAUCGAGCGAUCCUCUUUGUGAAGAUCUCUGAAUCACAUUCGUUCAUUAUACAUCGUACAGUCAUAAAUUAUUGUAAAUUUUUUUAUUUAAAAUUAAAUAUAAACAGUACCUGACGUACAGUCAGAAAUCAUUGAAAAAAAAUUUAUUUAAAAUUAAAUAUAAACAGUACUUGACAAAAACUGAAUGCACGAUAUAUGAUUAAAGGAUCUUCAAAAUCCUCAUAAAGUUAAUCCGGCGAGGAUCCUCUCUCAAGAAAAUCUAAGAUGAGGUUGUUGACUUGGUGCGCAGCAUCUUCCCACGGCAGACCACGUGGAAAGGAUGGGUGCUAAAGAAGCAAGUGGUCCCAUUCAUGUUCACCAAGCAAGCUGAGCUCCAUCCCACUUUGAUUUCUAGUAUUUUAUUCGAUGGAUCUUGUUGCCUCACUCAUAGACUGUAACAAAAAUGUGAGAAAUUUUUUAGUGACCGUCAUACGAGGUAGUACACUAUAUUUUUAUAUAAAUUAUGGAAUAUAUGUGUUAAAAUGUUAACAACUUAAAAAAUAAAAAUUUUCAUUACUUACAUAAAAACACGUGUUGCAUCAUCCAUAUUUCCAUCGCAACUAAAAAAAUUUUCAAAAAUGAGUCUUGCCGACUCUUGACUCUGGAUGGCCUAAAAAUUAGGGGAUACAGACAAUGCAUGGUUUGCAUGGUUGCAUCACAGGCUUUGUGUUGAACAGUAAUGUAGGACCCUAAAGCUUCGACCAUGUGGAGGGAACGGGAUCCCCUCCUGAUCAUAGGGUGGGAUCCUCCUGAUCGGACCAUCUAGACCAUUGAAAUUUGAUUCAAUGGCUACAAAUAGAGAACUUUCUAAAAAUUAUAAUUAUUGUAGCCGUUUGAUUAAAUUUCAAUGAUCUAGAUGGUCUGAUCAGGAGGAUCCCCACCCUAUGCUCAGGAGGGGAUCCGGUUCCCAUGUGGAGAAAUAGUAAAUUUUUUUGAGAAAUGAUAAAUACGUUAAUUUUAUAUUUUACAUAUUUAUGUUGAAUUAUAUUUAUUAUUUUCGUUUGAUUUGUGUAUUUUGAUAUACAAAAAUAAAGAUGUGUUUGAGAAGUUAAGUGAAAAUAUGUUGCCAUCUUUUGUUUUUUUUAUCAUGUGCUUGUAUCACUGUCAUGAUUUUGUGUCAUUAAUUAACGUGUUAUAAGACAUGUUUGUAUUUUAGGGAGUGAUAUCAAUUGCGCGAUUACUUUCUAACAUCAAUGUUUCGUUAUAAUUUUUUUAUGAAAGAUUAUGUUAAUGAGGGUUUAAUUUUUUUAUUUUCUCACAUGGUUUAAUUUUUUUAUUAUCCUGAUCAAUCACUUAAUUAAAUAGCUAUGAAAAACAAGAAAGUGUUGAGGUAUAACAAGAAGUACAAAAAUGAUUCUCCAAUUAAAAAUAUACUUCUAAUUAAAUAUGAAUGAAAUAAUAAUACUAUGCCAUGAUUUUUUUUUUAAACCAAACGCCGAAAACUUUAUUUUGAAAUCAUAACAUACAUUGGAUUGGACAGAAUUUUUGGAUUGACCAAAACAUCGUCCCAAAGUCCCCAUCUUAGUGCUCAAUCUAUAUACCAACAGUAUAUGAUUUUGUGGGAUAUGAGACAGCCCCAUAGGGUUUGUUUUGACAGAAAAGGGAAAUGGUUUUGACCAGAGCCAUUCCCAAUAGAGGCCAGACAAAUGUGACCUAGCAACCACGUGAUAUCAUAAGAUAACAGUUGAGAAUUUCUAGGGCUUGAUCUUUGGCAGCAAAUGCUUUAAUAUAUAUUGAGAUUUUGAUCUAAAUAAAAUCUAAAGUUUGAUUAAAAUAUUGAAUUCAUUGCUAGUAGAAAUAAUUAAAUCAAUUGAGGUUAUCUUGUUUGUUUGUUUGCUUGUCAAGUGGGACACCUUCAGAAAUAAUGUCCAUUACAAGUUUUCCCAUCAUGUCUGUUAUGAUUUUAGCCCUAUACCUUAAUAUAUUCACUCAUGUGUAAUGUUUAUCAUAUAUUCACUCAUGUUAACAAUGCAUAUUAUUCGUCCUAUACCUUAAUAUAUGAGUUCAUUGCCUGUAUUCUUUAUUAAAACCAAUAUUCUUAAGCUCAAAAAGUUGGAAGAAAACGCGGUGAAAGUUCUUUGUUCAUGGUUUUUCGAUACUAAUUUUUACGGAACCAAAAGAAUCCUUAAGUAGAAUGGGAUCGAUUCCAACUCAACACUUUUUUUUGUUAAGAUUUUGAGCUAUCAAGAGAGCACAACUUGAUGAGACCUUGUAGCCUGAAUUUGGGGAGAAUGUUAUUGUUGUUAGAACAAAAAUUAGUUAGUAGUUAAAGAAACGGUUGUUUAAAUGGCGAUGGAUCAGUGCUUCAAAUUCACUUAGCACCAACUCAUUCCAUAACAAUAUGUAAACAAGAGCAGAUGUACAUUGGGACCAAUUUUUUUGAUAUCACUCAUCAGAUUCAUUACGCAUAUGUUGUAUCUAUUGACAUGUGCACAACAUCGUUUGACUAACGACAACAAACCCACUUAGUGUUCGAUCAAAUACUUUAGUGAAUAAACUGAAGUUUUUUGCGCGCUUCAUACUAUAUUUCUAUCCAAACAAAACUUGUACUUUAACCUUGAGAACCCCUAAAGUUUGACCCGCCACUAUAUGUUAAUCAGUAACACCAUAUAUCAGUGAUACAUGCAGAACGACUUGCUCAAGAUUUCCUAGUUAUAAAGAAUUCUACUUGGUGGGGUUUUUUUCCUUCUUUCAGUUGGUACUAGUUAUGAUGUUUAAUAUGUAGCAACUUUUCAACAUGGUCUCAUUUACUAUAUAUCAAAUGCAAACCAACACGAUUUGCUCAUGCGCAUUAGAUCCUCCAUUUUCAUUUGGAUCCACCAAAUAGUUCCUGCAUCGGUCCAUUUUUUACACCAAUAUCUUCUGUCGCAGGUGUGAUUUUACGUAACAUAAAAUAUUCAUAAAUAAUGCUAUCUUAGACGAGUGGACAAUGCUAAUGAUAUAUUUUUAUAAGAAAUGAGUGAAAUAUAUUUAACACAUGAAAUGAAAUAGGAAUUAACUUUCGGUUUAGCUAUCUGAUAGUCUGAAUAAUUAGUCAACUUGUGUAUAUCAUAUUAAAUGGCUCACUAUGACGAACUGGAUCUGGUUUGAAUGUUGGUGGCUGAUUAUUUUAUCAGAGUGAUAUGCUAUGUUUAUAGAAUAUAUUAGAACCAUGGAUGUUGGCUAAGAAAGUGAUAUAUGUGGGAGGAAGGUGAAUUGGUUGAAAAAUGAACAAGCGAAAAUUGUAAUUUUUCCUCAUGGUUAGGAUUUUUUUUUUUUUUUCUUUUUUUUUUUAAAGAAUAUAACAUGUAUUUGAAACGAACAUGAAAUUUCUUCAAGUAUUUUUCAAUAUGAACAUGACAAGUUUGAUUAAGUGUCGACGACAAGUGUUAGACACAAACAUGACACUUUUGUAAAGUGUUACUGUAUCCAGUAUGAAGAGGACAAUUAGAAAAAAGUGCUUAUGACACGUAUUUGACUUGAACAUGAUACUUUCGUAAAGUGUUAACGAUAUGUAUUUGACUCAACCAUGAUAGUUUUGAAGAAGUGUUGACGAUACAUAUUUCACACAAACAUGAACCUGCUAUGAAACUAUGAAGAAUCAAUAUCAUACACCUAGAUGAAAUUAUAUCUCAUACAAACUUGAGAGUUCUAAAAAUGUACUCAUAAUACGUAUCAAAUUACGAACAUGACAACUCUGAAAAUGUGAUAAUGACAUUCAUUUGACACAAACCAGACAGAUCUAGAAGCAUUAAUCCAUCAUAGAUCACCACGUAAACAGCUAAACAAUUCAUAUAAAGAACUCAAACGAUCACAAAUUAAUUGAACACUAAAAUUAUAUGGUAAAGAACUCAAAGUGAUGCGGUAGUCAAACCCCCCAACUCUCCCCUCUUGUUUAAGCAUGUACCCGACAUAGUGGCGAUCCGUAAUCCAUGUCUGACGGUACACACAGUAACUACAUACGGCGCAGGAAACGAAAAGAAAUCCAACCAAUUAUUAGCAUUAAAAUAUCUUAAAAUAUAGUUAAACUCAGUAACUAGUUCUAGUACUUUGACGUUCCAACGGUCCACCAAAACACUGUAAAAAUGGCUGCCGCACCCACGUUCUUUCAUCGUCACCAUCCUCACACCCACAGCUCUAAUUUCAGCAACCCAACAACAACAUCACGGACAUGCAAGCUCACCAUCGAACCACUCCAUGCCUGCAUCACUGAUCUAACUCUAAACCCAGCAAAACCAUGCAAACCCAGCAAGCCCUUUCUGGGUUAUCUCGGUCCGUACCUCCUCUGCUUCUCCUCCUGCUCUUAUGCUCCACCUCCACAUCUGGGUUCGGAUCAAUGGGACCAAUCUCGGCCUCUUUCGGCAAAGAUGGCUUCUUUUGCGCCAUAGACGCUAGCGGGAAGCAGGGCGUGGUUUGUUGGGGGUUCAACAGCUCUCCAUCGACGUCGUCUUCGGCGUCAUCCUCGUCCUCCGCCUCUUUCAGCAACAUUCCGUCGAUGGCUGCUCUCUCCGGUGGUGAAAAUUUUCUUUGUGGUAUUUUAGCGAACACCUCGCAGGCGUAUUGUUGGAUCUCCGUUUCCCCAGGUAUAGAUCUUGUUCCUCUACCAUUCAAGUCCACCGGUUACUCUCAUAUUGCUGCUGGGAAGAGCCAUGUGUGUGCUAUUAGAGGGUCGUAUUACUCUGACCAUGAAUAUGGAACUGUAGAUUGCUGGGAAAUUUUUGAAACUUCGAAUAGAAGUUUAAGUUCGAAACAGAGCACUCUGUUUUCUGACCAGGCAAUUGCUAACCUUGUCUUCAAAGGGGUUGUUUCUGGUGAAGGGUUUAGCUGUGGAGCUGUUAGAGAUGGAGGGCUGAUUUGUUGGGGGCCAAAUUCUUCGAAUUUAGGUGUUUCGGGUCCGGUACUACAGAAUUUCACAGCUUUAGCUUCAGGGAGGGCCUCAGUCUGUGGAAUUUCAGAUUUUGGUGAGUUGAAUUGUUGGGGUGAUGCUGAUUUGUUGGAUGGUCAUCCAAAUGGAACUCAGUAUGCGUCUUUGGCUGCUGGUGAUCAUCAUUAUUGCGGGAUUCGACUAGAUAAUCACAGAGUGGAGUGUUGGGGGAUGUUUAACUCCUCUUUGAUUCCAAAGGCUUCCGGAUUUAUGGCGAUUGCCUCGUCGGAUUAUACCACUUGUGGGAUCAGGGAAGAUGAUUUGGUGAUUGAUUGUUGGGCUGCCAAUGCAACUUCCUCCCCAACCGAUUAUGAUCCUCCAUUGCAAUUGUGCAGUCCAGGUCUUUGCACUCCUGGUUCUUGUGGGCAAGGUGAGUUUGCUUUCAAUGCUAGCGCACUCAAUGAGGUUGAUUUGACAAGCUUGUGUGUUCGAAAAGAUCUUACGAUUUGUUCCUCGUGCGGGUCAAAUUGCUCCGAAGGAUUCUUCUUGUCUAGUUCAUGUACUCAACAUGCUGAUAGAGUGUGCACAGCUUGCUCUCUUUGCCAGAACAGCUCUUGUUGGGAUAUUUGUGGGCUUCAAACACCUCCAGAAAUGAGGAAAAAGCUCUGGAAUCAUGUGCGUAGGUUGGUGAUCAUAUUCGGGUCUUCUGCUUUGGGUUUUUUGUUGAUAUUAAUUUGUUGGUGCCUUCUUCCCCGUUUAACUUCUCGAAAAAAAGAAGGGAGCAAAAAGCAGUUUAAAUCUUGCAUUGGGAAAGCAGAGUUGGAAGCUGACAAUAAUGAGGAUCCAAACCCUCCUCCAUCCGUGAUUCCCUGUCCUGGGAUUGCUCAAGUGUUCCGUCUCUCAGAACUAAAAGACGCCACCAACGGAUUCAAGGAGUUUAACGAGCUUGGCAGGGGAAGUUUUGGCUUUGUUUACAAAGCUGUGCUAGCAGAUGGACAGCAAGUUGCAGUCAAGAGAGCAAAUGCUGCCACUAUAAUUCACACAAACAGUCGAGACUUUGAAAUGGAAUUAGAGGUCCUUAGCAAAAUCCGCCACUGUAACAUUGUAAACUUAUUGGGUUACUGCUCAGAGAUGGGGGAAAGGCUGCUUGUAUACGAGUAUAUGGCCCACGGGACGCUUUAUGAUCAUCUCCAUGGUGGGCUUUCAGCCCUGAAUUGGAGCCUUCGGUUGAAAAUUGCAAUGCAGGCUGCUAAGGGGCUUGAGUACCUUCACAAGGAAUUCAUGCCUCCCAUUGUUCAUCGCAAUGUCAAGACCUCGAACAUUCUUUUAGACGCUGAAUGGAGUGCGCGGAUUGCAGAUUUCGGACUCCUUACAUCUAAUGACAGGGAUCUCAAUGGAGAUUUAGCAAGUGAUGUUUACAACUUUGGAGUAGUACUGCUAGAGAUUCUCAGUGGAAGGAAAGCUUAUGACAGAGAUUACACUCCGCCAAGUGUAGUCGAAUGGGCACUGCCUUUAAUCAAACAGAACAAGGCAGCUGCCAUAAUCGACCGUUAUAUAGCUCUCCCGAGAAAUGUUGAGCCUUUGCUCAAGCUUGCUGAUAUAGCAGGACUGGCGAUAAAGGAAAAUCCAACCGAGCGUCCUACAAUGUCGGAUAUUGCAUCUUGGUUGGAGCACAUUGUGAAAGAUGGAUUGACCUUGUAGUUUCUGAACCAGGUCGCCGGCUAUUCAUCAAAGAUUAAUUGAACAAAUAUUUGUUACAACUGUUUCAGUAAGUACUGCUCUAAUCUUCCUCAACUGUACAUCUAUUUAUGAGCUGCUUGUAAAUGAAGUGAUUAAUCUGCUUGUCUCGGAUAAUUUCCCUUAAUCCUCACAAAGCGAAGGGAACAUGAUUUUUGUACCAUUCCACACUAGUUUUCCACUUGAUACUCAUCCAAUAAUUUCCCUUCUCAUGUAAAGCAUUGGAGAGCCAUCCCUACUUGAAUUUGGGAGCCACUAUUUUAGAUUUAAUGCAUGAUUAUGCCCUGAACAUUUCAUUUUAUACGAUGGUUUCGAGCAUAUGAUUCAUUAUCAAUUUAACAAAUUCUUUACUUACUACCACAUUUUCUGUGGUUGCGUUUUGUAUUAGCAGAAUCUUCCAUUUCUUUCUUGUGUUUAGUCAUGACGGUAACAAUUUAAAUUUCUGAACUAUCAUCAUCAUACUUCGAUGAUUUUGUUCAUAUUAUUCAUUGACCAGUUCUACUUAUGAUUUGAGGAGUAUUGAAUCAUUCACUGCAUUAGAUAUAAUCUCUUUGAACCGCGAUUUUUCGGUCAUUUGAUAUCUGCUUGCAGUUUUUACAAAAACACACUAUAGAACUCAGAAGUGUGAAAACUACAGCAGCAUCUUGUGAACUGAAUCAACGGAGAAAUGGAAAUCCAACUCAUCCAAGCACUCUUACGACGAGUCGGUUUUGGAAGAGGGAAAUAACCUUAUCUCUGUGACUUUUGCAUUGCAGCUUCUCUCAUCGCCCCACAGUGGCCGUGCAUACCAUAACCAAGUUGAAGACAAAAACUUGAAAAGGUAAGUGGCCUUUCAGUGCUUUGUUGAUUGGUUGAGCAUGUUUUGUGCAAUUUGACAACUCAAAAGCUUGUCAAUUGAUUGGUUUCUGAGGUGAUCCGAGUAAAUAGUGGGCAAAAAGUUGAGGGACAUAUAUGUGGCAUAUAGUCCCUUUCGCCAAAAGGCCCCUCCACUACCAGUCAAGUCGUUCUUCACAUUUCUCGCACUCAAAAGGUACAUGUCCUAGUGACUUGAGGCACUGUCUUGGCUUGGAAAUUGGGUGGUCGACAAGUGAGGCUUGGAAGUUAGAGCCGGGUUGGACCGCCUGUCGCCCGCUUCAUUUUUGGUCGACCAGCAUUAUAACAUUGACUAAAUUGUAACAAUGGUCCCUCAACUUUAAUCAAAUUGGAGCAAUGAUCCCUCAACUAAAAAUCCAUUACCAUUGGUCCCUCAACUUAUCAAAAUGUGUAGCUAGUCUUUUUCAUCAAUUUCAUCAAAAUUUUGUCAAAAUAAGUUACGUUGGAAUAACCAUUCAUAUAAUUAGGGUCCCUCAACUCGUGUAUUUAUGAUCAUUUUCGUCAACUACGUCAAAUUUUUUGUCAAAACGAGUUAUGUUGGAAGGACCAUUGUUACAAUUGAGUUAAAGUUAAGGGAUCAUUUCUCCAGUUGAAUUAAAGUUGAGGGACCAAUGGUAAUGGAUUUUUAGUUGAGGGACCAUAGCUGGACAUUUUGAUGAGUUGAGGGACCAAUGAUAAUGGAUUUUUAGUUAAGGGAUCAUUACUCCAAUUGAGUUAAAGUUAAAGGACCAUAGCUACAAUUUACUCUUAUAACAUUUGCAAUUUUCUGUUUUUCGUUUAGAUUUAUAUUAAAUCUUGUACAUUAACAUUCGGAUAAGAGAAUUUUGCAUGUAGCAUACGUAUAAUGCAUGUCUGGUUCUUGUUAGAACUGGUUUGGAUGUCAUAGCCAUUCGGUAAUGUAAUUUUUGCCUUUUACUUCUUGUUUAUGAACUUUUGGCACAGUAAUUAAUUAACAGAAACAGGUCGAGAAAAGCUCAACAUACAUGCUGGUUUUCGCAUUAAUUUACUGGGAGCUAACUUUGUACACAUGUACUUUGCAAAAGUGCUAUCAACAAGUUGAGAAAAAAUAAGCCUUGCAGAAUGGCUACAAGGACAACACAUAAUCCUCAGAUUUAUACUGAUUUUGUGUGCUGCUAGAUGUAGAGGCCUUGGAGAAAGUGCUAUGAUCAUAUGAGUUCUCUUGCCUCGUUUUGAUAUCCAUGAAAUCCGAAACAAGUCCGGGUUGCGAAAUAUGAGAGUCCUUGAUGUCUUCCUUGUCGGACAACAUCUCAACCACCCUUGACAUUCGCGGCCGGUGGUUGGCCCUUUCUUGCACACAAAGUAGGCCUACCUUCAAGAAUCUGAUGGCUUCGUCCGAAGGAAAGUUCAUCUGAAGCGUAGGAUCAACUAGUUGUACAUGGGUUCCGGCCAUGUGUGCUUCCCAUACCUGCAAGUUCACAAACAACAUUGCUUCAGUUUUGAAGUUACAAUCGAAAGCGUGUUCAAGGCCACUUUGCUUCAGUCUAAUAUUGACUGUUAUUUGAGGAGCUAAUCUCGCCAAAUCCUCUUAUGUUUAUACCAAAAAUGCAUCCAAAGGCACUAUGCAAGUAGUAAUUAGAUGCUCUAAUUUAAUUUGUUUACCUUCUGAACCAGGUACUGCUCCCCAAGUUGCAUGUCAAAAUCCACAACUGCUUGGCCGCUGACAAUUUCCAACAACAGCACUCCGAAGCUAUAGACAUCUGAUUUUCGAGUCAAACGCCCGCUAAUUGCAUAUUCUGGAGCAAGAUAACCUCUUUUGGAUUAUUGUGAGACACCCCAUUAGCAACGCAGUAGCAUUUCAAAGAGUAAUCCAAUCACAACGCAAGAAGAUUUACUGAUUCAAACAACUUACAUUGUCCCGGCUACACGAGUGCUAACGUGAGAAUGGUUGUCCCUUAACAACUUCGAUAACCCAAAAUCGCCUACUUUCGGUAUGAAAUUCUUAUCAAGAAGAAUGUUGCUGGAUUUAAUGUCUCUAUGCAGAAUGUGAGGAUCAACUUCCUCGUGUAGAUAGGCGAGUCCUCGAGCUACUCCAAUCGAAAUACCCCGUCUUGCCUCCCAACUAAACCUCAUCCUGUUUUUCUCUCCACCUAUUGAUCAAUAUCAAAUCGUUAAUGCCUUCACAAUUUGCCUAAUAAAACCAGUUAAAAUGUGGAUUAUUCAGGUAGAAAUUGAGAAUUUAGAAGCGGAUGAAUGAUUAUUUACCAAGUAAAGUGUGUGUGAGGCUAUUGUUUUCCAUGUAAUCGUAGACCAGAUAUCUUGCAGCUCCAUCAACACAACACCCUUGAAGCCUAACAAGAUUCUCAUGUCUGAUUACAGACAGAGCAGCCAAUUCUGCUAUGAACUCUCUCUCUCCUCUCAUCGAUUCGAGUUCAACGGAAAGAACUUUCACAGCCACAAGGCUCCCAUUUCUAAGCUGACCCUUUAUAACUCAAUCAAAAUCAACCCCAUAUCAGCAAACAUAAUCUAUAUUACAUACAUAUAUAGGGUAAACUGCAGGUUUGACCCCCUAAACUAUUACUCCAAUUGAAAUUAACCACCCAAACUAUUCUUUUGCUAAAUUAACCCCUUGAACUAUUUGAAAUAAGCCAAUUCAACCUUUACCGUCAGAUUGAAUGAACUUUCAUUCAUUUUGCAGUCAAAUACUGGCAUGACUUUACCCCCUCAAGAAUGAGGUGGUCAAGUACCAGUAUUAGACGGCAAAGUGAAAGAAAUUUCAUCGAAUUUGACAGUAAGGGAUUAUUUCGCUAAUUUCAAAUAAUUCAAGGAUUAAUUUACAAGAAAAAAAAAAUUCAGGAUCAAUUUGUAAUAGUUUGGCGGUCACACAGCAGUUUACUUUUAUGUAUAUAAACACACACAUAAAUCAUAAAUGUAACUGGUUUCAAUAUAUGCAGAAUUUGAUGUUGCAGGUGAGAGAAAAACCUUAUAAACAGAGCCAAAUCCGCCUUCUCCAAGCUUGCUAGAGGAAUGGAAGCCAUUGGUGGCAGACUUCAACUCCUUGCAAGAGAAAAUUCUGAAGUUUUCUGGAUUUUGACCAUCUGGGUUGUAUAAAAAAAAGUACCAUAAAGCAAUUAAGACCACAGUAAACUGCGGCAAAAACCAAGAACAACCAAACCCUAAUAAUACCUUGCAUACUUCUUUCAAUGGCCUUUUUAGGUGAGGAGGAGAAGCAAUCUGUGCAAGGAAGUGGGAACUUCAUGUUCCAGCAGCUGGAUGCACUUUUUUUCUUGGGUUUUUGCUGCUGAAUCUUGGGUUUGCUUGAAUAGUGAAAUCUUGAAGUUUGGGACUAAUUAAAAUUGGAUUAAGGAGAGCAACCUAAGAAACAGAAAUGGAGACUCAGCAAUAUAAUAUUGCCCGCGGGUUUUGACCUCAAUUCUGCAAAAUUCCAUAGUUUGAGUUUCAACUUAAAUAUUUUCCAUUUGAAUAUUCUAAAUUAUCGACCAAAAAAAAAUAUAUUUUUUAAAUUAGAACUCGACUUGUUAACUAUAGUGUCGGAAUAUUACAUGUCAAAUUGUUUUUUUCACACGUCAACAAAUUACGAAUAUAAUUACUUAAUAAUAUCAAAUGUACCUUAUGACAUUGACCGCAAAAUAAAUUAGGCCAAACACAUAGAUAACAGAUAUGAAAAAAAAAAAACAAAACAAAAGUCAUACUAAAAAAUAAAUACGUUAUAAAUUUAAAAUUAUUAUUUACAAAGUAAACAAAUACAUAUUUCACAAAGAUAACGUGUUAGUGUUGUGUUUUGUGAACAAGCACAUUAGUAAUCAUGACAAACCAUUAUAAACCCGUCUAAACAUGGCUCGAAUCUAACGCUUAAAUAUUCAUACGUGUUCGUAUCAUAUUAUUUUGUAUACUUUUGUCGAGUCUAGCAUUUAUGGUGGCUUAGAAAAUAAAAAGCAUAAUUAGUUUGAUCAAACAAAAAUUUCCUUUUCAUUCAAUUUAAAAUAAUAUCAUAUGGAUGCCGUUUCAAAUGUAUGUGGUUAUGUAGGUGCAAAAGUAAACACGUUAUAACUAAAUAAGUUAGCAAAAGUGCCUAACUAGCAAUUUAACGAUUCAACACGCCUAAAAGAAGCAAAAAGGCAGUCAUCAAAGACUCAAACGUGCAAAGAAUGAGACACGAGCACCACAUCCCCCUAUGACUGCUUGGAGACCAGUUGAAUAUUACAGAGUUUUCUUUGGAAGGUCUUUGGAGAAAAGGCUUUUAUUGGCCAUAGCCUUUGACCCUUUAUGCCUACUAGCAAUUGACCAUUCUUUCCACAGAAUAUUCCUCCGUCUUGUUGACGCGUAUGCGCAAGUUUUUUGUUUUUAGGUAUGUUUUAACGAUUUGUAUAUGUUCAUGUGUCAAUUGAAACUUACAUUGCAGAUAAAGAAGAAUGUUGGUCACAAUUAGGGAGCCAAGCUAUGCUCAUACAUGAACGUGCUAUGUUAGAUGAUACGGCCUGGGCCGCUUGGCGAUCAAUACUCACAACAAAUAAUCAACCGUUAAUUAACAGUUCAACUUUCACUUCAUGUGAGUUUGUGAUUAGUUAAGAAAAUUAAAAAAUAGGUUGCACUCAUGCGUAGAAUUGGCUUAUUGCCACGUCAAUGGAAGGUCAUGGUGCCAUGUGGUGAUUCUAUCAAUCCAAUCCAACGUGACAAAAACACCCUUGUUGGUUUGUUCAGACAUUUGAAUGGAUCAAAGUUUGAACGCGAGGAUUGGAGUUUGGGGGAUGCGCAUAGUCAGCAAGCACUCAUGAGCAGUCUAACAGAUGGUUCCUUCCUUCUAUAUCCAGAAGAUUUAUGUCUGGGAAUUGUGACCAGUCUUGUAGUCUAGUCUAUGGUGUUUACCACAUCCUAUAUAUAUUCUAACGUACGUGUAUGGUGUCCUGGUGUAGACAAAACCCUAAUUCCUGUGUAUAAUACACGGUGGAUUAAUUGAUUUUAAUCUCAUGGAAUUUUGUUUUAAUAUUAGUUCAACUGUUGGUGUGGAUGCAAAUUUCUUCCUCCUUGAACUUGGACAAAAUUGCACCUACAAAACAAUUAACACCUUAGGGUCAAGGCCAAAAGCCUCACGCGCCCACGAUGAAUGGGGGGCUUCAGCCGAAGAACUUCCGAUGCCAAAGUUAGAAUUUAGAGAGAAAAGUGUUUGGAGAGUAUUGAGAAUUUUGCAAGUGUGUUGGAAUUGGCUUUUUGGUGAGAAUGGGAGUAUAUUUAUAGGGAUAAGAGGUGGUCGGCCUAGCUAGGGUUUUUUGGGUUUAAUUUAGGUUUAAUUAGGAGUUACAAAAUAAUUAGCCAAUAACUCCCUAAUUAACUUGGCUAAUUAUUUGUCAUACAAAGGAAAAAAGGUAGAAGGAAAUGCUGAUUUCUUUUGGGGAUGAAAGAUGGCCGGCCUUUUUGUGGGAGUUAGGCUAAAGUGAAUGGUCUAAAUGCUAAUUAAGGGAAUAAUUAGCUAAUUAACCCAUUAAUUAGCCAUUUAUCAUUAUUUUAGAAGGAAUGUUUUAGGAAUUAUGGAAUAAGGAUAGUAUUUAGCUAAUUGAUUAGCUAAAUAAUGAAAUAGGAAAUAUAUGAAUAAAUUAGGUUUUAAAUUGAUACCUAUUUUGGGCACUUUUGAAUUGGUUGAGGGAUAAUUGUCUGCUGCUUGCGCGUAGGAAUCCCGGUAUGCCCCAAGGGUAGUUUUGUCUUUUUUUGUCAAAAAUCCACGUGUCGCCUUGUGAAUAUUUUUGGCUCCACAAAUGCCCCUACACCUGUUGGGCUGCUCGCAGAAAAUGGCAGCAGAUGUAGAGAUCUUCUUGCUUUAGGAAACUUAGGAUUGCUUCCUAUUUUAAUAUAGAUUCUCUCUUUAAUAGGAAAUUAGAUCAUUCUAGGAAAGGGAAAUAAAUUUCUCUCAAAGCCUAUUUAAGUCCACCUUAAGUGGGUUAUUAAAUCAACUUUGGAGAGCGAUUUAUUCUACCCUACAAGAGAGAGAUAGCUUAGAGGAUAUUUGUUCCCCCUCAUCUAGCAAUCUUCUACAUCUUGCCCAUGCAAAUGAUCGUCUUUCGUUGCUUUCUUCGUCUUCUUCGUGCCGCACUGAGGUAAGAAAAAAUUAAUUUUCCUUGUCUUCUUCUUAGAUGGUGCUACCGCGGGCCAGCCGUCGGGGUGGUGCGGCACGUCGGCUGGCAUGGGCCACGAGUCAGCUUAGCAUAGGCCGAUGAGGUAUUGUGGCAGGGACCACUGCUUUAAGCUACUCAACUUGGCUAGAACCAAGGGCAGCUUGUGUGGCUGGGGUCGCGGAUUGUGGCACUGGGGCGCAGUACUAAGUGAGUCACAUGGCUCAUGUCCUUUUAGGCUUUUGGACAUAACCCGAGCUAGGCCGGUGAUUGAGAGAAAUGAAGAGGUUGCAGGCCUCAUGAGCUGCUGGAAUGUUGGGUUGAACUCCCCUGCUAGGUACCACGAAUGGCGUUGGCUACUUUAACUCUCUUCAUCAGGAGAAACGUGGGCUACUCCCAAAAGAUGAGGUGAAUAGGAUCAAGGCGGAUGCAUUGGCUCGCCCAAUCACUAUUGUGGAUCCUGCUGCAAGUGAAGGUGGGAAAAGGGAUCUUCACUGCCUGCUUAAGAGAUGCCGGUUGAGAAAAAACCAAAUACUUAUUUUGCUGCUCGCGCGGGUUUGCCGACUACCUCCAGGCUUGUGAUUAACUUGACUUUUUCCAAGGGGACAAAAAAUGAGGCUACUAGAUCUGAGCAUGUGGGACCUGCCAUGUCAAGAAUGGCUAGUACGAUUGCUGAUAGGAUUGUUCGGCAUAAAGGUCCUGUCAUGCCCCUAGUGCCGAAUUUUGUACCAAGACGUGUGUUAGGAGCUAAGUCCGGUUCACAUUUGGAGAUGCUUGCUAUUAUGAAGAGCGAUAAGGUGGACUCUGCUGGUAAAGUGGCGUCAAGGCUCAUUCCUUAUGCUGCUGAGACUGAUUCGCCUGCUGGGAAUGAGGAAACUGCUCGCGUAAGCAGCUGUGAGAAAUCGACUAAGCCUGCUUCUGGGGAGGCUGCUGAGAUCUAUGUGCUUUUAAAACCAGAUCUCUUGAAAACAUGAACGCUUGUGCCAAUUUUGUUAAUGGUGUCAGAAAGGUGUUUGCCCAAGCUCGUUUGCGAAGCAUACGACCCAAUAUAGAAGGACUGCUCUGCUUGCUAUGAUGCAGAUAUAGCAAGGCUGCUAAGGAGAUGGCAAAUACUAUGGCAGAUUCUGAGCUCGUUGCUUUGAAGGGGUCUAAUAUUUCUGCCCCCACUUCUUUGCAGCUUGAGACCGCUCGCCAAUAGAUCGUUAACUUGAAGACUAGGCUUAACGCAAUCCAAGUUAAGCAUGAAAGUGCAAAGAAUGAGAUCGGAUGUCACAUACCUUAGAUUCAAGAUCUUAAGCAUGUCGUUUCUGAGCUUUAUUCUGCUGCAAAUGAUGAAGAGUUGAUUGUUGCUUAUAACCAAGUGAUCCACUUCAAGAAAAUCAUCGAUAUGCUUGAACCCCAAGUGUUAGAACUUCAAGGUGUACUGAAGAUUAACAAAAGUCUGAAGAAGGAAGUGGAUGAGCUGCAGAGCAUUCAUGUUAGUUUGCUUGGGGAGGAUGAGCACUUGAAAGGUGAAAAGGCUGGGCUCGAGGUUUCGAACCUUCUCUAUUUAUCCUGAAGACUUGCUUGAUUUUACUUUUGAGGCUUCCAUUAGUGAAGUAGUUGGAGAAGUUAGUGCCCAGGCUGGGGUAGCCGGGGGUGAAGCGCCGAAUGAUACCGCUGCUAAGAGCGUCGCGGCUGCUGAAGGUGUGGCGACUGAGUAGUCGUGGGAUAUCCAAGCUGCUAUAGUCUUCUAGGUAGCCUUUAGGAUUUUAUUUGUUUUUCCUUGUAGCUCUUGUUUUGCUUGAACUCCUUCGGCCUUUGCUAGUUGUUUAUAAACAUGUUUUCCUUCUCUUUUCUUCAUCUUCACUUCUUUUGUUCAUGCCCUAACCUUUAAACUUGAUAGACCAGUGGCAAGCAUGCUACUUUUUUUAUAAGCAGACAAGUCCGUGUAGCCUAUGCAGCUGUAGGUGUUGGUGUAGAACAUUGCAAAGUUGUUAGCCAUAGGGUUGGUAGCCGGAUGCCUUACUUACCGAAGCAGACAAGUCCGCGUAACCACUAGGCUAUUAACUUGACUUUCUCCAAUUCUGUAGGUUGCAUAGCAAGUAUCACAACACUUUAGGACUUGGUGUAAGUUGUUCCACGAUUGGCAGAAGUGAAGCUUAUCGACUAUAUAGCAUGUCGACAGUGGAUAAAACUUCAUAUAUGCGUGCUAGCUUGUUUAACCUUUCACAAGAAUGUGUGGUUGUAUAAGUUUAACGCAGUUUUACUGCCCAAAGGGCAAGCCGUAGGCAGUCUUCCAGAAUCCGUAAGCUACCUUAGUGCAAUCGGUAGUAGCUUUAGGAUUCCAGGGCAGCCGUCCAUCGAAUGUACUGCGUAAUGUGCCCCCUCCGUCUCUAGGGCCCGGUUCCCCACGGAUUAGGCCAAGAGACCCAAAAUCCUUCAGUUAGCUAAGCCUUGAAAGACCAUUAUGGCUACUUUUAGGAAUCCUGGCGCAAACCAUCGUGCAUCUAAUUAUACUAGAGCAACCAGGCUCAUCCACAUCUGGAUAUUCGGAGUGUAGAGUUUAUCCUCCCAUCUUGGAGAGCUGACCCAUGUGGGUGUCGGAGAAUUGGUUUACCCUCUCGCAUUAGAGAGCAAUUAGUUUACCCUCUCGCACUGGAGAGCAUGGUUGGUCUCUCGGAGGGCGCAAUUCCUGUGAUGAGUGUCUAAGAAUGGUACGGUCUUCUUCUGAAGUGCAGGAGUGAUCAGUUAUUGUAAGCAUGCAGCCGAUCCAAGUUGUGAUUACUUCUGAAUUCCUCAUUGAAAAACGAGUGAAACGAACGAGAACUUAGCUGUAAGGUAGGAACUGCAUAACAACUAGCUAGUUCUCGGCUUGUGAGGUGUUGCUUGUCGAGCUGCUCGAGUCUUCAGACUUUGAUGUAACGGGAGGUCACACAUUGUUGUUCCUCAGAUUGUAGGCGUUCCACUGUUUUUCAAUCCUUUUGUCGCUUCAUGUUGGCGAAUGUGUAAUUACUCUUGUCGCCUACUCUGCUGAUCUUGUACGAACCUUCCCGGAUAAGAUCCAUCUUUUUGGAGCCUUCUCUGCAGGCAGUGAUGAAGGCUUUUCUUAAGACUAGAUCUCCGGGCUUGAACUGCCGGAUCUUGGCCCUUUUGUUCUAACUAGUGAGGAGCUGAUGUUAGUAAGCUGCAAUGCAGGUGAUGGUCUGCUCACGCUUCUUCUCUGCCAAAUCUAAGCUUGUUGCCAUCUCCUUAUUGUUAUGCUUAAUGCUUAGUAGUACAGCGAUGAUACUUGGCUUGAUGACAUUGGGAUGAGUGAUUGCUUCUUAACCAAAUGCCAAAGAGAAAGGAAUCUCACUGAUUGCUCGUCUUUUAGUGGUUCGAUAUAGCCAUAGACAUCUGGGAAGUUCGUCUGGCCAUUUUCCCUUCUUGUUGGUUAGGGAUUUCUUGGGGCAGUCAAGGAUCGUCUUGUUGGAUGCUUCGGCCUGCCCAUUGCCUUGAGGAUAUCUCGGCAUGGACAUGUGCUCCUUGAUGCCAUACUUUUGGAAGAACUUCACCAAAUCAUUGCCCACAAAUUACGGGCCGUUGCCGGUGACAAUGGAUUGAGGGAUGCCAAAUCAGUAACUGAUGUUCCUCCAUAUGAAGCGCUCUAUGUCCUUCUGAGUUGUGAUCAUCAUGGGCUCUGCUUCUACUUAUUUGGUGAAGUAAUCGAUUGCCACGAUCAUCAUGCCUUUUUCCCCAGUAGCGGGAGGCAUUAGCCCUACCAGGUCGAUCGCUCACUGCAUGAAUGGCCUAGGACUUGUCUGCGGAUGUAGUUUGCUGGCAGGCAGCACUGGUACCGGCUUGUAACGUUGGCAGCGAUCACACUUUAAUAUUAACUCCUUAGUAUCUGGGUGCAUGGUAGGCCAGUAGUAGCCUACGUUAAGAGCCUUCUGUGCUGAGGAUUGGCCUCCGGAGUGAUUCCCACAAAUGCCUUUGUGGAUUAAGCUUAGAACCUUCAAGACAUCGGUAGGCGCUAGGCAGCGGAGAUGCGGCCUGGUGUAGGAUCCUCGGAUAAGAAUGUCCAAACGAAGUUGAUUUAAUCCCCUACUAGUAGGGCCUCGUACUUUGCUUCGUUGUUGGAUACUUUGAAGCUUAAAGUGAUCGCCUGCUCAAGCAUUGAGCCGUCUAGGGUGACAAGGAUCAUGCCUGAUCGCGAGCCUUUGUAGUUGGAUACGCCGUUGACAUGUAAAUGCUAGAAGUCUCCAUCGGGUCGAGUAGGCGCGGCUAGAGUGUGCUUGGCUACUUCUGAGGUACCGUUGGGCUGCUCUGUUACGUCACCUAGGCUUGGCGUGAAGGCGUAGUAGGGAGCUGUGGAGAUGGGGCCAUGUCACACGCAACAGGAGAUGCUCAACUACUGGUAUUUGGCCACUCUAGAGUUGAAUCAUUGAGCAAGGGUCAACUAGGGCCGUGUGGUGCGCAGCAGGAAGUGGUACUCAACUACCAGUACAUGUUGCUCCUAUGUAGAAUCUUUUAGGGUGACGAGGAUAAAACUUGCUUCCGAAUGUGUCCUUCCAGUGUUCGUCUACCCUUGGCGUGUCUUUUGGGCCUAGUUGUUGCAUUCGUCAGAAAACUUUAAAUCCGCCAGGGUCUACGCCUUUAUUGUUGCGCGUCUAGAUUAGGCAGAAUAGUAUGUCAUGAGAAUGACUGCAUGCAUUUGAAAGUAAAACUUGUGUUUCCGGGUUGCAACAACUAUCGCCAAAGUUAGUUUUUAAAUUUCUGAUAACAUCAAUAAGAGCUUUUAAACUGUGGAAUACAACUGAUAGCAUCGAUGAGAGCUUUUAAACUGUGGAAUAUAGGUAGUCGGGCCCCCAGCUCUUCUCAUAUGAUGGUAGAGCUUAUUUCUGCUUCAGAUGCGACUACUCGUCCAGUCAGACUUUGAAUCUCCUUCAGAGUAGUGGGGAACUUCAUAUUCAAGAUCGCUUGGAUUUGCCUUAAAUGGGCAUCGGCGAACUUCGUCCCAAAGUGCAUGCUUUGCUGCCACAGUGAAAGAGUCUACUAGAGUUAGAUCUUCUUUCAUUAUCAGUUUUCUGAACAAUGGGUGGUCUGCUGGAAGUCCUUUUUAGAAGGCUGCUCUAGCUAUCGAGUCGUUGCAUCCGACUAUUUUUGCCUUCUCUGCUUUGAACCUCCUCACAUAAUCGCGAAGCGACUCCUUUGGGUUCUUCUUAAUGUCGAACAAAUGGUUAGACUUCUUUUUGAUUAAGCGAUAGGAUGAAUAUUCUUUGGUGAAAACCAAAGAAAGUUCAUCAAAAUUCUGGAUGGAUUAUGAAGGCAGAGUGUAGAACCAAUCUUACAGCUCACCUUGUAGAGUGGUGGCGAAUAUCUUGCUCAUAAGAUCAUCGUUGUUUCGAUAGAGGAUCAUUGUGCUUCAGUAGUGCUUUAAGUGUCUCUCCAGGUCUUCAUCCCUUUUGAAAGAUGUGAAAUGUGGCAUGCUGAACUCGCGUGGAGGCUCUGCCUGCUCGAUCUUGUCCGUGAAGGGUGACCUGCUUAUAUUGGUCAUGUUCCAUCAUAGUGCCUUAUCAGUGACCUCAUUGCGUUGGAAAUUGCGCAAUCGCUUAGUCAAAAGUCUCUCUACUUCUUCCUGAAUUUGCCUUUGUUCGGGUAACGGAGCUCUCGGUUGCCUUCAGCCGUGACUUGCUGGUCUAGGCUGCUCUUCCAUGUGUUUGGCUCGUCUAUACCGUGGAUAUAAUGCGUGUGGUGUGUUCCUAGCAGGCGAACGAGUUCUUCGCAGGCUGCCUGUUGAACUUGAGCCGGAUUGAGUGACUUCUUCUCUCCGUCCAUCGUGCUGCCUACUCCGAUGUGAGGUGAAGGAUGCUUAUCGCGGGCUUAGCUGCAAAUAAACACUUCGCUUGGAAGGUUGCUCAAGUUGACUAUCGGAGUGUGACCCUAACCGUGAAUGUAUGUUCACCUGUGGGCCUAAUCGAGAGUGCACGCUUCUCCGCGCUUUAAGACGGGAGUAUACGCUAUCUCGGAGGCCCAAUCGGGAGUGUACACUACCUAAAUGCUCAGUUUGUGGCUGGUCGAGUGAUUGCUUACCGGGACGUUGCUGGAGAGGUUCUUUGUCUGCCCUUGUCCUACUUCGGGACACCUCGUCUGGGGCACGUUGCAUCUCAGUGUGCUGUAAGAGUUAGUGCACUAAGGUCGUCUGCUGUGCAAGGGCACUCGUCAACUCAAUGACUUGUCGAGACAAGUGUUGUUCGCCACUUGGAUUGGAAACGCUUGGAAGGACUGUGCCUCCUUAGGCAAUGGAAGGGUGGUAGACUUCAGGCGCGAGAUUUGAGUUAGGAAAUGUCAAAUCCGCGAAAAAAUAUGGUGAGAAUACCCCUGGCUCGAUAGUAGGUCCGGAUGGUUGAGAUAGUCUUGGGCCGACUUGGGCUGCUUGGAAAGCCACUGGAGCAAACUGGGCAGCAGAAGCAGGCUAGGCCAUGAGAGCAAGCUGGGCUGUGAGAAUAGGCUGCUCGGUGGGAGUAGGCUGGGCCACGGGAGUGGGCUGCUCGACGGAAGCAGGUUGGGCCACAUGAGUAGGCUGCUCGGCGGGAGCAGGCUAGGCCAUAGGAAUGGGCUGCUAGGUUGGAGCAGGCUGCUCGGAGUGUGAUGCAUAUGGGUAUGAGGCUUGGGCUUGGCUUGGCAACGCAUUAACUUCGCGUUGGGCUUGGAGUGACAUGACUUGGGUUGUGGCCUUGGUGCCAUAAGCCUUGGAUGGCACGGGUCGAGCCGUGGUGAAGGCACCAUGAACCUCGCCAGGGGUAGCUACCGAGGUAGCCACCGCAGUGGCUCCCGUGGUGGAAACUCGUGGCGGUAGUGCCGCUCCACUUAUUGUCGCAUUUAGCUUCACAGAUCUCGGCAAUCCCAUUUCUUGAAUAUUAGAAUUUUCACUUGUGGAAUUUUCUAAAUUUCUAGCCAUUGUAUUUUUCUUAUACGUUUUAUCAAAGAACCCUUGCAAGUAAAAAAUUUUAAUAAUAAGAACGUAUGAAAAAUAUUCAAAUAGACUAGAAAAUAAAGAAAAAAACCUUUUUGUGCGAGAGUCUUCUACGAGUAUGGAUUUCAACUCUCAAUGAAAGCACCAAUUUGUGGAUGCAAUUUUCUUCCUCCUUGAUCUUGGACAAAAUUGCAUCUACAAAACAAUUAACACUUUAGGGUCAAGGCCAAGAGCCUCACGCAACCACGAUGAAUGGGGGGGCUUUGUCCGAAGAACCUCCGAUGCCAAAGUUAGAAUUUAGAGAGAAAAAGUGUUUGGAGAGUAUUGAGAAUUUUGCAAGUGUGUUGGAAUUGGCUUUUUGGUGAGAAUGGGAGUAUAUUUAUAGGGAUAGGAGGUGGCCGGCCUAGCCAGGGUUUUUUUGGUUUAAUUUAGGUUUAAUUAGGAGUUACAAAAUAAUUAGCCAAUAACUCCCUAAUUAACUUGGCUAAUUAUUUGUCAUACAAAGGAAAAAAGGUAGAAGGAAAUGCUGAUUUCUUUUGGGGAUGAAAGAUGGCCGGCCUUUUUGUGGGAGUUAAGGUAAAGGGAAUGGUCUAAAUGCUAAUUAAGGGAAUAAUUAGCUAAUUAACCCAUUCAUUAACUAUUUAUCAUUAUUUUAGAAGGAAUGUUUUAGGAAUUAUAGAAUAAGUAUAGUAUUUAGCUAAUUGAUUAGCUAAAUAAUGAAAUAGGAAAUAUAUGAAUAAAUUAGGUUUUAAGUUGAUACCUAUUUUGGGCACUUUUGACUUGAUUGAGGGAUAAUUGCAUGAUGGUUGCGCGUAGGAAUCUCAGUAUGCCCCAAGGGUAGUUUUGUCUUCUUUUGUCAAAAAAUCCACGUGUCGCCUUGUGAAUAUUUUUUACUCCACAGUUAGUGUUAGUGUUCUUUAAUUUUUGAAUUGAACAAGUCUAUCGUGGGACAGAGGAAUAUAUAAUUAACUAGUCUACAUUUCCAAUCAAUUCAACUCCAUUAGGAAUUGAGGGUUGGGAGGUCAAAGAUCCUGUUAAAAACAGCUUUAUUAACUUAGCCCAAGAAUCUUUUUCGUAUAUGUUUCAAGAAUAUAAGGGAAUCCUAAUUAUUACCUUUUUUAUAAGGGAAAGUUAAUGAAAAACUUCUAGUACUGUUUAUUUUAACAAAAAAUCAUAUUUUUAUAUUAAAAGGUCAAUUCUGAUACUAUUCAUUUUACCCUUUAUUUUGUCCUUAUCGUUAAAAUUCAAAGUUUUCAAGUCAUUUUCAUUAGCUUUCCUUUUUUUAUAAUGUUUGGACUUAAGUAGGUUGAAAAAAAAAGACAUACAGCCUUAGCAAGAACGACAUUAUGCGGAAUAUAUGACUCAUGCUCCUUUAGGUUCUUUAAAUUUCGUGGGUGGUGUAGCUAUCGAGAUCAACGCAGUUAAUUACGCUUCUCCUAGAAGUUGGUUAGCUACUUCUCAUUUUGUUCUAGGAUUCUUCCUACUCGUACAUUAUUUAUGGCACGUGGGAAGAGCUCGUGCAACUGCAGCAGGAUUUGAAAAAUGAAUUGAUCGUGAUUUUGAACUUGUUGUUUCCAUGACUCCUCUUAACUGAGACAGAGAUCCAAUGUACUCUCCAAGUAUGCUUGUUCCUCCCUUCUUUCUUACCAUGGCAAGUUUUUGUGAAAUAACUCCGAUGAGAAGAAAAAAGAAGGCGUUAAGAGACCCUCUUGGGCCAACCCUAGUGGUAGUUACACUAAAUUUAUCUAAACUAUCGGGAAGUUUCGAAUGUGGGUGUAGAGGGUGAAACAUGUUGCUCUAAUCAAUUUGACUAAACUCUAUAAGUGAGAAAUUUUAUGUUCAAAUUUUGUGGAUAACAAGUUUGAUAAUUGUUUAUCUCCCACUUCUUAAUGUAAAUAUACCGUUGUAUACACAAAGGGUAACCCUAAUUAGAGUGAAAAAAAUUCAUCUUGUUUAUAAGUAUUUAUUUGGUUAACAACUUUUAAGUAUUUUAUUAGUUUCAAGAUAAUCAGAACUUCAAUGAUGUCGCUAUUGAAAGGUUGGUGUUAUCAACACACAUUUUUUUUUUCACAUGCUCCUUUCAAUUUUCGAUCGUCAGAUUAAAUGAAUUGAAGAAAAUUAAAUGACAAAAAUUAACAAAAAGUGUGUAAAUAGUAAAAAAAAAAUGAUAAACGGAUAGCACCAACAAUAUUAAAAUUGUAACACCCACCCCCAUUUAUAAAAACAUAUUUAUGUAAUUAUCCCCUUAACAUUUUAAAUCUAGCAUUUUGGUCCUUUUUGGACUACCCAAUCAGAAAUUAAAGCAUAGGAUUCCUUUCUUUCUCACUUUGCCACGUAGCACCCCAAUUAUUCCCUCACUUCUCUCUCUGUUCCCCUCGUGAACCCCCUUCAUUCUUCUUCUUCGUUUCUGUCUGUCCUGUCUCUCUCCCUCUCGGAUCUCUCUCAUUUCUCUCCCUCUCUUCAGAUAAUCACGCACGCAUACGCGAAGAAGACCAUCACCAUCAUCAUUAUCGUCCUGCUCUCUCUCCCUCUCGUGCUGCGAACCCAGAAAACGAAAAGGAACUCCGGCGAGAUUUUUCUAAUUUCCCGGUGAGGUAAGCCUUAAAUCUUCCCUCUUUCAUCCUUGAAUCUUGUGGGUUGUGGUUUAAUUGUGUUUUACUUCAUAAAUUUGGAGGUUUUAGGAUGAAUCGAGCUCGGGUGUAGGAACACUCAUUUCCGGCGAACCGUGGGUAUCGGGGGACUCUCCGGCCAUUUUCGGCCGUUCCACGAUGAAAGGAAGGUAUAGAAAUACUCCCCUCGUCUUGCUCUUCGCUUUGAUACCUAAAUCAGGGUCUAGGGUUGUGUGUGAUGGUCGGCCGGAGCUGUUGAAGCUCCGGUGUUUGUUCUCCGGCGAGACCAGGCCUUCCUGGCCGGUUCCAAGCAAGCGGGCCUUAGGCCCGUUUGGGGAGUCAAGCCCAAAUCCUAACCCAAUUUCCUUUUUAGUUGUUUUUAUUUAAUUGUUAGUUGUUUAAGACCAAAAGGCCUUCAGGCCAUUAGAAUUAGGGCCCGUAGCCCAAUAAUCCAACCCAAAAACCUUUUUUAAGGUUUUUAUUUAAUUUAUUUUAUGUUCUAGGAAGUAAGAAGGCCUUAGGACCAAUUAGAAAGUGGGCUUUCAGCCCUUUUCCCAAAACCCUUUAACCUUAGUUAAGCCCAAAACCCUUAAGGCCUUUCAGCCCAACCCAAUCCAAGCCCAUGUCUAACUUUGACCUUUGACCAGUUGACUUUGACUGUUGACUCGGUCAACUGUCAGAGUUGACUUUGGCCAGUCAACGGUCAACGUUGACUUUUUGAGUUGCCUUUUCAGGGUUUCGUUAAGGGCCUCUCUUAGGUUAUUUUGACGUCCUGGACCCGUUUUUGAAGUCUAUUUUCCCAAAUUCAAUCGUUUGAAUAGAGUUUGACUAAAAGUACUUCUUUAUGUGAAUAGGUGCAAUUAUUAACGGUGAUUCCGUUAUACCUUUUUGGUACAGCUUUGCACCAUCGGUGUAUGGUGAGUGGACCCCUUUUAAAAAUGCAUGUUUUGAUAGUAGAAAUGCAUACAUGAAAAGCAUGAUUUAAUACUUAUGUUUUAUGAAGUACUUUAUGAGAUAAAAUGCUUACUGAGGCUAGAUUGAAUUAUUACUAUUUUUCCUAUAACCCAUGUUCUUAUAGAAUAUCUUAUGGAUGAUGAUAUGAUAUUUAGAACAUGUUUAGAACACCUCUUUAUAGUAUAAAUGAUGGAUGACUUUAUACUAUGAAGUUGUUUUUCAAUAUUGAUAUAUUCAAUGGUUUUGUACUUACCUAGUGGUCCUUUCCGCUACGGGACGUAAGUAUAGAUUCCGGUCCGUCCCGAGCGAUGGUUUGGUGUUGGCAUAGGGCCUGGAGGGUGUUUCAUCUGGCAUUUAAGACCAAGGACAGGGAGCCGGCAAGGGGACUGUAGUGUAUUUUCCUCUGACUGUCUGCUCAGAGACAGGGAGCCGACAUGGGGCCUGGGGGUUAUCGGACAAUUCACUAGUGUUUAUUACUUACAAGUUAUGAAUUUGAGAUACUGCACAUCAUGCUAGGUUUCGGAAAACCUAUGUUUUACAUUAUAUAUAUGUUUUCAUAAACCUGGGGGUUAGUAUGUUGAUAACUGUUUUAUUAUAUUUAUAUCAAAUUGGUCCACUCACGUUUGUUUUGUGCCCCCUUCAGGACUUAGAAUCAAGGCAUACAAUCCCAGCAUCCAGACACUUCUGCAUCAGCAUCUUCAAGUCCUCUCGGUGUAGGACCCACUUCUUUGUUCAUUCAAUUUUAUAUUAUUUCUUUUAGUGUUCUAGUUAGUAGUAUGCUCUGAACACGUUCCUUAAAUGCAUAUUCAUUAUUCUUUUAUAUUUUUAAGUCUUAUAUAUCCCUUAUUUUCAGCAUUUGCACUCAAUAAAUAGCUUUCGUCACCCUCGGGUGUCGGCCAGCACAUGCCUAUCCUGGUAUUUGAGGAAUAUCGAGAUCGGGGUGUGUCAAAAAUAGUCACUUACUAUUGUUGGUCAUGCUCCUAGCAAGGAUUUCCUAACAUUAGGCAGUUUUUUUUUUUUUUUUUAACGUAGAGGGCAAUAGAACAAAAACACACUAACAUCAAAUUACAGUCCUCAGCUGAGGUAGAGAUAAACAUGCAGUAAAAUUUUGAUUUGCAAACGUGCCAACUAACACGAAUCCUUCGAGUUUUACUCUAAAACUAAUUAGAUACUUAAUCUAUAUUUAAACUCCUUUAAUUUACUGAUCCACUUGACGAAGACGUCAACCGUAGAAGAAUAUGUGUAUGGCUUGUUGUGGCAGGUCAAAGCAAUUAACAAAGUAUCUUACUCUCAAACUUGUUAAAUUUAGUGGGGCAAAAGUCGAGCAAGCAAUUUAAUAAAAUUGGGUUUGGGGCCAGUUGCAAGCUAAAUAUAUCAUAAGCAAGUUUACCGUGUCAAGACUCCAACUAUUCCCAUAUAAAAAUACGAAGGAAAGUUUUUUAAGAAAUUAUAUGUCGAUACAUAAAAGGAUAUUGGACGUGGAUAUAUAUCCCUUUUAAUAUAUUUAAAGUUACAUUAUGUGUUUUUAGGUGAAUUAGGUGCGUAUAUCUAACAUGUUGGCUCGGAGUUGGACUGGAUUCUUAAUUAUAUGAUUUAUCUUCUUCUUUUUUCUUUUCUCUUUUUGCAUUAGAGUAUUAUACAAGUUAAACUAACACUAAAAAGUAUGGGUAGUUUGGUGAAAUGGUGAUCCUGAUCAUGUCUUGUUCAUAUAUUUGGCUUAGUCUUGUUUUUCGGUAAAUAUUUUUUUAAAAAGCGUUUUCAAUCAUUUUAAAAGAAAAUGAAUUAUCAUGCACGAUAUAGAUUGUGUAUGAAUAGAGCAAUUCCUUAUUUUGACCCAAAAAAAAAAAUUCUUCAAUCAUGGUCACAGGAUUAUAUAUAGAAGACACAAAUCAGCAUUUGGAUUAUUAGUUUGUCUGGCUUUGUAUUAGUUUGCCAUUUUUUCUGUUACAUUGUCCUUAUCCUUGACCUUGGCUACUAAUGAAUAAUCAAUAAAGUUGUGAGAGCUUGCCGAAUAAAACAACACGAUAAAACAACAUGUUGAAUCAUUCGAAGAACCUUCAUGCAUGGUCUUAAUAGACAAAGGAGGCACUAACUAAUGAAUAAUCAAUAAAGUUGUGAGAGCUUGCCAAAUUAAAAAACACGAUAAAACAUGUUUAAUCAUUCAAAGGACCUUCAUGGUCUUAAUAGACGAAGGAGGUACUAACUAAUGAAUAAUCAAUAAAGUUGUGACAACUUGCCAAAUUAAAGAACACGAUAAAACAAUAUGUUUAAUCAUUUGAAGAAACUUCACGGUCUUAAUAGACGAAUGAGAUACUAACUAAUGAAUAAUCAAUAAAGUUGUGAGAGCUUGCCGAUUUAAAUAACAUGAUAAAAUUACUUAAUUUUCAAAAUCAAAAUUACUUAAUUCAUCGUACACAUAGCAGUUGGUUUUUAGGACCCUCAAUUUUCAUCACAGUAAAAACAUAACCCCUUUUGAAGUUUCAAUUGCACUUCAUGAUACGUGUGCCCAGUCGUACCUUUUGGACAACUGGUUGAUUUGGACAAAAGAGAAAAAAAAAGAAAAAAAAACUCCAAUAUUAUUUCUACCGUGAUGCCUGUUUAGGAUAAAGAAGGUCCACCAGUUAAAUCCUAUCUUAGCUAUUAAGAUAAGAUUGUUAGGAUAGUCAGUUAGUUGUUAUGGUGACUCAGCAAAUAUUAAAAUGUAUUUAUACAUGUGUACCCAUCCAUUGAAUGAUAUGAAAAUACAACUUUAAUUACUUUCUCUCUCUCUCUCUCUCUCUCUCUCUCUCUCUCUCUCUCUCUCUCUCUCUCUCUCUCUCUCUCUCUCUCUCUCUAUCUAUCUAUCUAUCUUCAAUUUCUCUCAUAUUCAUGAGUUUCUACAUGGUAUCAGAGUCUUUGUCCACCGACUUCGAUCCUUUGCUUCCACCGACCUAAAAUUUUCUCCCAUUUUCCCUUGUCCCAAACAGGUCAUAUCUCCCUUAAUUUCUUCAAUCUCCUCUCUAAUUUCACCAAUCUUUUGUUCAAAUCUCCUAAAUUUCUAUGGCUACUACUACAAAUUCUGCACAUUCUUCUCCAGGUGCUUCCUCUGAUUCUCCUGGCGAUGUCUCUCACUCAUCAAUCGCUUCAAUUACUUCAAUCACAGUUCAGAAUAUAACAGGCAUGGUAUCAACAAAGCUCAAUCUUCAUAAUUACAUUACUUGGCGUAGUUUGUUCAUCCCUGUUCUGAAGCGAUUCAAGCUUUUAGAGCUUGUUAAUGGCACUGAUCUCUGUCCGCCUCAGCUUGUAUGCAAUUCGUCUGGUUCUCGAGCUCCUAAUCCGGCUUUUGAUCUUUGGUGUGAAAGAGAUCAAAUCUUGAUGAUUUAGAUUAACUCGACGCUUUCUGAAGAUCUCCUUCCUCUCACGGUUAGUAUGGAUGAUUCCCGAUCUCUCUGGCAAUCACUUGAACGCCGUUUUGCUAGUGCUUCUCGCACUCAUGUUCAUAGCUUGCGUUCAAAGAUUCAGACCAUUUAAAAAGGAGACUCCUCUAUGUCUGAUUAUCUCAAUUCUCUCAAAGAAAUUUAUGAUAAGCUAGCUGCUACUGGUGAACCAAUUUUUGAGUCCGAUCUGGUUACCUAUACUCUUUCUGGUCUCUCUGAUGAUUAUGAGUCUUUCAUCUAUUCGAUUGAAAUGAGGACUGAAUCCGUGAAUACUGAUGAAUUGCAUAGAAUGCUUCUCAGUAAGGAAAUUUCUCUUCAAAAACGCAAGACACGAGCAUCAUUAUCCACUACACCUUUUCAUGUCUUUGCUGCUCAGCGAGGUUCUAAUUACUACAAAGGUAAUUCUCAUGGUAGAUUUCAGAAUCGAAAUCGAUUCCCUCAUAAUCGCAAUUCUGGUGCCAAUCAGAACUGCAAUUUUGGUGCCAUUCAGAAUCAUAACCACAACAACUCAAUGAGCAUUCUAAGACCUGGACCUGGUGCAACCAACAAUGUUCACAGCUUUGGACAAUCUGGUGCCAAUACCAUUAAUUACAGUUCUAGUCAAUCCUCUCUUCUAUCUGGCUGACAUCUUCAAUGUCAAUUAUGCCUUCAAUUUGGUUAUGAAGCUCUCACUUGUAAUAGGCUUCCUCAAAUUGUCUCUCAGCAAUCUCAACAUGGACAUCAUAUGGGCAUAACUGCUACCAUUUCUCCUCAUCCGAGUUAUUGGCUUGCUGACAGUGGUGUGUCUCAUCAUGUCACUCCCAAUCCAGCUUCUCUUAGCUCUGUUAUUCCCUACACUGGAAGUGAUCAACUCAUUGUUGGAAAUGGUAAAGGUUUGUGCAUCUCCCACACCUACUCUACUUUACUUAGCACACCCAAUGCUAUCUUUAAACUUAAGGAUGUUUUGUUAGUUCCUCAAGCAUCUCAUAACUUGUUGUCAAUCUACAAAUUUGUGAAUGAUAACUGGUGUUCUCUGACCUUCGAUCCAUUUGGAUUUUAUAUCAAGGAUCUAAGCACUGGGAGGAUGCUUUUCCAGGGCCCCUGUUAAGGUGGCUUAUACCCUUUCUACUGGAAAGCAUCCAAUGGCAUUUCUGGUAUUGCUAUCUAUCCUCAAGCCUUGAUGGUUGCUAAAGCUGAUGUUCACACAUGGCAUAAAAGACUCGAACAUCCUUCUAGUCUUAUUUUACAUACUAUUGUCAAUAAGAAUUAGUUAGCUGUUAUUGGUUUUGAUCGUAACCUGUCUAUAUGUUCUAAUUGUCAAUUGGGGAAGGCCUCUAGAUUUCCAUUUUCAUCUUUGCCUUAUACUUCCACUAGGCCAUUUCAUUUACUACAUGCGGAUGUAUGGGGUCCUUCUCCCACCCCUUCAUGUACUAGAUAUAGAUUCUACCUUAUUUUGGUAGAUGGCUAUACGAAAUACAGUUGGCUUUAUCAUAUGGUCUAUAAAUCUGAUGUAUACUAUGUGUUCAAGAUUUUUGUUUCCAAAGUCCAAACUUUGUUUGAAUGCAAGAUUCAAUGUCUCAAAUCCAAUUCAAUAGGUGAAUUCUUAAGUAAACAAUUUCAACUUUUUCUUAAUGAUCAAGGUAUCAUUCAUCAACUAAGUUAACCUCAUACCCCUGAGUAGAAUGGGUGCACAGAGAAGAAACAUAGACACGUUGUUGAGAUGGGCAGAACUUUACUUUCUCAAAGUGGUUUACCUUCUAAAUUCUAGAUAGAGGCUUUUCAAACUUCAGUUUAUCUUAUCAAUCGGUUGCCACCACAGAAUUCAACCAUUAGUCCUUGGGAACUGCUUUUCCAUGUCACUCCCAAGUAUCAUACUCUGAAGGCUUUUGGAUGUGCAUGCUAUCGCUGGUUACAACCUUAUUCCUCCAACAAACUGGAUGUUAAAAGCAAACAUUGUGUUUUCUUAGGCUACAGUUUUAAUCACAGCGGUUAUAGGUGCCUUGAUCAUGUGACUAACAAGGUCUAUAUUUCACGACAUGUAAAUUUUGAUGAGCAGUUAUUCCCAUUCAAGACUGGUUUCUUUUCAGUUUCUAAUUCAUCUACAGAGCAUUCAUCCACAAGUCCUUAUUCUACAAGUGUUCCAAUUCCACUUAAAAUUCUAGUUACUUCAUCACCCAUUGUUCCACCUACUUCAACAACAAAUAUUUCAACUCCUUCAUCAGUAAGUCUCUCAUUAGCAAUCUCUGAUCAUUAGCAAGUUCCUUGUCAUACAGAGAUUCCUUCCUCUAACUCUGAUCAUCAGCAAUGCUCUAUUCCGGUCAAUGUUCAUCUUAUGAUUACAAGAUCAAAAGCAGGAAGUCACAAACCUAAAGUUUUUACUGCAACAAAACAUCAACUUCUAGCUACUGUUGAUUCUCUCACAAGCAUUCCUCAUACUCUAACUACUUUUUUGCAAGCUUCUAAGAAUCCCAAAUGGAUGGCAGCCAUAAAGGAUGAGUUUCAAGCCCUACAAACUACCAAGACUUGGGAUUUUGUUCCUUUCAAUCCCAGUUACAACUUAAUCGGCUGCAAGUGGGUUUUUAAGAUCAAGCACAAACCUGAUGGUUCAAUUGAAAGAUAUAAGGCCAGACUCGUAGCUAAGGGAUUCCAUCAACAAGAAGGUAUUGACUUCUCUGAGGCUUUUAGCCCAGUUGCAAAACAUACCACUAUACGGAUUCUAUUAUCCAUUGCUAUCAAUUAUGACUGGUUCAUUCAUCAACUUGAUGCGAGCAACGUAUUCCUGUAUUGUACAUUGAAAGAGGCAGUCUCUAUAUGGUUCAGCCCCCUAGCUUUGUGGAUUCUACUCGGCCAACUCAUGUUUGUAAACUUAAGAGGUCUCUUUAUGGCCAUAAGCAAGCACCUCGGGCCUAGUAUGAUGCUUUCUAUUAUGUCAUCUUAUCAUUGGGUUUCUUUUCAUCCUUUUCUCGGACACUAGCAUGUUCAUCAAGAGAGAUUCCUCCAUUACUUUCAUCUUGGUGUAUGUCGAUGACAUCAUAAUAACUGGCAACUCUAGUUCAAUUUGUCAAUCUCUUAUUUCUCAACUGCAGAUGAUGUUUCCUAUCAAAGACUUAGGUGACAUUCAUUAUUUUUUUGGGCAUCGAAGUUCAUAGAUCUGCCAAGGGAUUAUUUCUGAACCAAUCUAAGUAUACAUUAGAUCUUCUUUCCAAAACUAAUAUGAUUGGGGUUAAACCAUGUUCUACACCUGUCAGUUCUGCAAAACUUGAUCACUUUGGCACCUUGCUCUCUGAUCCUACCUUCUACACUUCAAUAUUUGACAUGGACACGACCAGAUUUAGCAUUUGCUGUUAAUCAAGUCUGUCAAUACAUGCAUGCACCACAGACAAUUCAUUUUAUAGGCAGUUAAACGAAUCCUUCGAUACUUAAAGGGCUUCAUUGAUUCAGGCUUAUGGUUUACUAAGGGACCUUAGUACUUAACUGCUUGGUUCGAUGCUAAUUGGGAAAGAUGCCCUAUUGAUAGAAGGUCCACCAGUGGAUAUUGUGUUUUUCUUGGUCCAAAUCUCAUAUCUUGGAGGGCAAAGAAACAAAACAUAGUUGCUAGGUCAUCUAUAGAGGUCAAAUAUAGAUCCCUAACCAACACAUCUGCUAAGCUUACUUGGGUGUGUAGAAUUCUACAAGAUAUCUCUUUUCCUUUUGUUGAAAACUCCAGCUAUCUUCUGUGAUAAUUAGAGUGUUAUUGCCUUAGCAUUCAAUCCAGUUUUUCAUGCUAGAACUAAACAUGUAGAGAUUGAUUAUCAUUACAUUCGAGAAAAGAUUCUCUCUGGGCAUGUCACUGUGCAUCAUGUUGCUUCUCUACACCAACUUGCAGAUAUCUUCACCAAAUCUUUGCAUGCUGAUCGUUUUGCGGAUUUGACUUACAAGCUUGCAGUUAGAUCACCUACCUUUAGCUUGAGGGGGUGUGUUAAGGAUAAAGAAGGCCUACCAGGUUAAAUCCUAGCUUAGCUAUUAAGAUAAGAUUGUUAAGAUAGUUAGUUAGUUUUUAUGGUGACUCAGCAAAUAUUACAAUGUAUUUAUACAUGUGUACCCAUCAAUUGAAUGAUAUGAAAAUACAACUUUAAUUACUUUCUCUCUCUACAAUCUCUCUCUCUCUCUCUCUCUCUCUCUCUCUUCAAUUUCUCUUAGAUUCAUGAGUUUCUACAAUGCCAAGGGGUUAGUACAUUUUGGGUGACUGGAUCGUGUUUUGUCUAGUUAAACCAACAUCUUUUCAUAGAUUUUUUUGUUGUGCCUUUACUGUCACAGCCCGUCCCGAUAUUUUCUAUCGGGGACGUGAAUUAACGGAUUUACCCUUGACGUUACUAAGGUGUGUGUGUGUUAUGUUUUAGAUAUUCAUAUUUUUCCUAACCUAUUGGAUAUAUUAAUUAAGUUGGAUAGAAUUUUCAAAGGUUGAAUUGUUUGUUUGGUUAGGGAUGUAAAUGGAUGGUGUGGAUUUGAUCUUAGACCACACACAUACACCUCCCUGUUAUUCCUCCCUUCCCCGUGUCUCUCUCUCUCUCUCCUCGUCCCGACUCCCUCUCUCUCUUCACACCCAAACGUACGGACACCCAAACACCUUCCAAACUCGACGGAUCGAGGCAUCCAAGGUAUGCAUCUUCAUCCUUUUGACGUUCUGAGUUGAAUGGUACUAGUUUUAGGAAGUGAAACCUUCGGAAUCACGUGAAACCCGAACCUCCAUUUUGUGUCACUGUUCAUGCGAACGUAAAAUGUUGUGUUUCAGGGAAUUCUAAGCUUGUAGUAAGCUUAGUGAGGUUCCAAGGAGGCUCGGAGUACUUCGUUUGAAGGAUUUGGACGUCGGGAUCACGUGGUUCAAGUUUGGCCGAAUUUCUUGGAAUUUUCCCGGUGAGAUUUCUUGAUUUUUAAAGCCUUAAACUAGUUUAUCGUGAUUCUACAUGUUUGGGGCUUCAAUUUGAUAUAAAAUACGAAGAAAAUGGGUGAAAACGAAGGAUAGCGAAGAGUUUUAAAACUCGCCGGAAACCGGCCGCCAGAAAAACCAGUCCGGCGACUGGCUGAGGAAGAAGGUGCGCGUGGGGGGCGCGUGGACCCGUGCCACCCACGGCGCGUGGGGGCACGUGGGACCUCCAAAAAAAUUUCUAAAAAUUUCUCGACAUCCGUGACGUCGAGUAGGUCGAUGUGGUAUAUUCAUAUACCCAAAUUGAGCAUCGUAUGAGAAGUUAUUUCGAAUUAUUGGUUAUGUGUUUAAAUUAAUGUUUUUAUAGUUGUUUCGCAUAUAGGUGACACCUAUCCCGAGGACGAGCGCAUCCAGGGACGUCACGAGGGUUACGACCCAUCGACUUAUCAGUGAGUGGGCAGUUUUGAUUUCGUAUUACCUAUAUACAACUGCUUUUCCCAGAAAAUGCGUUUAUAUGAAAAUUAUGAUUUAAAUUGCCAUGCAUGCUAUUGUUGAGAUAUUUGAAUUGAGAAUUAAUGCAUAUAUAUAUGUGAAUUGACGCGGUGGACGCACAGGUGAGUUUUAUUAUCUUUCAGAUGAGUUAUUUUAUAUGAAUUACAUUGAAAGCUCAUAACCUGCACUUAGGUGUUAGUGCUUAUAUUGUUAUUCACCACACCGCACGCUCGCCUUGGAUCCAAGUAGGUGGAUGUCGUACAGACCAUGUGAGGGUUCCGACAUGCUAGUCGUACAGAUCACUAGAUGUGAUUCCGACUAGUGGGUGACCUUAGUUAUGUGCGCUGAUGAUUGUUGAGAGAAGCACUAGAGCGUAUUUUAUACACCUAUCAUCGUACAGACUACUAUACGUAGUUCCGAGUGAUGUGCAGUGUAGUGCCGUACAGGUCACAGUUGGUGGUUUCGGCAGGGCCGUAUAGGUCACUGUGGUGACUCCGGCUGAGUGGGAUGUUGAGCUUUAGAAUCAGCCGUACAGGACCAUUGUAGGGUCUCCGAGUUGAUUUAUUAUUUUCACCUGAUUGACAUUGAUGCAUUCUGAUUAUAUUUUGGGCAUGGCAUAUCAUUUCUGAGAUGUUAUUAUGAGGGAUUGUGAUUUGAGCUCUUGAUGAUAUGUAUAUAUAUAUAUAUAUGUGUGUGUGUGUUUAUAUACUAUUUUUUUUUUUUUUUGGAAAGUAUACAGGUUUUACGGUGAGGGGUUAUAAAUGUUUUUAACGAAAUGUUUUGGAAAAUCUUUAGUUUUACUGACCCACUCAUUUUGUUUUGCGCCCCUCCAGGUUCUAGUUAGCGGUUGGUGGCUCUCGAGGUCUUAUUCCGGCUUUCUAACAGACUCUUGACAUGUAGGACUCACCUGAGGGUGAUGUACUUUUAUUUCUGUCCUACUUGACUGCACUUAAACCUAUGCUCUGAAUUUAUGUGUUUAUCUUAACUCGUCCUGUUAUUCUAGUAGGUUGUUCUGCUAGAGAUUGGUUUAAAUUCCUUCGUAUUCUGUUAUAUCUUGCUUCCGUGUCGCACUCUUGGUUACGUCACACUCACGUGACGGCCAGCACGCCUUGAUCCUCUGGGUCGGGGUGUGUCAUUUACGAGCAUGUAAAUUAGCUCUCAAAAUAUCUAUUUAUCCUUGUAGAGUGACCUCCUUUCAUCCUCUAGCCUCUAUCCCAUCUCCAUCACACACUGCCUUACUGCCUUGCCUGUAUAGGGAUUGCUCCAUCUCAACUUUGCUAAUUGGUGAAAAUGCUAAACUUUGAGUUCUUUCCCACAUAAAUGCUAGCUUAGUUCAUCUGGUUCGUGGUAGGAGUCAAAUAUGAGAUUGAUCAUGUCUUAUUUGUUGGUUUUGUUUUAUAUGCUAACUGAACUUUGAGGUUUUGGUCAUGCCCAUGCUAUCUUAAUUGAUUUAGUCGUUUGUAAUAACGAAAGUGAAAUUUCUUCAUCUCUCUUUGUUGAUUCAUUUUAGAUGACAAGUUCUUUAGUUUUGCAUAUACUGUAUACACACAUGUUGACUUAGUUCAUCUAGAUUCGUAAAUGAUUGAGUUGUUCUUGACAAAUGUAGCUUUUUUGAUUUGUUAAACCUUGAUCAUCUCAUACAUUCUGUAUUUGUGAAUUAGCCAGGAAGGAAGGAGGUCAUCACUUGCAUGUGAAAUUUGUGCCUUAUGAGCAUCAUGAAGAUUGAUACCACUUCAAGAAGAUAAGAGGAAUAAGUUUGCUUGAAGAUUAAUGAAAAGUUGCACAUGGUUAGGUUAUUCCGAUUUGAUAUCUUGUGAAAGUGUGUUCUUGUUGUAAGUGUGCUUUUUUGCCUUCAUUUGUGGCUAAAGCUUGCUGGCAUAUACUUGAAUUUUUUACGAGACUUGAAUAUUGUUUGUGGGGUAUGCAUGGCAUGCAGCAAGGUUAGCAUUCUUGUGUCCGCAAUUUUGACUUGCUUCUCGAGUGAGAUGUAGGCAAAUUGGUGGAUAUUUUGCUUUACUGACAGCAUGGAUCAACGAGCAUUUUCAUAAUGUUAUUACUUUCCAUAUAAAUGUUAAGAUCAAACAAGUGUGCAUCGGUUGACCACACGAAAAGGAUUCAGGGUUAUCACUAGAGCAAAAGACUUUGCGACUCACGAAUCAAUGCGACGAAUCAAUCUUAUAGCAAAAGACUUUGCUGCCAAUGCCACGAAUCAAUCUUAGCAAAAGACUCUGUGAUUCACACAAACAAUACUCAUUUUUGUGGCAUCAAACCCGUGAAAUGGGGGGCCAAGCUACUAGGCAUGUUGAUGUUCUAAUAUGACAAACAUCAUGUAUUCGUUUGAUGAAUGAUAUACAAGGUUGUCUAGGAUCCAUAUCUUAAUUAGAGAAUGCAUCAUGAUAUCCUUUACCAAAAGUGACAAGCUAGUUGCUCUCAAGUGUUUGGACAUUGUGUAGCCCCUAUUAUGCUGAUAGAGUUCUAUUACAGUUUACCCUUGUUCAUACAAUUUCCCAAGAGUCAUAUACUCCUUCUCGAGUUUGACAGAGCAUUUACACAAACAUAUAACAUUGUGCAUACCUACUUUGAUGUGUUAUAGCUCACUCUCUAGCAAGACAUCGUCCCAACAUGGUCUUCUGGGGUUGUGACAGUGGUAGGGGAAACAAUGGUGGCGUGGUGGUGCUAUGAUGGAGGAGUGGGGGAAUGGGAGCAGGGGUGGUGGUAAUAGGAAAGGUAAGACCAUGGCAAAAGUGGCAGUUGUGGUGAUGGUGGUGUCAAUGGUCACCACGGUGGGGGUGGCGGCGAUUAGGUGGUCGUACAAGGUUGUAGAGGCGAUAGUGAUAAUCGUGAUAAGUUGGUUGUAGUAGAGUUAGCGUUAAUGGUGGUGACGACGAUCGUAGUAAUGGGCAAUAUUGUAAGAUGGGGGUGGUGUUAGUUAUGGUGGUGGUGACAGCGACAAUAUAAAGGUGAUCGUAUGACAUUGUGGUACGGUGGUGGUAGAAGAGGUGGUGAUGGGUCAUGGUGAUAGUCAUGGCAAGUUACAGUAGUUGAGGUGGUGUGGUGGCAAUGGUAGCAAUGGAGUGGUGGUGAUGGUCAUGGAAAUUUUGGUGGUGGCGAUGGUGGUAGCGGUGGCCAUUGGAGUAAUGGUAAUGAUCAUGAUAAGAUGGUGGUGGCAACGUGGUGAAAGUGGUGUUAGCGAUAAUUAUCACAUAAAAUGUGGUGGAGUAUAUCAUCGAAAGUGGAAAAAAAAUGAAAUCCAUCAAAAUCUUCAAAGGGAAACCCUUGCCACCUUCCAAUGCUUCUCAUCGGAGUAUGGGUAAAAACUCAAUACCAUAUCCACUAGAAUAUUGAACCACAUGCAUAUAAACACAUUUAUAUGUAACAUUGAAAUAACAAGAUUAAGGUUUAGAUGUAACCUUUGGAUCUUAUUUUGAAUCCAAUGAGAGAGACUUCUUGUAGGUUUGAUUUUCUUUGAACCUUGCUAACUGCUCUUCCAACUUAUGGUACUUUGUGAGAUCUCAAAGUAGACAUCGCAUAAGUUUCGACACCUCCAAGAGCUUGAGGUUGUGGUGGUGUGAGAGAGUUUGAGAGGCUAGCACAAACAUACACACACACACACACACACACACACUCUCUCUCUCUCUCUCUCUCUCUCUCUCUCUCUCUCUCUCUCUCUCUCUCUCUCUCUCUCUCUCUCUCUCUCUAAGGGAGGGGACGACAAGGAAGAGGAGGAAGAGAUGGUGAUUUUAGUAUUCACAAUCGCAAUUAGCAAAUGAUUAUUUUCAACUCUUGAAAAUCAUUUGCUUCUCUCUCUCUUUCUUUUUCUCUCUUUCUCUCUAGGACACUGAGUGUUCUUGGUUUCUAGGUUCUCAAAAGUUGUGUGAAAACCAACCCUUUGUAAGCGAGAGAUGGAGUGUGUUUAAAGGAUAAUGCUAGAGAGAUUAAAAUUUUAAAUCAAAUUAUGUGUCAUCAAUAAGAAAUAAGCACGUUAAUCAACAUUUAAGUAAUAAUCCAAUCAACAACCAUAUUAUUUGAUUUAUAAAAUUUAGUUUAAAAAUUUAUUCUCCCUAAUAUUAUUUGUGCUUAAGUAGACAAAGUUUGUUUAUUAAAACAAUCCAAGCCUCCGCCCACUUGAAAGAGAAUCGGGCAUGGAGCCAUUGGGCUCAUUUUUUUGGGCCUUGUCACGUAUUUGACCCUUGUGUUAAGUGAAAAAGUCCAAUGUGGACCCGGUCCAAAACCAAAACAUUCCCGAAACAUUUUCAAGUCCCUUCUUCGAAUAAUCGUCCUUUUUUAAUACACAACUCUUUUAAUUAUUUUAUGAGUAGUGUUAAACUUACUAUUCAUUCAUUUUGUACCAUUUCUAAUAGGCGUAGAGUCCACAAACACUUGUUGAUUUCAUCUCUAUUAGAAAAAUAAUACAAAUAAAUGGUAAGAAUAAUAUUUUUGUUAUUUUAUUCAAAAUAUUAUUAAUCAACAAUUCUAUUAAUAUAUUUCAACACAACGUGUUGUCUCAAACUCACAGGAUUGAGUGUGCGGUCCAUUAGGUUUUAUCUGACAAGGUAAUGAGAUUAAUUAAACUUCAAUGAUAAUUAGUACAUUAUCACUUAUGGUAGCCCCUAAGCCAAUAUAGAAUUGGUAUGAUUAUCAGAGUUGAGAUAUUAAUGUCAAACUCUAAGGGGGCGUUUGUUGCGCCGGACUGUCUCGGACUGGACUAGCUGCAGGGACUAAGCUGGACUGGCUUAGACUAGACUAAGCUGGACUAACUUAGUGAAGCGUUUGGUGCAGUGUCAAACUAAGAAGCAGGAUAAUAAAAACAGCACUGUUCAUCAUAUUUGUGUUUGCUUACACUAGAACUACAAAUUUUUGCCAUUGUGUAAUAAAGUAAUGCUACAAAUGUCAUGAGAAGAUACUUGUGUAAUAGAGUAAUGCUAAACUUUAUGCAAUAAAAUCGAACAUUAACUAAUGAUAGUUUUCUUGGAUUAUAGAGUUUAAGAAAACAGAACUCAUAUUAGAUAUUUGUCUGAAGCAAGUAAAAUUGCCAUGGAAAAUGUCACUUAAGUUCUUCACGUGCAUGAUAUAUGGUGUUCUGGUUUUCUGUUGGGUGAAGAUGACUAGGAUCCAAUGGUGGUAGGGUUUUGAAGGAAGGGGAAACGUGAGUACUAAUACUUUGGUUUCAAGAAUCCUCCAAGUGUACCCAACAAACCUUGCUCAAAAGAAAAGAAAAUAGAAAAGCAUAGUAAUUAAACAGGCUAUAAGGGGCCGUCUCUUUUUCCAUGUGGCAUAAUUCAUAGCUGACUAGAUUAACAAGCAAGAGCAAGUACAUAAGAAGAUCUCCAUAAUUUACAAAAUACCAGUGAACUAUAGUAUACCAUUCAAAAGUAGAUCUCCAUAAUUUACAAACUCCUAGUUAACAUUAGCCAAAAUACUUCAUAGUGGAAAGCUAAGUUAUAAGUCAUAACCUAAGAUUGUACGAUUAAUAAAAUACAUUCAUAUCAAAAGACACCACAUAAUAUACUCAUCCGCUUGCUUUGUCGCUUAAAAGACACCACAUAAUAUACUCAUCCGCUUAGCCUUAUCCUUCCGUUUAUGCUCAUCUUCUCUGCAACCAACAACCACAGAAUAUUGCAGUUCAGCAUACAAAAUAUUCACAUUGUAAUAUCAUGGUUAUAAACUAAAUACACACACACACUUACAGAGCACACACACACUUCCAGUGCAGAAUACACACACACACACACAAACACCAACUAAAGAUACACACACACACACACACACACACACACACACAUAAAUUAGACACACACACACAGUUUACACACACACACACACACACACAAACACACUCACACUCACACUCACACACACACACACACGGGGACAGAGUGCAACACACUCAUACACUCACACACACACUCCGUUUUUACACUCACACACACACAUUCACACUCACACUCACACACAAACACAGUCACACACACACACACACACACACGGGGACAGUGCAACACACUCUUAUCCUCACACACACACUCCGUUUUUAUACUCACACACACACACACACACACACACACACACACACACACAUACACACACACACACUCACACACAAACACAGUCACACACACACACACACGGGGACAGAGUGCAACACACUCAUACACUCACACACACACUCCGUUUUUACACUCCACUGAAUCUCAAAGAUAGACUCGCAUAAGUUUCACGACACCUCCAAGAGCUUGAGGUUUGGUGGUUGGUGAGAGGAGUUUGAGAGGCUAGCCCACAAACAUACCACACACACACAACCACACACACUUCUCAUCUCUCUCUCUCUCUUCUCUCUCUCUUCUCUCUCUCUUCUCUCUCUCUCUCUCUCUCUCUUCUCUAAGGGAGGGGACGACAAGGAAGAGGAGGGAAGAGAUGGUGAUUUAGUAUUUCACAAUCGCAAUUUAGCAAAUGAUUUUUCAACUCUUGAAAAUUCACACACACACACACACACUCACAUACACACACAAACACAGAUUACACACACAUACACGGACAGAUUACACACACACACUCACACACACAUUUUACACACAUAACUCAUACACACAUAUUUUACACACCCUCUCUUUCUUUCUCUCUUUUCUCUAAGGACACUGAGUGUUCUUGGUUUCUAGGUUCUCAAAAGUUGUGUGAAAACCAACCCUUUGUAAGCGAGAAUGAGUGUGUUUAAAGGAUAAUGCUAGAAAGAUAUAAAAUUUUUAAAUCAAAUUAAUGUGUCAAUUCAAUAAGAAGAUAAGCACGGUUAAUCACAUUUAAGUGAAUAAUCCAAUCAAACAACCAUAUUAUUUGAUUUAUAAAUUUAGUUUAAAAAUUUAUUCUACCCUAAUAUUAUUUGUGCUAGUAGACAAAGUUUGUUUAUUAAAACCAAUCCAAGGCCCUCGCCCACUUGGAAAUGAGAAUUCGGCUAUUGGAGCCAUUGGCUCAUUUUUUUUGGGCCUUGCAAAAUUACAAUAGUCAUGGCCUUUUUCCACGUGACAGACAAUAGUGACUCAGAUCUGAGGAUUAAUUUGCAUUAUUGCAACUAUAAAAGAACUCAAAGUCCAUCAAAAUUCAAGACUUUUUAAAAUUUUAAAAAAAUCCAUGAAAUUUUGAAUACAUGGAAAUUUAUGUGGACUUUUAAAAGGCCAUAAUCGAAUACCAUAAAAUAAAUUUAUAGACUCUUUAGAGCCAUGGUAAGUCUUCAAUCAAUACAAGGUGGCUUUUAUUACUCUUUAGAAAUCUAUAAUACACAUGAAUUUAACAAUCAAGUGAAAAUGUACAAAAGUCCAUCAAACUUCAUAUGCAACACACUCCUUAGAGUCCAAACAAAGUACGCCCCUUGAAUCAUCUCCAAGGGAGACACCGAAUAAUCGUCCUUUUUUAAUUACACAACUCUUUUAAUUAUUUUAUGAGUUAGUGUUAAAACUUACUAUCAUUAUUUUGUACCAUUUCUUAAUUAGCGUAGAUCCACAAACACUUGUUUGAUUUUCAUCUCUAUUAGAAAAAUAAUACAAAUAAAUGGUUAAAGAAUAAUUAUUUUUGUUUAUUUUAUUCAAAUAUUAUUAAUUCACAAUUUCUAUUAAUAUUUAUUUCAACACAAACGUGUUGUCUCAAAACUCACAGGAUUGAUGUGCGGUUCCAUUAGGUUGAUCUGACAGGUAAUGAGAUUAAUUAAACUUCAAUUGAAAUUUAGUAAUUAUCACUUCAUGGUAGCCCCUAAGCCAUAUUAAUUUUGUAUGAUUAUCAGUAGUUGAGAUAUUAAUGUCAAAACUCUAAGGGGGCGUUGUUGCGCCGGACUGUCGUCCGGACUGGACUAGCUGCAGGGACUAAGCUGGUCUGGCUUUAGACUAGACUAAGCUGGACUUACUUAGUGGAAGCGUUUGGAUGCAUUGUCAAACAAGAAGCAGGAUAAUAAAAACAGCACUGUUUUCAUCAUAUUUGUGUUGCUUACACUAGACUACAAAUUUUGCCAUUGUUAAUAAAGUAAAUGCUACAAAUGUCAUAGAAGAUACUUUGUGUAAUAGAGUAAUGCUAAACUUAUGCAAUAAAAUCGAACAGUUAACUUUGAUAGUUUUUCUUGGAUAUUGAGGGGAGAAACAAGAUCAAUUAGAUAUUUGUAGAAGCAAGUAAAUGAUGGAAAAUGUCACAAAGUUCUUCACGCAUAUAAUAUGGUGUUCUGUUUCUGCUGGGUUAAGAACAAUUCAAUGUGGUAGGUUUUGAAAAGAACUUUUACUAAUACUUGGUUUCAAAGAUCCUCCAAGUGUACCCAACAAUUCUAAAAGAAAAGAAAAAGAAAAUAUAGUAAAUUAAAAGCUAUGGUGCCGCUCUUUUUCCAGUGCAUAAAAUACUGACUAGAUUCCACAAGAAAGUACAUAAGAGAUGCUCCAUUAAUUACAAAAUACCACGUGAUUGUAUACCAUUCAAAGUUUCCCAUUUUAAACUCCUAGUUACUAGCCAAAAAACUUCAUGGAAACUAAGUUUAAGUUUUAAAUUGCCGAUUAACAAAUAAUUCUAAAAAAGCUGAAUAAAUAUAGAUCGCUGCUUUAUUAAGACACACCUAUUUCUCCGCUUAGGCCAUCCUCCUUUAUGCUAAAUCUUCUCUGAACCAACAACACGAAUAUUGCAGCACUCAAAUAUUAAGGUAUAUAUGGUUAUAACUAAUGACCAAUUGACUUAAGGCACAACACACUUUAGUGCAGAUUCACACAACAAACCAAACACCAACUAAAGUACAACCACACACACACAACACACCCACAGAAAUUAGACACCACACACAGUUUUACAACACCACACACACACACAACAAACAACUCCACACUCACCUCACACACACACACACACGGGACGAGUCAAUAACAUCAUCACUCCCACACACUCCUUUUUCACUCACACAACAAUUCACAUCACCUCAACCCAAACACAGUUCACAUCCACACCACAGGAUUGCUUAACUUUUAUUCUCACACACACACUCCUUUUCAUACUUCCACAACACCACACACACACACACAAACACAACAUACACCCACACUCCACACCAACACAGUCACACACAAACAGGGAGGUGCACACCUCAUACACUCAACACACAACUUUUUUUCACUCACCACACACACAACACACACACACACACAUCAUCUUGAAACAGUACAAUAACACAGUCACAACACAACCACGGAUAAUGCAAACACUCAAACUUACACACACACUCCGUUUUUACAUACUUUCACAACACACUCAACUCCACACUUGUGUGGUCAACCACACACAAGAAAAUGCACAUACUCUUAUUUACAGAACACUUGUUUUUAUACUCACACACACACAACACAACCUACACACCAAAACCGUACACACCUUACAACACAGGAGACAGAGUGAACAACUCAACCAUCCAACACACACUCGUUUUACACUCUACACACUACCCACAAAGCCCACUACAGGACUACACCAAACACAGUAUCACCACACAAAAAGUAAACCACUCUUACCCUAAACCAUUUUUUAUAUCUCACACAACAACACACACAAACACACACAAACACAACCACACACACACUCACACACAAACCAACAGUCACACCACACACCACAACAGUCUUUGCAAGAUAUAUCACACUCACAAAAGGUUAUCCUCCCCACACGGUUACACCACAACCACUAUCAUGCACACAGCUCACAUCCCACCAAACACAGAUUACACACACAACACGGCAGAGGCCACACACCUCACACACCUUCACACUCUCGCCCAAUUCCCCUUCACACACAACUCCUAAGAACACCCAAACCAGAUUUACACACACAACACAGCAGAGCCAAUUUACCAACACAACUAAAUGUACCCACAAACUCAAAAACACACACACAAUUAGCAAACUCCACAGAUACACACACACGCACCGAUAGAGACACACCCAACACACACAAAUCCACACCCAGGUGAGGUUCACACAACACCACACAGAUUACACAGGUUUGGUAAAUACACCAACACACACACAACACCAAAACACACUACACACAUGUGACCACGAAUUACCACAGGGCACCCAUCCACCAGAGUCAACCAGGCUUUAAUUCGCUUAUUAAAUGCAAUUCAAUUAAUUUAUGUAAUUGUACCUUUGUUCAAUUCAAUCCACUUGUAUAUUAUGAAUCCACCCCAAAACCUCUCUGCCUCAGUUAAUAACAAACUAUCCACACGAUCGAAAAAAACAAGAUUCGAGCUUACCAAGGGAGCAGAGUAGCGCCAGCUAGAGACGUAGCUGGGACUAUGUGGGGCCGCAGGGACGCGACGCGGCUGCGCAGGAUGAGGACGAUGUGGCGUGGAUGUGGAAGCGCAAGAAAUUGGGAUGGGCCUAGGUUACGAUCCGCGUGGGCCCUAUGAAGAAGGCUAAAGCCCCCCCUUAGUCCGCGAAUCCCACCUAAGCCUCAUUGAGCAAAGGCCACCUGAGGGACUAUAGCUAGUACCAAAAAGAAAGCGAAUCUAAACCUGCCUCUUAAGCAAUUUCCCGAGAAAACUUAAGUCCUUUAAUAAACAACACUCCAGCCAGUUCUAGCUUGGUAACAAAGUAUUUCGAACCUUGCUGUCAAAGUUAAAGAUUCUUAUUUCACUAUGUAUCACCACGGAUUACGUACAUGACACAUCGAUACACUCAUAACCUGUUGAGGUGAUGUGGAAUACAUGUCGCCUUUUUUCCACGUGACAGGACAAUUAGUACUCAACUGAGGAUUAAUUUGCAUUAUUUCAACUAUAAAAGAAACUCAAGUCAUCAAAAUUCAAGGUUUUUAAAAUUUUAAGCAAAGAAACACCUCCCAAUCUCUUCCGGCCAACCCAAACAGUUGUGCUCCUGUACCUCUCUUGCACAAGAGCCAAAAGCAAUGAGGUCUGCCCUCUACGAGGUUAGAUCGAUUCCUUCCACAAUGCAUCUCAAUUGUUCCUUGCCCGAACAGAGCAGACCCUACGUCGCGCUGUGGCGCUGGCAUUGGUGCACAGUUCUGUCUUUUUGGUUGGCGUCGAAGCGGCAGCCCAUGCUUCCAGGGCUAAUUCGCCACGUCCGUAUGCCUGGCAUCUCGCCUACGUCCAAAGCUUAGCUCCCUAUGCCUCUUCCCCUCUUAGGCUUUGGCAACCCCAGGCCUUGCUCCUUCCACUGCACUCCAGGGUCGGCCGAAGUGACUAGCCAGACCCUUGGGAUCUCCCUGCUGCCCCCUGUGCCACGGUUUCGGUCAACUCAAAUGGAUCCCAAAGCGAAAGCUUUCUUUUGCUCUUCGUAUGAACUCCGCAAGGCCCUAGUAGCCGCGAUGAAUAAUUCUUGGUGAAAACACCAAGAAGGAAAAGGUUCCGAUAGACAAUCCUACCCGUCCGUUGUGAGUCCAGCUUGUGAGAUUUUCCGUGUUCGGGAGCAGGCGAGGUCCACUACGAAAACAUCCAAUUCUGCCGGCCUGCCGGUGCCUCAAAGACCUGGUUUCUCCUUGCCAAGCAGCCUGCUCUGGUGACCCAGGCCUGUUCCCGACGCAGCAACCCACUCUGUGGUCCAGCUUGAUUCCGUCGAGCAGAAGCAGCCCACUCUCUACAUGCGGCCCGUCCCCAACAGGCUCACUCUCGUGGUUCAGCCUGCUUCCGUCGAGCAGCCACUCUCACGGCCCAAACCUGUCUGCCAAGCAGCCUGCUCUCAGUGACCCAGCCUUGCUCCGACGAGCAGCCCACUCUCACGGGCCCAUCCAUGCUCCAGUGGCUUUCCAAGCAGCCCAAGUUGACCCAAGACUAUCUCGAACCAUCCGGACCUACAUUCGAGCCGGGGCAUUCUCACCAUAUUUUUUUCACGGAUUUGACUUUCCCAAUUCAAAUCUCGCGCCCGGAGUCUUACACAUUUCCACUGCCCAAGAAGGCGCAUUCCUUUCCAAGCUCUUCCAAUCCAGAAUGGUGAACAACACUGUCUCGACAAGUAUAGAGUUGACGAGGCCCUUGCAACACAGACAACUUUGUCUGAAUCAACCUUGCCAAGUUUCGUUCUCCAACGGACCGGACGAGGUAUCCCGAAGUAGGACAAGGGCAGACGAAACCUUCCAGCAGCAUCCCGGUAAGCAGCCAUUCGACCAGCCACGAGCCGAACGUUCAGGCAGUGUACAUUCCCGAUUGGGCCCCCGAGAUAGUGUAUACUCCCGUCUUAGCGCACGGAGGAGCGUGUACUCUCGACUAGGCCCACGGAUGAGCAUACAUUCACGGUUGGGGUCACACUCCGAUAGUCAACAUGAGCAACCUUCCGGACAAAGUGUUCAUUCGCGGCUAAGCCCAUAAGGAGCAUCAUCCACCUCACAUCAGAGUAGGCAGCACGACGGACGAAGAGAAGCAGUCACUCAAUCCAGCUCAAGUUCAACCAGCAGCCUGCGAAGAACUCGCUCGCCUGCUAUGAACGCACCACAUGCACUGCAUCUGCGGCGUAGACGAGCCAAACACAUGGAAGAGCAGCCUAGACCAGCAAGUCAUGGCUGGGGGCAGCCGAGAGCUCCGCUACCCCAACAAAGGCAAAUUCAGGAAGAAGUAGAGAGACUCUUGACCAAGCGAUUGCAUGAUUUCCAACGCAACGAGGUCACCGACGAGGCACUACGAUGGAACAUGACCAACAUAAGCAGGUCACCCUUCACGGACGAGAUCGAGCAGGCAGAGCCUCCACGAGAGUUCAAUAUGCCACAUUUCACAUCUUUCAAAGGGGAUGAAGACCCGAAGAGACACUUAAAGCGCUACCGAAGCGCAAUGAUCCUUUAUCGAAACAACGAUGAGCUUAUGUGCAAGAUAUUCGCCACCACUCUACAAGGCGAGGCGCAAGAUUGGUUCUACACCCUGCCGCCACAAUCCAUCCGGAAUUUCUACGAACUUUCUUUGGUUUUCACCAAAGAAUAUUCAUCCUAUCGCUCGAUUAAAAAGAAAUCUGAUCAUUUGUUCAACGUCAAGAAGAACCCAAAUGAGUCACUUCGCGACUAUGUGAGGAGGUUCAAAGUAGAGAAGGCAAAAAUAGUCGGAUGCAACGACUCGAUAGCUAGAGCAGCCUUCCAAAAAGGACUUCCAGCAGACCACCCGCUAUUCAGAAAAUUGAUCAUGAAAGAAGAUCUAACUCUGGCGGACUCUUUUGCUUUGGCAGAGAAGUAUGCACUUUGGGAUGAGGCUCGCCAAUGCACAUUCAAGGACUUGAAGAAGUACCCGACAUCACCUCCCUAGAAGCAGCGGAGGACUUAUUCACAUGUUUGACGGUAUCUAAAGUAGCAAUAAGCUCUACCAUCAUGCGAGAAGAGAUUGAGGCCCGACUACCUGUAUUCCACAGUUACCUGUAUUCUACAAUUCAAAAGCUCUCCUCGAUGUUAUUAAAAAUUCAAAAGCUAACUUUGGCGAUAGUUGUUGCAACCCAAAAGCACAAGUUUUACUUUCAAACGCAUGCAAUCAUCCUAAUGACGUACUAUUCUGCCCAAUCCAGACGCGCGACGAUAAAGGUGUAGACCCUGGUGGAUGUAAAGUUUUCUGACGAACGCAACACUGGAAGGACACACUCGAAAGCAAGUUUUGUCCUCGUCACCCUAAAAGAUUCUACAUAGGAGCAACAUGUACCGGCAGUUGAGUACCAUUUCUUGUUGCGCAUCACACGGCCCUAGCCGACCUUUGCUCAAUGAUUCAACUCUAGAGUGGCCCAAUACCGGCAGUUGAGCAUCUUCUGUUGCGUAUGACAUGGCCCCAUCUCCACAGCUCCCUACUGCGUCUUCACGGCGAGCCUAGGUGAUGCAACAGAGCGGCCCAACGAUGCCUCAGAAGUAGCCGAGCACACUCUAGCUGCGCCUACUCCACUCGAUGGAGACUUCUGGCAUUUGCAUGUCGACGACGCAGAAAAGCCUUCAUCACUGCCGGCAGAGAAGGUUCCAAAAAGAUGGAUCCCAUCUGGGAAGGUCCGUACAAGAUCAGCAGAGUAGGGGGCAAGAGUAAUUACACCCUUACCACCAUGAAGCGGCAAAAAGAUUGAAAAGAAAUGGAUGGCCUACAAUCUGAAGAAGUACCAUGUGUGACCUCCCGCUACAUCAAAACCCGAAGACUCAAUAAGCUCGACAGGCACCACCUCACAAGCUGAGGAUUAUCCAGUUGUUAUGCAGUUUCUACCUUACAGCUAAAGUUCUCGUUCGUUUCACUCGUUUUUCAAUGAGGAAUUUAGAAGUAAUCACAACUUGGCUUGGCUGCAUGCUUACAACAACUAAUCACUCAUGCACUUUAAAAGAAGACUGCGCCCUUCUUAGGGACUCAUCGCAGGAAUUGCGCCCCCCGAGGGACCAACCAUGCUCUCCAGUGCGAGAGGGUAAACCAAUUCUCCGACACCCAUAUGGGUCAGCUCUCCAAGACGGGAGGAUAAACUUUACACUCCGAAUAUCCAGACGUGGAUGAGCCUGGCUGCCCUAGUAUAACUAGAUGCACGAUGGCUUGCGUCGGGAUUCCUAGAAGUAGUCGCAAUGGUCUUUUUCAAGGCUUAGCUAACUGAAGGAUUUUGGGUCUCUUGGCCUAAUCCGUAGGGAACCGGGCCCUAGAGACGGAGAGGGCACAUUACGCAGUACAUCCGAUGGACGGCUGCCCUGGAAUCCUAAAGCUGCUACCGAGUGCACUAAGGUAGCCUACGGAUUCCGGAAGACUGCCUACGGCUUGCCCUUCGAGCAGUGAAGCCGCACUAGACUUAUACAACCGCACAUUCUUGUGAAAGGUUAAACAAGCUAGCGCGCAUAUACGAAGUUUUAUCCACUGCCGACAUGCUACGUAGUCGAUAAGCUUCACCUCUGCCAAGCGCGGAACAACCUACACCAAGUCCUAAAGUGUUGUGAUACUUGCUACGCAACCUACGGAAUUAAAAAAAGUCAAGGUUAACAGCCUAGUGGUUACGCGGACUUGUCUGCUUCUGUAAGUAAGGCAUCCGGCUACCAACCCUAUGGCUAACAACUUUGCAAAGUUCUACACCAACACCUACGGCUGCAUAGGCUACGCGAGUUUGUCUGCUUAUAAAAAAGUAGCAUGCCUGCCACUGGUCUAUCAAGUCUAAAGGUUAGGGCAUGAACAAAAGAAGUGAAGAUAAAGAAAAACGAAGGAAAACAUGUUUAUAAACAACUAGCAAAGGCCGAAGGAGUUCAAGCAAAACAAAAGCUACAAGGAAAAACAAAGAAAAUCCUAAAGGCUACCUAAAAUACUACACUACAGCAGUUUGGACAUCCCACGACUACUCGGUCGCCACACCUUCAACAGCCGUAAUACUCUUAGCAACGGCAUCAUCCGGCGCUUCACCCCCGGCUGCCCCAGUCUGGGCACUAACUUCUCCAACUACUUCACCAAUGGAAGCCUUAAAAGUAAAAGCAAGCAAGUCUUUCGGAGAAAUAGAGAAGGUCUUAAAACCUCAAGCCCAUCAUUCUCACCCUUCAGCUGCUCAUUCUUCUUAAGCAGAUUAACACAGACGCGCUGCAGCUCAUCCACUCCCUUCUUAGCAUAAGCAGUGAAACGAAGCUCAGAAAUUGCAAGCUUAAGAUCUUGAAUCUGAAGCGAAUCAAUCUCAGCAGCAAAGGGAGCAGGCUUUGGCGCCACUUUAGUAGCAGAGUCCACCUUACCACUCUUUAUAAUAGCAAGUCUCUACAAAGGUGAACCGGACUUGGCUCCCAAAGAACGUCCUGGUACAGACUUCGGCAUUGGGGGCAUGAUAAAACCUUUACGCUGAGCAAUCUUAUCCACAAUUGUACUAGCCAUUCUCAACAUGGAAGACGCCACAUGCUCAGAUCUAGCAGCCUUAUUUUUCUUCCCAUUAGAAGAAGUCAUGUCAAUCACAUACCUCUCGGUAGCAAGCGGACCCUCAUGAGCAGCAGAAGAAGUCUUCAGUUUUUUCUUAACUAGGCAUCUCAUGAGCAGGCGGGGAAGAUCUCUUCUUUCCAUCUUCAUUCAUAGUAAGCUCCACGACAGCGAUCAGACGAGCCAAUGCAUCUGCCUUGAUCCUCUUUACCUCAUCUUUCUGGAGCAGCCCACCUUUCUUUCAGCAAAGAAGACUAAGUAGCCAACGACAUUUAUGGUACUCAGCAGGGGAGCUCAACCCAGCAUUCCAGCAGGCAGAAGGCAUGCAUGCCCAACAUUUCAGUAGCCCAUGAGACCCGCAAUCUCCUUAUUUCUCUCAAUCACCAGCCUGGCCCGAGUCAGGUCCAAGAGCCCAAAGGACAUGAGCUAUGCGGCUCGCCUAACACUGUGCCCUAGCGCCACAAUCCUCGACCCCAGCUGCACAAGCUGCCAUUGGCUCAGGCCAAGCCAAGCUGCCCAAGCAGUGGUCCCUGCCACGACAUCUCCUCAGCUCAUGCCGAGCCAGCUCCUGGCCCCUGCCAGCCGACGUGCCGCACCACCCCGACGGCUACCCCGCAAUAGCACUAUCCAAGAAUAAGGCAAGAAAAAUUAAAUUUUUCUUACAUUGGUGCAGCACGAAGAAGACGAAAAAAGCAACGAAAGACGGUUCUUUGCACGGGCAAGAUGUAGAAGAUUGCUAGAGGAGGGGGAACAAAUAUCCUCUAAGCUAUCUCUCUCUUGUAUGGUAGAAUAAAUCGCUCUCCAAAGUUGAUUUAAUAACCCACUUAAGGUGGACUUAAAUAGGCUUUGAGAGAAAUUUAUUUCCCUUUCCUAGAAGGAUCUAAUUUCCUAUUAAAGAGAGAAUCUACAUCAAAAUAGGAAGCAGUCCUAAGUUUCCUAAAGCAAGAAAAUCUCUACACCUGCCGCCCUUUUCUGCAAGCAGCCCAAUAGGUGUGGGGGCAUUUGUGGAGCCAAAAAUAUUCACAAUGCGACACGUGGGUUUUUUUGGACAAAAAGGACAAAAAUACCCUCGAGGCAUACCGGGUCUCCUACACGCGAGCAGUGAAGAAUCAUCCAUCAACCAAGUCAGAAGUACCCAAAAUGGGUAACAAUUCAAAACCUAUUUCAUAUAUGUUUUUACCUCAUUUUUUCCUUAUUCAAUUAGCCAUUUAUUUCAAACAUUCCAUAACAUCCUCAACCAAUUAAUAUAAUCAAUAUAUUAAAGGCUAAUUACAUCACCAAAUCACCCCAAAAUCACACCAAGGGCCGGCCAUUCCCAUCCAAAAAGAGCCUAUCAUAUUCUCUACCUUUUCCACCAUUUUCCCUUUUUAAUUACACUAAUUAGCUAGCCAAUUAAACCCAUAACCAUUAAAACAUUCCUUUAUGUUUAAAUUAGCCAAUUAAUCAUAAUAAAUUGGCUAAUUAAACCUAAAUUAAACCUAAAAACCCUAGCCACCUCCUAACUCUAUAAAUAGGCACCUAUUCUCACCAAAAAAUCAAUUCCAACACUUUGGCAAAAAUCCCAAAAUUCUCUAAACACUCUUUCUCUCUAAAUUCUAACUUUGGCAUCGGAGGUUCUUCGGCCAAAGCCCCCCCCAUUCAUCGUGGGCGCGUGAGGCUCUUGGCCUUAACCUAAGGUGUUAAUUGUUUUGUAGGUGCAAAAUCGUCCAAGAUCGAGGAGGAAGAAAUUUGCAUCCACAUGUAUUUAUCUUCUUUUGAUAUUAAUUUUAAUGAUAUUUGAUGUGAAAAUAGAAAUUUUUAUGUAUUUAACGAAUUUUUUUUAUACAAAGAACCGUAGAUUAGAGAAUUUUAAGGCCCCACUUCGAAGGCUCGCCUAGAGCCCCAAAUUCUCAAGGUCGGCCCUGUUCUGGACAAUGAUGUUCUACUUAAAAACCUCUCUCUCUCUCUCUCUCUCUCUCUCUCUCUCUCUCUCUCUCUCUCUCUCUCUCUCUCUCUCUCUCUCUCUCUCUCUCUCUACCACUACAUAUAUUUUUGAUUAAUUGUAACUUGCAAAGAUCGAUUUUAAUAUGAUCUCUGUGAGAUUAAAACUUCAACUUGGCAGGCUGACAAUGAUAUCCAUUUGGACUGAACUUUAUUUAAUUAGAGUGUUGAAAUAUGUUAAUAAAUUAUUAAACUUGAACGGAUGACAGAAAAAGAAUAUCACACAAAGAUUAUGUAUGCAUAUACAACUGGAUCAUGUAUGUAUGAGUCACGCUAAUAUUGGGGACACACUUGGACUGCCCAGUUGCUUGUAAAGUGGGAAUUACACUUCAUUUGCCCAAAAAAGACCUCAAAUUCUACUAAUUUACUACAAUAUGCUUCAUGCGUGGAGGUUUUUUUUUCUUUUCUCUUACACAAAGAAAGCAUGAUGAUAAUGAAAUAUCUGUAAUUUUCCAUUUGCUGUCUUUAGUAAUCUCUGAGUUUUUAAUAUAGUUCACGACCACGUGGUAUUAUGAGGUCACUUUAAGUACAUUUUAAAUUAUUCGGGUUAAUAAGAUGUCUCACCCACUAUGAGUGGAUAGCAAACAAACACACAUUUGGAAUAUAGAUUGGAGUCAUCCACAUAGACAUAAACAAUUAUUCCUCGUUUGCUUUAGCAAUAAAUUAUUAUUACAUGGGUUUUAAACAAUUUCAACAAUAAAAAAAAACAAACACAAUAAUCGAAAUUUUUUAAUAUGCUAAGAACUUUUUAUUUGAUGCUAAAUAUUCUUGGUCAAAGAUAUGUUGGUAAAGAUUUAAUGGUAAAAAACUCCAAUGUAUACAAAUGACAAUAACACAGUAGAAUUUUUACAAUAUUACCACUUGAGUUUCCCUUUAUGUUUCAUUUUCCUUUGGCUACUUGCCCUAGCCUCAUUGUUCAAGAGAUCCUUACCUCAUUGUUCUCUCUUUUUAUUGAGGUUUGCGAAACGAUUGGGUCUGGAGAUUACCCCCAUAGUUUGCAUGACACGACGAUGUGUGAGGCUCUCUCACUUCUUACUUCAUCAUAUUCCUCAUCCUCUUGCUCUUCCAUUUCGAACAACUCAUUUUCUUCUUCCUUGAGAUUGAACAAUUAUUUCUCUCACUCAUCAAUUUCUAACAACAUCCUUGAAGAAGACAUUGUAAGAACUCAAGAUUUAUAAACUAUGAAGAAUGAUUAUUAGACAUUUUGAUUUUGUCACAUGGCACGCCGUAAUUGUUUAAAAAAAUUAUUGAAAUUUAUCCACAAGGAUUCUAAAUAGAUAGUGACAUAUGGCGCGACAAAAUUGGAUAAAAAUCUUAUCGGAAAUCUAUCCACAAAAUUCCUAUAAAAUCAAAACACAUGACGUUAUGAAAUUGGUUAAAAAUCUACUUGAAAAUCUAUUCGCAAAAAUUGCAUCCGAAUGGCGUGACAUAAUUGGUUAAAAAUUCUAUUUGAAAUUAAAUAUAAAAUUAACUUUUAUUAUUUAAAAAAAUAACAUUUUAGUACUAAUAGACUAAGCAAUUCAGUUUAGAGGUAGAGAGAUAGAGUUGGUCUUACUUCUUAGUAAGGCUUAUCUCCAAUGCUAACAAAAUGACAUCAUCAUUCACUACUUCCUAUAAACAGCAACUUGGCAAGCAAAAUAAGGCAUAUCAUCAAGCCCCAAGCCAACUUUAUUAUUCAUUGAGAUUUCUUCGUUAAGAUUUGAACUCAGACAUUGACACACUAAUGAUUGAGCAGCGCAAGACUAAAUGUAUGACAUCUCAAAUAAAUUGAAACUGAAUGACAUUAGAUCAAAUGGUGACGACAUUAGCAUAAGUAGUAGCAUAGUGGACUGUUGGGAGGCUGAAAGGACAUCCUUUUGACGGGCAUGAAUCCAUGAUCAUAUCAUUUUUCUUGGUCUAAUUCGUGCGAAUAAUACAAUCUAAUAAUGUUGAUACGUACACGUUAGAAACAAAAACAAAAACAAAU
rnacentral:lncRNA from 1 species